CGCAAACGGAUGACAAGAACACAAUACUUCCAGCUCCCGAGGCCUUGAGAAGGGGAUGUGCGAGCUGGCUCAGAUGGUAAGCCGAUUCGAAGUUAAUUGUCAUGAUGAAGGAAAAAUCUUCUGCUGUGUAAUCCAUGGUCGACUUUAAGGUGUUGGUCCCGACGUUGUUUAUCUACCACAAAUAAAAACCGAGAACAAAAUCUAUUGAAAGACAAGCACAAACUGCGGCAUUGUUAUAAAUAUCAUUAUUGGACCCAUAGGAUCAAAGUCGCCUUAGACUCACUAGGAUGUUGAGCUUGCCGUCGAAGACCGAGGACACGGUGAGCAUCAGCUUCUCUCGCUCCGAUCUUGAGGAAACGUCGCAAGUUGAACCCGAGACUCGGAAACCUUUGCUCUUCCAAUCUUUCAAGCAUUCAUUAAUUUCGGCUUCAUUCCGGGAGCAGGUAUGCACUGUCGACCCAAGCCCCCCUAGUUCCUCCACAAUGGCAUGUCUAAUCAUGGUAUAAACAAUAUGAUUGUUCACCAACUUUGUGAUUUUGAAGAAGAACAGAUUAUUCAUUUCCACUAGGAAAAAUUCUACGUGACAAGACAUCAGUACUUGUGAUACCCAAGAAUGUACGGAAGAUUUGGCUGCGGCAUUGCAAUGGAAGUCAAACCAAUAAUUGAAGCCUUUGAAUGCACUGGAUUUUUAUUUGGGAAAUUACAAAAGGAGAAAAAAAAAUUCUAUUGGCUAAUGGAAGUCAAACCAAUAAUUAAAGCCUUUGAAUGCAUUGGAAUUUUUUUGGGGAAAUUACAAAAGGAGCAAAAAAAUUCUAUGGGCUAAUGAUAUCACAAAGACGCAAAUGAUUUACCAACGUCUAAAGGCCACAUACUUUCAAAAAGGUUGUGCAUGAAUCAGUCACCCAGGAACAUCAUUCUCAAAGUAAUUGAGCUCUCUAAUCAAGUCUCUCGUCAUAUAGAAUUUUAAGUGGCGAUAAUAUCAAUUAUCUAGCUUUUUAUCCGAGGGAUCGAAGCUUAUUGGAUUCAAAAGCAUCUACUAUCACUCGAGCGAUUCAAAAAUUUUGUUGGUCGGGAGCCAGUUUGACAUGCUUUGGUUGGAACAAGUUUUUCUAGGCUAGAUAUGACGGAAAAUUCCACUUAAAGUGCUUAAAUCCUCGCUCAAUUUAUUUUGAGUAGGUCUGGGCUUGGCCUAGAAAUCGUAGGCCCUGUAUAUUCUGGCUAGGACAAGAAGUAUCUUGAUCCUAGAUUGCCCCAAUUAGUGCAUAAUCCUACUAUCAUUCAAAUUAUAACAAAGAAACGGGAUUUCAAGGUUGACGGUUUUCAUAUACUUAAUUCAUGAUGUUUUCUCUACCAACCUAAAUCAUAACAGAUAAUCAAUCAUCGAAAUCAUCGAUAGAAAACAACGAGGUGUUCGGUAAGGGUCAGAGAGAGAGAGAGAGAGAGAGACCCGAUUCCUUUGGUUCCACCGGUGACAAGAGCAGUCAUUCCAUGAAGCGACCACCUGUUUUUGUUGUCGUUGCUGCUGCUAUAGCAUCUACUGGCAGUCCCAUCUCCCUCCGUAGCCAUUGUCACUCUCUCUCUCUAUUCCAGUUGUGAUUUUUCCCCGGAACUCUUGUUUCUCCUUUUCGUGGGUAAUGCGCCUCUCUAACUUUCCACCCCGUUUUAUGCCAAGUCCUUCACUGGCCCUAGAGAGAGUGACGGCGACUGGAAGAGACUUACUGACCGCACAACUAUGGUGGAGUGAUGAGACCCGUUCCCAGCACGACGCGGAGCCACUACUUACGUACGGUCGUAGAAGUAUCCAAUCAUGACUAAUCAACCUAUCAUAUCAUGACCGUGACAUGAAUCGAAGUUGUUCACGUCAAGAACUGUUACAUGGGCCCCGCACCCAGGACUUCCCAAGAUCAAUAAUUGCCAUGCAUCGCUACGUCCGGACUCGAUACGAGAUUAGACGUACCUAGACAACUUUAUGUUUGGGAAUUGGGAACUCUCCGUUCCUGGAUGGCUUGCUUUUGCUCAUGCCACAACACCAUGAUGACGCCGGCACAUAAAAUACACAUAAGAAUUUUUCUAAGAUGAAUUACAUUAAUUAAGAUUGAAAUUUACUGUUUAACAAUAUAUAAAUUUUUUUAAUUAGUCUAAUAUAGAAUUGACUAAAUUAGGAUUGAGUUUGUGGUUGAAAACUUUAUAAAUAAUACUGAAUUAUUAUCAUUUCACAUCAAAAACGAUGAAUUCCAAAUUAUGUGCAGACUUCUUUUUCUUCAUUGUUGUGUUCUAAAAUCUAAUUAUGAAGAUCUUAAGGUGUUGUUUUCGUAGCUAACAAUACCUUCACCACUCUCGUUGAGGGGCAACACUUUCAUUCAUAUAAAAUCAUUUAAGGAUUUCAACAGAUGUUCUCUUAUCGGUGUCCUUUAGUGUACUUUAUUGUGUAACUGGGGUUCGAUGUAUCUUAUUUGCGAACUCAUAAUUGCAGUAUUGUUUCACCCCUUGUGAUCAAUUUCAAAUUGAUUUUCACUAACUCUGAAUUUGAACAUUUUUUUUUUCCUUUCUCUCUUGACCUUGAUGUUUUACAUUUGACAUAUGGAUUUAUAACGGAUAACCUGACAAUGUAAAAGUAAAAAGGUAAACAUUAACAUCUAAGGUCGUGUUAAACUUUUCAAUUGAAAUUUGUUUAGGAAUUUGUGAUUACUAAUUAGAGAGAGCUAGAAAAGGAAACCAAAAAGGCCCCCUUAAUAGGCUCUAGAUAUAACUAAUAUAUUACCCAAGAAAGGGUAACCCGUUACACACGCCGAAUCAAAAAAGAUAUGGCUGGGAGAGGUUGGCACCCAUGGAGCAUAGUAGAGAAGACACCUCCACCACUCGAGGCCAAAAAAUACCGUGAGUUGAAUCAAACGAUAAGUCGGGAUCUAAAACGGCGCCAAACGUUGGAAAUCUCGCUUGGGAUCUAGUCAAUGAGUAAAAACUCAAUUGACUCUUACAUCAUCACAUUGCUAUGUCCAUGUUCAUACUCAAGAGACUACCAAGUUUUGAUUGAUACAAUCAGCAAUGCAUCAGAUGCCACAAACAAAAAGAUUCGAGUCAACAUUUUUAAUUGUAUGCGACCUUCUAAAUGAGGCCUAUUCAGCAUCUAAUUCAGUCUAAUUGAAAAGGAAGACUUAAAAGGUAAUAUGAUUUCUUUUCUAUUUCUUUCGAAUAGCAUUCACUGGACCCGGAAGAUUGUUGGAAAAAAAAUUAAAAAGGAAAAUAAGAAUAAGAAAGAAAAAACAGAAUCAAAAUGAUUUUCUUUGACAUUCAAAAAUAAUUCAAUCGACUAAAAAAAUAAAACUAUUGACAAUUUAUAAAAUUGAUUUGAUGAAUUAAAUAUUUAGAAUUGAUGGAAUUACCAUUAGAUUUUAAGAAAUUGAACUAUGUCAUUAUGUAGUGUGAGUGCAUAAUAUACUAAUAUUGCCAUUUAACUGAAUUAAAUAAUCUAUUCUCAUUUGAUCAUGGCAAAGGAGUAAGUCAAAGUCGGCCUCAGAACUUUCAUGACUAUGACUUUGUUUCUCAAACAAUAAAAAUAUAUUGAUUUUUCUCUGAUAACCGAAUAACCUUAAAAGUAAUAACAACACAGUUUGAUGUACACCUUACAGCACUCCUAUAUAGCAUUAUAAGAAAAUUUCUUCUAUUUAUUUUCAAAUUAUUGAGAGACGCCUAGAUGCAUUACCUUUGCAUGUGUCUAAAGAUUUAUAGACUUAUAAAUUGAUACAAUGCUGGCAUAAAAGAUAAACAUUUUUUAAUGCCACUUGUUUUUCAAAUGACAAUUUAAUAGUGGGUUUAAUAGGAGAAAGAAAUGUAACGUCGUCAUUCAAAGACUUCUAAAUUGAUACGAUGCUGGCAUAAAAGAUAAAACAAUUUUUUUUUAGUGUCAAUUAUUUUUCAAAUGAAAAUUUAAAUUGUGGGUUUUAUAAGAGAAAGAAAUGUAAAGUCGUCAUUCAAUUUAGUAAUAAAGUAGACAAACAAUUUUUGCUGAGGUGGUGUCUAGGUGGCAGCUACUUUCGUGGAAAAAUCACCAAAAAAGUUUUAUUGCAAUGAUGAGAGGCUAAUUUUAGCGACCUACAUCUUAGGUGGCGUAGUCAGAUUUUUUUAUUAUUCACUUUGAGGUUAUUUUCAUUAAAUUGAUUCUUGAAAUUUAUAUAAAUAGAUAUUAUAUAACUACACUGAAGUGAGGCUUUAGCAGAGCAUGCUUAAAAGUGUUUACGGUACCAUAGUUUUUCUAAUCAAACGGUGCAAUGCACUCAAAUUAUUCAUCCACAUGUAUUUUGUAUGUUUUUCUAAUCAUACAGCAUAAUAUUACUAUGAGUUAGAAACUAUGAUCACAUAUAAAAAUAGGAUAUUUUGAUUAGCACGUAAAAUCUACAUCAUCUGAAUUGAACGGUUCGUCUCACACGCUUGCUACUUUGUCAUCUAUGAUUGAUUAAGAUUGUAUAAAUUGAGAAUUCUGAUACAUAAAAAAUACAUAACCACUGAAAUUAAUUUAUAUGAACGUAUCAAGACAUGGGCUACCACUAGUUAAUCAGCAUUCCAGUGAUUACAUGAGCGAUGUGAUGGUAUGGUCGAAAUUCAAGAAAGGGGUCGAGAAACUCGUUGCAAGUCUUUUUGUGGACAUAAAUAGCAUCAACAGUUCUUUCACUUGUGGCUCCAUGGUGUGGAGCAUCCAAGGAGCUUUUCGUUGAGUAAUAUAAGUUGCCUAACUCUAUCUUGAUCAAAAGUUAUGGUCACUUACAAUCGAGGAGUGCAAAAUUUAAAGCCUAAGUCGAAAAAGCCCUGAUUGGACUCAACCGAGUUAUGUAGUGCCAGCUAAUUUACAAAGGACCGGUGGUUUGGCCUAAAAUUUUCAGCUGUAUUUAAUCUAGUUUGGUAAAGAUAUAUCCUGACACCACCAUCACUUGAAUUAUUAUAGAGGAACGGAAUUUCAAGAGCAACAGUUUUAAAAUGCCUAGAUUAUAAUAAUUUUUACCUUAACCUAAUCCACAACAGCUGGUCAGUAAUCAAAAUCGAUGACAUAAAAGAAUGAAGCGUUCGAGAUAGGGACCGAUUCCUUUGAUUCCAUUGGUGAGUGAUCCAGCUGUUUGUCGUUGUCGGUGUUGCGGCUGCUACAUCUCCUUGCUGUCCUACUCCAUCUAGAGCCAUUCUCUCUCUAUCUAAAAAAUGAUUUUUCCUUUCCCUUCAACUCUGCUGUUUUUUCGACCAAAAAAGAAAAAAAACUCUGCUGUUUUCGUCUUUCUUCUUGGGCCCAAUGCGUCUAACUUUCCAUUGUCUUAUGCACAAGUACGCUGGAGUAGGGUUCCACGGCGAUUCAGGGAACUGCCAUCCGUAGCCUGAGGUUGACAGAAGACGAAGCUUGAAAUCACCACGGGACCGACCACGGCUGAAAGCCAACAGUAUUCGACCGCGUUUAAUUAUCUACAUCUCUUCCCUCUUCUGCUCUUUUUGGGUCCGCGCCACGUCUGUCCUCCUCCUUUUCCAAGUUUUAGAGAGAGAGAGAGAUCGGGCGCUUUUGAAACUCUUAUUAAACUUUCUUUUAUUAAGCCGCGCAGCUAGGAAUUGUAAUGUCGUUUCGACCCUUGAGUUCGAAUUGAUAUUCAGUUACUUCGAGUUUGAACUUUUUUAUUUUUUUCUUUUGCCUUCGACUUUCAAGACUUGACUCUCGUAUUUAUCAGCGAAUGACCCAACAAUGUAAACGUAUUUAGGAAAAUAUUAACAUUUAAGAUCAUGUUAAAACGUUAUGUCUGUAUUUUGAUAAAGCCCAAAAAAAAUAAUAAAAAAAGUCAUCCUAAAUAGGCUCUAAAUAUUUUUGUUGAUAUUACCAAAAAAGAGUAACCUGCUACCCACGUUAUGGCUGGCAGAAGUUGCAGAAGCUUGUUUACAAAGACCACAGUAGAGUAGGCAACUCCAUCACUCAAGGCCACAAAAUGCCGGGAGUCGAAUCAAACGAUGGGUCGGAGUCUAAGGCAGCUCCAAACGUUUAAACUCAGUUGAUUUUACAGCAUCGCGUUGCUAUGUCCACGUUCACACUCAGAGACUUCCCAAGUUAUGACUUUUGAUUGAUACUGUCGGCCAUGCAUCAAAUGCAACCCCCGAUGAGAUUCAAGACAACAUUGUUCAAUUAUGCAGAACCUUCUUAUGAAAACUUUUUAAUUGAGCUUAAAAAGUUUCUUAUAGUCGUUUAAGAAAGAGUCUCGUUGAUUGUGAGAUGAUUGUUUGAUGAUUGAGGUACUUAUGGAAACAACCAUAUGAGGAUUUGGAAAAUUUUAGGAAGAUUGUGCAGAAACGUUCGAAUAAGCAAUCUAUAUAAGGUUGUUUUAUUAAACCGGAGGAAUUUUGAGAUCACAGGAGAACAUUUACGACCUCCGAGAAUCAUUUUGUGCUUAUUUCAUUACUCUAGCGUUAGAACUCGUGAUUGUAUUGAGACUUACUCUGCAAUUUUAUCUUAAGGGAGAAUAUUUCUCUUGUGAAUACAAACAAGAGUGUGCAUUUCGGUUUUUAGUGUUGCAGUAUCUACCGUUGCGGUAGCAGAAAGCUUUUGUAACUUGCGAUCUACUUGAAUUGAUACUGCAAUGCCAAAAUGAAGCCUUGGAUGGCUUUUGUAAGUCGGAAUCUGGUCUCUUUCUCUCUCUCACCGAACACUUCAUUCUUUUAUGUCAAUGGUUUUGAUGAUCAAUCAUCUGUAUGAUAUAAGUUGAGGAAGAAAACAUCUUGAUUUAGGCAUUUGAAAAUCGUCGAUCUUGAAAUCUCUUUUCUCUACGAUAAUUUGAGUGAUAGUAGUAGGAUUGUACAUUGACUAGGGCAAUCUACGGUCAAAUUACUUCUUGUCCUAGCGAAAACAAAUUGAGCCCGUAAUUCUUAGGUCGCUAGAAUAAAUCUAGCCAAGAAGGUUGAAUUUAAGCACUUUAAUUGACUUAUUUCCAUCAUAUCCAGGCUCAAGAAAAUCUUUCUGAUCGGAGCAUGUUAGACCGAGCUUCCGACCAUCAAGAUUCUUUUAACUGCCUGAGUGACAGUGGAUGCUUCUGAAUCCAAUGAUGUUCGAUUUCAUGGAUAAAAAAAACUAGGCAAUUGAUUUCUUCACCACUUAAAACUCUAUAUGAUGGAAACGACGAGAGACUUGAUCAGAGACUCCAAUUAUUUUGAGGACGUCGUCGCUGGGUGAUUGAUUCAUAGGUAGCCUUCUUAGGUUCUGUAGCCUUUUGACCGUGAUAACUCAUUUGACAUUAUUGUUAGCUAAUAGAAUUUGUUUCUCCUUUCGUGAUUUCCCAAAAAGAAAUCCUGGCCCUUCGAAGGCUGUAAUUAAUGGUUUGACUUCAAUUGCGAGUGCGGCCACAUCCACCGCAUGUUCUUGGGUAUCACACGGAAUUUCUUCUUCCGGAAAAGAAGAUGGCUUAAUCUGUUCCUGUUUGCAAUCACGAGUUGGUAAAGUAAUCAUGGCGUUGUGCCAUGAUUAGGCAUGUCGUUGUGGAGGAACUAGCGACGCUUAGGGCCACCGUGUAUACCUGCUCCAGAAAUGAAGCCGAAAUUAAUGAAUGCUUGAAAGAUUGGAAGAGCAAGGGUGUUCAGUUCGCAGGAUCGGCUUGCAACAAGUGUAUCCUUGUAAGUCUAAGUUGUCUUUGAUCGAGUGGAUCCAAUAACAAUAUUUAUAAUAAGGUUGCACCUUGUGCCUGUCUUUUAAUGAUUUUUGUUUUUGGUUUUCAUUUGUGGCAGAUAAAUGACAUUAGGACCAACACUUUGAAGUCGACCAUGGAUUACACAACAGAAAAUUUUCCCUUCCUCUUGACAACUAAUUUCGAACUGGCUUACCAUCUAAGCCAGCUCGGACAUCCCCUUCUCAAGGCCUCAGGAGCUGGAAGUAUUGUGUUAUUGUCAUCCAUUUGCGGCGUUGUUUCAAUGAACAUCGGAUCAAUCAACUCAGCCACCAAAUGUACAUUAACAUUAUCGUAAAUAACUAUCUAAACACUGUUAUAUGGAGCUAAACAAAUUGCGGCUGUUUUCUGUUUUUGUAUUCAAAUUGAUUGGUAGGAGCAAUGAACCGGUUGACCAAGAAUUUGGCAUGUGAAUGGGCUAAGGAAAACAUAAGAAGCAACUAUUUUGCACUACGAACCGAGCCAGUAAUUUGAUCUCACAAGGCUUUAAAUUUUCUCUCCUGCUCAAGAAUGUUUCAUUACAUAGAUCUUGAUCAUGUUUGUCCAUUUUGCUUUUGAUGUUUAAUUCAUCGGUCGUUGCAGCUAUUUAAUAACGAGAAGUUCCACAAGGAGGUGAUAGCAAGGACACCGAUCGGUCGCGCCGGAGAACCGAUGAAAGUGCCGUCAUUGGUGGGAUUCUUGUCCAUGCCGGUAGCCUCUUACAUAUGAUAUAGCUAGUAUAAACACCUAGAGGGGGGGUGAAUAGGCGCACAAUAUAAUUUUUCGAUAUACGGAAGCAACAGAUUGAAAUACGAUCGAUGUAGAGAGAGUAAGGAAGAGAAAAUCAAACACAGGAUUUAUAGUGGUUCGGCUUAUUCCAAGCCUACGUCCACUCUUCCACACUGACAGCCCACCGGCUGGAUUUUACUAUGAUCAAAAGAGAAGUUACAGCACAGCUUUGCCUUGAUUCCACAGUGUAGAUGUUCUAUCACACCUCCUCAAGGUCUCUCACAAAUAUAGACUCUCUUUUGUAUACAAGUAUUCGCUCAAGAGAUUUAUCUAAACAAAUAGGAGCUUCAGACUUUGGAAUUUUUCUAUUGCACACCCUUUAAACAACUAAGAACAUCUUCCUUAUAUACUCCUUUAUGCCAUCAUACCCGUUGGCACUUUCCAAAGGAAUUCCUCCAAUCUACCCGUUGGACGGAAUCAAUUAGGAAGAUCGUUCGAGCUAUCAAAGGAACGUGCAAUCCUGUUCGUCCAUACAAUCAGGAUCUCGGUUUUCAUAAGUAGAACCUUCCAAUAAUAUUUAGACAAUCAUCGAAUCUUCAGUCAUUGAAUCAAUCUUGAUCAAUCAAAGGAUUCUGAUACGUCUUCUCCAGCCACGAGAUCUUCUCCAAAUGACAAGGUUAAAUCCUGAACAAAACAUCCAGUUCGGGAUAACCUUUCUUCAACGGAUCAGUGACUGUCAAUGAGGAUAGACUUUGAGUCUUGAGUCUGGCUGUCCGGAAGUCUUCAGACUUUAACCAACAGAGUCUGCUGACCUUCAGACUAGACUGACGGAAACAUUUUGUCAACUUCAAAACUCUUCACGAGGAUUUCUCCAACAAUCUCCCCCUUUUUGAUGGUGACAAAACCUUCCUGCAGAUUUGGAUAACUUUGACCUGCAAAACAUUUCUCAAACACAUAUGCAUAUCUUAUGGAAAUAAAUGGCUAAUAGAAUAACCCUUGAAUCUGCAACCACAGAAAAUAGGUUAGUCCAAUAUAUGAUUUAAGCCAUUCAUAAGAUAUCAAUAUUGAUAAAUAGAAGCAGUCAAAUCCAAGUCUAGGCAGUUCUUAUCCAGACACAAAACAAAGUCAAAGUCUGUCAAAAAACAAACAGACAGUUAAACACAAUCCAACAAACAGUUAAAAAGAUUGAAAGUUUUCAAAUCAUGCAUCUCUCCCCCUUUUUGUCAUCAUUUAAAAAGGAUGAGAUGAAAUCAAGAUUGCUUGGGAACGCGGACAAGCUGGAAAUCUUCCAUAGACUGAACAAUGCCUUCCAGCCUCUUAAAGUCUUCCUUCAGCUAUACAACCUCUUCACUCUUGGCAUUGGCUUGAUUCUGAAUAGAGAGGGCUUGCAUCUUUUCAUUUAAUGAACAGGAAGAAGCUUGACCUUCAUUCUUUAAGCUUUGAACUUCGCAUCCCAAAGCAUAAAUCUGACCUUUCAUCUCCAAGAGAAUAUCCAUGAUUCUGCGAAAAUCUGCUCCAUUAUCAGUCUGAGUACUUGCUUCUGCUCGUUCUGAUGGAGUAAAAGCAGACGAUGGUGGAUCAGCAUAAUCUCGCAGGUUGGGCGAUGAAGCUUCAUGACCUUCCUCUGGAAAUUGAGAUGCAUACACAUCUUCUGGGUCUGCAGGCGAGCGACUAACUCCUUCACUUUCAUCUGGAAAUGAAGAUGUCACUCCUUUCUCCUGAACUCCCCCUGUUUUCAUGCCUACAGGUGGAGAAGAGAUUUCCUCAGGUUCUCCUUCUCUUCUUUCUUCUUCAGGUCUUUCUUGCUCUGCCUUCUCCUUUGCUUCUCUUUCUUCUUCUUCCUUCUCCUCUGCUUCUCUUUCUUCUCCUUCCUUCUCCUCUGCUUCUUUCAAUCUUUGUUCCGAUUCUUUCUGUGGAACAGGAUGACUUAAGUUCCUCAAAGCCAUUGCAGAGAUGGUGAUGUCAUCGUCAUCAUCUUCAUCCUCAACGAGGAGAGCUCUUCUUUUCUUUGAUGGAGCAGCCAUGGGCUCCUUCCCUUUUCUCUUAGCAGAAGAAGAGAAUUGAUGAGAUUUGGUAGGAGUCUUCUCCUUGAAUUUCUCCAAUUCCUUGCUCAGUUCCUUCAGACGCAUUUUGGUUACCAUUUUCAGUCCUACCACCAUAUGAUCGCAUGAUCGAACACAAAAGAUUUGCGGAGGCUGAAUAUUCAGAUGUCUGAAUAACUUUGUAACAAGGCUUGGGUAAGGGAGUUGACCUCUGUCCUUCAUCACUGCUCUAUACAUAUGAAACAUAACAGUAUGAGGGAGAGAAAACUUCUUACCACAGAGGAUGGCAUACAUCAACUUUGCCUCAGAACUUGACACAUCAGUUUUGGAAGUUGAUUUCGGCCGAAGGCAAUUGAUCACGAUUUUGUGAAGCAAGAUGUUGAAUGCAUUCAUCCGUGAAUAAGUGAUCUUCUCAUCUGUUCUCCUGUCCUUCACCAGUUCAAGUGUAGCCCCAGCAAUGGAAACUUUAAUCGGAUGAUAUCUGCCUCUCUCAACUUCUAGCACAUCUGCCAGCAUAUUCAUAUCCACAACAUAGUCUUGUUCUUUAACACUGAAGGAGAAUCUAUUCGCAUCCAAAAAGCUAAGAUUUGAAUAGAAAUAUGCAGUCAAUUCAGUAUACGCCUCAGUAGAGUCAGAACAAAACUUUUCAAGUUGAAGAUAACUGAACUUUUCCCUCAAGUUCACUUUCACAGCAUCCAGAAAAUCAAAGUCCACACUCCUAGGGUUUAUUACCCCACGCUUCAGCAAUUUCGAGUACAGAUCCUUUUGUUCCUUUGAUCUGAACAAAUCUCCCCUUUUUCCUUGAGUUUCAGCCGCAAUACCCAUUUUCGGUUGAAAUAGACUGAACAGAUUGUCAUCAUCAUUCCCAUCUACAGGAUUUGGCCCCCAGUCACGAGGAUCACUUGGGAUAUUCGCAAGGGUUUCCUCAGCCACCCCUUUACGAGCGAUUCCCAAACUUUCCAUUCUUUUCAGAAAGAUAUAUUCGUUCCUAUAUCCUUUUUCUCUAACAAAAUCAUCAACAUAGUUCAAAGGAGUAUGAAUUCCUUUUAAAGCACGAUAUAGCUUGUAAAUAAAAGCGGGCUUUUGAACUCUUACGGGGUCUGCCUCCUCGAUGAUUUCUUCCUGAUGCUGAUCAACAACGCCUUGAGGACUAGAAGGUGGAGAAUGACGCUGCUGAGAAUGUUGUGGGCUCGGUUGCUGAUCUGGAGAAACUUCAUCUUCAGUAAGAUCGAAGUGUGUAGGCCCCUUACUCAUUCUCUGUGGUCCCCUGCUUGCGAUUCUUGACGACUUUCGUGAAGAAGACAUCUUUAACAGUGAUUGGUAGUUUCCUAGCUUGACUUUCCCAGAAAAGAUGAUAACUUUUUGAAGAUUUAGCGAAGAAGACAAACGGGAAUGGAGGAUCGAUGCUUUCUAUGGUUUUUGAGAGAGAGUAGAAAAGUGAAGAGAAAUCGACAGUGCUUGUUCGGUUAAAAAGAAGAGUAAACAAACCGUCACAAAGGAAAUAAAAAUAUGCAUUUUCAAAAUAACUGUCUUUAUCCGCAAAAAUAGUUAUUUCAAAAAUAACUUCCCUUUUGAAAAUGAAUCGAUGCAAUAUUUAUGUUAAUUAAAUAUAGCAACAAUUUAAACACAGUCUGAUGAUCGUACCUUUUCAAGAUAAGAUUGGAGAGAGAAAGACUUACAGUCUGAAGGUCUAGCCAAGACUGUUUAUAAAGUCUUGUAAGCCUGAGUCUGAAAGUCUUUAGAUUUUGAUAACCUCAUACCUCAAAAUAUUGAGUCUGGUCCGUAUAGACUCAAAUUGAUUUUUCUCCAAAGGCUUUGUGAAUAUAUCCGCCAGUUGAUUAUUUGAGUCAACAAAUUGAAUUGUAACAUCUCCAUUCUGAACAUGGUCUCUUAUAAAGUGAUGUCGAAUCUCUAUAUGCUUUGCUCUUGAGUGGAGAAUUGGAUUUUUGGUGAGGUUGAUAGCGCUGGUGUUGUCGCAAUUAAUCUCCGUGCAUGAGUCUUCAAUUUCAAAGUCUCUUAGCUGUUGUUUUAUCCAUAGAAUUUGCGAACAGCAGCUUCCAAGAGCUACAUACUCUGCUUCUGUUGUUGAAAGAGACACAGUGCUUUGUUUCCUUGAAAACCAAGACACUGUCCUGCUUCCAAGCAACUGGCAAGUUCCUGAAGUGCUCUUUCUAUCAACUCUGCAACCGGCCAGAUCUGCGUCUGAAUAUCCCAGAAGAUUAAAGUCUCCCUUCUUAGGAUACCAAAGACCGAUGCUUGAUGAUGAAGCGACGUAUUUAAUGAUGCGUUUCACAGCACUGAGAUGAGAUUCUCUAGGAUCUGAUUGAAACCAAGCCCGAGGUGCUUGCUUUAAACCAUACAAAGCCUUUUUCAGUCUGAAGACUGAGUCUGGCUUCUUUGAGUCUUCAAACCCUGGCGGUUGUUCCACAUAAACUUCCUCAUGGAUAAAUCCAUUUAGGAAGGCGCUUUUGACGUCCAUUUGGAAUAACCUAAAAUUCUUAAAACAAGCAAACGCAAGUAAUAGACGAAUAGCUUCUAACCUUGCCACUGGAGCGUAAGUCUCAUCAUAGUCUAUUCCUUCUUCUUGCGUAUAUCCCUUGGCCACAAGUCUUGCUUUAUUUCGUACGACUUUCCCUUUCUCGUUCAUCUUGUUUCUGAACACCCAUUUGGCUCCAAUAACAGUUUUUCCUUUUGGUUUGGAUGUUAAUUCCCAAACAUCAUUUAUGCUGAACUGUCUGAGCUCUUCUUGCAUAGCUUCAAUCCAGCUUUCAUUAGAUAAAGCUUCUUCUAUGCUCUUUGGUUCAAUUUCAGAAACGAGUGUCACAGCACUAGACUCUUCUCGCCUUUUGGAUCUGGUGCGAAUUCCUUCAUUAAUUUCGCCGAUUAUAAGAUCUUUAGGAUGACUAGACUUAUGCUUCCAGUUACUCGUUGAUUUGUCUGGUUGAUGAUCUCUUUCUUUAUUUGGAUCUUCACGAACAUCUUGAAGCUGGUUUUCCAGAGUCUAAGAUGCUUCUUGAGUUGUAGACUUUGAAGGGUCUGUAGCAGGUUCAGACUCUUCUUGAUGAGUCUGACUUGAUUCAUCUUGCGUUGAGUCUUGAAAUUUGACAUUCAUUGACUCCUCCACAGUCUGGCUCUUCUUGUUAUAGACUCUGUAGGCUUUGCUUGAAGUAGAAUAUCCAAGGAAGAUACCUUCAUCUGAUCUUUCUUCAAACUUACCAACUCGAUCUUUUGCAUUUUUCAAUAUGAAACAUUUGCACCCAAAUACAUGAAAGUAUGAAACAAUAGGCUUCUUUUCUUUGAAUAAUUCAUAAGGGGUUUUCUGAAGAAUAAAUCUUAAGAAAACUCUAUUGAUGAUAUAGCAAGCUGUUGAAACAGCUUCUGCCCAAAAUCGAGAAGAAAUUCUACUUUCAAUUAAAAGAGUUCUAGCCAUUUCUUGAAGAGAUCUGUUCUUUCUUUCCACAACUCCAUUUUGCUGAGGAGUAUACGGAGAGGAAAACAUAUGCUUACAGCCAGAUUCAUCACAGAAUUUUGUAAAAUCUUGAUUUUCAAAUUCACCUCCAUGAUCUGUUCUUAUACUAGAGAUAACACAACCUUUUUCAUUUUGAACCUUUUUAGCAAAAUUUUCAAAAUACGAAAAGGUUUCGGACUUACUUGAAAGGAAAUAUACCCAAGUAAAAUGGGAGUAAUCAUCAACAAUUACUAGACAAUACUUCUUACCCCCAAUACUCAGAGUUCUGGUUGGUCCGAAGAGAUCCAUAUGCAGCAACUGUAGAACAUGAUUAGUAGAGACAUGAUUUAUUGGCUUAAAAGAAUUUUUUACCUGCUUUCCCAGAAUACAUGGAGUGCAUGAAUCAGUCUUUUGGUAUGGCAAUCUGGGUAAUCCUCGAACAAGCUGUUUUGAAGAAAUUUUGGCUAAUUGCUUCAUGUUGACAUGACCAAGCUUUUUGUGCCAUAAGCUUGCUUCGUCUUGAAUUGAGAUAAGACAUUGCGAUUCAUUUGGUUUCACAUCCAGAAGAUAGAUGUUUCCAUGUCUUCGACCCAGAAAAGAUUGAGUAGAGUCUUUACUUAUUCCGGAACAUGUUCCUUCUUGAAAGGAGAUCUUGAAACCAGUAUCACACAAUUGACUAAUGCUGAGAAGAUUGUAAUUGAGUCUUUCCACUAAGGAAACAUUACUUAUUGUGAGAGUUCCAAUUUUCACGGUUCCAAAUCCCACAAUACUUCCUUUGCUGUUUCCUCCAAAUGAAACUUUUCCACCAUUUACUUGAGCAAGCUUUAUAAAGCAAUUUGAGUCUCAUGUCAUGUGUCUUGAACAUCCGCUGUCAAGAUACCACUUUACUUGUUUCUUGAUGGAGACCUGCAUUUAACAAAAAGUCUCAAGCUUUCUUUGGUACCCAAAUUUUCUUGGGUCCUUUGGUGUUAGUAAGAUAAACGGUAUUAGCCCAUACUUUCUUAAUAGGUUUCCAUACCAUAGGACACUCUUUUUCAAAGUGAUCCGGACUGUUGCACUUAGAACAUCUGAGAGCAUUUCUACCUACAGGUUUUACAAAGACUUUCUUGAAGUGAUUUUUGUAAACCUCACUUGAAAGCCUUUUCUUAAUUCUUUCUUUUACUUUAGGAAAAUUAAUCAAGGGAAUUGUUUCUUCUGUCAUACCCAGACCAGACUUAUUGAAGUAAGGUCUUUGUGCUGAAAGAAUUUUCUCAAGUUUUUCAGAUCCCAUAGAAAAUUUCUUUGAUAUAUUAGAUAAGUCCGUUUUUAAGAAAGCAUUUUCUUUUAAAAGAUUUUCUUCACUUUCUUUAAGAUUGGAAACAGACAAGUCUAGACUUUUAACUUUUUCUGCUAAAACCUUUUCCUUUUGUUUUAGGGCUGAGUUUUCCCUUUUUAGUUUGGAAAUACUUUUGAGAGAAGUCUUAAGACUAACGCAUAGUUCCUCAAUAUAUUUAGAAACUUUGACAGGAAUUUUAAAAUUACUUGCCUCAAAUUCACUGUCUGAGUCUGAUCCUGAGUCUGAUCCAGAGUCUGAGUCUGAUUGUGCCAUCAGACAUAGAUUGGCAUAUUCAUUAUCACUUUCUUCACACUCAGUAUCACUCCAGGUUUCAGCUUUGAGAGCUUUUCGAAAUUUUUCAGCUUUUCCUUUUUUUUUCUUCAAAAGAGGACAGUUGGGUCUGAUGUGUCCCUUUUUCUUGCAUUCAAAGCAGACUACAUCUUUGUUUGGUUCCUCAUCAUCAACAGACUUGGUCUGCUGUCUUUGAAAGCCUUGUUUCUUUGAGUUGAACCUUCUUCCUUUUCUGUUUAGUUUUCUGAAUCUUCUUAUCAUGAGAGCAAGCUCCUCAUCGUCCAUAUCUUCUUCAGAAUCUGUAACAUCAGAAUCAUCAUUUGAUUUUAAUGCAAUGGAUUUCUUACCUCUUGGAUCUUCAUCUUCAUUGAUCAUUUCCACUUCAUAGGACUGAAGAGUUCCAAUCAGCUCAUCGACAGAUAGUGGCAUAAUUCUCUGCGUCUCUCUUAUCGAAGUCUUUAUGUGAUUCCAAUCCUUGGAGAGUCCACGCAGUAGCUUGUUUACCUUCAUGAGAUCAGAAGUUGGUUGACCUUGAUUUUCAAGACCAUUUACAAUAUCUGUAAAACGACUAAACAUGUCAGAUAUUGAUUCUCCUGGCUUCAUUCUGAAGGCUUCAUAUUGACCGAGAAGAAUGUUGAUUCUUGUUUCCUUCACUCGAUCUGUUCCUUCAUAGGUGAUAUGCAAUCUGUCCCAAACUUCUUUUGCUGUACCACAAGAAGAUAUUCUAUUAUAUUCAGUUGGUGAUAAAGCACAAUAUAAGGAAUAAAUUGCUUUUGCAUCGAGUGUCUGUCUCUUGGUUAUUUCUUCCUGAGACAUUCUGCUGGAUUCUUCAGUUUCUUUUCCUCUUUCAGAGACUGAUGCAGUGGUAGGAGUAAUUCCUUUUUCUACAACGUCCCAUUCCAGAGGAUCCUUUGAUCGUAGGAAAGCUUUCAUCUUGUUCUUCCAGAUGUUGUAAUCCUUUCCAUCAAAGUAAGGUGGUCUGGUAUUGCUUUGCCCUUCCAUCAGCCCUAGUGCUAGCAUACUAGCCAUGGAUAUUUUACUAUGAAGUAAUACACUUCAAAUAAAGUAAGUACACAGGCUCUGAUACCAAUUGAUAUAGCUAGUAUAAACACCUAGAGGGGGGUGAAUAGGCGCAUAAUAUAAUUUUUCGAUAUACGGAAGCAACAGAUUGAAAUACGAUCGAUGUAGAGAGAGUAAGGAAGAGAAAAUCAAACACAGGAUUUAUAGUGGUUCGGCUUAUUCCAAGCCUACGUCCACUCUUCCACACUGACAGCCCACCGGCUGGAUUUUACUAUGAUCAAAAGAGAAGUUACAGCACAGCUUUGCCUUGAUUCCACAGUGUAGAUGUUCUAUCACACCUCCUCAAGGUCUCUCACAAAUAUAGACUCUCUUUUGUAUACAAGUAUUCGCUCAAGAGAUUUAUCUAAACAAAUAGGAGCUUCAGACUUUGGAAUUUUUCUAUCGCACACCCUUUAAACAACUAAGAACGUCUUCCUUAUAUACUCCUUUAUGCCAUCAUACCCGUUGGCACUUUCCAAAGGAAUUCCUCCAAUCUACCCGUUGGACGGAAUCAAUUAGGAAGAUCGUUCGAGCUAUCAAAGGAACGUGUUGAUAGCCCAUCAAUCCUGCUCGCCCAUACAAUCAGGAUCUCGGUUUCCAUAAGUAGAACCUUCCAAUAAUAUUUAGACAAUCAUCGAAUCUUCAGUCAUUGAAUCAAUCUUGAUCAAUCAAAGGAUUCUGAUACGUCUUCUCCAGCCACGAGAUCUUCUCCAGAUGACAAGGUUAAAUCCUGAACAAAACAUCCAGUUCGGGAUAACCUUUCUUCAACGGAUCAGUGACUGUCAAUGAGGAUAGACUUUGAGUCUUGAGUCUGGCUGUCCGGAAGUCUUCAGACUUUAACCAACAGAGUCUGCUGACCUUCAGACUAGACUGACGGAAACAUUUUGUCAACUUCAAAACUCUUCACGAGGAUUUCUCUAACAACAUAAUGGGGCAAACCAUUUGUGUUGAUGAGGAUUCGCCGUGAAUGGUUUCUUAUUUCCUAUGUAACGUGAGUCCAACUUUCUUCUUCCCAUAAGAAGUUCAGCGUUCUUUGUCAUCGCACGGACAAAGAACCUAUAAUGGCGAAACCUCUGAACAUUGAUGUAUCCAUUUCUGGACCAUAUAUGUAUAUAUAUAUAUAUGGAGGAAAGUAGCUUCAGUGUUAUUCUUAUGUUCACCUAGUCCCUCUUUCUAUUCUUACUUUCUAUUCCCACUUACAAGCUCUUAAAUUUAUUUAGCGAAAUCGACAAAGUAUGUUUUAUAGCAAUCGCAUCAAUAUCAAAUCAUGCUAUGCUAACUUCACGUCUUUUAAGCCUUUUAUAUACUUCUCAAUGUAUCAAAUGAAAAGCCAUGAUUUUUUUUUUUCCAAAUAUGAGCUAGCUUCAUCUGACAUGUAAUGGAUCAAUUUAAAUAAAAGUUUCUUGAACUUUUUAAUUAUGUCCUGGUUACCACGAUAUUUUUUAUCACAAGAUUAAACAAAAAAAUUUGCUUCAUGUAUAUCCACUCAUCUCGUGAAUAUGGACAAGAUAUAUGUUUAAAUGAUAAAUUAUUGCAAAAUCUCAAAACAUUCUCCACAAAAACAAUGAAAAUGUGGGUACAUUACAUGUUUUUUGUUUUCUCAUUUUCAAAUGCUUUUUGAAAGAUGGUUCAUAGUACAACUUUUAAUCUUACAAAAGCUUUGGCUGAGAUAAUUGUAUACAGUACCAUUAUUAUCGUGCCAUAGGCACAAGUUUAUCACUAGUUAACAGAUAUAAAAUUAGUUUGAUUGGCAAAUUUUUACGGCCUCUUUAUACCGGUUACACAAAGUUUUGCCGCUAGUUAACAUAUAUAAAAUUGGUUUGUGAAAAUCUCAAGUGUCUUAUUUUUAUGAGCAAUGUUUUCGUUUCAAAUCAUAUGGAUUUUAGGUCAAGUGCAGAUCAAAGAGAGCACAUAUCUCUUAUAGUUCAAGUUGGGUUAGGUAAUGAGGAAAUCCGAUUAGGUCCAUUAACACUUUUAGUUGGUAUGAGUUAGAAAGAGUCCGUGUUAAGUUUUUGGAAAUAAUGCUUCAGCUUUUCUUUUGAUGGUUUAUCUUUGGAAAAGUCACGGCACUAUCAUAUUACUCACGUUGCACUACGGCCACGAUCGUUGGCAUUAUAUGACAUAUGUAUGAAUAAUAACUAUUAUUUCUAUUGCGAUAGGACAAGCGAUCGAACAAAAUAUAGACAAAAGAAGAAAAUCUAUUGGACACCAGAUUUACGUGGUUCAGUCGUAAAGACCUACGUCCAUGGGGAGAGCAGCAGCGAAUUUCACUAUAAAUCAAGCGAUACAAGGAGAUUACACACUCACGUCACUCAAACACUCUCUCGGUGUUUCCCAAACCCCAAUUACACCCAAAAACACACACACAGUAUUUAGCCUCGAAAUUCCUCAAUAAAUAAUCUCUCAAUCUCACGAAGGAAUUAUACGCAAAUCUUACCACAAGAUUUAAUUGGCUUCAACACUAAACCUUCUUGGAUGUAAUUCACAACAAAGAAAAUCCCUCCCAAGCACUCGACAACGAGGCGGUGCUUCAAGACCAAUUUUUCACGAUCGACGGCGGAACACCAAGCACUCAUGUGGCGCUUCAAGACAAUUUGUAAUCCACCUCUAUCACCCACGGUCUCAAGUCUAUAUAUAAGUAAAACCUUUAUUCUUUUGCCAACUUCUCAUAGGAUUUUGUUUCCUAUCCAAAACAUAUCUUUGUAUAUUUUAAACAAAAUCCAAGUCCUAGUCAAAGUUGGACUUUCCUAUUUUAGUAGCCAGACUCUCCAAUGCAGAUUCAAAUUUGGGAAGUUGAUCUUCAGAUCUUCUUUGCUCGAUUUCGAACAUUCGCAACAUAUCCAAUUAGAAAUAUUCAUAAUUUUGCAUUGGGCUUAAACUCGAGAUAUAUUUUAACAAUCUCCACCUUGGCUUGACGUUUGAGCUAAGUCGCAAUCGCUUCACAAAAAAUUCAAACUUUGCUGCUAUUUUCCCAUAGCCCCCGAUGGGCUCAACCGCCACAGAUAUUGUCCAAGUCCAAGCCUCGCUUGAACUUCGCUAUGACUGAGGACCUCAUCUAAAUACCAACUCCACAUGCACCUUUAAUUGCUCCGAAAGGAUUUUCCGCCAUAACCUCCUUAACCGCAGAUAAAACAAAACCAUUGUUACAUCCAUUUCUGUCAGGAGAUCGAAUACGUACCUUAUUAAUUUCAGCAGUUACAGCAACCAUUGGCUCUAUAGGCUCCACCUCGCUAUGAGCACCAUCUAUGUUGAUUACUUUGCUAGUACUCGUACUCGCUACCUCAGGAGUUUCUGGUUGCAACUCCACCUCAAGCUGAACACCGUUCAGAUCCAUUUGAACACUGCUAUAAUCACUCAUAGCUAAAAGUACUGGAGACUCGUCAAAAGUAACUUCUUUGCUGUUAAUAGGUGAAUUUAUAUCUAGGCACCACAACCAAUCGCCUCGCUCACCUUGUGUAUAGCCAUGGAAUAUGCACCUUGCCCUCCCAUCGAGCUUACCAUCACUCACUCGAAAAUAAUACGGGCAACGUAACAUUCUAAUGAUAGAAUAACCAGCAACGUUACCUGAUCACACUUCUUCAGGAGUCCGCCAUUCAAUAGCAGUUGAUGGGGAUCUAUUCACCAGGCAGCUUAUCGUACUAAGCACAUCAGCUAGGAUUCUCCUAGCAAUACCAGUACUAGAUAUUAUUUUACAGGCCAUCUCUAGUAAUAUUCUGCUCAUCAAUUCUGCAAAUUGUUGUGAUUUACUGGCACUAAUGCGGUGUUCCACUAUGCUCUCUUUCAUGCAGAAUUUAUUUGUUAGCUCCGAGCAGAACUCCAUGCUAUUGUCAGUCCGCACAUGCUUGAUCGACUUACCAGUCUCCGUCUUGAUCAAAGCUCUCAACCGUGAGAUCCUGACACCAGCAUCAAACUUGUGCCUUGGCACAAACACCUAGGUCUUCCUCAAGUAGUCAAAAGACUCUCGAACAAAUGCAUCCGACAUCUUUGCAGCGAAAUUUGUCACUGUCUCACCUUGAAGUUUAUACAAGCCAUUAUUCUUGAUUCCUUUCAUUAUCACCAGGGCACCUCGAAUAACCUUCAGAACUCCACCUUUUGAAGAAUACCUGCAACCAGCUGAAUCUAGGGCACCCAAGGAAAUUAAGUUCUUUUUCAAUUCUGGAAAAUGCCUCACUCUAGUCAAUGUCCUCACGAUACCAUCAUGCAUUCUGAUUUUAACAUCACCAACAACCACAACAUCGCACUUAGCGUUGUUCCCUAACUAGACUUUACCACUACCCGUGCACUGAUAAGUGAUAAACCAGUUUCUAUUUGGUGUGACAGAAAAGAACAACCAUAAUCCAUAAUCCAUCCAUCAAACGAUGAAUCAUUAGUGACAGACAAGACAUAAUCGACAUUAUCUGCUACAGCUGCAACAUUAUCUGCAGAAUCAACUACAAUUUCCUUACCCUUCUCAUUCUUCAACUUAAGGCAAUCCCUUCUAAGAUGCCCCAUUUUACCAUAGCUCCAACAGACAACAUUAGCAGUCCUAGAUUAACUAUGUCUGUUCAUAUUGGUACUACUUUUACCCGCAUGUGUUAUAGAUAUUCCUCUAUUUUCACCUGUUAAAGCAGCAGAUACAGAUUUGCAAGAUUCUCUUCUACGAAUAUCCUCGCUCAUAAUAAAAUCUCGAACCCCAUCAAACGUUAAACUUGUUGACCCAGAAGAAUUACUAACAGCAGUAACAGUAGUAUUUCAACUAUUAGGUAAUGAGGAUAACAGAAUCAAAGUACGUACCUCAUCUUCAAAAUCAAUCUCAACUGAACUCAAUUGACUAACAAUCACAUUAAAUUCAUUGAUAUGAUCUGCAACUGACGCACCUUCACUCAUCUUCAAAUUAAACAGAUGUCGCAUCAAACAGACCUUGUUGAUCACAGAGGGCUUCUCAUACAUAUCCGGCAGGGCUUGCAUCAAAUCAGCAGUGGUCUUCUCCUUCAAGAUGUUAAACGUGAUGUUAGAAGCCAACAUUAGCCGAAUAACACCCAUAGCUCGUCUAUCCAACAAAUCCCAAUCAGCUUGCUUCAUCGUCUCUGGUUUCUCCCCAGACAAGGGCAAGUGCAGUUUCAUCUGAUAAAUAUAAUCUUCAAUCUGCAUCUUCCAGAAACUAAAAUCCUUCCCAUCAAAUCUGUCGAUUCUCACUUUUACUUCUUCUGUCGCCAUCGAUUCACUUCAACUUAGCCAAACCUGGCUUUGAUACCACUUGUUGCGAUAGGGCGAGCAAUCGAACAAAAUAUAGACAUAAGAAGAAAAUCUAUCAGACACCAGAUUUACGUGGUUCAGUCGUAAAGACCUACGUCCACGGGGAGAGCAACAACGAAUUUCACUAUAGAUCAAGCGAUACAAGAAGAUUACACACUCAAGUCACUCAAACACUCUCUCGGUGUUUCCCAAAUCCCAAUUACACCCAAAAACGCACACACAGUGUUUAGCCCCGGAAUUCCUCAAGAAAUAAUCUCUCAAUCUCACGAAGGAAUUACACGCAAAUCUUAUCACAAGAUUUAAUGGGCUUCAACACUAAACCUUCUCGGAUGUAAUUCACGACAAAGAAAAUCCCUCCCAAGCACUCGACAACGAGGCGGUGCUUCAAGACCAAUUCUUCACGAUCAACGGCAGAACACCAAGCACUCACGCGGCGCUUCAAGACAAUUUGUGAUCCACCUCUAUCACCCACGGCCUCAAGUCUCUAUAUAAGUAAAACCCUUAUUUUUUUGCCAACUUCUCAUAGGAUUUUGUUUCCUAUCCAAAACAUAUCUUUGUAUAUUUUAAACAAAAUCCAAGUCCUAGUCAAAGUUGGACUUUCCUAUUUUAGUAGCCAGACUCUCCAAUGCAGAUUCAAAUUUGGGAAGUUGAUUUUCGGAUCUUCUUUGCUCGAUUUUGAACAUUCGCAACAUAUUCAAUUUGGAAUAUUCGUAAUUUUGUAUUGGGCUUAAACUCGAGACAUAUUUUAAUAAUUUCAAUAAUUACCAGAUCAUUGGAUGUGUAACUUGAAAAACACGAGUUGACAGGGUGCUUUCGGCAAAAGGCAGGCGUGGGGACAUGCGUGCUUCCACGAUUGAAUGCAAAUCCGUCGAGGGGCCCUGAAUCUUGUCAUCACCACUGUUCUCCCACUAGGCAGACUUCAAGGACCUCAUGCAGGGAGCGGCUCCUAGUUUCCACGUGGCGUGAGGACCUCGGUCAGGAAUCCCCUCUGCCAAACGAUUACUCUUGGUCAGGCAUUGGACAGAAGGGCUUAUAUAAUACAGGGGGAAGUCAGGGAGAAAAGCACAAAGAAAGAGUUGGGAGUAAAAAUCAAAUUUUAGAGAAAGAGAGAGAAAGAAUGGCUUCCGAGGGGAAGAGAACUGCAAGUACAUGUCGCACUCGCAACGGCGACAACGACAAUAGGUGGUCGCUUCAGGGAAUGACUGCCCUCGUCACCGGUGGCAGUAAAGGAAUUGGGUCUCUCUCUCUGACUCACUGAACACUUCCUUUUUUUAUGUUGUUCAUUUAGAUGAUCGAUCAACUGUUAUGGUUUAGGUUAAGAGAAAAAAACAUCAUAAUUUAGGCAUUUGAAGACAGUCAAUCCUGUGCCUUUGGCAAUCAAACUAAUUUUAUAUCUGUUAACUAACGACGGACCUGGAAGCAAAUCUCAACCGUCCACGUAAAAUUAGUGAAUUGAUCUUGUAAUGACCCGUGGAUGAAGUUGGGAGGAAGGUAAGGUUGCAUUUGUGUUUUAGAGUAUGUUCUUAAACAUAUAUGACUACUGAUUAGGGUGCUUAAAAUAAAUUAUUUGUUUUUACAAUUUCCAUUUUGUGUGUGUGUGUUUUUAGUUUUGGAAUAUCUAUUAUAGCAAAAUGGGUAUAGUAGCCCAACUUAGGACUAUCCGGCCCGAAAAAUUCAAGUCAGGCAUGUCAGAUAGGGCUUUCAACUAUAGCAGGUGUUUUUGAAUCUGAUUAUAUUCGAUUUCAUAGAUAAAAUGCUAGACAACUAAUUUCAUGAUCACUCAAAACUUUAUAUGUUGAAGAUGAUGAGAAAUCAAUUACUUCGAGGAUUCAUAGCUGGAUAGGCUGGUUUAUGCAUUUUUUAAUUAUUUAAAUUUUUGUUGUCUUUAGAUGUUAAUAGCUCAUAGACAUGUCGCUAGCUAGUAGAAUUUGCAUUCUCCGAUUGUCAUGAUCCAGUGCAUUUAAAGGCUUUAAUCAUCUGUUAAGACUUCAAUUGCCUGUGCAAUCAAAUCUUCCGCACAUUCCAAGGUAUCACAUGUCAACUUCUUCUAUUGGCAAAGAAGAAGGGCUUGAUCUGUUCUCGUUUGCAAUUACAAGUUGGUAAAUGGUCAUAAUGUCGUCCCGUGCUUAGGCGUGCUAUUGUUGAGGAAUUUGCGGGGCUUGGGGCUACCGUCUACACCUGCUCCAGGACUGAAGCUGAACUCAAUGAAUGCUUGAAAGAGUGGAAGCGUAAGGGCUUCCAAGUGGCGGGUUCGGCCUGCGACGUUUCCUCAAGAUCCGAGCGAGAGAAACUGAUGCUCGCCGUGUCCUCCCUCUUCGACAGCAAGCUCAAAAGCCUAGUAAGUCUCGUUCGUCUUUGACCCCGUGGAUCCAAUAACAACAUUGAUAAGGUCACGAUUUGUGCUUUUAUUUGAUAGAUUUUGUUCCGUUUUUCAUUUUCUUGGGAUUGGUUUGCGUGUUAGAUAAACAACGUUGGGACUCUGGGGACAACUGGUGGAAUGCCGACCGUGGAUUACACGGCGGAAGAUUUCUCCUUCAUCAUGACUACUAACUUCGAAUCGGCUUAUCACUUGAGCCAGCUUGCGCAUCCUCUUCUCAAGGCUUUGGGAACCGGAAGCAUCGUGUUCUUGUCAUCCGUCUGCGGUAUUGUUUCACUCGGCGUCGGAUCAAUUUAUUCAGCCACAAAAGGUGAAUUGAUAGUAUCAUGAGCAACUAUUUAAACACUUUUAAUAUGGAGCUAAACAAAUUCCAUAUGUUUCUUACUUUCUCAACUCAUUGUUAGGAGCAAUGAACCAGUUGACCAAGAAUUUGGCGUGCGAAUGGGCUAAGGACAACAUAAGAAGCAACUCUGUUGCACCUUAUUUUAUUCUGACUCCAUUGACCGAGCCUGUAAUUUAAUGUCCCAAGGCUUUAAAUUUUUAUCUUGAUGAUUUUUCCCAUCGUGAUCUAACGUUGACCCAUCCGUCGUCGCAGCUACUUUGUAGUGAGGAGUACCAUAAGGAGGCAAUAGCAAGGGCGUCGCUCGGUCGCACAGGAGAGCCGAAGGAGGUGUCGUCACUUGUGGCCUUCUUGUGCUUGCCGGAAGCCUCCUAUAUAACGGGGCAGACCAUUUGUGUCGAUGGAGGAUUCACUGUCAAUGGCUUCCCCUUUCCUAGAGCAUGAGUGUAACUUUGUUCUGUGUCUGAGAUGUUUGUCGUGCAUUGCCGUCGCAGGGAUAAAGAAGUUUAUUAACCAAUAAUGGCAACAUCGCAAUACGCUUCAAUGUGUACGUCGAUCAUUUGUUGACCGCAUAUAAGGGAGAGUAUCGUACUCCCACUUUGUAUUCCCUUUCGAGCUCUUUUAUGCAAUUGCCUAUGAGUAAAAUUUACGUACUUGAGAAGCAACGAUGGAAACAAUAAACAUGAUAUUACAACAGCAUUAUCCGAGAAUAUAACAUUUUUUGUACACAAGACAAACGAAGUUUGAUUCCCAUAUAUGUUAUAUCUGUUUUCCAUAUACCUAAACGCUAAAUCAUAAAAUCCAAAGUGUAAUUUAUUAUUAAUUCUUAACACGAAAUUGACCAAGUAUGUUUCGUAGAAAUUGUAUUGUCAAAAUCGUCUUUGUAAUGCUAUGUUAAUAAUAUUCGUGAAAGAAUGCCUCCUUUUAUAGCACUGCCUAGGUCAAAGAGAUGUUUUAAUUUGAACAUGAGAACCACAGCAUCAAGUGGUUGGCCAAGGUUGCUUGCUACAUUAUUAAUUAUGAUUGAUCGAGAAGGUAUGAAUCGAGAAACUAGAUGCAUUGGAAAUAUAGAACCACUGAAAUUAACAUAUAUAGCUUUAUAUAACCGUAGCAAGGUAGACGUUAUCACUAGCUUCCUCGUCAUAUGAGUGAGAGGUGUGAUGGUGGGAGUAAAAUUCAAUAACGUAGCCUGAAGACAUGCCGGAAAACUCUUUUUAGUAAUCUAAAAAUAGCAACAAAUGCCUUGACCCUAUAGGCUCACAGUGUUGAGCUAUGUAGGAGCUUUUGGACGGGUAAUACUGACCACAUAACUCUGGGUUGAUCAAAUCUUAUCUCUAGUUAAAGUAGAGGUGCACGAAAUUUCGGGCCUAAGCUAGAAAAGUCUGGAUCAGAGACGGCUAAUUCAUUUUGAUUCGGGCUAGUGCAAUUAAGGACUAGGCGCAACCUACAAUCAUUACGAUCAAUUUGUUUUGGAUGGGCCAAGAAAUACACAAGUGCUUGGCCAAGCACAAUCUUACUAUCUCUGAAAUUAUUAUAAAGGAAUGAUAUAUCAAAAUUGACAAUUUUCAAAUGCCUAAAUCAUGGAGUUAUUUUUCUAAACCUAAACCAUAACAGUUAAUCGAUCAUCUAAAUCAAUGAAAUAAGAAAAAUGAAGUGUUCGGUGAGAGACGGAGAGGGAGAGAGAGAGACCCGAUUCCUUUGGUUACCACCUAUGACCAGAGCGGCCAUUCCUUGAAGCGACCACCUGUUGUCGUUGUUGCCGUUGCGACUGCUGCAUCUACUUGCAGUCCCCUUCCCCUCACGCCGCAUGUGAAUUGCGAACCACUCCCAACGUAAGGUCAUAGGAGUCUGCCGAGGGUGAGAAGUGUGGCAAUGACAAGAUUUAGGACGCCACAACGACUUCGAACCACAGAAUUUGCAUUCUAUCAUGGAAGUAGGCAAGUCCCACACCUAUCUUUUAUCAAAGCACCACGUUACUUGUGUUUUCAUGUUACUUGGGUUGAACAUAUUGAACAAUCUUGCAAUUGUUGCACCGAUAGUUAUUCAUACAUUUGUCAUAUAAUGCCAACCUUCGUGAUCAUCCUGGUGCAAUGUGAGUAACAUGAGAGUGUCGCAACUUUCCCAAAUGUGAAUCACCAAAAAUAAAACUAAUGAAUUACUAAACCCAGAGACUUAGUGCGAACUUUUCCAAUCUCAUACUGAUUGUAUUCUUCGAGUUUUUAAAAUUUAAUUAGCAUAACAUGUAAAUUAGUUUAUUUACGAGUCGCCACUCAUCAAUUAUCAGUAGCUCGAUUACACAUGCCAUAUUUUUCGAGUUUUUUUUAAUUUAAUUAGCAUAACAUGAAAAUUAGGUUAUUCAUGAGUCACCACUCAUCAAUUAUCAGUAGUCGAUUACACACGUAAGCAAAGUAUGGAAGAGUACUUUACUUUUAAGACUAAAAAAUUCAUGGAUAUAGGGACUUGAUAUGACAGAUAAAUCUAACACUCUUUCAGUAGAUUUUUUUUCUUUAUUUUAAAAAUGUUUUGGAUCAAUUUUAAUUUAAGUCACUAAUAUGGAGGUGAUUAUGCGGGUGCGCAAAUAAAAAUUUAACAAUCAAUAAUCAAAGCAAUAAAUAAAUCUUUAGAGAUCGGGCAAAUAUAUGAAUACCUUAAGCUAGCAAAAGCCAAUUAUACUAUAGAUAGGAUGUUUUGCAACAUAUUAACUAUAAAAUGCAUGCAUGUCCAUUUCUACAUGUAAUGACAUCUAACGAGAUGUGGACACUGUGAGUGCUAAGACUUAACACUGGGGGACACUUAAGUGCUAAAAGUCUUAAAAUGUAUACUUAAGUGUCAAAAUCGGAGAAAAAUGAAACACUUAAAUGUCAAUAGUGAGAAAUUCCGAUCAAACUGCUGACAUGACAUUCUUUCGACAAGACGAGUGCAAAAUGAUGUUGUUUUUGGCACUAACGUGGCUAGAUAAGUGCAAAACAACAUCUUAUGGCGUUGAUGCAACUCCAAAAUUGAAUUUUAAUAUAACAUCAAUUAAAAUAAUUAUUUUAAAAAAAGAUAUACAAUAGCAUUUUAUGAGUCGCCCCAUCGUCGCCAAGAGGGGUCGGCGAGGUGGGGCGAGGGUCAAUUGAAGUCAUUGGCCCUUGGGCAGUGGCCAACGACCCUAGCCGAUUGUCCACAAGGGCUUGCAGGCCCUCAUUUAGAUCUGAGGUGAGGGUCACAGCCCUCCCCCAGAUUUGAUGAGGGUUGCUAGCCCUUGCCUAGAGGGGCCAAGGGCCACCAUUGGCCGCAAUAACUCUCAUCCUAGAUUUGGGCAAGGGCUUGCCACUGCUUAGGGGCUGAUGACCCCAGCCAACCCUUGUCCUAUCAUUGCCUGCCCUUUCCAGCAAUGGUGGGUGGUGGCGACAAGGCCUUAACCCAAAACUAACCUAUUCCCCAUUCUUCUUCUUCUUUUUCUUCUUCUUCUUCUUCUUCUUCUUCUUCUUUUAAUUUAAAUAAUUUACUUUUUUAAUUAAUAUUGAAUUAAUAAAUUUAGGGGCAAAACGAUUGUUAAUAAAUUUAAAUAAUGUCGUUUUGCACCUUCAUUGUUGAAUUGGCUUGCGGCGAACCACAUAAAUCACAUAUAUUAUUAAAAAAAUGCCAAGUCAGAUUUUUGGCUACUUUCACCAAACUUGGCAUUGUGUUUCACUAUUAAAAAAAAAGUGGGAUUUAAAUGUACCUUUUGGAAUUUUUAGCACUAAAGUGUUCACUUAGGCCAAGUUUUGGCGUUCUCAAUGUACUUUCUCCAACAUCUAACUAUCAAAAGAAAUAUUGAAAAAGUUUACGUUUGGUGCCUGACAUAUGCCACAUAGGACCGCAGACAUCCACAUCAAUUAUUUCUAGUCUAAAGUGGUUGAAUAAACUGAAGUGGUACCAAAGUAAAAAGGUUUACGACUAAAGUUUAGAAUUGAAUUUGUACCAAUACAAUAGGUUUAUAAUUUUUUUGGUACCAUUCCCAAUUAUCAAGGUCCCCUUGUUAUGUGGCCAUUGUAUUGGACAUGUUAAUUGCCAGCCUAAUCUUGGUUAAGCGGGCAAUGAUAGUGAUAGCCACCCUCCUAAGGGCAACAUGGAUUCCCCGAGGAAUGUUGACAGAUUGCUAAGUGAGUGUGAAUAGCUACUCUCGCAAGGUGAUACCUUUGCCUAACAUGAGCCCUCCCAAAUUUACCGAUCACAACCUAAUUUUUCCAAUAAAUUAUUCAAGCAAUAUUAGACUAAGAAGUUACCACUAACCUAUUAAGUGUCGAGUAGUAACCCAUAUAGGGUGUAGCGGUCAAUCUUACUCCCAAGAACCAAAUUUAAUUAUGCUAUAUGAAUCUAACAUUGUUUUGGUACCCUUCUCUCUAUAAAAUCGUUUUGUCAUAUUAUUGCCUAAAAGUGAUCAUGAAUGGUUCUCAAGCAAUAAAAUAAAGGGAAAAUUUCAAAUAAGGACCUAUAGUGCCAUCAUUUUCUCAAAAGAGGACCUGAAAUAAAGUUUGUGCCUUCAUUUUCUCAAAAGAGGACCUAGAGUGGAGUUUGUCUCAAAUAAUGACCCAAAGUGAUCAUUUAGUCUCAAAGAAUGACCUCAUUUGCUGGCUGGUGAAUAAAUGCAUCUCCGAUGCAUAUUCCGGUAGCCUAAUCAAGAAUAUUUUUGUCAUUUUUUUUUUUAAUUUUUAGUUGUCUUGUUCUUUAUUAUUUUUUUUUUUUGGGUCAAUGGUGACAUUGUUCAUCAUCUUCUUCGUCCCAUGUUCGUCUUCUUCUCAAGAACAUUGGACUUGGGAAGGGCCAGCGAGCGCUGGUCAGCAUCUUCUUCGUCCCUUGUUCGUCUUCUUCUUAAGAACAUCGGACAGGGGACGAAGAAGACGAUGAACAGGGCAACCAAAAAUGAAAAAAAAAAAUGGAUGAAAAUAUCGUAAUCAGGCCACCGGAAUAUACAUUGAAGAUGCAUCUAUUCACCGGCCGGCGAGUGAGGUCCUUCUUUGAGAUUAAAUGACUACUUUGGGUCAUUCUUUGAGACAAACGUCACUUCGAUCCUAUUUUGAGAAAAUGAUGGCACUUUGGGUCCUUAUUUGAGACAAACUUCAUUUCAGGUCCUAUUUUGAGAAAAUGAUGGCACUUUGGGUCCUUAUUUAAAAUUUUCCCUAAAAUAAACAAUCAGGCAAUAAACAUCAAAUAAUGAAAUAAUAAAUAUCUAGCAAAUAAAUAAAUAACUUGAAUAGCCAAAUUGGAAAAUAAUUAACAAAGCUUUUUUAUCGGCUUCACGGUAAAACCCCAUGUGCUGUAGGUGGAAAGUCUAAAGGUACUCGUGCAAGCUUCCUAAAAUAGACAAUUGUAUCAAAGGAAAGCGAAUAUGCAAAUGUAACAUGCUAUGUAAAGUAAAUAUACCAAAUGAAGUGUUUUUUUUUUUUUUUAAAUGAGCCAUUAAACAUGGGAAUAUAAUUUAAUGUUAUGCAAUGCAAUACUAAGGUUAUAUUUCAAAGCUAGUAUAAAAUUCAAAAUAGGAUAUUAUCAUAUCCUACAUUCGGUGUCGCUCAAGAUAGGAUAUAGUUAAAUAUAAAUGCUAUAGACCGAAUAAUAUUAUCUUAUAGCGAAAGUGGGAUAAAGGUGGAUGAGAUUUCUAACAUUUAUAAUAGGAAAGUUAUUUUUUUCGAAUGAAAAACUUCUUAAAUUAACAAAAUUAUAUUAUAUUUCAAUAUAAAUAAUAUUUGAAUUCUAAUAUAAGAAAUUCAAAUUAACAAAAAAAUAACAAUUUAUUUAUUUUAAUUUAAUAUUAUUUUAUUUAUAUAAUUGAAUUUAAUUAUAUUUUAUAAUAUAAAUUCAAUAUAUAAAUAUAAAUAUAUAUUAUUACAUAUGUUAGGUACUUUAGUAUUUUAGGUAUAUUAGUACAGUUUACUAUUUAAUAAAAUUUUAUUAGAGAAUGAUGGAAGGGCAAGAAAGAAAUAAAAAAGAAAUUAAUUGAUAAAAGAGAGGAAAAUAAAAUAAAAUAAAAUAAAGUGGGCAAGAGUGUCGCGAGAGUUUUUUACCAUCUCCAUUUGUAAUUUUUUUUUAUUCAUUUAUACUAAUACACUGUUAAUAUCAAAUAAUGUACAUGAUAUAAUGUGAAUAGAUCCAACUUGAUUACUGCAAUCACUAAACAGUGGAUAUGAUAUAAUAAAAUCUAUGGAUUUCAUAUCCUAUCAUAUUCAAUCAUAUCCUAGUUCAAAAUUCAAAUGACCAAACAUAAUCUAAAAGAAUGAAUCUACUUAUAUAAUAUGAAUAUGCCCCUGAAUGCACCCUUAUACAUUUUUUUGUGAUUAUUCAAACGAAGAUGCAAUCUAAUUACUAGAAGAAAUUAUAUGUUUUUAUAUUUUUAUUUUAGGGAAAAUUCCAAAUAAUGACCCGAAAUGAACCUAUUUUCUCAAAUAAUGACACAAAGUGAACUUUAUGUCAUAUAAGGACCCGAAGUGGAUCUAUUGUUUCAAAUAAGAAUCCUAAUUGAAUUUUGUAUCAAAUAAGGACUCGAAGUGAUCCAGUGAAUCUCUAUUGAGGACCUUAGUUCACCGGCAAACAUUUUUCAGCGAUUAAAAUAGGGGUAAUUUUGUUAGAAAUUUGUGAUUGGGAAAAAAAAGGGAAUUUUAAAUUAAUUAAGGUUAGGUUAUUCAUUUAGAUGUUUAUGUUUUCUUCUUUCUUCUCCCCUGCUGCUCCUCAACCAAAUUGCUGCUCAGUCAUCAUCGCGAUCGAUUCUCGUCGCUCCUCGCCUUGCUCAAUCGGUGGAGAAUUUGGGUCUCCACAAACAAAGAAAGAAGCAUUUGGUUUUCUUCUUGUUUUUGAAUUUGUGCUUCAACCAGCAGAGAAUUUGGGUCUUCAAAUUUGAGGAGGAUGAGUACAAGGAAUCGGAGAACUUUGGUCUUUGACUUUGCAGAGGAUGGGCACAAGGAACGGGGAGACCGUAGAAAACAUAGGUUCUUUUUUUUUUAUUUAAAGAUUUGUUAAUUUUCCCUAUAUUUUUUUUGGACAAAAUUGCCCAAACUCCGAUCGUCGAAAAUAUCACAUGCUUGAUAGCCGUCGAAUAUUUGGCUGACCAGUAAGUUUAGGUACUUAUUUGAAAUUGAUUCAACUACUUCGGGUUCUUAUUUGAGACAAUGAGUCCACUUUAGGUCUUUAUCUGAUACAAAGUUUAUUUCAGAUCCUUAUUUGAGAAAAUUGGUCAACUUCAGAUCCUUAUUUGGAAUUUUCCCUUUAUUUUAUAACUUGUGAUUAUGGUAACAAACAUUUUAACAUAUGCCAAUAGAAUAAUACUUAUUUGACAAAUUUAGUCAUAAAAUUUUCAAUAUUUUAACAAUGUAAUCCAAGGCCGAUUAUCACUGAAGUAGAUGUGAGGCAUUUUAUGUGGUAUGGUGAGUUUUGAUGAAGAUAAUUUUUUAAAAUUUUUUAAAAUUUUCUUAUUUCCUUCCUUUCCUUUUCUUUCUCUUUUCUUUUUGUUAGUGGUUGGUCGCUAGCUUGGUGAGGGUCGCCCUCACUAGCUACAUGCGACUGUUGGCUGUGCCUAGGCAAGGCCUAGUGAGGCCGCCUUGGCCUGGGCGAGGGACCCUCACUUAGGCUAGGGUGGCCUCACCAACACUUGCCCUCCCCUAGAGAAGGUUAAACCUUGCUAGCCAACAAAGUUCAAAAAAAUUGUAAAAAAUAUCUACAUCAAUGCUAACUAUAUCAUAUAGAAUGCCAAGCAUCUAGCUAGUGAUUUUUGGUCAAAAUUGGCCAAAUAGACUACAUUGGCAAAUCGUCAAAAGGUUUAGGACUUGAUUAAUCAAAUUGAAAGGUUUAGAAUCGAAUUGGACUUUAUUAAUAAUUUCCCUGGCAAUUUCCUAUAUACUAGAUUUCUAAUUAUUUAACAUGUGAUUCAUGAACCAUGAAAACAUUAACUUAUGUAAAAAGUCGUGUCCAUCCUAAUAUGCAAUCAAACAAACACGAACAAGUGCGUACAGGAAACGCUUCUAUUGUCGGUCUUCUAUCCUUUUGGAAAUGAUAGGACGAUGCAUGCAAAAGAGUCCAUAUUUUUAUCACGUGAGAUGCAUCCUAAAGAUAAUCAAUUAGGCCUUUCAUCUCAUCCCAACCUGGACAGCACGCAUCUCCGAUUGCGCUCAGGAAUUUGGUUCGAUCCCUCGCAUCGUGCAAUCCUGUUUAGUCGAUUAUAGCGAGCUAAGACAAAUCACGUUCAGGAACCGCGUGCAGAUGGUUUGUGACCAGUUCCUAAGGGUAGUCAGCGAUUAGGGACCAAAUCAAAAACGAGCCAAUCAACAGUCUCAAUGUGCAGCAGCUCGAAUAGGAUGGCAUUGUCUCGAUCGAUUCAAACUAGCAAACACAGUUACACAGCUUUGCGGUGAGGACUACGACUAAGAGCAAAAAUAUUGGCAACAAUGCCUUUUGCGGUGGCUCGAGAUGGACGCGAUAAUUGCGAUGUGAAUGAUGCUAUGCGAUCAAGUCAAAGGAGAGUCAAGCAGCGGGAUCUGAAUGUUGCUUGUAUUCUCCCCGUGGUGUGUUUUGUUUUGGGUCGAGAGUCUCUUCACAAUUCCACUGAAUAUUCUGCUUGGUCCCGACCGAGAGAAUACAUGCUGUCUGUGGCCGAGGGUGUUGCGGUAUUUGCUGAAAUCCCUUUCAUUGAAGGGUGCUGGUUGAGAUUUUAUUAGAGGGUGGCCGGACUUAUGGGGGCUCGGGCUUGAAAUUGAAGUGGGUUUAUCUCUUUUAAAUUUAAUUUAAUUUAGCCUGACGGGCCAGUUAAAAUGCAAUUCACAACUAAGCCAAUUUUAAUGGAAUUCAUUUGAUGCGGACACGUUACUACUGAACAAAAAAUGAUCAUACGCCUAAAUGCAAUGUGCAUGCAAAAUUGUGUGAUAUUAGUAUUUUGUUUGAAGGGUCAAAUAAUGUUAUUGUCGACACCUAAUUUAAAUUUAAUUUUUAGAAAUGAAAGAUAAUAUUUGAUUAGAGGGAAAUUUUGAAAAAAAAAAUUUGAAAUCAAAAGAAUUCAACAGUCAUUUUGGAGCCAAUUCUUUGUUAAAGAAAUUGAGUAAAUAUCGCCGGAUCUUCAAAAAUUAAAAAAAAAAUAGUGAAAAGUGAAAGGAGAAGAAAAGGAAGAAGAUAGAAACGUCAAAAAAAGAGGGGGAUUUCUCUUCGAAGAAAAAGAAUACAGAAAAGGGCAAAAAGCUUUUCCCCUUUCGGCUGAAAGUACAACAGAAAGAAAGACAGGAGUGGACGUGCAUCAGGCCAGCAAAAAAAGAAAAAAUGAAACGUGCACUGUUCAUCUUCCUCGUGGGCCCUUCUGCUGUGUGACGCCUCCCCGCUGCCCGAUCUCCUCGCCGGCGCACCAGCAGUCAAGCCACCGCACCAUCGGCCACCCCCGUGCGAGCACCACCCAGGAACUCGCGCCACCGUUCGUUGCCCCUGCUGUGGCCGUGAAGACCCGACGCCUCCGCUCGUCCGUCCGCAAGACCCAUACCAGUGCCGGCGACGACGAUUGAAGAACAGUCCCCCGAAGUCGCGAUGCCGCCUCUGCCGCCCCUGCUCUCCAUCCGUCGCCAACGCCGUUGAUCCAGCAAUCCGGCGGUCCGCCUCUGCCCAAGUUUCUGAAGCUCCGCUGCCGUGACCGUCCCCCCCGCACAGCAUCUCCACCACUCGCCUCCACAGUCGCGCCGUGUCCUCCGUGUACACCAUCGUCGCUGCAGCACCGAAGCUGCCUCUCGCUGCGACACCAGCAGCCGUGCCUUGAAGCACCGCAGCGCUCGAGACUGCGCCGGUCAUCUCCCCCGAGCAACCACCGCUCGGCCCCCGCGCCGGCCACUGCACCAUCAACUCCGCUCGAGCCCUCUUGCCGCUGAACUCGCACCGUUGUCCAGCCUGAGCUCCGCCACCGCGUCCCCUGCCCGGGUGACGCCGCUCCGCCAGCUCGAACCAGAUCCGCACCGCCUGCAACCCGCCGGUUCGCGAUUCAGCCGGUCAUCGCCGCGCCUCCGCGCACCAGCACCCGCAAGCCUCGCCGCGCAGCAAUCUGCGACCCGCAGCAACUCGCGCACACCACCCAACGAUCCCCGCGACGCUACAGCAGCCCGAGAACCCGCGCCGGCCAUCGCGACCUGCUGCUGCCCAGCGCGACGCCGGAGCUCCAAAGCCCGCCGCUCCUGACCUCGCCGCGCCACCAUCUCUGCACCACCUGUCGCCGCUCGUCUCCCUCCGCCUGAGCCCACUGUCAGCCGCGCCUGCACCUCCGCCCAGCAACACCGACGCCGCGAGCACCCAAAUCCGACGCCGCCUCUGUUGUUUUUAUAGCACCGCCGCUCGGAGCCCGACGCCGCCGUGACCUGUUGCUGCCCAGCCCUCGCCGGAGCUCCGAAGCCCACCGCUCCUGACCUCGCCACGCCACCGCACGGCCUCCGCUUACGAUCCGCUUCCCCGUCGACGCCACUGUCCUCUCCUGAGCCUUAGGUGGUUUAUUUAUUUAUUUUAUUCAUUUAUUUGUUUAUAUUUUAAGUUUUGUUAUUAUUAUUUAAGUUAGAACAUGGCAUAUUAAUGUUGUUGACACAUAUUUUAAAAUUUAAUUUAUUUUUUAGAAAAUAAUAAUAUAGCAUUUGGUUGUAGAGGGAAAUUUUGAAAAACAAAUUGAGUUCAAAAUAAUUCAACGGCCGGAUUUUGGAGCCAUUUCUUUGUUAGAGGUUGAGUGAAUAUCGCCGGAUCUUCAACAAUUUCAAGUUUUUCUUCUAUAAAAGAGAAGCCGAGGCUUCGGUUUAGGGGGUUCCUCUUCGUCCAAAAAAAAAGUCAAAAGAAAAGAAGCUGCAGAAAAUGCAGAGAGAGACAGAAGGAGGAGACGUGAAAAUGACGUGAGAGAAAGAGGACGUGCAGCAGUGGAAAAGAAGAAGCAAAAAGCAAAAAGAAAAGCAGAGCAGGGAACUGUUCAUCUUCUCCAUUGCACCGACCGCCUGCUGCUUGGCUACCGCAUCGUGCCCCGCCGCACCGCUGCAACCCCGAGCAGCCAACGUCCCUGCAUCUCCCCGAGCACCGCCGGUCCCCGAACCCCCUGAUCGCCGCGCUGCUACUGUCGCCCACCAUCGCUCCGCCCGAACCCGUGAGCCCCUUUGCCGGACACCUCCGUCUCCAAGCGCCGCCUCCCUCUCGCCCGCACCUUGCAGCUGAAGCUUCGAGCGACACCUGUAACUCCGUCACCGCAGCUACUGUUUCGUGGUCGCCGGAGCCCCGAAAACCGUUGCUGUCGCAGCCCUCAAUCUGCUUGUCGCCGCACCACCGCAGCACUUUCAUCCGUCUCGUGCAGCAACCCGCACCAUCUUCGCCCGCCGGUCGCAGCACAUCUCUGCCCGUCCCCUGCCUCACCGCGAUCCACCACUGCUGCAAUACUCUCCUCCGACGCCUCUGCCCCGACACCUGCAGCGCCACCGAUCCGCUGCAGCCCGACGCCGGAGCACCAGCAGCACCUUCGCCCAAGCCCGCCUAGCGCCACCUGCUGCCGCCGGAGUUUCUCCCCUGCCAGACCUCCGAUCUGCCGCCCCUCACCGGAGCCGGUGACCAGCCGCACGGGCACAAGCCGUAUUUGGGAAGAAAAAGAAAAAAAGAAAAGGAAAUUAGGUAGUAUAUUUUUAUUUUUUACUUAUUUCAUGUUAUGUUAGCUUUUUUUAGUUGUAGUAUUGUAUGUCAAUAUUUAUAGACUUUGUAGACAUUAGGAGUUUUAUCCCAAAUUAAGGUAAUUAUUAAUUUGACCCGUAAGACUUCGGGUCAUUUUUUUAAUUACUUUAAUUUUUUAGGAAUUUUGAUAGCAUUUCAAUUGUUAAAACAUUAUAGAGUUAAAAUAAUUGUCAAUUUAAUCCGUGAGACAACGGAUUAUUUGUUAGGUUAUUUUAAUUCUUAUCUUCAUUCUUCUAAAUAAUUACUUGUUUAGAAAGAUUAAAUAAAAAAAAAAAUCAGAAAAUGCAUAAAAGUCUAGAUAUUGCACUAGAGCAUUUAGGUUUAGUAAAAUAGGACUAUAGUCUUAGGGUUAGUAAAUUAGAAUUUGCAUUUGUAGGAUUAUAAUUUUUAGAUUAUACUUUUAGAUGGGUGGUUUUUGUUAGGGCUAAUUUUAAAUAAUGUUGGCAUGUCUUGAUUUUUUUUAUAUAGCUUUUAGGAUAAAAUAUAGUUUAAGUUAAAUUGAUUCCUAAAAUAAAUUAGAAUAUCAUUCACUUUAGUUAGUCUAAUUAGUUUUAGAUUAAAUCAAUUUUCAUUUAGUAAAACAAAAGAGGAACAAAAAAUGUUAUGCAUGCCAUAUGAGUUAUAGUUUAAUUUUUAAAAAAAAGAAAAUGCUAAAAGAUGAUCAUUGCACCAUUAAGUUACUUUCUUUUCAAUAAAAAACAUUAUGUCAUUAAAAAAAAAAUCAUUUCCUUGGUUAGCUAAUAGGUUAAUUCAUAAUUAAUCUCAUAUCAUCAUUAUUUAGCUUAUGUCGCAUAUAUGCAUUAAAAAAAACAAAUCAUCAUUAAAAUAAAGUCAUAAAAGAGCAUGCAUGUAGAAAUACCAUGUCAUUCAUCUCAUAUCACGUAGCACAUGCAUAUUUAGAAUUAUAUACAUUAGAUUGUAUACAUAUAGUGAUAAGUUUAAGUCAUACCAUAUGAAUUGCAUCUCACAUAUCAUUAAAGUAAAAUCCAUGCAUAUUAAAUUUAGAUUAAGAUUGCAUAUAAUUAACAUUUAAAAAAAAGAAGAAAAAUUAGGUGUCAUGUCAUUUAGAAAUCAUGUUUAGGGCAUGCAUUUUUAUUAGCAUUUUUUUUUAUUGAAUGUUAUUUUAUUGAUUGUGCACCCGUAUGACCACCAUUUGCGUGUUAGUAGCUUAAGUUAAAAUUAAUCAACAUUGCCUGCAAAAUAUUUUUGAAAUUAAAAUAAAAGGUACCGAAAGGGCGUUAGACUAAUCUAGCGUAAUCAUGUCCCCGGACUUAUUGAAUCUCUCGUUUGUAAAAAUAAAGUAUUCUCUCAUACUUUAUUUGGGUUUUUAAUCAACCCUAAUUGAUUAGUGGCGACUCCAAAUUGAAUAGAAUUGCAUGUUUAAAUAGAUUAAUUUCUAUUAAGUCGCGAUUGGUAGGACUUGGGAGGGUCCGUGCCAAGUCUUCAGACUUAGUAAUCCAUUAAUCUAGUUUUAAGUGGUGAAUACCAUGAAAAAAUUAGGUCGCGACAGCUUGGCGACUCCGCUGGGGACAGAGUUAAAACUCAUAGUGGACAUAGGCCUGUUUUAAUUUUUUUAAGAAAAAUAUUUUGUUUAGCAGCAUGGAAACAAGGUACGCUCCUAACAUGAAUUGUUAAAUAUUUUUGCAGAUGGGAGGUAUAAGGGGAGUAGUCUUUGUUAACCCUUGUUUUGCAGGUUGGAGUUAAGGAUGAAUGGUUGAAUUUAAAUUAUAGAAGUGUUGUUUGCAAUUAAACUGUUGUGCAUGUUUUAUUGUUUUUAGCACUACACUAUUGCACACACAACCUGCUGCCGGACCUGGGCUGCGAUAGGAUUCUUAGGAUGGUAUUGAGAAUGAUACUUCCUCUAAAGCGAGACCGCUAUAUAGAGGUUGACCUUCUCUUCCUCGAAAGUUCUUCAUGGUGUCGAAUGUGUUUAUCCAUAUCCGCGAAACUGCGUGAUAUUAGACAUUCCAUUCGACUGAGCCGGAGUUAGGAGGACCUGACACGUUAAUGCGAGACUGCAACGGUCAGAUCAUCCUCUUAGCUCCAUUUUGUUAAGCCAUCUAGAUAGAAAUCAAGCAUCACAUCUCAUACGUGUGUCUAUGUGAUUGUCAUCUCUUCCCAGUAAAAGUAAGUUGUUUAAAUUCUCACUAUUGCAAUUUACUUAUUUGCAAUUUCGUUGGUCCAUGACAUUAGGUUUCGUCGUCGGUCUUAUUUUAUAUGCAAUGGGGAAAACCGACAUACAAUUCAUUUCUACUUCCAAAAACAUAUAAAAUGAGAUAUUUUGGUUUCUUAGUUCAAUGUUUAGGGACUUGAAUUUCAAUUCUUAGUUAGAAAAUUUUAUUCAAAAUUCAAAUAAAAUGAAGUGAUUGACCGUUGUCAUGGACCAAUCUCAUUUGUUAUGAUACUUACUGCAUUAUUUUACAUUGCUAGGUGACAACACGGCUAAUCCAAGAUCACCAAUCCGUACUCGUUCUAGAGCAACAAUGGCUGAUAACACCGAACAAACACGUGUUGCUGAACAAACUCGCGUUGCUGCCCUCGAAUUGGAGAUGAAACAAGUCAUGAAUGUUCUUGAGCGGCUCUCUAAGCAAAUUGAUUCUCUCCAAGCAAACACUGCUCCACCAGCUCCGCAAGUUAAAGUGGUGUUACCACAACUGGCUCCCAUGGUUGAUCCAAGAGAUAAAUGCAAGAAUACAGCUGAUCCGAGAGAUAAAGGCAAGAAUACAUCCGCAGUUGGGCCAUCUACCUCUGAUGAUUCCUCCAAGGAGAAAAUUACUGACGUGCCUCAAAUUGUUGUUGAUGAGGAGGUACAAGUGAUACACUCGGCUGUACCGAAGACAGAACAGGAAAAACGCUUGAUAAAAAUCGAGAAGAAACUUAAGCAAUUGCAGGGUUCAUUUAGCCAAGACCCAACUGAUCUGUCCCAUUAUGCAAAGAUCAAGAUGCCAAAGAAGUUCAAAAUGCCAGACUUUGAGAAGUAUGAUGGCACCUAUUGCCCAAAGAUCCAUCUACAGACUUAUGUGGUCAGGAUGACCCAAUAUGUUGAUAACAUCCCCUUGAUGAUUCAACAAUUUCAAGCAAGCCUGACAGGACCGUUGCUGCAAUGGUACAUCAUGAAAAAGAUUAAUUUGCUGGAGACUUGGGAGGAUUUGACGGAUGCCUUCUUCAAGCAAUACAAGUAUAAUAUUGAUGUCACUCCAUCUCGAGAAGAUUUACUUCGCAUUGAGAAGAAGAGGACGGAAUCUUUCAAGGCAUAUGUCACGAGAUGGAGGACUGUAGCCGCUCAGAUAACUCCAGAGCCGACAGAAAAGGAGAUGAUGGAUUUGUUCAUGAAGACACUCCCGCCUGAGUAUCGAAAUCGAAUGCUGGAAUCGACUUCCGAGUCAUUCAAUCAGCUAAUCCCUGUUGGUGAGCGAAUUGAAGUAGCAUUGCGUGACGGAUGGGCGUCUGAUCAAACCAGCUCAUAUGAAAGAGUCUCAACCAAGAAGGAUAAGGAACUUGUAGCGGAGGUUAAUGCAGCUUAUGUGCGACCACCUCGCUCUACCCCGAACACCCCAUCAGGGAGGAGCACGACCAUUCUUUGGCCAGCAGAAGAACUCUUCCAGGCGUCAAUUUACGCCUCUUCCUAAGCCAUUGUCCAAGAUCUUGCCAACCCUUCAGAAGAAAGGAUUACUCGCUAAAGAGCCUAAGCGACCUAAUCCCGAGCGAUUCCCCAACUAUGAUCCGUCCAAGACAUGUGCUUAUCAUAUGGGAGAGGUAGGGCAUUCUGUUGACGAUUGCUAUACGCUGCAACAUAAAAUCCAAAAUCUUUUGGAUGCCAACGUGGUCUCAUUCCGAGAUGCACAGUCGAACAUCCAGAAUAACCCACUCCCUGACCACCCAAAAGCUGUGAAUACCAUUUUCGGUUUUGAUGCUGAGCCCACCAUGUUUCAGAUGAUGCAUGAGGAAGCAGAAGUGAUGGACACCCUGGGGCAACCAAGUGGCAAAUUCGAUUACUAUGUAAAGUAUUCGGCUCCUCCCAGCUCCUAUUUUGACCCACGGGAUAUCAUCCUAGAUGGAUGGGGUGGCAUAGAUGAUCCCACACCUCCAAAGAUUGAGAGCUCUGAUGACGCAUUCGAAGGAAUGACUGAAUUGUUUGCCAUUGACGAAGCUCGAGAGUAGGACACUCCUCUGCGCAGGAGUCUUUAUCGCUUUUCGUAUUUGCAUAUUUGCAUUUUCAAUUCUAGGAUUUCCCUCAUUUCAGUAAUGUAAUUUGUUUUUCAUCCAAUAAAAUACAUGGAGAUUUUCGUAUUUUAAGGGCAUGUUGAAGUAUACCAAACUAGCCCUGUGAUGAAAUCCUACCCAAAAGAAAACGGCAAUGAGCUAAUUCUGAAGGCUGGGCUUCUUCAUGUUCCCUUGAAAUUUUUUUCAAAAUAAAAUAAUUUUCCAGCAUGCAUCUAAUUUACCUUGUUUGUUUCAUUUAAUUAUUUGCUUUAUGUUUCAGGUGCAGCCCUGCACACAUUUAAGGAAUCUCUAUGAGCUCCCUUGCAAAGAGGGGGGCAAGACAUAGACGUUUAAUAGUUUUGACUUUAUGAUUUGAUAGAGCAUGCCAUUUUUAUCAUUUAAGAAUUUUUUCACAUGAUGUGUAAUUUGUCAAUUCCACUUGAAAUUUAUCAAAAUGGAUAAUUCAGUGAAAGAUGUCGAGUUACUUGAACAUGCUAAAUGAGCCGUGAAAGGCAAGUCUUAUCCCAUACACAGUCCCUUGUCUAUACAUUGUGAGGUGAGUAUGGAAACAUUUUGUGUUUCAAGAUGAAGAGUUUUCUUGCAUGAAGUACGACAACUAAAAUGAUGAGGGGCAGUUCAUUUCUCUACAAUGAACCCUUGUUUAAUCCUUCUUUGAGCCUAAACACUUGAAGAACUUCUUUCAUACUACCCCUGUCAAGAACCACCCCACAUCGGGGCAAAUGGAGGUAAGUUGACAUUAAAGGAGGGUGAAAUGGUUUGAAAUUUUCUUAUUCUCACUUGCAUCAAUCUUCAAGUUAUGUUUUUACAUUAAAUUCAUGUGGUAAUUUAAGUGCCUUAGGAUGACGAAUAGCGUUUCUUUCACUAUCCUACACACUUAUAUCCUUUGCAUAGCUCACUUGAGCCUGCAAUUUCAUUUCUUUAAAUCCAGUUGGUGAUCAUCCCCCACACUGGGGCAAGGCAAGAGACAGAUGAAGACCCUUGAAGGUUCGAGUGUCAUUUAAAGUAUACUCGACACACGCAUUGUGCGCAAGAAUUGAAAUCAAAAUAGAACUAAGGGGCAUGAAAAAGCAGUGUGCCUGGUAAAAGCAAGGCCAAUGCCUAUGAAAAGAAGAGAGAAAUGACUGAUGAAUUGGGGGGCAUAAAAAAAAAUGGUGUGCCUGAUUGAUGCCCAUCAUCAAAGAAAAUGAAUUAAAAAAAAUGUUGAGAAAAGAUCUCCAGUUGAACAAUCAUUGGCAUCAGUGAUAAACUCUUGAGCCAAUAAAGAAAUCUGUCAAGAAAACAAUCAGUGGCGAAGAAAACUAGUGGUAAUGUCAAGAUAAUCACCAACUCUUACCUAUUACACACAUCUUUGAGCCUAACGAUCCUUUCGUUUUUCAAACCCAAGAACCAAGCCUAUGUUACGUCCCUUACAAAGUCUCUUCAGAUUAGGGCAUUUGAAUUAACAUAGGAAUCCAUAUGUUUUAAGCAUUGCUCGAAGAAGUGCGAGCAAGAUUUUUUCUUUCUCAUUUUGCAGGGUUCUUGACUUGUAAACCUGGAGAUGAUUACAGAAUUGUUCUUUCAACUGCUUUGACCCAAAGAAUCCCUUUGUUAAGCCAUUGACCAAGCCGACAUUACAGUACCUGUUAAAGACCUCUCAGAUUGGUAAGGUCGUACUGAUUGCAAGAAAAUUUGAACUCUUGUCGACAAGAUGAUGAUAAGAUUGAGUGAUAUAUUCCCACAUCAAUGGUCGGGACAAAUAACCCCUCCUAAAUGAGAGCGAGUGAAAAAGCAUUUUCACACCAAAAGCGUCUCAUUUAGCAUGUUCAAGAGAUUCACACUAUAACGGAAAAUUGUCAUUGUGAUAAUUUUUCCAAUAGAAGCUUGAUAAAGCCAUCAUGCAUGGACCUUCAUUGAAUUUUUCCUCAAAGACCAAAAAUUGUCUUUGAAACCCUAAGUUUGAUCAGUCAUCUUGGUGCUUGAUGAGAAUUCCAAGUACCAAUUUGUAAAAUGUUGUGAACUCCAGAUAUUUGAACCCUUAAAUGCUUGAUGUGACUUCCAAGUGUUUGUCUUUCCAAAUGUCUGAUGUGACUUCCAGAUGUUUGGUAAAAUAUUUUCAAAUGUUGAGUGUGAACUCUAGAUAUUUGAACCCUUAAACGCUUGAUGUGAUAUCAAGUGUUUGUCCUUCUAAACUUCUAAUGUGAUUUCCAAAUGUUUAGUAAAUGUUUUCAUAUAUCCAGCAUGAAUUCCAGAUAUUUGAAUCUUUAAAUACUUGAUGUGACCUUCAAGUAUUUGUCUUUUCAAACAUCUUAUGUGACUUCCAGGUAUUUGUCUUUUCAAACAUCUGAUGUGAUUUCCAAGUGCUUAGGAUUUGAUGAGAGUUCCGGAUCUCUAAAGACUUUGAGAUUUCCAAAUGUUGGUCAGGUCUCAUAGGAAUCAUUUCACACAUAAUAAUACUUUUCUGAAUCUUCAGAUAAGUAUGACAGGUACGUGUUCUUCUUUGCAUUUGCAUUGAGCAUAGACACAUUGAGAUCUACGUUCUUGACCAAAUCAUUGCAUUAUUGCAUGACUUUGCAUUUCAAAAAGAAUUAAAUUUAUUUGAAAAAGAGGUCAUUAACAUUUGCAUAUGCAUUUCAUAUUCAUUUUGCAUUCAUUUUGCAUUUGCAUUUCAUUGAGCAUACACAUUGACAUCUACGUUUUUGACAAAAUCAUUGCAUUUACAUGGCAUUUUUUUUAUUGCGUGACCUUGCAUUUAUUUGAGUCCAAUUCUUAAAAAAAAAAAAAAGUCAUUACAAUUAAUAUUUGCAUAUGCAUUUCAUAUUCAUUUUGCAUUCAUUCUGCAUAGUCUAAAUUUAGGUGUCAUUUAUUUUUGAAGGAAACCUCUACGAGCUUCCCUUCAAAGAGGGGCAGCUGUUGACACAUAUUUUAAAAUUUAAUUUAUUUUUUAGAAAAUAAUAAUAUAGCAUUUGGUUGUAGAGGGAAAUUUUGAAAAAAAAAUUGAAUUCAAAAUAAUUCAACGGCCGGAUUUUGGAGCCAUUUCUUUGUUGAAGAGGUUGAGUGAAUAUCGCCGGAUCUUCAACAAUUUCAAGUUUUUCUUCUAUAAAAGAGAAGCCGAGGCUUCGGUUUAGGGGGUUCCUCUUCGUCCAAAAAAAAAGUCAAAAGAAAAGAAGCUGCAGAAAAUGCAGAGAGAGACAGAAGGAGGAGACGUGAAAAUGACGUGAGAGAAAGAGGACGUGCAGCAGUGGAAAAGAAGAAGCAAAAAGCAAAAAGAAAAGCAGAGCAGGGAACUGUUCAUCUUCUCCAUUGCACCGACCGCCUGCUGCUUGGCUACCGCAUCGUGCCCCGCCGCACCGCUGCAACCCCGAGCAGCCAACGUCCCUGCAUCUCCCCGAGCACCGCCGGUCCCCGAACCCCCUGAUCGCCGCGCUGCUACUGUCGCCCACCAUCGCUCCGCCCGAACCCGUGAGCCCCUUUGCCGGACACCUCCGUCUCCAAGCGCCGCCUCCCUCUCGCCCGCACCUUGCAGCUGAAGCUUCGAGCGACACCUGUAACUCCGUCACCGCAGCUACUGUUUCGUGGUCGCCGGAGCCCCGAAAACCGUUGCUGUCGCAGCCCUCAAUCUGCUUGUCGCCGCACCACCGCAGCACUUUCAUCCGUCUCGUGCAGCAACCCGCACCAUCUUCGCCCGCCGGUCGCAGCACAUCUCUGCCCGUCCCCUGCCUCACCGCGAUCCACCACUGCUGCAAUACUCUCCUCCGACGCCUCUGCCCCGACACCUGCAGCGCCACCGAUCCGCUGCAGCCCGACGCCGGAGCACCAGCAGCACCUUCGCCCAAGCCCGCCUAGCGCCACCUGCUGCCGCCGGAGUUUCUCCCCUGCCAGACCUCCGAUCUGCCGCCCCUCACCGGAGCCGGUGACCAGCCGCACGGGCACAAGCCGUAUUUGGGAAGAAAAAGAAAAAAAGAAAAGGAAAUUAGGUAGUAUAUUUUUAUUUUUUACUUAUUUCAUGUUAUGUUAGCUUUUUUUAGUUGUAGUAUUGUAUGUCAAUAUUUAUAGACUUUGUAGACAUUAGGAGUUUUAUCCCAAAUUAAGGUAAUUAUUAAUUUGACCCGUAAGACUUCGGGUCAUUUUUUUAAUUACUUUAAUUUUUUAGGAAUUUUGAUAGCAUUUCAAUUGUUAAAACAUUAUAGAGUUAAAAUAAUUGUCAAUUUAAUCCGUGAGACAAUGGAUUAUUUGUUAGGUUAUUUUAAUUCUUAUCUUCAUUCUUCUAAAUAAUUACUUGUUUAGAAAGAUUAAAUAAAAAAAAAAAUCAGAAAAUGCAUAAAAGUCUAGAUAUUGCACUAGAGCAUUUAGGUUUAGUAAAAUAGGACUAUAGUCUUAGGGUUAGUAAAUUAGAAUUUGCAUUUGUAGGAUUAUAAUUUUUAGAUUAUACUUUUAGAUGGGUGGUUUUUGUUAGGGCUAAUUUUAAAUAAUGUUGGCAUGUCUUGAUUUUUUUUAUAUAGCUUUUAGGAUAAAAUAUAGUUUAAGUUAAAUUGAUUCCUAAAAUAAAUUAGAAUAUCAUUCACUUUAGUUAGUCUAAUUAGUUUUAGAUUAAAUCAAUUUUCAUUUAGUAAAACAAAAGAGGAACAAAAAAUGUUAUGCAUGCCAUAUGAGUUAUAGUUUAAUUUUAAAAAAAAAGAAAAUGCUAAAAGAUGAUCAUUGCACCAUUAAGUUACUUUCUUUUCAAUAAAAAACAUUAUGUCAUUAAAAAAAAAAUCAUUUCCUUGGUUAGCUAAUAGGUUAAUUCAUAAUUAAUCUCAUAUCAUCAUUAUUUAGCUUAUGUCGCAUAUAUGCAUUAAAAAAAACAAAUCAUCAUUAAAAUAAAGUCAUAAAAGAGCAUGCAUGUAGAAAUACCAUGUCAUUCAUCUCAUAUCACGUAGCACAUGCAUAUUUAGAAUUAUAUACAUUAGAUUGUAUACAUAUAGUGAUAAGUUUAAGUCAUACCAUAUGAAUUGCAUCUCACAUAUCAUUAAAGUAAAAUCCAUGCAUAUUAAAUUUAGAUUAAGAUUGCAUAUAAUUAACAUUUAAAAAAAAGAAGAAAAAUUAGGUGUCAUGUCAUUUAGAAAUCAUGUUUAGGGCAUGCAUUUUUAUUAGCAUUUUUUUUUAUUGAAUGUUAUUUUAUUGAUUGUGCACCCGUAUGACCACCAUUUGCGUGUUAGUAGCUUAAGUUAAAAUUAAUCAACAUUGCCUGCAAAAUAUUUUUGAAAUUAAAAUAAAAGGUACCGAAAUGGCGUUAGACUAAUCUAGCGUAAUCAUGUCCCCGGACUUAUUGAAUCUCUGGUUCGUAAAAAUAAAAUAUUCUCUCAUACUUUAUUUGGGUUUCUAAUCAACCCUAAUUGAUUAGUGGCGACUCCAAAUUGAAUAGAAUUGCAUGUUUAAAUAGAUUAAUUUCUAUUAAGUCGCGAUUGGUAGGACUUGGGAGGGUCCGUGCCAAGUCUUCAGACUUAGUAAUCCAUUGACCUAGUUUUAGGUGGUGAACACCAUGAAAAAAUUAGGUCGCGAGAAAUGUUAAUUAUUUGUAUUGUUUAGACAUUAUCCUUAAGGCUUUGUCCAAGAUUUUUGUAAUUAUUAAUUUGAUUCAAGAGACAUCGGAUCGUUUUUUUAAUUAUAUUAAUUUUUGGGUUUUUUGGUAAAAUUUUAAUUGUUAAAUCUUUAUAAUUAUUAAUUUGAUCCGUAAGACUUCAUAUCAGAUUUUUAAUUAUUUUGAACUAUUUGUCAUGAUAAUUAGGGUUAGGAUAAUUUUUAAUUUGACCUAUGAGACAAUAGGUUAUUUUUUCGAUUAUUUUAAUCCUUUAUUUUGUUGAUAGUUUAGAUUUAAUAAUUACUUAUCUUUUAAAAAAAACUAAAAAUCAGAAAAUCAAACAAAUCAAAAUCUUGCAUUAGAGCAUGUAGGUUUAUUUAAUUAGAAUUUGUUUAUUAGUAAAAUUAUAUCAUAUCUAGAAUUUAGGUACUUAGGUCUAUACACAUUUUAUAUUUAAAGCAGCGCAUUUUGAUUUUUAAGAUUCAUAUAGAAUUAUGAUAAUUUUCCUUUAAUAAAAAUCAAAACAAAAAAGAACAAAAGAAAUGUUAUUUAGGUUAUAUAGAUUUCAUAAUGUGCGCACCAUAUGUUGCGCUUUAAUUAGUGGGUCAUAGGUUAAUACUUUAAUACUCCCGUCGUGUAGUUGUUUUUUUUUUUUUUUUUUAAAAGAAGCUAAAGAUUAGUAUUGCAUCAUGUUAUUUUUAAAAAUUAUUAAGUCAUAUUAAAAAGAAGAAGAAGAAGAAAACACAAAAUUCAUUUAUUUGGUUAUCUAAUAGGUUAGUUCAUAAUUAAUCAUAUUUAAUGUCAUGAUUGUUAGUGUAUGUUGCAUAUGUGUAAUAAAAAAAUCAUUAAAAAAUCAUAAAAAGAACAUGCAUAUAGAAUUACCACGUCAUACAUCUCAUAUCAUACAUCAUAUGCAUAUUAAGUUAAAUUAAGAUUGCAUAUAAUUAACAUUUUUAAAAGGAAAAUAAAAAUUAUGUGUCAUGUCAUUUAGAAAUCAUGUUUAGGGCAUACAUUUUUAUUAGCAUUUUUUAUUGAAUGUUAUUUUAUUGAUUGUGUACCCGCAUGACCAUCAUUUGCAUGUUAGUAGCUUAAGUUUAAAUUAAUCAACAUUGCAUGUCAAAUAUUUUUAAAAUUAAAAUAAAAUGUACCGAAAUGGCAUUAGACUAAUCUAGCGUAACCAUGUCCUCAGACCUACUGAAUCUCUGGUUCGCAAUAGUAAAGUAUUCUCCCAUACUUUAUUUGGGUUUCUAACCAACCCUAAUUGAUUAGUGGCGGCUCCAAAUUGAGUAUAAUUGCAUGUUUGAAUAGAUUAAUUUCUUAACAUCAAGUCGCGAUUGGUAGAACUUGGGAGGGUCCGUGCCAAGUCUUCGGACUUAGUAAUCCAUUAGCCUUCUUUAAGUAAUUAGCCCUCGGGAAAGUCGCGACAGUCAUUGUCAACAAAUUCAAUCCCAAAGUUUUUUGUGAAACGUCUGAGAUUUUUAGACAAAAAGUCAUAUGUCAACAGAUAAUUUUUUAAAAGAUAUUUAAAAAAAUUUCGAGGAAAUUAUCUUUUUCUUCACCCUUAAUUAAUGUAUGUUUGCCAUGACAAUAAAUUUGAUCGAUAUAAGUAAUGGUCAUGCUUGAUCUAUUAGUUAAGACGUACUCAAUGUAAGUGAAUCAAAUUUUCUCUUUAAAUCAACAAUUUCAAACGUCUUUAAAUAUAAUUUAAAUUUGAAAGGAGUGUUAGAAUACUUAAAUGUUAAACCACGCUUCAAUAUAACAAUUUAGAUUUCUAAAAAGUUGACAUUAGUCUUACAAAAUUUUAUCUAAAGUUCAAAUGCUCAUUAUAUAUUUUAUCUCUAAUGUAGGUUAGAUGACGAAAUAGUAUUAUGCUUAAUAUUCGCAUCAUCAAGGAUAUCAAGUUACUCAAUAUUCAUAAAAUGCUUAAAUCUAGUCUAUGUAAAUAUACAAAAAACGCAUUAUAUAAUCAUAAGAUAGGCUCUAUAUUGGCCUUAUUAAGUGUUUGAGUAUAAUCCAUUUGUUCAAUUAUCCAACGACAACUCACGACUUCAUCUUGCAGGUCAACAUUACAUAACAACCAAUGAACUCUCGAGAUUUUCCCUCUAGUUUUGCCUUCUCAAGUGAUUUUUCACAGAGAGAGAGAGAGAGAGAGCCUAAGUAAUGAAUGGGCCAUGUGCAUUUAAAGGCAUAUGUUAGACUUCAAUUGCCAGAACAAUCAAAUCUUCCGCUCAUUCCAAGUUAUCACGCGUCCUAGGGCCUCAACAUUUGGAACUUCUUCUAUUGGCAAAGAAAAAGGCUUGACAUGUUCUUGUUCGCAAUUGUUAAUAAAAAAUUAAUUUUUUAAAAAAAUAUAAAAAUUGUCCACUAAAUUUGUAUUGUAAGAAAGCGUUUUGAUAAUAUAAUUUGUUUUUUAAAUAUAAGAAACAAGUUAUCCCAAAUUAGAUUAAAUAAGGAUGUGUUGUAACAAUAUAGAUUGAAUUAGGUAUGGGUCAAGAAAUUUGUACUAUAGAUAAAUGGAUUAUAAAUAGAUUAGUGAGUCAAUUUGGAUCGGACCGUUCAUGACUAGACCAAACCCACCUGUUUGAUAGGUCUAAGUGCCACAUAUAAUUUAUUGCAGCCAAAUCUUUUCUAGGAUUAAAAGUUGUACCAUGAACAAUUUUUUUAAAAAGCAUAUGGAAUUGAGAAAAUAAAAAAGAAAUAUGUAAUGUAUGUUAUGUUUUUAUCAUUUUUGUCCAAUUGUUUUGCACCAAUCUAUAAUUAAAACUUCUUUCUAGUCUAUAUUGGCGAGAUGACUGGAUAUGCAUUAAGAAUUAUCUCUGAACAAAAAUUUCCUAAUAAUUGGGAUAUCAUUAAAAAGUUCAAAAAACUACUUAUUUAAAUUAAUAAAUUACCUAUUGGAUGAACUAUCCUGACUUAAAUAUUGAAUAAGAUUGGACGAACAUAGAUGACUCAAAAUGUGUCAAAUUAAGAUAGCAUUAGCAGACAAGAUUUUGAUACCAAUGCAAUUGCUAGGAAACAUGCUUUGUCAAAUUUAUGUCAAGAAUUAAUAAUUAAUUGUGCGUUGAAUUUUAGGAUUUAGGUUUUAGAUAUAUGAAAAACAUAUUUAAUAUAUUUAUGAAUCAAAUUGCGUUUGUCUUGUGUUAAAAAAAAUGCAAUCUCGUAUUGUGUAUUGUAAUAUAUCAUGUUUGUCAUUUCAACCGUUGCUUGUCAAGUAUGUAAAUUUUCUCAACCAAAACAAGUAUGUGAAUUUUACUUUUGGGCAAUUGCUUAAAAGUAAGAAAAAUAUCAUUGAAAGGUAAAGAGAAAAAAAGCUUGAAAGUGGGAAUAGAAAGUGGGAGUAAGAUUCUCUCCCUCAUACAUGGUCAACAACAAAUAAUCAACCCACGCAUUUUAAUGCCUUCGAUGUUGCCAUUAUUGGUAAAUAUACUUCCUUAUCCCUGCGACGAUAAACGUACGAUGAACAUCUUAGAGGUAGAAGAGAGUUGGACUCAUGCUUUAGGAAGCAAGAAGCCAUUCACGGUAAACCCUCCAUCGACACAAAUGGUUUGCCCCGUAAUGUAAGAGGCCGCCGGCAAGCACAAGAAGGCCACCAACGACGAAACCUCCUUCGGCUCUCCGAUGCGACCAAGCGGUGUCCUUGCUAUCGCCUCCUCGUGGAAUUUCUCAUUGCCGAGUAGCUGCUAUGACGGAUGAGUUAAUGUUAGAUCACGAUGGCAAAGGUGAUGAAGAUUUAUGGGGUGAACUAUUUUCGAAGAGGAUAGGGAAUUUUAAGUCUUGGUAAAUUAAAUUACAUGGUCGGUGAGUGGGCUGCCUAUGAAAUAAGGUGCAAUAGAGUUGCUUCUUAGUUCUUAUGUUGUCUUUAGCCCAUUCGCAAGCCAGAUUCUUGGUCAACUGGUUCAUUGCUCCAGUCAAUGAGUUGAGAAAAUAAGAAUAUAACUUGGCUAAGCUUGAACCAACCCCAAAGUGAUGCUCGAAAGUCCACUUUAGGGUCACUCAUUACUGUAUUUUGCAGCCAAGGGAUUUGACUACGUAAGGCCCAGAUAUAUAGCCCACAGGCCUGAUUGGUUUGGUAAACCGAUCACUUGAGAAAAUUAGCAGUGAUUAGAGUCAUAAGUCCAUAAUUUGGAUGCCUUCUCCAUGACGGACGGUGAAGUGUUCGUCUUCAUCGAUAUCUCAGACAAUCUUUCUCAUCUCUUGCCUGCCCCUUGAUCUUGAGAAUCCAAGUGAAACUAUCCAUAGUGUUCACUUUAUCACUAGAUUGAGAGAUCAACGUAAGUGUUAUUCUAUUGGUUGCUCGAGAAUUCACUUGCUCAUCUUGAAAAAUAGUACUUAGAUAUUAUGGGAAAAUGCUACGUGAGAAAUUAAAUAUGAAAAAGAUAUCAUACAAAGAUAUAAUAUCAUUGUCAUGCCAUAAUUUCGCAAUACAUUGACACUGUUCUAAUGAUAAAAUCAAUUGUCCCUGCGACGAAAAUUCACGAAGUAGCGUCUUACAGGCAAAAGAAAGUUGGGCUAAUGCUCCAAGAAACAAGAAACCAUUCACGGUAAACCCUCCAUCGACACAAAUGGUCUGUCCCGUUACGUAGGAGGCUGUCGGCAUGCACAAGAAGGCCACCAAUGAUGACACCUCCUUGGCUCUCCAAUGUGGCCGAGUGGUGUCCUUGCUAUCACCUCGUCAUGGGACUUUUCGUUGCUAACUGACUACGAUAACAUGAGUUCAUGUCAUAUCAUGAUGACGAACUUGAUCAAUAUCUAUGUAGUGAUAUGUUCUCAAGCACGAGAGAAACUUUACAGCCUUAAGAGAUAAUCUUACAGGCUCGGCUUGUGGGGUCAUUAUGUGCCAAGGUGCAAUAGAGUUGCUGUUGGAAUUUUGUUUGUUAAAACAAAAUAAGUGCCUUUUACUUUGUCCCACAUAGAAAAGGUGGGAGCAGGAGGAUUAGUUUAUUAAUGAGGAAUUUCCUUUUGUAGUUAAAGGAGUGAUUAGGUGGGGCUAGACCCACCAUACCCGCGUGCGGGUGCGCGGAUAAUUGCGCGAUUUUGGCUUUAAUGUAUGCAAUGCAUUGUACUAGACCCGAUAUUGCUUUUUCUGUAUGCAAGUUGAGUAGGUAUACAAGUAAUCCAAGUACAGAACAUUGGAGAGCUAUUACUAGAAUUUUUGGUUAUCUUAAGAGAACUAAAAAUUUAGGAUUGUUCUACAAUAAUUAUCCGGCUGUAUUAGAAGGAUACACCGAUGCUAGUUGGAUUACAAGUGUGGGAGAUGAGCGUUCCACUUCUGGAUGGAUCUUCACACUAGCUGGAGGUGCUGUAUCUUGGGCGAGCAAGAAACAGACAUGUAUAACUCACUCAACAAUGGAAUAUGAAUUCAUUGCUUUGGCGGCAGCUGGGAAAGAGGCUGAAUGGAUUAGAAAUUUGUUGUUGGAUAUCAAAUUAUGGCCUAGUCCUAUGCCUCCUAUUUCUAUCCACUGUGAUAGUCAGGCCACUUUGGCAAGAGCCUAUAGUAGCACCUAUAAUGGUAAGUCUAGACAUAUUAGUCUAAGACAUGAAUAUGUGAGACAAUUGAUUAAAGAUGGUACCAUAACAAUUGUCUAUGUGAGGUCAAGUAAAAAUCUUGCCGAUCCUUUGACGAAGGCUUUACCAAGACAUAUGGUAAUAACGACCUCACAAGAAAUGGGGCUGAAACCCUUUAAUUAAAAUCACCAAUAAUGGUAACCCGACCUUUUUCUAGAACAUCACUAGUUACAAGGUUUAAUGGGUAAGAACAAGUUAUUGAAUGUGAUUGUUUGAUACUGACAUAGCCCUGAUAUGAGAAGUCAGUAUUGUCUGUUACGUUUUGUAGGCUGAAUUGAAUUCUUAAUGAAGUAUGAUACAAGUUUAUAGUGUGUUGAUAGUAACAGAAACACAUGGUAGAUACUUCACCUAUAUGAGCUUAGAAGUGGUGCCGCUUCUUACGAAAGUGAGGGUUGCUUUCUAGAGAGCUCAUGAAACAGGAUCAAGCACAAGGCCAUAAUAGUGCGGAGUAAUAUAGAAAUUCUCGCUGAAACAAGAGGUUAGUGUAUGUGUGGUAUGUCCGGUUCUAUUACAUAAAAGUACAAGUUUAAAGCCGAGCUACUUGUCACUUUGAUAGAGCUUUGAUAUACUUGCACUAAGUAAAGGUUUAACUCGAAAGGGACCUUUAUGUAUGUAUAUUAAUCUUACUGAAACUUUGGCUGUAUGGUUUUUUAAAAUUUUAUUUUGAAAUUUUGUUUUACAAACAAAGUGGGGGAUUGUUGGAAUUUUGUUUGUUAAAACAAAAUAAGUGCCUUUUACUUUGUCCCACAUAGAAAAGGUGGGAGCAGGAGGAUUAGUUUAUUAAUGAGGAAUUUCCUUUUGUAGUUAAAGGAGUGAUUAGGUGGGGCUAGACCCACCAUACCCGCGUGUGGGUGCGCGGAUAAUUGCGCGAUUUUGGCGCGAUUAUUUGGCGCACUUAGCACUUUGCACGCUUGCGCGCCCGCGGUUUAAUUAGCAUUAAUCCCUUGCUUUUUAUUUAUUUUAUUUAUUUAUUUUUGGUUCAAAGGUUGCCUUUUAAUUUGAGAAUUUCGGAAAUGAAAUAUAAAUGAAAAUUCGAAAUUAUAUUUAAUAUAUAUAUAUAUAUAUAUAUAUAUAUAUAUAUAUUAUUCCGAAUUUUAUUUGUGCCUUUUCAAGACAACCUUGGGAAAAUUACUUAUUCGGUUUUGAUUUAUCCGAAGGAUUGCAAUUGUUCGUUUUCGACUUCUUCCGAAGAGUCGCGUUGGUUUAUCCGAACAAUUUUCUAAAGACGUGUUUGUUCGCAAUUUUCACGAAGAGUUGCAAGACCGUUUCAUAUAAAUACUUGUCAUUUUUCGGAAAGAAAUGGGUGGUCAUUUUCGAGUCUUCUUUCUGAAAACUGCAGCCAAUUUUCGAUUGUUUCAUAGAGAGACCCUGGAGAAAUACUAGAAUUGCUAUUUAGUAUUCUCAUCCGAGACUUUGUUGUAUCCUGGAGGAUUUUUGCCGGUGACCAUUAGCAACGUUGUGGGGCAAAUAAAUCCUUAAAGAAAGUGAUAUCACGCCUCAAAGUCUGAGUUGUUUUUUUACUCGAUCCGAUUUCAUUGUUCAACCCAUUUCGAAGACAUAUUUUACCAACAAUUUUAAGGAUUUAUUUUGCUGCAAUGGAGUCGGAGACAAUCAAAGUUAUGAAUCAAGAUAUGGUCAAACUAGACCGGUUCGAUGGGAACAAUUUUGCUCGCUGGAGGGACAAGAUGAUGUUCUUACUCACUGCUCUGAAGAUCUCCUACAUUCUGGAUCCUAACUUGGCGCCUAUAGAAGAUCCUACGCCUACUUUCGAUGGAGGACAGCCAAGUGCAGAAGCCAUUGAGAGGGUUAAUAAGGAAAAGAAGAAACGUGCGGAGGAUGAAUUACUUUGUCGAGGACACAUUUUGAACACACUCUCCGAUCGUCUGUACGACUUAUUCACUGAAAUGAAGUCGGCCAGAGAAAUUUGGAAUGCACUGGAAUUCAAGUACAAAGCGGAGGAGCAAGGUACCAACAAAUAUCUAAUUCCAAAGUAUUUUGAUUACAAGUUUAUUGAUACUAAGCCCUUGCUGGAACAAGUCCAUGAAUUGCAAGUGAUUGUGAAUAAGAUUCGUGCUCUCAAGAUUGAUAUUCCAGAAGCUUUUCAAGUUGGAGCAAUUAUUGCGAAAAUUGCCUCCAAGUUGGAAAGACUAUGGAAAAAGGCUGAUUCACAAGUCGGAGGACUUUACUUUGGAGCAAAUACAGAAACAUCUUCGCAUUGAGGAAGAGUCACGUUCACGUGAUAAUUCUGUUUUGUAUAAUUCCAAGGUGAAUUUUGUGGAUAAAAAACGGAAACUCGGCCAGAACUUCAAAGUAAAAAGCGGGGGGCAUAAAUUCAAGAGAACACAAAAGAAGCAAAAGGGUUGCUGUUUUGUAUGUGGCAAACAGGGACACUACGCCAAGGAUUGCUUUCAACGUAAGAGCUUUUCAAAGGACAAGAACAUUCCGGUGGUGAAAGCAGAUGCAAAUCUGGUUGAAGAAAAUUAUGUAGCCAUGAUUUCGAACAUGUUUUCGAACAUGGAAAUUUCUGAAAUAAAUGAUGCUAUGGCUAUGGUUUCUGAAAUUAAUUCUACCACUGUCCAAUCCAAUUGGUGGAUAGAUUCUGGAGCAACUGUUCAUGUGUGUAAGGACAAAUACAUGUUCAAGCAAUUUGAAGAAAUUGUUGACUCAAGUGUUCAAGAGGUCCUGAUGGCGAAUAAUGCUCUUGCAAAGGUUGCUGGAAAAGGCACGGUGGAGAUAGACUUCACUUCUGGAAAGAAGAUAACUCUUCUUAAUGUGUUAUUUAUACCCGAAAUUAGGAAGAACCUAGUUUCUAUUGAUUUACUUUGUAAGAGGGGGUUUCGGGUUUUGUUUGAAUCCGACAAGGUUAUCCUGUCGAAAAAUGGGCUGUUUGUUGGGAAGGGUUAUGCCAAUGAUGGCAUAUAUCAACUGAGUAUCAAUAAUAAUAUUUCUAGUUCUGCUUAUAUUGUCGAGUCUUCAAUUUUAUGGCAUAGUAGGUUGGCACAUAUAAAUUUUCGUUAUUUGAAGAAUAUGAAAAAAUUAGACUUGAUAGAUUUCAGUGGCGAAUUUGAUAAAUGUGAAAUAUGUGCUAAGUCAAAACUUACUAAGAAGCCAUUUCCUAGUGUUAAAAGAAAUUCGAAUUUAUUGGAUUUGGUUCAUAGUGAUAUAUGUGAAUUUAAUGGUAUGCUAACACGUGGAGGUAAAAGGUAUUUUAUUACCUUUGUGGAUGAUUGUAGUAGGUUCUUAUAUGUUUAUCUCAUGAGAUCGAAGGAUGAAGCAUUUACCAUGUUUAAGAAAUAUAAAGCUGAAGUAGAGAAUCAAUUAGAAAAGAAAAUCAAAGUUCUACGAUCAGAUAGAGGUGGAGAAUAUUUCUUAAAUGAAUUCUCUUCAUUUUGUGAAGAACAUGGUAUUAUUCAUCAAGCUUCAGCACCAUAUACUCCACAACAAAAUGGUUUGGCUGAAAGGAAAAAUCGAUCUCUUGGAGAAAUGGUUAAUUGUAUGCUUUCAAAUUCAAAGCUACCAAUUAAUCUUUGGGGAGAAGCAUUACUUACUGCAUGCUAUAUUCAUAAUAGAAUACCUUCCAAGAAAAAUGACAUAACCCCUUAUGAAAUAUGGAAAGGAAGAAAGCCAAAUUUGUCAUAUCUUAAAGUGUGGGGGUGUUUAGCAUACUACCGAGCUCCAGAUCCUAAGAGAACAAAGCUCGGUCCUAGAGCUAUCAAAAGUGUUUUCAUAGGGUAUGCUGAAAAUAGUAAAGCUUAUAGGCUUCUUGAUUUAGAGUCUAAUGUCAUAGUAGAAUCGAGAGACGUCGAAUUCUUUGAGAAUAAAUGUUUUACAAGUUCUGAAAUGAUUGAAAAUAAUUCAAGAUCUAUUGAAACUCAAAGUGAUUUUCAAGAGAAAGAAACGAAUUCUAAAGACAUGAUUGAAUUAAGGAGAAGUACUAGAGCUAGGAAAAUAAAAGACUUAGGUCCUGAUUUUAUUACUCAUGUUUUUCUUGUUGAAGGAGAUGGAUAUAAUAAUAUGGUAAAUAAAUACCCUUUAGUGUUAAAUUUAGAAGAUGAUCCUGGAAGCUUUGAUGUUGCUAUGUCUUCUAGAGAUGCUUCUUUUUGGAAAGAAGCUGUGAAUGAUGAAAUGGACUCCAUUAUGUCCAAUAAUACUUGGGUAUUAGUAGAUUUACCAAAAGGAUCAAAACCUAUUGGAAGCAAAUGGGUUUUUAGAAGAAAAUAUCAUUCUGAUGGUUCUAUUCAAGCUUUUAAAGCUAGGCUUGUAGUUAAGGGAUAUAGACAAAAAGAAGGUAUAGAUUAUUUUGAUACAUAUGCUCCUGUUGCACGUAUAACUUCCAUUCGAGUUCUUUUUGCUCUAGCUUCCAUUUAUGAUCUUUGUGUUCAUCAAAUGGAUGUGAAAACUGCUUUCUUAAAUGGAGACUUAAAUGAGGAGAUUUACAUGGAACAACCGGAGGGUUUUGUUCUUCCUGGAAAUGAAAGAAAAGUAUGUAAAUUGAUUAAGUCUCUUUAUGGACUUAAGCAAGCUCCUAAGCAGUGGCAUGAAAAGUUUAAUUCGGUCAUAUUGUCAAAUGGCUUCAUCAAUAAUAGUGCCGAUAGGUGUAUAUACUCUAAAUUCACUAAAGACUAUGGUGUCUUAGUGUGCUUGUAUGUUGAUGAUAUGCUUAUCUUUGGAACGAAUAUGACUGGAGUUAAUGAAACUAAGAAGUAUCUAACUUCCAUGUUUAAAAUGAAGGAUUUGGGUGAAGUAGAUACUAUCUUAGGUAUUAAAGUUAAGCAAAAUAGUGGGGGUUAUUCUUUAAGCCAAUGUAGUUAUGUUGAAAAAUUAUUAAAUAAAUUUCAACAUCUUGGUUUUAAAGAAAUAAGUACUCCAUUUGAUUCUAGUAUUAAAUUAAAUUAUAAUACUGGUAGAGCGGUGGCACAACUAGAAUAUGCAAGUGCUAUAGGGUCUUUAAUGUAUGCGAUGCAUUGUACUAGACCCGAUAUUGCUUAUUCUGUAUGCAAGUUGAGUAGGUAUACAAGUAAUCCAAGUACAGAACAUUGGAGAGCUAUUACUAGAAUUUUUGGUUAUCUUAAGAGAACUAAAAAUUUAGGAUUGUUCUACAAUAAUUAUCCGGCUGUAUUAGAAGGAUACACCGAUGCUAGUUGGAUUACAAGUGUGGGAGAUGAGCGUUCCACUUCUGGAUGGAUCUUCACACUAGCUGGAGGUGCUGUAUCUUGGGCGAGCAAGAAACAGACAUGUAUAACUCACUCAACAAUGGAAUAUGAAUUCAUUGCUUUGGCGGCAGCUGGGAAAGAGGCUGAAUGGAUUAGAAAUUUGUUGUUGGAUAUCAAAUUAUGGCCUAGUCCUAUGCCUCCUAUUUCUAUCCACUGUGAUAGUAAGAGCCUAUAGUAGCACCUAUAAUGGUAAGUCUAGACAUAUUAGUCUAAGACAUGAAUAUGUGAGACAAUUGAUUAAAGAUGGUACCAUAACAAUUGUCUAUGUGAGGUCAAGUAAAAAUCUUGCCGAUCCUUUGACGAAGGCUUUACCAAGACAUAUGGUAAUAACGACCUCACAAGAAAUGGGGCUGAAACCCUUUAAUUAAAAUCACCAAUAAUGGUAACCCGACCUUUUUCUAGAACAUCACUAGUUACAAGGUUUAAUGGGUAAGAACAAGUUAUUGAAUGUGAUUGUUUGAUACUGACAUAGCCCUGAUAUGAGAAGUCAGUAUUGUCUGUUACGUUUUGUAGGCUGAAUUGAAUUCUUAAUGAAGUAUGAUACAAGUUUGUAGUGUGUUGAUAGUAACAGAAACACAUGGUAGAUACUUCACCUAUAUGAGCUUAGAAGUGGUGCCGCUUCUUACGAAAGUGAGGGUUGCUUUCUAGAGAGCUCAUGAAACAGGAUCAAGCACAAGGCCAUAAUAGUGCGGAGUAAUAUAGAAAUUCUCGCCGAAACAAGAGGUUAGUGUAUGUGUGGUAUGUCCCGUUCUAUUACAUAAAAGUACAAGUUUAAAGCCGAGCUACUUGUCACUUUGAUAGAGCUUUGAUAUACUUGCACUAAGUAAAGGUUUAACUCGAAAGAGACCUUUAUGUAUGUAUAUUAAUCUUACUGAAACUUUGGCUGUAUGGUUUUUUAAAAUUUUAUUUUGAAAUUUUGUUUUACAAACAAAGUGGGGGAUUGUUGGAAUUUUGUUUGUUAAAACAAAAUAAGUGCCUUUUACUUUGUCCCACAUAGAAAAGGUGGGAGCAGGAGGAUUAGUUUAUUAAUGAGGAAUUUCCUUUUGUAGUUAAAGGAGUGAUUAGGUGGGGCUAGACCCACCAUACCCGCGUGUGGGUGCGCGGAUAAUUGCGCGAUUUUGGCGCGAUUAUUUGGCGCACUUAGCACUUUGCACGCUUGCGCGCCCGCGGUUUAAUUAGCAUUAAUCCCUUGCUUUUUAUUUAUUUUAUUUAUUUAUUUUUGGUUCAAAGGUUGCCUUUUAAUUUGAGAAUUUCGGAAAUGAAAUAUAAAUGAAAAUUCGAAAUUAUAUUUAAUAUAUAUAUAUAUAUAUAUAUAUAUAUAUAUUAUUCCGAAUUCAAGACAACCUUUGGAAAAUUACUUAUUCGGUUUUGAUUUAUCCGAAGGAUUGCAAUUGUUCGUUUUCGACUUCUUCCGAAGAGUCGCGUUGGUUUAUCCGAACAAUUUUCUAAAGACGUGUUUGUUCGCAAUUUUCACGAAGAGUUGCAAGACCGUUUCAUAUAAAUACUUGUCAUUUUUCGGAAAGAAAUGGGUGGUCAUUUUCGAGUAUUCUUUCUGAAAACUGCAGCCAAUUUUCGAUUGUUUCAUAGAGAGACCCUGGAGAAAUACUAGAAUUGCUAUUUAGUAUUCUCAUCCGAGACUUUGUUGUAUCCUGGAGGAUUUUUGCCGGUGACCAUUAGCAACGUUGUGGGGCAAAUAAAUCCUUAAAGAAAGUGAUAUCACGCCUCAAAGUCCGAGUUGUUUUUUUACUCGAUCCGAUUUCAUUGUUCAACCCAUUUCGAAGACAUAUUUUACCAACAGUUGCCUCUUAUAUUGUCCUUAGCCCAUUCACAUGCCAAAUUCUUGGUUAAUUGGUUCAUUGCUCCUAAGAAUCAACUUGGAGGAAAAAAGAGAUGAAUUUUUUAGCUCCAUAUGAAAAACGUUCAGAUAGUUAGUUAUGAUAAUAUUAACUUACCUUUGGUUGUCGAGUAAAUUGGUCCAACAUUCAUUGAAACGAUGCCGAUAAAUGAAAAAAUUUCCGCUGAAUAUUCCAUGGUCAGAUUUACUCUGUUGGUUUGUUGAUCUACCACACAAACUGCUCCCAUUAAAAUGAAAACCAGGUACCAAAUCCAUCGAAAGAAAUGCACAAAUUACGACCUUGUUAUUGAUGUUGUAAUCGGAUCCACAGGAUCAAACUUACUAGGAAGUUGAGCCUCCCGUCGAAGAGGGAGGACACAGUAAGCAUCGGCUUCUCUCGCUCCGAUCUUAAGGAAAAAUCACAAGUCGAACCCGUGACCUGGAAAUCCUUUCUCUUCCAAUCUUUCACCGGCUACAUUUCUGGAACAGGUAUACACGGUGGCCCCAAGCCUUGCUGUCUUCUCGACAAUGGCAUGCCUAAUCAUGGUACGACAAUAUGACUAUUAAGCCUUAGUACAUGUCAUACCUAGGAUUGUUAUGAACAGGCCAUUUUAGCGACGCAAUCCUUGAAGUAAUUGACCUCUCUGUUAUGUCCCUCGUCAUUUUCAUCGAUCGAGUUUUAGAUGGCGAUUAUAUAGAUUUUCUAGCUUAUUAUUUAUAGAAUCCAACAUCUGAAUUUAGAAGAACCUACUAUCUCUUGGGGCAAGCCUAGCUGAAAAUGAUUUUUUCAAGCCCAGACAGGCUUGAGCCGGGCUACUAAACCCAUUUGUGCUGUUACUAGUUAAACAUUAUAUGAGGGAUGCAAUGGCCGAAAAUAGCAUCAAAGGCAUUUUAACCUAUGGCUCCAUGGUGGUGCUUUGCAGAAGCUUUUUGAUGUAUAUGAUACAGCCUGCACAUUCUCAGAAGUUAUGUACGCAAAAUUUCGGGCCUAAGCCAGAAUAGCCCGAAUUGGACUUGACCGGAGUUAUUUAGCCGGGCUAGUAUAUAAAGGACUGAUCACUCGGCCAAGAAAUUCUAGGCCAUAUUUGUUCUCAUAGGACCAAAAAAGGUACCUCGACGUUCGGAUUGCCUAAUCCGUACACAAUUCUACCGUCACACACAUUAUUAUGAAGAAAUAAGAUGCCAUAAUUGACGGUUUUUAGAUGCCUAAUUCAUCAUGUUUGUUCCUCCAACCUAAACCAAAAUAGUCAAUUGAUUAUCAAAAUCAACAUUGCAAAAGAAUGAGGUGUUUGAGUGAGAGAGAGGUCCGAUUCCAUUAGUUCCACCGGUGACGAGAGCGCUCAUUCCGUGAAGCGACCACCUGUUGUCGUUGUUGCGGCUGCCCCAUCUCCUUGCCGUUCCACUCCCCUCAGGAGCCAUUCUCUUUCUUUCUAAUAUCUGAUUUUUUUCCCUCGUCUCACUUGUUUUCUUUUUGGGUCUAUGCGACUUUCUAACUAUCCACUGUGUCAUGUAUAAGUACGGGGGAAUUGGGUUCGGCGGCGAUUCCGUGUGGCCUGAUAUUAGGGUCCAGGUGGAUGAAGUCGUACUGCCAUUUGCAGCGUGAGAUCGACAGAAGAUAAAGCAUAAAGUUACCACGUGACCGACGAUGGCCAAAAAGCGACGGAAGCUCGCCGUGUGUGUCUGGCGCUCUCACAUGGAUCGAAUGCAUGCGUGCAAUGCUGGCUCAGACAUUGGGCUUGAGAAUACUUGGGCUAGGGUGGCGAAGCCUGCAGGACGCCACAGUCCCAUUGCACAGCACGGCCCACACGCCCGAUUGUUUUGGUGAACUGAUCGCUUUGAGAAGACCAGAAGCAAUUGGAGUCCUUAGUCCAAUAUCGACUGAGAUCUUAGGAGUCCUUAGUCCAAUAUCGACUGAGAUCUUACAUAAUGCUACUCGAGAAAUUAAAAAUCAAAAGACAUCACGCGAGAGAGGACACAAUUAUAAUACCAUCACCUCACAAUGCAUUGAAAUCGUUCUAACCCUUUGUGUAACUGAUAAAUAGUGACCAUAUAAAUCUACCAAUCAAACUUAUUUUAUUUCUUUUUUUUUUGGCAUUAUCAUGUUAACUAAAGAUGAACCCGUGUCUAUGGCACGAUUAUAAUAGUACCACAUACAAUUAUUUCAGCCAAAUCUUUUCUAAGUUUGAAAGCGGUAUUGUGAACAGUCUUUCAGAAAACAUUCUGAAAUAAGAAAAUAAAAACUCUGUAUUUCACUAAUAUAUUGUUUUUUUGUUGAAAAUCUUUGAUGUUUUGCAAAGAUCUAUCAUUAAAACGUAUUUUUGAUAUACGUUAGCGAGAUGAGUGGAUAUAUAUUGUGUACAAUGUUUUCCUUUAAUUUCCUAAUAAUUGGAACGUCAUUAAAAAGUUCAAGAAAAUGCUUAUUUAAAUGGAUAAAUUCUGUUGAAGCUACCUAGAAAAAAAAAACAUAGCUUUUUAUAUGAUAAAUUUAUUGGACCGUGUUUGUCAUGUCAAUCAUUGCUUGUCAAGUACAUAUAUUUAAAAAAAAACAAAACACAUACAUAUUUAAAUUUAGGCAAUGGCUUAAACAUAAGAAAAAGUUUCACGAGAAGCUAAUAAAUGGAGGCUUAAAAGUGAGAAUAGCAAGUGAGGGGAAAAUGUACUAAAUUAGUCAUGAAUUUUUAAAUUUUAUUAGUAGAAUUAAAAAAUUUUUUUUUGUGAAAUUUUAAUGUAGUCUUUUUCAGUUAAUUUUCAUGUGAAAAUGCUCAUGUAAAGGUCUAUUUAUUAUUGAUUGUCUUAAAUAGCAUAAUUGGCCCUGAGUUGUGGUUACUGUUCAUCUUCCUUUCCUUCUUCUGUUCAUUUUGUUCAUGUCCUUCUUCUUCAAGCACAUGGUCGCGCAAAUCAGCACCAAGUUCAUACACCCUCUCUCCGAAUUGAACUGCUAUGCUGCAGACCACAAACCCUCCGUAGCUCAUCCCCACCACAUUCAUCUUCUUCAAGCCAAUUGCCUCCAGCUGCACCCAAUAUUUUCUCCUCCAUUAGAGCAAUUGUGCACUAGGCUUGGAAUUGCUCCGUCUGCUCAGGCCUCAUCGUGCAAGAGUCUACAAAGAAGACAAAGUCAAGGACGUACACGCUGAAGCAAGCAGCCAGCGGGGAGACGAAGUCAUUCCACUCGGCACUACCACAUUCCGUUGGCGCCAACGCCGGGGAGGAGGUGGAGGAGGAGGUUGGGCCUUAUUUGUGAUAUUGACGAGAUUUGCACUCCUAUUCAAAGAAAGGAGAGAUUGUAAGCAAAUCUGUAUAUUGACAGUUUUCUUAUUUUUUGGAGUUUCCUAUUUUUGGGUUUACUUGUUUCCUUUGUUGUAGCAACCCUUGUGUACAAAUUGCAAAAGAAUGUUAUGACAAAAAAAUAAGAGAAUUGAGAGUUUUGUCCAAGGCCAUAGGCACAUUGCUAAACCUCAUAAUUCUUGUGUUCUUUUUUGUGAUUGCUUUAUUAAAACUCAACAUGGUAUCAAAGCAUGUUUGUUUCAAUCUGUGAUUUUUUGGGUUUGGUUUUUUUGCACAUCUAAUUGUCUUGAUCUACUUACGUUCGGGUCCGUUCCUAUUCCGACGAUCUGUGUUCUUUGGUUAGUGCUUGUUCCUCUCUUUGUUGCUGUCAUAUCCUUGUUAUUACUACCAACACGCCAUGGAGGGGUCAACGAAGUCCGGAGAUGCAUCCUGUGACGCCCCGAACCCCGAGCGCGCGCACAUCCCACUGCGGUCGAUCAAAUAUGCGACAUCCCAGGAUACGUCGCCGACCCAUUCAUUUUAUUAUGCAUGCGGAAGUGAAACAAAUCCCCUGACAACAUUUAACUUGGGAUAGAAAAGCAGGAAACAAUUUCACAACCAAUCACUUACAUAAACUAACGAAGUUACAAACGAAGGCCUAUAGCCAAAAGUCUACAAAAGACCGGCUCUUAAAAAGGAAUUGUCCUACGACCUACAAGUCGGACACGUUCUCCAAUCUUAUGCCUUCACCUCUGCAACUCCUCAAGGCCAACCAAAGCUAUCUGGCCACUCCGUCCACCAGGGACCUGAAAUUUUAAUCCCACAACCGGGAUGAGACGAUGUCUCAGCAAGUUCAACCCCCUAAACCCCUAUUAGAAAGAAAAUACGCCCAAUGGUGGCCUAGCCACAUCACACAGAGAACUUACCUCGCCUCAAUUCUUCCCUGCAGGUUAGCACAAUUCAAAUCACUCAAUCACAGAUAGUAAUAGGAACUUAAACAACCAAAACGCAUUCACUUUCAUAUAACCAACAACCACAGAGGUUCUGAUUAUAAGACUAAAUUGUUAUGACACGUCCCAUUCCAUACCGCACAAUUCCGUCCCAUAAUCCGACCCAUCAAUAACACUCAACAUGCAUUCCAAUUGUCAUUCACGGCCAAACAAGGGCAUAGCUUACUCGCAGUUCAGCUAUCUACUGGCCUAUAACCAGGCAUUGCCUCCCCACCUUGGAGCGCGGCUUCGUCAGUACAUCGACGGCAUUCCCGAAGGAGCAUGGGUCCAGUCGGCCUAGCCACUACUGCGACCCGAGCCACGUCACUCUCUCUUGACGGCAUUUCUAGAAGAACAAAGGUCCAGUCGGCUUAGCCACUACUGCGACCCGAGCCACGUCACUCGCCCUUGACGGCAUUUCUAGAAGAACAAAGGUCCAGUCGGCCUAGCUACUACUGCGACCCGAGCCACGUCACUCUCUCUUGACGGCAUUUCUAGAAGAACAAAGGUCCAGUCGGCCUAGCCACUACUGCGACCCGAGUCUUUCAACCAGCACACAACAAUUCAAUAAUUAAUUGCACAAAUCAUCACUCAAUUUGUAAUAUCUAAUCAUCAAAUUCAUAAUCUGAAUACAAAGCAGCGAUCAGCACAAAAUUCUGAGAAUUUAGGGUCCCAACUUAAUUUUCGGAAUUUAUUUAAUAAUUAAAUUUAUUUCGAAAAUUAAUUAAAUAAUAAUAUCCCUAUCUUUCACAAUCCACACUCGAUUUAUAAUAUACAAUUGUCAAUUUCAAAAUCUGACUACACAGCAGCGAGCGGCACGAAAUUCUGAGAAUUUAGGGUCCCGACAAAAUUUUCGGAAUUUAAUAAAUAAUUAAAUUUAUUCCGAAAAUAAUUAAAUAAUAAUAUUUUAAUAAUUUCGAAUAAUAAUAUAUUAUUAAAUUAUUAAAUAAUUUCGAGAUAUUUAAAUAAAUCAAAAGUAAAUUCCUUCAUGUCAAAUCACCAUUAUACUAAUAUAAACAUCAAUUUAACCUUAACCAAACAUACUUUAAGUUAAUCCAACAUCUUAAUCUAAUUCACAAUUAAAUAAACUCAACUAACCACCUAAGCUUAAUUUAACUUAAGCUAAACACACCUAAAGCAUAAUUAACCCUCUAAGCGAGGUUUAGUGAGCUAAACUCACCCGACUAACGAACCGAGCGGACCAAAACGACGGGGAUGAUGCGAGGAUCGACUUUCCUCAAGGCGGGCCGAGCAUCCGGGCUCGGGAAGGCGGCCAAAAUGGGCCAAACACCCGCUGCCGUACCCAUUUCUGCAGCUGCUGUCCAUGGCUGAAAAAAAGAGAAGAUAAGCUCGGGUUGAGGCGAGGAUGGGUCGGGGGAAAGUGGAGGAGUCGAACCGGACUAAGGCGGGACCCAAACGGUGGCCGGAGGGGGCUGAACCGCAGCCCGAGCUAGCCGAACAACCGCUUGGAAGUGAAGACGGUGGCGGAGAGGCAAGGCAGACGACGGCGAGCGGACGUGCGACUACGCGCGUGAAUGGCGGCGACAACGACGGCACCGGCGGCGAACGGCGAGCGACGAAGGAGGCGGACGAAGGCCGGCGUCGGGCUGCUGGUUUUCUUCCCGUUCGGUUCUCUCUCUCCUCCCCCCAAGUUCCAACACAACUCCUUGAUUCAAGGAAGAAGAAAGGCUUGAUGUGAGGGGUGCUUUUUGGGGCAAUUGUGCACCCUACACUUGUCCAAAUCUCCUCAACUUAGUCCCCACCAUGACCUCAUGUGACAUCACUUCCCACUCACUCAAAUCCUCCACAACAUUUCUCCAAUGGGUCCAAAAUGCUUCCUCCGCCGUGGCAUACGAAUUUUGAAAUCUUGUACAUCCAAGCAUGGCUCCAAGCAUUUCUGGAAAAAGAAGAAAUGGAGAUACCUACGCAAAAGGAAGGAGCACACAGGCCAUAAGAAGUCAAGUCGUUGCUACAUUCCCAGAAGAAAAAGCACUACAAGAAAUAUUCAAUUAAAAAAUCCAAGCAUGGUUCCAAGCAUUUCCGGAAAAAGAAGAAAUGGAGAUACCUACGCAAAAGGAAGGAGCACACAGGCCAUAAGAAGUCAAGUCGUUGCUACAUUUGCAACAAAAAAGGACAUUUUGCCAAAAAUUGUCCUAAGGCGAAAAAAGGUCAGAUUCAUCUAAUAGAGAAUAAAACAGGUUUUUCACUUGAAAAUGAUGAUAUUGAAUCCUUAUUCUCUGCUGAUGAUGAACCAACUGAACAAACUCUUUGUGCCAUUCCUUUUUACCAAACUUCUAGUGACACUGAGUCUGACUCAGGAUCUGAAGAUAUUUUUCACAUAUCUCCCACCUCUUCAGAGCCAAAUCCUGACAUAUUCUCAAGCCAUACUCACUGUCCCCAUUUCCCUGUUAAAAUCCUCACCUCAAAGUUUGCCAAACCCAUCAACGUCAUUGCUCUUAUUGACACAGGAGCAAGUUGUUCCAUUCUGGACACAAAAGUUCUACCUGAAGAAUUCUGGACUCCUUACAUACGAUACUUCAAUUCUGCGUUAGGAGAUACUUUCUCCACAAAUGUCAGAACCACUCCUGUCACUGUCCAGUUCUUCCCGCAGUGUUCCAUAACUGCAAAAAUUUUUGGAUCCAACCUUCCCAAUAAAGAUCUGAUAAUUGGGUGGGACAUCAUGACUCAGAUCUCUCAACUUCGCAUCAUUCCUGGAAAAGGUCUUAGAUAUAAAGAUCAAUUCUCUGAGUUUGUUAAUAUUCAGAGGCUGUUUUCCAUUGAAAUGAGUUUGCUAGAUCCGAUUAUGCAGAAGUUGUUAGAAUCUUGUUCAGAAUCCCAUGCAGAAUUUGCCCAAAAGUGCUCUCAUCCUUUAUGGAAAAAUCCCGAGUUCUUUGUUCGUCUUCCUUUCAAAAAAAAUGAAGACAUAAAUCCAACCAAGGCGAGCCACAUGGGAAUGAAACCAGAACAUUUGGUUUUAGCUCAAAAGGAAUGCUCGGAACUUUUGCAAUAAGGCCUUAUUGAAGUUUCUGACUCACAAUGGGCUUGUGAAGCCUUUUAUGUCAAUAAACGAGCCGAGCAAAACAGAGGAAAAAUGAGAUUAGUGAUCAACUAUCAACCUCUCAAUCUUUUCCUCCAAGAUGAUAAGUUCCCUUUACCAUCUAGAGACUCACUCUUUAGUGGUCUAACCAAGGCCCACAUCUAUUCCAAAUUUGAUCUCAAAGCCGGAUUUUGGCAAUUGGGUAUCCAUCCUGAAGACAGAUCCAAAACAGGAUUCUGUAUUCCAAAUCAGCACUUCCAAUGGAAAGUUCUUCCUUUCGGUCUAAAGGUAGCACCAUCCCUUUUCCAAAAGGCCAUGUGCCGCAUCUUCCAACCAAUUCUAGCAAGUGCAGCUGUAUACAUUGACGAUAUUCUGCUCUACAGUCCUGAUGAACAGUCACACUGCCAACUCCUUGAGCAGUUUGCAGAAAUCGUAAGAAAGCAUGGCAUUAUGCUUUCACAAAGAAAAAUGAAUAUUGCCCAGACGGAAAUUGAAUUUCUUGGUAUGCACCUUAACAAAGGAACAUACUACCCAGGGUCACAUAUCGCCCAAGAAUUACUGAAGUUUCCCCAGGAUAACUUCACAACAAAGCAAGUCCAGCAAUUCCUUGGGAUAAUUAACUAUCUCAGGGUGUUUGUCCCAAAUAUCGCAAAGCUUCUGAUUCCUUUGCAAUCCAUGCUAAAGAAAAAUUCCCCACCCUGGGGAAAAGCUCAGACUAAAACAGUUGCUGAACUCAAAGAGAUUAUGCAGAAUCUCCCACCAUUACAAAUACCAUCAACAGGAAAGAGAAUUCUCCAAACUGACGCCAGUGAUGAAUACUGGGCGGCUGUUCUUUUUGAAGAAAUUGAUGGUAAGAGACUCCUAUGUGCCCAUAAAAGUGGGAAGUUUUCUCAAGCUGAAAUGCAUUACCACUCCACUUUCAAAGAAAUCCUAGCAGUCAAAAAUGGAAUCAAAAAAUUUGAAUUUCAUCUCAUUGGCCACCACUUCCUGGUGGAAUUAGACAUGGCAUCUUUCCCUCAGAUGACCAAGUUUAAACAAAAACAGAUUCCAAAUUCCCAACUGCUUAGAUGGGCUGAAUGGUUUUCAAAAUACUCCUUUGAAACAAAGCAUAUUCCUGGAAAGAAGAAUGUACUUGCUGACUUCUUAUCAAGGCCAAAGGCACCAGCCGAGAUCAACAUGUACAUCAAACGGCCUGCUUUCCAUAUGCUCAACCAUGGAGUAAAAUACAAGAUUGAGAACAUCAAAGAUUCGCAGAGCUGGAAAUAUCCCCAGGAGAUUAUUCAGCAAAUCCAGAACGACAGCCUUGCUGAGAACCUGGAGAACCUCAUGUGGCAAUGCCACACAGACCUAUUCAGAUUCAAUGGAGGUUCGAUUCUUUAUCCUUUCGGGUUAAAUAUUAAUUAUCCAUUCAUUCAUCCUCUUAUCUGGAAGGAAGAUGAUUUCCCUGAACAGCUCAAAAUGUUAUUAUGGUACUUAACCAAUAAGUAUCUGAUAGCUUUUGAAAUCCCAACCCGAAGAUUCGUUGCUAACCUCACAAGGAUAUUCCUGCUCGGAAGAAACGUUGAAAAAGAAUGUGAUAGAAAUCUUUUAGAAUUUCUAAAUUGGUUCUACCCUCCUACAUGUUGGAAACAAGACUUAGAAAGAGAACUGAGAUCGACAACGCCAAACUCCGAAGUCCACACCAUCCUGUUUUUUCGACGUCCUUGGAAUUUCUGUAGAAAUAAUGGCAGUAUUCUCGAUGCACCACUAGAAAUAGGAACCACAUCCUAUAAACCUAGCUUGAACAAUCGAGAAGCUCGGAUUUACAGAUCUUAUCCUAGAUCUGUUCGACUCUGCGAAAGUGAAUAUCGAGAACUCCAAAGAAUCCUGUGCCAGGAAAACAAGACCAUUCCCGAAGAAAUAUGGAAUAAUGUACCCACUACGUGGGAUCAUUAUGACCUAGCACCAGAAGCUAAGGAAGCACUCGAACAAUACAGACAAGCCUCAUCGUCCCAAGAGCCUGAAAUGACAAGCGAAGAUGACAUCGUCCAGUCCACUCAGGACCCCUAUGCACGCUUUGGAGGACCUCUGUCCCAGGAUCCCUACGAACAAUUCCAAAGCAUGGACACAUCUUUCUAUGCAGAGCCAUCCAAUUGGCCCCAGCCGAGAAUUCCUAACCUUCAGGAAGAUGAAAAUACAAACUGGGCUGAAGAAGAAGCAUCACAUUGGGCUCAUGAACAAGCCUCCUCAUCACGAAGAUUGAACCAGAUCCUCUCACCAGAAGACCUUGAAGCCCUUGAACAGAAGUAUGAAGCACAUCUCCUAGGAGGCAGCUCGGAUGACUCAGUGUGUAGCUACAAUGCUCGUGACGGACGAGACCGUUAAGUCCGUACAUUUUCACUGUAGCAAACCACUGUUCACUUUUACUGUAGCACUAGGCUAGGGAAUGUAUUGUUCACAGUACAGUUACUGUUCAUAGUGUGCGAAUAAUUCCCUGUCGGUGCCCCUGUUGUUCCCGGACCCGUGAGCUUGGUCCCUGUGUGUCUUUGUGACCUCUUAUUGCCUAUAUAAGGCAAAGAGGGUGUAAUGUUUUGGGCAGAGUCCCCUGAAGUAAAAAGUGUGCUUUGUGAAAAUCUCUCCAUGGCUUUCUAAACUCUCUCUUCUUCUCCAGCCUGGUAGGAUCCUUCAAGAAAUGCAGCUUGGGUAGGUUAGAAACGUUUCCAUCCUGGCAUCUCUGAGUGUCUCUAGGCUCUGAACUAAAGGGCUGAGUGGUUUGCUGCUAAAAGGCUGUCCCUAAAGGGCUUGAACGGUGUUGUUCGCUCACUGUGGGAUGCAUACCUGCAGUAAAUUUACUCUUCCUCCCUGGUUCUAAGUCUAGGUCCAUUCAUGGUAUCAGAGCCAUGGUCUCGUUUUUAAUGUUGCCCAUUCCAUGCGCUUGACAGGUGAAUCCAGUGCUGAGAAGAUUUCCUCUCAUCAUGUCUACAGAACCAGAAAUCCUCGAAGCACCAGUGUCCCUUACACCUUCGUCUUCAUCCUCAGCACCUCCUGAGUUCCGUGUUUCUAAUGCUUCAAAGAUAGAUUACCUUUAUGAAGUCUCUCUUUCUGAUGAGACUAAGAUUUCUGAAACCCAGCUCCCCCUCAUGAACCCCUACUCCGCUUUUGCGAAGCCAACCUCAUCAUUUUCACCUAUCCGCUCCAUCCGUCAGCUUAUUCACCAAACCCCAAAGCAAGUAAAAGAGUACGUCCAGUCCUCAAAAUUCGACCAGCAUCCUAUCCCUGCCACUGAGAAGGAAUACUUUGUUACUCUCCAGAUCCCUCCAGAAUUUCCCAGACAAUGGGCUCAACAAGGAUACACUCAUGUCCAUUAUGGAGCUGUACGUCUUGCUCUGACUUUCCACGGUCGAAAAGGUUUGCCAGUGGUGGCAAGAGUAGCAUUACUAGACACCAGGUUUUUGCAAUACCAGCAUGCUUGCAUCGGAACUGUUCAAACUACUUUGAAUGCAGGAACAGUCUUUGUCACACUAUAUCCAAAUUUCAACAUCGCUCUUUCGGAUCCUCAGUUACUUUCUUUUAUGAAAGUCCAAGUCCAACUUACUGGAGCCCCUCAAACUGCUGACUCUGUAGCUGCAACACUACAUUACCAGAUGGUUUAUAGAGUGCAGAACCAUGCACUUGACCUCAACUUCAACAAUGGUAAUGAAGACGCCUUGUUCAUCUCCAUGCAGAAUGAUCAGGCAUCCUGUAUCCAUGUUCCUAGACAAAUUCCGAAGGAUAUGUUAGCCAAGCUCCUUCCAGAGACUUGGAUUACCAACUACGAAAAGCUACAUCAGCAUAACAAACCUUUCCAGUCUACGGACUCAGAGUUCAUAAGAAAAAAAGAUGGAACUGUUUCCAUCAAAUUUGGCAAGGAAAAAGAAGAAAGUCCUUCUAUCUUCCAAACCCUCUUUAUGAUUGAACCAUGUGUCCCUCAGUCUAUUUCCGAGCCAGAUCCAAAAAAGCAUGUCAAGCAUUUUGAUGGUAAUGGACAUCCUGUUCAUUACUACAAAGACAAUUAUGGUCAUUGUUUUUGGGAUCCUUUUUGUCAGUGCUCUUACUGCACAAAAUCCCCCGACGAGGUAGAUCCUUUUGAAAGACCCCCACCUCAAUGGAAAAGGCCAAAAGAUAAAAUUUUCCAAAGGUACUUGGACGGAGAUUCCUCCGUCGAUACUCUUGGUGAAUGUGAUAAAUACCAAUUCAUGGUUUCUUAUGGCCUGUGUGCUCCUUCCUUUUGCGUAGGUAUCUCCAUUUCUUCUUUUUCCGGAAAUGCAUUGAAGUCUAUAAAAUUAAUCCAAUGUCACCACACUUCAAUUCACAUCUUCACUUGUCCAUAGAACCAUCUUAGAUCUCAAAAGCACAACCAAAGACGGGCCUACCAAUUUUCCGAACCAAAUUAACCAUACCUUGAUGAUUUUGCCGAAAACCUCGGCUUGCAUGAAAAAUCUUCCAAAGAUGAGUCAAUAUUCCUAAAAUGAUUUGUGACACACCCAGACUUCUAAUUUCUGAAUUCGAUCUCAAUUCCACGGUUAAUUUCACUUUGGCACGAUACUAGCGCGGCCCAACCUACCGGAUAGCCUUUAGAAAUUUUCAUGCAUUUGACCUGUGGUUGAUCAUCUCAAGCCACAAUGUACAUCUUUGAAACAUUGGCGACCUUCGGUUGUCGGGGUAAUCUCAAGGUUUCAAAUACGAACACAUGGUACCCAAUCGAUAGAAAAGUCGGCCCAGUGUCGAUCGACAGGGAUUAUGCGAUCUGGUGGAAUCACCCACACUCGAUCACAUGCCUCUGUCGAGUCGACUUAUCUCCGAUCUCUAAUCGAUUUUUAUUUGUACCGUAAUGACCAUUGUAGAUUAACUCGGUCGAAAGGUCGCUUCCUGGCCAAAUUCUCGAGUCCGAUGCAUUAUAAUUUCUUAAUGACUUCACCCGAUAGACUAGCUUUCACAUGAGUGGCCAACUCAAGGAAAAGAACUAUAUGCGUGCCAAUGAAAUGCCCGUCUCAAUUAAUUGAAAAUAGAAUCGGAAAAUCGGGAUGUCACACAUCCAACACAACAAAGGUGCAUGAGACAAACAACCAAUGAUUGACUAUGUUGUUGCUAAACGAAAGAAACUACCUUCCUUUGUCACGAGCUGUAACAAUUGCUCUUAGGGGGUAGAUUGAAGCUUGGUCACAUCAAUGAGAAGAUCAGAGCACCUCCCGCAACAAAUCCCAAAUUUGAUGAAUGGCAAGCGAAUGACCAUAAUGUAAUGUCUUGGAUAUUCAAUUCCAUGGGGCCGGUGAUCUACAAGAUAUUUGCAUAUUUAGAGUCAACCAAGGCAUUGUGGGAUUCGAUAUAUGAGAUGUAUGGUCAAGCCAAAAAUGCACCUUGGAUCUUUGAGACGUAGCAAGGAGUCGUUUGUUCUAAGCAAGGCACAACACAUUCUUUCAUUGAAAACCUGGGAAAAAUGAAUAAGCAAUUGGAUGAGCUUCGUCAGUAUAAAUAUGCAACCUAGAAUGUGAUGGAUUAUGUCAAUCUAGAAAAGCAAGAUAAAAUCUUUCAACUGUUAGCAAGCAUUAAGCCUGAAUUUGAGGAUGUCAAACGUCAAAUUCUUAGGAGUCCUCAAUUGCACACUUUCAAUGAAGUUUAUGCCAUAACCCAAUGUGAGGAAACAAGGAGACAUGUCAUGCCUUCAGCUCCAAUUGCAUCAGGAGAGCUUGGUGAACAAUUGGCCCACUAUGCUACCAACACAACACGAAGCAAGGAGACUUCAUUGCUCGAUAUGCCAAAGGAAAAUUUAAGAAACCAACACGGUUCCAUUGUGACCAUUGCAAUCACAAUGGCCAUUCCAAAAAGAGGUGCUGGUUCUUCAUCCACAUAUGUGUAUUCCCAAAGACAGGGGUUUAGAAACUAAGGUGGCAGUCCAAAACAAUUAAUGAUUUUUAAUCCAAGUUGGAGGAUUUGUCACAACAAGUUCUGCAAUUAUUUCAGAUACAUGGCAAUGGAACGGACGCUUCUAGCACUAAAACUGGAAAUUUGGCUAUGACGUCUAGUAAUGUUCAUGCUUACUUAGCUUUAUCCAAAACUUAGUUUAUUGUUGACUUUGGGGCUACAGACCACAUGUCUAAAUCUCCAAACUUGCUAUCCAAUAUUACUCCAAGUGCAUCAUAUCCACCUAAUACUAUUGGUAAUGGUGGGUAGGAUCCAACUAGUGGUGUUGGACAAAUUAAAUUUUUCUCAUAUAAUUCAGAAGCAUAAUCGGUACCUAAAUUAUCCUCAAAUUUAAUGUCAGUUAGCACAUAUACUAAUAAGUGGAAUUGCAGUGUUAUCUUUACUCCUCAAAAGGUGUGUUUUCAAGAUCGAACCACCGGGAGGAUGAUUGGUGAAGGGUUGUUGCAGAGUGGGUGGGCUAUAUACAAUGGACCUCAACAACAAAGUGUUGAUGGCACAAAGGAAGACUAAUGACACUUCCCAAUUGUUGGCGUUUGGGUCAUUCCUCUGAUCGGGUAUUGUAUACUCUUGAUAUGACUUUAGUUAUGAUUCCGAUUGAUGUGAUCCUUGUUAUUAUGCUAAGUAGCAUAGGUUACAUUUUCCACAUAGCGCACAUAAAUCGGAAUAGUUAUUUUAUUUAGUUCAUUUGGAUAUUUGGGGGGUUUCUCCAAUUGACUCUAAAGAUGGGUUCAAGUAUUUUGUUAUAUUUAUUGAUGACAAAUCCUGAGCUACAUGGCUUUGUUUGCUUAAAUCCAAAAGUGAAGUGAUGCCCGUGUGUUAAGAUUUUUGCAAUUUGGUGAAAAAUCACUUUUUUAACACUAUAGUGAAAAUUCUUCGUAUAGACAACAGAACUGAAUAUACCAAUCGAUCUUUUCAAGUGUUCCUACGUGGCCUGAGAGUCAUCCAUCAGACCUCCUGUGUGGGAACUUCAUAGUAGAAUGGAGUUGGAGAAAGGAAAUAUAGGCAUCUGCUUGAGGUUACCUGAACAUUGUUAUUCUUAGGAAAUUUACCCAAGACAUAUUGGGCAGAUGCAGUCGUUACUAGCUGCUACUUAAUCAAUCAUUUGCCUAGUAAGGUGUUGGGUAUGAAGUUUCAAUUGAAAGUCAGUAUGGCCCAAAAUUUGGUAUCUCUCACCUAAGAAUUUUCGGAUGUGUGUGUUAUGUGCAUUCUCGAUAUGGUGACAAGCCGGAUCCACGAGCUUGAAAGUGUGUGUUUGUAGGAUACUCGAAUGUCAAGAAGGGAUACAAAUGCUAUGAACCAAGUACUAGACGUGUUUAUAUAUCUCGUGAUGUUUUCUUCAAAGAUGCUUACAUGUUUUUUUUUUUUUUUUCGGGAAUCAAAUUCAUGGGAGCAAGGUGACUAUUCUGAAUUUUUGCUUCCUAUCCUACCUAUUGGGAAUUCAAUGUUGGAUCAAGAGGAAGUUCCAAUAGUGGCUAUUCAAGGGAAUUAGCCAAUCCCCAAUGUCGUUGCCAUUCCUGAUACAAUUGCCAUUACAAUAGAUGCAGCUGAUUUGGAAGUUAGGGUUGAAUAUGCAAUAGAGAUAGCUCCAGCAGAUGUUGCACCCAUUAUCUUAGCCCCAACCCAUAGGUCAUCAUGCAUUCUAGGGCCUUCAACACCGCUCAGUGAUUUUUCAACAUAUCAUACUACUCAGCAUCCCAUUUAGGAUUUUAUUAGGUACAAUAGAUUUUCUCAUAAUUAUUUAAGUUUCUGAUCUGCCAUUAAAAAUCAAAAGGAACCCAAUACCUUCUUGGAAGCAUGUAAAAGAAGUGUGGGUGAAUGCCAUGGAAGAUGAACUUUAGGCAUUGGACCGUAACCAUACUUCGGAACUUGUUAAGUUGCCAAACGGGAAAAAGACAGUUCGAUGUUGAUGGAAUUACAAGAUCAAAUGCAAUACUAAUAGUUUGGAAGCUCGGCUUGUCGCAAAAGGGUAUACUCAAACCUAUAGGAUAGACUACAAGGAAACAUUUGCUCUUGUAGUGAAAAAGAACAUUGUUCGUGUCCUUCUAUCUAUGGCAAUUAACUGUAGGUGGCCAUUGUUUCAGAUGGAUGUAAAGAAUGCCUUCCUCCAAGGAGGAAGAUGUUUAUAUGGAUAUCCCUCUAGGACAUCCCUUAGAGAAUAAUCAGGGAAUGGUUUUCAAAUUGAAGAAGGCAAUAUAUGGUCCCAAGCAGUGGCCUAGAGCAUGGUAUGGCAAAUUGAGUUCCGCACUUGAUAGGUUUGGUUUCAAAAGGAGCAUGGCUAAUUCUUCAAUGUUUACUAAAGCAAUUGGUGAAGGUAUUGUUGUUAUUCUAAUUUAUGUUGAUGAUCUUAUUAUUACUAGUAGUAACUUAAUAGGUAUUGUAGAACUUAACAGUUGUUGAGCAAAGAGUUUGACAUUAAAGAUCUUGAAAAAUUGAGGCAUUUUUUGGGCAUAAAGGUAGCAAAUUCUAACAAAUGUAUGUUCUUGACUCAAAGGAAAUGUAUCCUAAAUCUAUUAAAGGAGAUUGGUAAGUUGGGUGUUUAACCUGCUAGCACUCCUAUGGAUUACAACAGUAAGAUUGUGUCUAAGGAAACACCAUUACAGGAUAUUGGGCAAUUUUAGCGUUUGGUAGGGAGAUUGAUUUACCUAACUAUUACUAAACCUGCCAUUACUUAUUUUGUCAGCUAUGUGAGCCAUUUAUGCAAAAACCUACACAAGGGCAUAUGGAGUUGUUAAACUAGCUCCUUAUAUCUAAAAGUUUCUCUAGCAAGAGGAACUUUGUUGAAGAAUAAUGGUAUUGUGGGAUUUACUAAUGCUGAUUGGGCUAGGAACCCCAUGGAUAGAAAAUCUACCACGGGUUUUUGUACCUUUGUUGGUGGAAAUAUUGUUACUUGGAAGAGUAAGAAGCAAACAGUUGUGGUUAGAUCUAACAUAAAGGCUGAGUACCAAGCCAUGGCUACCGCCACUAGUGAGUUUGUAUGGCUUCAUCUAUUACUUUAAAAAUUGGGUCGUAAUGCCAUGUCUAAGCCUAUGAAGCUAUCCUAUGAAAAUUAGGCAACGAUACACAUUGCUUCAAAUCCAGUCUUCAUGAUAGGACCAAACGCAUAGAUAUCGAUUGUCACUUUAAAGGGAAAAGGUUCAAGACAAGAUGGUAGAGACACCAUAUAUUCGUAGUAAGGAUCAACUUCCUGAUGUGUUCACCAAAGCUUUUAUCCAAUGGAGUAUUUCAAGAUAUGAUGAACAAGUUGAUCUCUAAUGAUGUAUUCGCUCCAACUUGAGGAGAAGUAUUGGUGAUAUUGGGGGGAUUUGCGCUCCUAUUCAAGGAAAGGAGAGAUUGUAGGCAAAUUUGUAUAUUGAUAGUUUUCCUAUUUUUUGGGUUUGCUUGUUUCCUUUGUUGUAGCAACUUUGUGUACAAAUUGUAGAAGAAUGUCAUGAUAAAAAAAAAAAGAGAGUUGAGAGUUUUGUCCAAGGACAUAGGCACAUUGCUAAACCUCGUAAUCCUUGUGUUCUUUAUUGUGAUUGACUUACUAAAAUUCAACAGGCCUCACCAGCUUGGGACUCUUAGGGACACAACAUCGCAUCACCAUGCCGUCAUUGAGGUCGCUAGGUCAGUGACGGUGGACUCGACGCUAGACAGCGAGAAGGAGAAGUGGAGGCACUAGUCCCUCGAUGCCGUGAAGCUAUGACACUUGGUCAUUGGAUUGAAUCUUAAAGCUCAAUGCUCUUUUUGCGACCGCUUCCCUCCUCCUCUAGAAGCAGAGCAAUGGUGGUGAUGCGAGAGGCGGGUGGUGAUGCCGAUUUACAGAGACAUUCAUAAAGCGAGGACGACGACGAUGUUUCAAAGGUUCGAAUUGGUUAAGGUUGUGAUGAGGGUCGCUUUGAGAGUGCUGAGUGCUGGAUAAGAGAUGAGAGGUGUAUGUUUUUGAAAAAAGAUGAACAGUACAGAAUAAGAAAAAAGAAGAAAGUUCAGAAAACUAUAUUAAAGAAAAAGGAAACGACAUAAUUUUGCCUACAUCAAAUUACUGAUUGUCAAUUUUUUGAGAAAUAAGGUAAAUCGGCGAUGAAUAACCGUCAUCUGUCAUGUUACUAUUUUCUAAAAAACUUGACUGGAGUAUUAUAUUAAAAUUUUAUUAAAUAUUCAAGAUUACAUUGGUAAAAUUUAAAAAUUUAAAAUUAAAAUGACAUCCUUAUAAUAGCUUUAUGACUAGAAGGUGAGAGUAAAUGAACAUAAGAGUAGCUUCUACUCCCCCUUAUGUACGAACAAGCAAUUGUCUACCUGCACACGUGAAUGUACAGAGAUGUUGCCAUUAUUGAUUAAUAAACCUCUUAAGAAAUUUGGACUCAUGCUCUAGGAAAUAAGAAGCCAUUCACGGUGAACCCUCCAUCAACACAAAUGGUCUGCCCUGUUAUGUAAGAGGCCGCUGGCAAGCACAAGAAGGCCACUAAAGACGACACCUCCUCCGGCUCUCCGGUGCGGCCGAGUGGCGUCCUUGCUAUCACCUCCUCGUGGAACUUCUUGUCACUAAGUAGCUGCAACGAAAUAUGAGUUAACAUCAGAUCAUGAUGGCGAACAUGGUCAAUACUGAUGUGGUGAACUAUUUUCCAGCAUGAGAGAAAAUUUAAAGCCUUGGUAGAUCAAAUUACAGGCUCGGCUAGUGGAGUCAAUAUGAACCAAGGUGCAACAGAGUUGCUUCUUAUGUUGUCCUUAGCCCAUUCGCAUGCCAAAUUCUUGGUCAACUGGUUCAUUGCUCCUGCCAAUCAAUGCGGAUAGAAAACAAAAAAAACAAACGCAAUUUGUUUAGCUCCAUAUUAAUAGUGUUUAGAUAGUUACUAACGAUAAUGCUAUUACCUUUGGUGGCUGAGUAAAUUGAUCCGACGUUUAUUGAGACAACGCCGCAAACGGAUGACAAGAACACAAUACUUCCAGCUCCCGAGGCCUUGAGAAGGGGAUGUGCGAGCUGGCUCAGAUGGUAAGCCGAUUCGAAGUUAGUUGUCAUGAUGAAGGAAAAAUCUUCUGCUGUGUAAUCCAUGGUCGACUUUAAGGUGUUGGUCCCGACGUUGUUUAUCUACCAGAAAUAAAAACCGAGAACAAAAUCUAUUGAAAGACAAGCACAAAUUGCGGCAUUGUUAUAAAUAUCAUUAUUGGACCCAUAGGAUCAAAGUCGCCUUAGACUCACUAGGAUGUUGAGCUUGCCGUCGAAGACCGAGGACACGGUGAGCAUCAGCUUCUCUCGCUCCGAUCUUGAGGAAACGUCACAAGUUGAACCCGAGACUCGGAAACCUUUGCUCUUCCAAUCUUUCAAGCAUUCAUUAAUUUCGGCUUCAUUCCGGGAGCAGGUAUGCACGGUCGCCCCAAGCCUCGCUAGUUCCUCCACAAUGGCGUGUCUAAUCAUGGUACAAACAAUAUGAUUAUUCACCAACUUUGUGAUUGCGAAGAAGAACAGAUUAAUCCCUUUUUCAUUUCCACUAGGAAAAAUUCUACGUGACAAGACAUCAGUACUUGUGAUACCCAAGAAUGUACGGAAGAUUUGGCUGCGGCAUUGCAAUGGAAGUCAAACCAAUAAUUAAAGCCUUUGAAUGCACUGGAUUUUUAUUUGGGAAACUACAAAAGGAGAAAAAAAAUUCUAUUGGCUAAGUCAAACCAAUAAUUAAAGCCUUUGAAUGCACUGGAUUUUUAUUUGGGAAAUUACAAAAGGAGAAAAAAAUUCUAUUGGCUAAUGGAAGUCAAACCAAUAAUUAAAGCCUUUGAAUGCACUGGAUUUUUAUUUGGGAAAUUACAAAAGGAGAAAAAAAAUUCUAUUGGCUAAUGAUAUCACAAAGACGCAAAUGAUUUACCAACGUCUAAAGGCCACAUACUUUCAAAAAGGUUGUGCAUGAAUCAGUCACCCAGGAACAUCAUUCUCAAAGUAAUUGAGCUCUCUAAUCAAGUCUCUCGUCAUAUAGAGUUUUAACUGGCGAUAAUAUCAAUUUUCUAGCUUUUUAUCCGAGGGAUUGAAGCUUAUUGGAUUCAAAAGCAUCUGCUAUCACUCGAGCGGUUCAAAAAUUUUGUUGGUCGGGAGCCAGUUUGACAUGCUAUGGUUGGAACAAGUUUUUCUAGGCUAGAUAUGACGGAAAAUUCCACUUAAAGUGCUUAAAUCCUCGCUCAAUUUAUUUUGAGUAGGUAUGGGAUUGGCCUAAAAAUCGUAGGCCUUGUAUAUUUUGGCCAGGACAAGAAGUAUCUUGAUCCUAGAUUGCCCCAACCAGUGCAUAAUCCUACUAUCAUUCAAAUUAUUACAAAGGAACGAGAUUUCAAGGUUGACGGUUUUUAGAUACCUAAUUCAUGAUGUUUUCUCUACCAACCUAAAUCAUAACAGAUAAUCAAUCAUCGAAAUCAUCGAUAGAAAACAACGAGGUGUUCGGUAAGGGUCAGAGAGAGAGAGAGAGAGACCCGAUUCCUUUGGUUCCACCGGUGACAAGAGCAGUCAUUCCAUGAAGCGACCACCUGUUUUUGUUGUCGUUGCUGCUGCUAUGGCAUCUACCGGCAGUCCCAUCUCCCUCCGUAGCCAUUGUCACUCUCUCUCUAUCCCAGUUGUGAUUUUUCCCCGGAACUCUUGUUUCUCCUUUUUGUGGGUAAUGCGCCUCUCUAACUUUCCACCCCGUUUUAUGCUAAGUCCUUCACUGGCCCCAGAGAGAGUGACGGCGACUGGAAGAGACUUCCUUACCACACAACUAUGGUGGAGUAAUAAGACCCGUUCCCAGCACGACGCGGAGCCACUACUUACGUACGGUCGUAGAAGUCUCCAACCAAGACUAAUCAACUAUUGUCACUCUCUCUCACAUAUCCAUGACAUAAAAAGGAAAAUAAUAGAAUAAGAAAGAAAAAAAAGAAAUCAAAAUGAUAUUCUUUGACGUUCAAAAAGAAUUCAAUCGACUAAAAAAAAAACUAAGGACAAUAUAUAAAAUUGCUUUGAUGAAUUAAAUAUUUAGAAUUGAUGGAAUUGCCAUUAGAUUUUAAGAAAAUGAACCAUGUCAUUAGAUAGCCAAGUUGUUGCCCUUCGGCUUAUGUAGUGUAAGUGCAUAAUAUUCUAAUAUUGAUCAUGGCAAAGGAGUAAGUCAAAGUCGGCCUUUCUCUGAACUUUCAUGACUAUGACUUUGGCCUUGCAUGGCUGCACCUUAUUUCUGUUCCCAGGAACAAAAAUUUCUGUUUUUUUGUUCCUGGGAACAAAAAAGGAACAGAAACGCGUUUGUGUGCGUUUCUGUUUCUUUUUUGUUCUUUUAUUCCCAAGAACAAAAAAGAAACAGAAACGAGAAACACAAAUUUUGUGUUUCUCGUUUCUGGAUACACAAAUGAGAAACACUUUUCUUUUUCUUUUUCUUUUUUCUCUUAUUUUCUUGUUCUUCUUUCUUUUGGCCGGUCGCCGGCCUUGGCCAUGGCCGGCGACCGGCCGACNNNNNNNNNNNNNNNNNNNNNNNNNNNNNNNNNNNNNNNNNNNNNNNNNNNNNNNNNNNNNNNNNNNNNNNNNNNNNNNNNNNNNNNNNNNNNNNNNNNNCGGCGAGGCCGACCUCGCGCCGGCCUGGGCGAGCUCGAUCUCGCCCCGGCCGCCGAGCUCGUCUCGCCCAGAACCGGCCUCGAGCUCGCCCAGGCCGGCGAGGCCGAGCUCGCCUAGCGGCCGGCGAGCCUCCGCCUCGCCUGGCGGUGGCCCGGCGAGGCCGCCCUCCCCUGGCGGUGGCCCGGCGAGGCCGCGCCUCGCCCGCCGCUGGGCGAGCUCGGCCCUCGCCGGCCGAUCGCCGGCCAAGGCCUUGGUCGGCGACCGGCCAAAAGAAGAAAAAAAAAUGAAAAAGAAAAAAGAAAAAAAGGAAAAAUAAGAAAAAAAUAGAAAAAAUAAAAGAAAUAAAAAAAUUAUCCAAAUUUACCAAACAUGUUUUUGUUUAUUUUUUAUUCCCGGAACAAGUUUACCAAACAUGUAUUUUUGUUCAAAAAUUGUUCCCCGGAACAGAAACACUUUUUUCUAUUUCUGUUCCCUGGAACAAUUUUUAAACAGAAACACAACCAAACGCGCCCUUUGUUUCUCAAAAAAUAAAAGUAUAUUGAUUUUUCUCUGAUAACCAAAUAAUCUUAAAAGUCAUAAUAACACAGUUUGAUAUACACCAUACAACGCUCCUAUGCAUUGUAAGAAAAUUUCUUCUAUUUCUUUUCAAAUUAUUGAGAGACGCCUAGAUGCAUUACCUUCGCAUGUGUCUAAAGAUUUAAAGACUUAUAAAUUGAUACAAUGAUGGCAUAAAAGAUAAAACAUUUUUUUAAUGCCAUUUUUUUUCAAAUGACAAUUUAAAUUGUGGAUUUAAUAGGAGAAAGCAAAAAAGUCGUCAUUCAAAGACUUUUAAAUUGAUACGAUGCUGGCAUAAAAGAUAAAACAUUUUUUUUAGUGCCAAUUGUUUUUCAAAUGACAAUUUAAAUUGUGGGUUUAAUAAGAGAAAGAAACGUAAAGUAGUCAUUCAAUUUAGUAAUAAAGUAGACGAUCAAUUUUUGCUGAGGUAGUGUCUAGGUGGCAGCUACUUUCGAGGAAAAAUCACCAAAAAAGUUUUCUUGCAAUGAGGAGAGGCUAAUUUCAGCGAUCUACAAUGUUAUAGAUUUUUUUAUUAUUCACUUUGAGGUUAUUUUCAUUUAAUUGAUUCUUGAAAUUGAUAUAAAUAGAUAUAAAUAGAUAUUAUAUAACUAAACUGAAGUGAGGCAUUAGCAAAGCAUGCUUAAAAGUGUAUACGGUACCAUAGUUUUUCCAAUCGUACGGUGCAAUGCACUCAAAUUAUCUCAUCCACAUGUAUUUUGUAAGUUUUUCUAAUCAUACGGCAUGCUAGUACUAUGAGUUAAAAACUAUAAUCGAAUAUAAAAAUAGGAUAUUUUGAUUAGCACGUAAAGUCUGCAGCAUCCAAAUCGAACGGUUUGUCUCAUACGCUUGCUACUUUGUCAUCUAUGAUUGAUCAAGAUUGUAUAAAUUGAGAAUUCGGAUGCAUAAAAAAUAUAUAAUCACCGAAAUUAAUUUAUACGACCAUAUCAAGACAUGGGCUACCACUAGUUAAUCAGGAUACCGGUGAUUACAUGAGUGCUGUGAUGGUAGGGUUGAAAUUCAAGAAAGGGGUCGAGAAACUCGUUGGAAGUCUUUUUGUGGACAGAAAUAGCAUCAAAACGGUUCUUUCACUUGUGGCUCCAUGGUGUGGAGCUUCCCAGGAGCUUUUCGCUGAGUAAUACAAGUUGCCUAACUCUAUCUUGAUCAAAAGUCAUGGUCCCUUACAAUCGAGGAGUGCAAAAAUUCAAGCCUAAGUCGGAAAAGCCCUGAUUGGACUCAACCGAGUAAUGUAGUGCCAGCUAAUUUACGAGGGACCGGUGGUUUGGCCUAAAAAUUCUAGGCUGUAUUUAAUCUAGUUUGGUAAAGAUAUAUUUUGACACCACCAUCACUUGAAUUAUUAAAGAGGAACGGAAUUUCAAGAGCAACAGUUUUCAAAUGCCUAAAUUAUAGUAAUUUUUACCUUAACCUAAUCCACAACAGCUGGUCAAUAAUUGAAAUCGAUGACAUAAAAAAAUCAAGUGUUCGAGAUAGGGACCGAUUCCUUUGAUUCCAUCGGUGAGUGAUCCACCUGUUUAUCGUUGUGGUUGUUGCGGCUGCUACAUCUCCUUGCUGUCCUACUCCCCUCUAGAGCCAUUCUCUCUCUAUCUAAAAGAUGAUUUUUCUUUUCCCUUCAACUCUGUUGUUUUCGUCUUUCUUCUUGGGCCCAAUGCGUCUGACUUUCCAUUGUCUUAUGCACAAGUAAGUUGGAGUAGGGUUCCACGGCGAUUCAGGGAACUGCCAUCCGUAGCCUGAGGUUGACAGAAGACGAAGCUUGAAAUUACCACGGAACCGACCAUGGCUGAAAGCCAACAGCAUUCGACCGCGUUUAAUUAUCGACAUCUCUUCGUUCUUCUGCUCUUUUGGGUCCGCGCCCCGUCUGUCCUCCUCCUUUUCCCCGUUUUAGAGAGAGAGAGAGAGAGAGAGAGAGAUCGGGCGCUUUUGAAACUCUGGUUAAACUUUCUUUUAUUGAGCCGCGCAGCUAGGAAUUGUAAUGUCGUUUCGACACUUGAGUUCGAAUUGAUAUUCAGUUAUUUCGAGUUUGAACAUUUUUAUUUUUAUCGUUUGCCUUCGACGUUCUGGACUUGACUUACAUAUUUAUCAGCGAAUGACCCAACAGUAUAACAUCUAAGAUCAUGUUAAAACGUUAUGUUUGUAUUUUGAGAAGGCCCAAAAAAUAAUAAUAAAAAGUCAUUCUAAAUAGGUUCUAAAUAUUUUUAUUGAUAUUACCAAAAAAGAGUAACCUGCUACCCACGAUAUGGCAGGCAGAAGUUGUGGAAGCUUGUUUACAAAGACAACAGUAGCUCCAAACGUUUGAACUCAAUUGAUUUUACAGCAUCGCGUUGCUAUGUCCACGUUCAUGCUCAGAGACUUCCCAAGUUAUGACUUUUGAUUGAUACUGUUGGCCAUGCAUUAAAUGCAACACACGAUGAGAUUCAAGACAACAUUGUUCAAUUAUGUAGGACCUUCUUAGGAAAACUUUUUAAUUGAGCUUAAAAAGUUUCUUAUAGUCGUUUAAGAGAGAGUCUCGUUACUUGUGAGAUGAUCGUUUGGUGAUUGAGGUACUUAUGGAAACAACCAUACGAGGAUUUGGAAAAUUUUAGGAAGACUGUGCAGAAAUGUUCGAAUAAGCAAUCUAUAUAAGGUCGAUUAUUUAAACCAGAGGAAUUUUGAGAUCACAGGAGAACAUUUACGACAUCCCAAAAUCAUUUUGUGCUUAUUGUUGGAAAUUUCCUAUAAUAUAGGUUUACAUUAAUUAAUUGAUUUUUUAUUUUAAAUAAUUGAGUUAAUAGAUAUUCCAAUAUUUAUUGAAUCCUAAAAUGAUCUGAUUAAAUUGAGUAUUGGUAUCUAUUGAUAACGGGUUUGGUUGAGCAACAAAGUAUAGACAAUUAUGUUUGACUGAAACCUAUAAUGGGAAGGGUCCAGUUGACAAGUUGUUGAUUAUGGUUUGCUAGGUUCCUUUAAUCCUAUUGAAAUAUGCUAUAUUAAAAUAGGUAGAGGAAGAUCUUCAAUAGAUCACUAGUUAUCAGAUUCAUCUAUUUUUUUUUUCAAGUGAAACAGCUCAAACAUGUACGUUUUAAUUCCACUAUAUUUAUUAUUCUCGGUGUUUUACAAUCAUAUAUGGAUCCAAUUCUUCUUAAUUAAUUAAUUAUUCAUGCGAAUAAUUUUCUACAUGUGGUAUUAGAGCCGAUCAUAUAUGAUUGUAGAAUCCAUUUUUUUUUUUAUGGACAAAUUCGAAAUCCUCCUCUUUGAGCCGAAUAUGGGCAUUAUUUUUUCGUGUAGAUUUUUUGCUUGAUUGAUUUCGAAAUGAUAGGGCUUUUAUUCUACACGUCGAGAUAUUUCCAACCAUAUAUAAUUUGCAUAAUUUCGUUGAGAAUUGAGAGAGAAUUUUUAGAUUUGAAAUUCUAGGGUUUAUACAUGAAAAAGUUCUAGAAUUUGCAAAUUAUUGCAAUCGAUUGAUGUUUAUUGUAAAUCGAUGCAUGGGUAUUGUUAUAUAUAUAUUUUAGCAUCCUAUUGUUGAAUAAAAGUAAGUUUUUAGGCUUAAACUUAAGAAAUUCGAUAUUCGGCCAUGGGAGGUUAAGAUCCGAAACUUUGAAGCUUGUAUGUGGUAGAUUUACUUGGUUUUUCUUCGUUUAAUUCAAUAUAGUUAAUUAUAUUGAUAUCAUAUGCAAAAUCCAUCAGGAAAUUUCAUAAAAAAUCAUGUUAUUUUGUGUUAGAGCUUCGGGUUGAAACCGGGUCGUGCGACCCGGUUUUCUUCAACUUCGGGACCCGGCUGGAGGUUGAAGAAGACCCUCCAGCCGGGCCAGGCCAGCCCAUCCAUUCUUUCUUUUUCGGCCAGAACCUUUAUGUUUUGAAUGGGCUCUGGAAACACGCCCAUUAGCCAACUUGAAAAGAGGUUCUGGGCUGCCCAGAACCAAAAUAUAAAGGGCUUAGCCCAUAUAGAUUUUUUAAUUUAAUUUCGGUUUUUAGUGUUGUAGUAUCUACCGUUGCGGUAGCAGAAAGCUUUUGUAACUUCCGAUCUACUUGAAUUGAUACCGCAGUGUCAAAAUGAAGCCUUCGAUGGCUUCUGUAAGUCAGAAUCUGGUCUCUUUCUCUCUCUCACUGAACACUUCAUUCUUUUAUGUCGAUGGUUAUGAUGAUCAAUCAUCUGUAUGAUAUAAGUUGAGGAAGAAAACAUCUUGAUUUAAGAAUUUGAAAAUCGUCAAUCUCGAAAUCUCUUUUCUCUAUGAUAAUUUGAGUGAUAGUAGUAGGAUUGUACAUUGACUAGGGCAAUCCACGAUCAAAGUACUUCUUGUCCUAGCCAAAACAAAUUGAGCCUGUAAUUUCUAGGUCGCUAGAAUAAAUCUAGCCAAGAAGGAUGAAUUUAAGCACUUUAAUUGACUUAUUUCCAUUAUAUCCAUGCUCAAGAAAAUCUUUCUGAUCGAAGCGUGUUUGACCGAGCUUCCGACCAUCUAGAUUCUUUUAACUGCCCGAGUGACAGUGGAUGCUUCUGAAUCCAACGAUGUUCGACUCCAUGGAUAAAAGAAACUAGGCAAUUGAUGUCAUCACCAUUUAAAACUCUAUAUGAUGGAAACGACGAGACUUGAUCAGAGAGCUCAAUUCUUUUGAGGAUGUAGUCACUGGGUGAUUGAUUCAUAGGUAGCCUUCUUAAGUUCUGUAGCCUUUUGACCGUGAUAACUCAUUUGACAUUAUUAUUAGCUAAUAGAAUUUCUUUCUCCUUUUGUGAUUUCCCAAAAAGAAAUCCUGGCCCUUCAAAGGCUGUAAUUAAUGGUUUGACUUCAAUUGCGAGUGCGGCCACAUCUACUGCACAUUCUUGGAUAUCACACAGAAUUUCUACUUCCGGAAAAGAAGAGGGAUUAAUCCGUUCCUGCUUGCAAUCACGAGUUGGUAAAAUGAUCAUGUCGUUGUGCCAUGAUUAGGCAUGUCGUUGUGGAGGAACUAGCGACGCUUAGGGCCACCGUGUAUACCUGCUCCAGAAAUGAAGCCGAAAUCAAUGAAUGCUUGAAAGAUUGGAAGAGCAAGGGUGUUCAGGUCGCAGGAUCGGCUUGCAACAAGUGGAUCCUUGUAAGUCUAAGUCGUCUUUGAUCGAGUGGAUCCAAUAACAAUAUUUAUAAUAAGGUUGCACCUUGUGCAUGUCUUUUAAUGAAUUUUGUUUUUGGUUUUCGUUUGUGGCAGAUAAAUGACAUUAGGACCAACACUCUGAAGGCGACCAUGGAUUACACACCAGAAAAUUUUCCCUUCCUCAUGACUACUAAUUUCGCUUACCAUCUAAGCCAGCUUGGACAUCCCCUUCUCAAGGCCUUAGGAGCUGGAAGUAUUGUGUUAUUGUCAUCCAUUUGCGGCGCUGUUUCAAUGAACACCGGAUCAAUCAACUCAGCCGCCAAAUGUACAUUAACAUUAUCAUAAAUAAUUAUCUUGACACUGUUAUAUGGAGCUAAACAAAUUGCGGCUGUUUUCUGUUUUUGUAUUCAAAUUUUUUGGUAGGAGCAAUGAACCGGUUGACCAAGAAUUUGGCAUGUGAAUGGGCUAAGGAAAACAUAAGAAGCAACUAUUUUGCACUACGAACCGAGCCAGUAAUUUGAUCUCACAAGGCUUUAAAUUUUCUCUCCGGCUCAAGAAUGUUUCAUUACAUAGAUCUUGAUCAUGUUUGUGUUGGAACCAAAAGGACUUGGAGGGAGAGAGUACACACACAAAGAGAGAUUAUAUUACACAAUAUACCUUGCAAAGGCUUAAUAGAGUACACACACUAACUUUGUUAAGCUUAAAACUCUCUCUAAAAUCUCACUCUCUCACACACUAAAUAAACUAGUGUAACCCUAUAUCUAUAAGCACUUCACCGCCUGGACUACAAACGUGCAAGAGUUGAAGUUGAAUUUUUCUUCUUGGCAGUCAAAAAUUGUGGGCUGCGUUUCCUUCACGUCCAAGUUGCAAGCCACAAGUUCACCUUCCUUCGUACUUCUUGAGAUCUCCAGCAGCAAGUAUAAUAAUAUUUUAUUGUGUGCCCAAGAUGCUUGUAGUUUCUUCAUGAUUUUUCUUCUCCGGCGGUUUAAAGAGACGUGGUGUUGCAGCACACGUUUCUUUGGCGGUUUACAAACCGACUAACUCUUGCUUUCACACACAUAGUCAAAAAACAAUUAAAAGACAAAUAAGCUAAUCAAAACACAUAACCAAUUUUACUAUUUUCUAAUAGCCUCCCUUAAAAUUGAUUUUGUAAAACUAUGACACCAAGCAUUGUCUUCAAUUUCUCGAACAAAUCCGCCUUCAAUGGUUUUGUCAAAAUAUUUGCAAUCUGGUCUUCAGAUUUACAGAAAUCAAGUUCAAUCUCACCUUCUUUAAUCAGCUCACGAAUAUAAUGAUACUUGAUGUCGAUAUAUUUGCUCCUGCCAUGAAAUAUGGGAUUCUUGGCCAAUGCAAUCGCUGACUUGUUAUCACACAUCAAGUUAGUAGGACCUUUUUGUUCAUGCAUAAGCUCAAAAAGCAUCCUUCGAAGCCACAUCGCCUGACAUGCUGCUGAAGAUACUGCAAUGUAUUAUGCUUCAGCUAUUGAGAGUGCAAUAACUUGUUGUUUCUUUGAUGACCAAGAAAUUAUUCCUGAUCCAAGAAAGAACGCAUAUCCGGAAGUGCUCUUCCGUGUUUCAGUAUCACCUGCCCAAUCACUGUCUAUAUACCCCACUAAACUGAAAUUGUCAGUGUAAGUAUAAAAAAUUCCAUGAUCACGAGUUCCACUGACAUACCUUAAAAUUCUUUUUGCUGCUUGCAAAUGUGAUUGGUAUAGUUUCUCCAUAAAUCGACUAAUAAUUCCCAUGCCAUAAGUUAUAUCUGGCCUAGUGGUAGCCAAAUAUCUUAAACUGCCAACAAUACUUUUGAAAUAAGUGGGAUUUACCAAUUCACCGGUUCCUUCUUUCUUCAACUCCAACCGUUCUGCUACAGGAGUUCGAAUUGAUUUGAGCGUUUCCAUAUUGAAUCGCUUCAAAAUAUUAUUAGCAUACUUCUGCUGUGAAACAAAUAUGCCUUCAUUUGUCUGCUUCACUUCAAGGCCCAGAAAAUAGGACAUUAACCCCAAAUCUGUCAUCUCAAAUUGACUUGUCAUGGCCUCCCUGAAUUCAGCAAACAUCUUCUCACAGCUUCCUAUAAAUAUCAAAUCAUCAACAUAAAGGCAAACAAUUAUAACAUUGUCGUUAGUAUUUGACUUGAUAUACAGUGUAUGCUCAUAAGGGCACUUUUGAAAGCCAUACUCCAACAGGUAAGUAUCAAUCCUCAUGUACCAAGCUUGAGGUGCAUGUUUUAGCCCAUACAACACUUUCUUCAGUUUAUAAACUUGAUUUUCACGCCCUUUCUUCACAUAACCUUGUGGUUGCUCCACAUAUACUUCCUCAUCGAGAAAACCAUUAAGGAAUGCCGAUUUCACAUCCAUUUGAUGGAUUUUCCAACGGUUUUGAGCUGCAAGUGCCAAGAUCAUUCGAAUGGUAUCCAUUCGAGCCACUGGUGCAAAUACUUAAAUAAUCAAUACCUGGCUUUUGCUUGUAGCCUUUCGUCACCAGUCUAGCUUUGUAACGGUCCACCUGAUCGUUGGGUUUGUACUUCGUUUUGUACACCCACUUGACACCUAUAGGCUUCGAACCAGGUGGUAAAGAAGUUAGCACCCACGUGUCAUUCUUUCCAAUGGAGUGGAUUUCUUCAUCCAUUGCUUGGUUCCACUUCUCAUCUGCUGCUGCAUCAUCAUAGGAUAUGGGGUCACAUUCGGUAAAUACACAAAAGUUUACCAUUGUUUCAUCAGUGAUUUCGUCACUGUCAUUAUGAUCAACUCUUGUGACCACAUAAUCCUUGAAUUUUACUGGCGUCUUCUGCAGUCGUCGUGAACGACGAAUCAAUGGUUUUGCAGUCGUUGCUGAUGAGGAGGAUGAACUGCCAGGUGAAAGUGAUGGAUCUUCAAUUGAAGAUUCUUCGGUCUCCCUCACCAAUGGUUCAUCUUCCAUAGGAAUGUCUUUUUGGUCAGCCUUUUGAUUCCAGUCCCAGGCUUCAUCUUCAAAAAAUUGGACAUCCCUGCUAAUAAUUACCUUCUCCGUGACAGGAUUAUAUAGCUUAUAACCCUUAGUCACAUUACUAUAUCCAAUGAAAAUACACUUCUCGCUUUUAUCAUCCAACUUUUUUCUUCGUUCGUCUGGUAUAUGGGGAUAUGCUACGCACCCAAAUACCUGUAGGAACGAAACAUCUGGCUUGUUGCCGCUCCAAGCCUCUUCUGGAGUUCUUCCAAGAACACUCCUUGUUGGACACCUGUUCAACACAAAUACAGCACAAGCAACGGCUUCUGUCCAAAACUUCUUCGGUAAUGCUUUAGCCUUUAGCAUACUUCUUGCCAUUUCAAAAAUUGUUCUAUUUUUUCUUUCUGCUAUACCGUUUUGCUGAGGAGUAUAGCUAGCAGUCAACUGACGUUUCACUCCAUGAAUUUUACAAUAAUUGUCAAAUUCAUUGGAAGUAAACUCUCCACCUCUAUCCGAUCUCAAUGUCUUUAAAUUAAAGCCACUCUAUUUCUCAACAUAGACUUUGAAUUCUUUAAAUUUGCCAAAAGCUUCGGAUUUUUCUCUCAAAAAAUAAGCCCAUGUUUUUCUAGUAAAAUCAUCGACAAAAAUUAGUGUGUACCUUUUUUGUCCAAAUGAUUCCACCUCAACAGGGCCACAUAUAUCUGUAUGUACCAACUCCAGAGGUUGCUUGGCUCUUCUAGUUCUCCCAAUUGGAAAAGAUUUCCGAUGUUGCUUUCCAACGAGACAUCCUUCACAUGAGCGGUCUGGAGCGUCGAUCAAGGGCAUGCCAGUCACAUCUUUUUCUGGACUAGUAAUUUAAGUCCACGAAAAUUUAGAUGACCGAACCGAAGAUGCCAUAGCCACUUGCUAUCUUUUGUCGUUGCUUGGAAACUCAAUAGAGUCUUCAUCUGAAGGGAUAGAGGAAACAUCCGGUUCUUCGUCAUCUGUGUCGUCGUAAUCAACUUAUUGUUUGCGCCUCUAAUGGUGCACACACCAUUUUCAAUGUUAACUUUGUGGCCUUUUUCGGAUAGUUGCCAAACACUCAGCAAAUUCUAAAAGAGUCUUGACACAAAGUAAACGUCUGCAAUAGUAACAUUAGUACCAUCUUUUGAGUUGAUAUCAAUGUUACCUUUGCCAUCACAGGAAUUUUGGAUUUAUUCCCGAAGUUGACUUCACCAUGAAUUGUCUCAUCUAACUUCGAAAAUAGCUCCUUUUGACCACACAUGUGAUUGCUGCACCCAGUAUCAAGGUAUCAAAUUUUUGUGUUCAUGGUACUUGAGUCAUCCAUUUGGCAUGCUAACACCACGUCUUCAUUUGUAUCGACAGCGUGCACAUAUUCUGGUUGCUCUUGCCUCAUGUUUGCUUGACAUUCGGAUUUGUAAUGUCCGAAUUUGUUAUAGUUAAAACACUUGACUUUUGAUUUGUCACGUGUUUGAUAUCUUUUAGUGGAAUUCAGAUUUCCACCUCCACCUCGGGCACCUCCACGACCUCAGCCACCAUGAUGACCUCCUCGAUUUGAUUGAGUGACCCGACUCUGCAGUGCUUGCUCAGUAUUCGAACUGAUAGACUUUUGGUUCAUUCUUUGCUCAUGUGAGCAUAAUGAUCCCAUCAACCGCUCCAAUGUCAUGGUUGAUAUAUCUUGGCCUUCUUCGAGCGGCGCAACAACGUAGUCAAACCUUUUAGUCAAAGACCUAAAGAUUUUUUCUACGACUCGUACAUCUUGGAGUUCUUCACGAUUAACCCUCAGUUGGUUAACGAUGGUUUGUACACGAUCAAAGUAAGCCGAGAUAGAUUCAGAGUCAUUCAUGCGUAAAGACUCAAAAUCUCCUCGAAGUGUUUGGAGCCGCACCCGCCUGACACGAUCAUCACCUUUGUAGGAUUUUUGCAAUAUAUCCCACGCUUCUUUCGCUGUCUCAGCACUCGAUAUUUUUUCAAAUAUCAAUUCCUCUACGGCUUGAAAGAUCGCAUAUAAUGCUUUCUGAUCUUUCUUUCGAGAUUCCACCAACGCUUCUUUCUCCUCCUUCCUCAAAGCAUUGAAUUCUUUAGCAUCAGCUAUUUCGGUGUAGCCGUUCUCCACCAGGUUCCACAAAUCUUGGGACCUGAAUAGAACCUUCAUCUGGAUGGACCAGUCGUUGUAAUUUUUUCCGUUCAACUUUGGAAGUUGCAACUGAACAAAACUAGUGGAUGCCAUUGCUAGCUCUGAUACCAAUUGUUGGAACCAAUAGGACUUGGAGGGAGAGAGUACACACACAAAGAGAGAUUAUAUUACACAAUAUGCCUUGCAAAGGCUUAAUAGAGUACACACACUAACUUUGUUAAGCUUAAAACUCUCUCUAAAAUCUCACUCUCUCACACACUAAAUAAACUAGCGUAACCCUAUAUCUAUAAGCACGUCAUCGCUUGGACUACAAACAUGCAAGAGUUGAAGUUGAACUUUUCUUCUUGGCAGUCAAAAAUUGUGGGCUGCGUUUCCUUCACGUCCAAGUUGCAAGCCACAAGUUCACCUUCCUUCGUACUUCUUGAGAUCUCCAGCAGCAAGUAUAAUAAUAUUUUAUUGUGUGCCCAAGAUGCUUGUAGUUUCUUCAUGAUUUUUCUUCUCCGGCGGUUUAAAGAGACGUGGUGUUGCAGCACACGUUUCUUUGGCGGUUUACAAACCGACUAACUCUUGCUUUCACACACAUAGUCAAAAAACAAUUAAAAGACAAAUAAGCUAAUCAAAACACAAAAUCAAUUUUACUUUUUUCUAAUAGUUUGUGAAGAGAACACAUGCUGAAAACCAGAUUCAUCACAAAAUUUUGUAAAGUCUUGAUUUUCAAAUUCGCCUCCAUGGUCUGUCCGUAUAUUUGAAAUAACAUAUCAUUUCUUAUUUUGGACAUUUUUAGCAAACUUUAUAAAAUAGGAAAAUGUUUCAGAUUUACUUGCCAAGAAAUAUACCCAAGUGAAUCGUGAGUAGUCAUCCACAAUUAUUAGGCAGUAUUUCUUACCUCCAAUACUCUGAGUUUUGGUUGGUCCAAAGAGAUCCAUGUGCAAGAGCUACAGUACACGAUUAAUGGAUACUUGAUUUAUUGGUUUGAAUGAGUUUCUUAUCUGUUUUCCCAACACACAUGGUGCGCAUAGAUCAGACUUUUGAUAUGUCAGUUUGGGUAGUCCACGAACAAGCUUAUUUGCUGAGAUUUUGGCUAUUUGCUUCAUGUUAAUGUGUCCAAGUUUUCUGUGCCAUAAGUUUGUUUCCUCUUGAAUUGAGAUUAGACAUUGGGUUUCAUCUGGUUUUAUAUCCAAGAGGUAGAUAUUCCCAUGUCUUCGCCCCGUGAAGGACCGAGAGGAAUCUUUACUGGUUCAUGAACAUAUUCUUUCUUGAAAGUUGAUUUUGAAACCAAUAUUACAUAGUUGACUGAUGCUCAACAAGUUGUAGUUGAGUCAUUCUACUAAAGAAACAUUACUGGUCGUAAGGCUUCCAAUCUUUACAGUUCUGUAUCCCACAAUUUUUCCUUUGCUAUUUCUUCCAAAGGAAACUUUUCCACCACUAACUUGUACAAGUUUUAUGAAGCAAUUUGAGUCUCCUGUUAUAUGUCUUGAGCAUCCACUAUCCAAGUACUAUUUAACCUUUUUUUCUUGAUAGUGACCUGCAUUUAGAAAAGAGACUCAAGCUUUCUUUGGUACCCAUAUUUUCUUGGGUCCAUUGGUGUUAGUGUAAUAUACGGUCUUUGCUUAUAUUUUCUUAACAUGUUUCCAAACCAUAAGACAUUCUUUCUCAAAAUGAUCUGAGUUAUUGCACUUAGAACAUUUAAGAGCACUGCAACCUACUGAUUUUACAAAAACUUUUUGGAAAUGAUUUUUGUAAAAAUCUCUUGUAGGUCUUUGCUUACUUCUUUCAUUUACUUUAGGAAAAUCAAUUAGAGGAAAGUAGUCAUUCCUAAACCUGAUUUGUUGAAGCAAGGUCUUUGUGUUGAAAGAAUUUUUUCAAGUUUCUCAGAUCCUAUAGAAAAUCUUUUAGAAAUAUUUGAGAUAUCAUUUUUCAAGAAUGCAUUUUCUUUGGAAAGAUUGUCUACCUUUUCUUUCAAAGUAGUAACACUUUUGUCUAAAUUUUUGACCUUUUCUUUCCAAACAUUUUCCUGUUGUUUCAAUGCAGAAUUUUCUCUUUUAAGUUCUGAAAUCCUUUUGAGAGAGAUUUUGAGAUUAAGACACAAUUCAUCAAUAUAUCUAGAGACUUUAGUAGGGAUUUUCAAAUUAUUUACCUCAAUUUCACUGUCUGAAUCUAAGUCUGAUUGUGCUAUAAGACAGAUAUUGGCAUAAUCAUCAUCACUUUCAUCACAUUCUAUAUCACUCCAAGUUUCUGCUUUAAGUGUCUUUCGACAUUUCUCAGUUUUUCCUUUCUUUUUCUUCAGAAGGGGACAGUUAGGUCUGAUGUGUCCCCUUUUCUUGCAUUCAAAGCAGACUAUAUCCUUAUUGGAUUCAUCAUCCUCAACUGAUUUAGUCUGUUGCUUUUGAAAACUUUGUUUCUUUGGAUUGAAUCUUCUUUCAUUUCUAUUUAAUUUUCUGAAUCUUCUUAUCAUGAGAGCAAGCUCUUCAUCAUCCAUAUCGUCUUCAGAAUCUGUGACAUCAGAAUCAUCAUUAGAUUUUAAUGCAAUUGAUUUCUUACCUUUAGGAUCUUCAUCUUCGUUGAUUUGCUCCACUUCAUAAGACUGAAGAGUCCCAACCAAUUCGUCAACAGAGAGUGGUCUUUGUGUCUCUUUUACUGAGGUCUUUAUGUGAUUCCAAUCCUUGAACAGUCUACGCAGUAGCUUGUUUACCUUCAUGGGUCCAAAAAUUGGUUGAUGUUGAUAUUCAAGACCAUUCACGAUUUUUGUAAAACGACUAAACAUGUCAGUGAUAGAUUCUCCUGGUUUCAUCUUAAAUGCUUCAUAUUGACUGAGCAGAAUGUUGAUUCUGGUUUCUUUCACUCGAUUGGUUCCUUCAUAGGUGAUGUAUAAUUUAUCCCAGACUUCUUUAGCUGUUUCACAAGAAGAUAUUCUAUUAUAUUUAGUAGGAGAUAAUGCACAAUAUAAAGAAUAAAUUGCUUUCGCAUCAAGAGCUUGUCUCUUGGUUAUCUCUUCUUGAGUCAUUUCGCUAGACUCAACAGCUUCUUUUCCUCUUUCUAAGACUGGUGCAGCUUUAGGAAUGAUUCUUUUGUCUGCCACAUCCCAUUCCAAAGGAUCCUUUGAUCUUAGGAAUGCCUUCAUCUUGUUUUUCCAUAUGUUGUAUUCCUUUCCAUCAAAAUAAGGCGGUCUGGUAUUGCUUUGCCCUUCAAUCAGUCUUGGAGGUAACAUACUAGCCAUAGAUCUUUAAUUCUGAAGUAAAAUACUUCAACUUAAGUGAGUACACAGGCUCUGAUACCAAUUGCAAAAGCUAGUACGAGCACCUAGAGGGGGGUGAAUAAGUGUAAAAACAAAUUUCCAAGAUAAGUGUGCAACACUAAUCAACAAUAGAUGAUGAAAAGGAAGUUAGACUCUUGCAGACUAAAUGAAUUACGAUCAAAGUAAAAGAGCGUAGAGAAGAGAAUAAGAAUAUGAAAUUUAUAGUAGUUCAGCUUAAUCCAAGCCUACGUUUACUCUUUCGCACUGAUAGCCCACUGGCUGGAUUUCACUAUGAAUCAAAAGAGUUGUUACAGUAAAGCUCUUCUUUGAUUCCACAGUGUAGGGACUCUGCUACACUUCCUUAAAGUCUCUCAAAGAUAUAGACUCUUUUUUGAGUACAAGAUUUCGCUCAACAAUUUAAUUGACUAAGAAUAAGGAGUUUCAGACUUUGGAAUUCUUCUAUCGCGUACACACUCGAACAAUUGGAACGUCUUCCUUAUAUACUCCUUCAUGCCAUCACACCCGUUGGCACUUACUAAAGGAAUUCUUCCAAUCUACCUGUUGGACAGAAUCAAUUAUGAAGAUUUCGAGCUAUUUAAGGAAUAUGAUGAUAGCCCACCAAUCAUGCUCGCCCAUACAAUCAGGAUCUAGGUUUCCAUAAGUAGAAUCUUCCAAGUAUACUUCGCCAAUCAACGGAUCCAAAAUCCCUGAAUCAAUCUCAAUUUGAAUAAUGGAUUCCAAUAUGCUGUAUCCAACCAAGAGAUCUUCUUUAGUCGAUAUAAUCAAAUCCUUAGUGAAACAUUCAGUUUCGGAUAAGUUUUCUUCGACGGUCUAGAAACUGUCAAUGAGGAUAGAUUUUGGGUCUUGAGUCUAGCAGUCUGGAGGUCUUCAGACUUUGAUGAAAGAGUUUGCAAGUCUUCAGACUAGAGUAAUGGAAACUUUUGUCAACUUCAAAACACUCAAGGAAGUUUUCUCCAACAGUCACGACCCUCCCCUAGAUUCCAGAGUUGCCAGCCCUUGCCCAAAGGGGCCAAGGGCUGCCAUUGGCCACAAUAACCCUCAUCCUAGAUUUGGGCAAGGGCCUGCCACUACCUAGGGGUUGAUGACACCAGCCAACCCUCGCCCCAUCAUUGCCUACCCUUUCCAGCAAUGGUGGGUGGCGACAACGAGGCUUUAACCCAAACCGAACCUGUUCCCCCUUCUUUUUUUUUUUUUUCUUCUUCUUCUUCUAAUUUAAAUAAUUUAUUUUUUUAAUUAAUAUUAAAUUAAUAAAUUUAGGGGCAAAACGAUGUCAUUUUACACCUUCAUUGCUAAAUUGGCUUCCAGCGAACCACAUAAAUCACAUAUAUUAUUAAAAAAAAUGCCAAGUCGGAUUUUUGGCUACUUUCACCAAACUUGGCAUUGAAGUGUCUCAUUAUUAAAAAAAAAAAAGUGGCAUUUAAGUGUUUGAAAUUUUUAGCACUAAAGUGUUCGCUUAUGCCAAGUUUUGGCAUUCUCGAUGUACUUUCUCUAACAUCUAACUAUCAAAAGAAUAUUGAAAAAGUUUAUGUUGGUGCCUAACUUAUGCCACAUAGGACUGCCGAUAUCCACGUCAAUUAUUUCCAGUCUAAAUUGGCUGAAUAAACUGAAGUGGUACCAAAGUAAAAAGGUUUAUGACUAAAGUUUAGAACUGAAUUUGUACCAAUACAAUAGGUUUAUGAUUUUUUUGGUAUUGUUCCUAAUUAUCAAGGCCAUUAUAUCAGACAUGUUAAUACUCGCCUAAUCUUGGUUAAGUGGGUAGUGAUAGUGAUAGCCACCCUCCUAAAGGCAACAUGGAUUCCCCGAGGAAUGUUAACAGAUUGCUAAGCGAGUGUGAAUAGCUACUCUCGCAAGGUGAUGCCUUUGCCUAACAUGAGCCCUCCCAAAUUUACCGAUCACAACCUAAUUUCUCCAAUAAAUUAUUCAAGCAAUAUUAGACUUAGAAGUUACCACUAACCUAUUAAGCAUCGAGUAGCAACCUAGAUAGGGUGUAGCGGUCAAUCUUACUCCCAAGAACCAAAUUUAAUUAUGCUAUAUGAAUCUAACAUUGUUUUGGUACCCUUCUCUCUAUAAAAUCGUUUUGUCAUAUUAUUGCUUAAAAGUGAUCAUGAAUGGUUCUCAAGCAAUAAAAUAAACAAUCAGACAAUAAACAUCAAAUAAUGAAAUAAUAAAUAUCUAGCAAAUAAAUAAAUAACUUGAAUAGCCGAAUUGGGCAAUAAUUAACAAAGUUUUUUUUUUUAUAGGCUUCAGGGUAAAAACCCAUGUGCUAUAUAGGUGGAAAGUUUAAGGGCACGCGUGACAAAAUUUCUAUUCUAGAAAUUAGUUUUUGACCAGAAAUUGAUUUCUCAAUUUCUAUUCUCUAGACAAGUUUCUGAGCAAAGAAACUCGUUUGAUAACGACUCAAAAUUUCUAUUUCUAGAAUAGAAAUCCGUUUGAUAACAAAAUAAAAUUUCUAUUUCUAGGAAUAGAAAUUGAUUAGAUAACAACAUAUGAAAUCCUCAAAUACAAAAUAAUAGUCGAAAUAAUACUAAUACAUUACAAAAGUUAAAAAUACAAUUUCAUGGAAUUUCCAGCAUAUUAUUAUUCAUUGCCAUUAAUAGUUUUCCUAAGCGUAUUUAUUUGGUUUUCCUCCUUAGACAAUAUAUCGUUUGCAAGCUUAUCUUACGUAGGUUCAGACAAGUACUGCGGAAGCAUAAUAUGGGUGCCAUCAAUGGCACCUAUACAGGCCUAUCAUUUUAUCAAAGACUAGUAUUAUAUAAUAUUAUCAACAAAAUAAAAUUGAUAGUGUAAAGGAAUAUAUGAGAAUUCUACCUUUAAAUAACGUUUAUGGUUAGGAACCAAUCGGGGGAAUGUCAGUUUAUUUUGAUUCUCGAAUUGAAUCAGUCCAGUUGCUCAUCCCUAAUUUCUUUAUUGUUGCUCAAUGAACCUUUAAUGGCCAUUGCAUAGCAAAGAGAGAGAUUCUCUUGAAUCUCUUGCCUUUGAAUUAAAAUUCAAGAUUGUGUAACAAUCUAAUUAUUUUGAUUUUGCAAGAAUUUUGAAUCCGUAAAGAAACAAGGUUAAAUUUCUAGGCACGUUUUUUAUUCAUCUAUUGCAUAAGAACUUUUUCUUCAACUGGCCAUGCAUGUGGCCUUUUUAGGAGGAAAGAGCCCAAUUGUUUUUAAAUAAGCAUUUAAGAACUUUGGUCGUUUUUGAAAAUUGGGGACCCAUUCGAUUGCCUUUCAUCCUAAAGAGGAAGUUAUAAAAAAAAAUGAAAAAAAAAACAUGAGCAAAAUUAGAAAAAGAAAAUUAGCAAUAAUUUGUGAAGUUGUGGUUAUAAGUGAAUUAAGUUAGCAAGAAAGCACAAGGUUCUUUUAUAUGGUUUGAUUUCCGCUUCUGAUUUCUAUUUCAGAAACUGAGAAGUUAAAAAUUUCAAUUUUUGAUUUCUUCGAUUUCUCUAUUUCUAGAAUAGAAAUUUGUUUCAGAAGUAAAUAAAUCAAAUUGCGUUACCAAACAGAUUUAUGUUCCAAACCUGUUCCGGAGAACAGAGAAACAGAGAAAUCAAGAAAUAUAAAUUUGAUCAUGCGCGCCCUAAAAGUACUUUUGCAAACUUCCUAAAAUAGACAAUUGUAUCAAAGGAAAGCGAAUAUGGAAAUGUAACAUGCUAUGUAAAAUAAAUAUACCAAAUGAAGUGUUUUCUUGAAAAUGAGCCAUUAAACAUGGGAAUAGAAUUUAAUGUUAUGCAAUGCAAUACUAAGGCUAUAUUUCGAAGCUAGUAUAAAAUUCAAAAUAGGAUAUUAUCAUAUCCUACAUUCGGUGUCGCUCAAGAUAGGAUAUAGUUAAAUAUAAAUGCUAUAGACCGAAUAAUAUUAUCUUAUAGCGAAAGUGGGAUAAAAUGUGGAUGUGAUUUCUAACAUCUAUAAAAGGAAAGUUAUUUUUUUCGAAUGAAAAACUUCUUAAAUUAACAAAAUUUUAUUAUAUUUCAAUAUAAAUAAUAUUUGAAUUCUAAUAUAAGAAAUUCAAAUUAACAAAAAAUGACAAUUUAUUUAUUUUAUUUUAAUAUUAUUUUAUUUUUUAUAAUUGAAUUUAAUUAUAUUUUAUAAUAUAAAUUCAAUAUAUAAAUAUAAAUAUAUAGUAUUGCAUAUUUUAGGUACUUUAGUAUUUUAGGUAUAUUAGUACAGUUUACUAUUUAAUAAAAUUUUAUUAGAGAAUGAUGGAAGGGCAAGAAAGAAAUAAAAAAGAAAUUAAUUGAUAAAAGUGAGGAAAAUAAAAUAAAAUAAAGUGGGCAAGAGUUUCGCGAGAGUUUUUUACCAUCUCCAUUUGUAAAAUUUGUUUAUUCAUUUAUACUAAUACACUGUUAAUAUCAAAUAAUGUACAUGAUAUAAUGUGAAUAGAUUCAACUUGAUUACUGCAAUCACUAAACAAUGGAUAUGAUAUAACAAAAUCUUUGGAUUUCAUAUCUUAUCAUAUUCAAUCAUAUUAUAGUUAAAAAUUCAAAUGACCAAACAUAAUCUAAAAGAAUGAAUCUACUUAUAUAAUAUUAAUAUGCCCCUGAAUGCACCCUUAUACAUUUUUUUUGUGAUUAUUCAAAUGAAAAUGCAAUCUAAUUACUAGAAGAAAUUAUAUAUAUAUUUUUAUAUUUUUAUUUUAUAACUUGUGAUUAUGGUAACAAACAUAUGAAUAUGCCGAUAGAAUAAUACUUCAAUUUGACAAAUUUAGUCAUAAAAUUUUCAAUAUUUUAACAAUGUAAUCCAAGGCCGAUUAUCAUUGAAGUGUGAGGCAUUUUAUGUGGUAUGGUGAGUUUUAAUGUAGAUAAUUUUUUAAAAUUUUUCUAAAUUUUCUUCUUUCCUUCCUUUCCUUUUCUUUCUCUUUUCUUUUUGUCAGUGGUUGGUCGCUAGCUUGGUGAGGGUCGCCCUCACUAGCUACAUGCGACUGUUGGCUGUGCCUAGGCAAGCCCUAGUGAGGCCGCUUUGGCCUGGGCGAGGGACCCUCACUUAGGCUAGGGUGGCCUCACCAACACUUGCCCUCCCCUAGAGAAGGUUGGCCCUUGCUAGCCAAUAAAGUUCAAAAAAAUUGUAAAAAAUAUCUACAUCAAUGCUAACUGUAUCAUAUAGAAUGGCAGACAUCUAGCUAGUGAUUUUCAGUCAAAAUUGGCCAAAGAGACUACAUUGACAAAUUGUCAAAAUGUUUAUGAUUUGAUUAGUCAAAUUGAAAGGUUUAGAAUCGAAUUGGACUUUAUUAAUAAUUUCCCUGACAAUUUCCUAUAUAUUGGAUCUCUAAUUAUUUAACAUGUGAUUCAUGAACCAUGAAAACAUUAACUUACGUAAAAAGUCGUGUCCAUCCUAAGAUGUAAUCAAACAACCACGAACAAGUGCGUACAGGAAACGCUUCUAUUGUCGGUCUUCUAUCCUUUUGGAAAUGAUAGGACGAUGCAUGCAAAAGAGUCCAUAUUUUUAUCACGUGAGAUGCAUCCUAAAGAUAAUCAAUUAGGCCCUUCAUCUCAUCCCAACCUAGACAGCACGCAUCUCCGAUUGCGCUCAAGAAUUUGGUUCGAUCCCUCGCAUCGUGCAAUCCUGUUUAGUCGAUUGUUGCGAGCUAAGACAAAUCACGUUCAGGAACGGCGUGCAAAUGGUUUAUGACCAGUUCCUAAGGGUAGUCGCAAUUAGGGACCAAAUAAAAUCAAUAGCGAGCGAAUCAACAGUCUCAAUGUGUUCAGCAAUUCGAAUAGGAUGGCAUUGUCUCGAUCAAUUCAAACUAGCAAACACAAUCACACUUGUUGUCUCGAAAUGAUCGGCGGCUUGAAUAGGAUGGUAGCAACUCAUUGUCUUGAUUGACUCAAACUAGCAAACACAGUUACAUAGCUUUGCGAUGUCUACGACUAAGAACAAAAAAAUUGGCAACAAUGCCUUUUGUGAUGGCUUGAGAUGGAUGCAAUAAUUGCGAUGUGAAUGAUGCUAUGCGAUCAAUGUAAGAGUUUUCCUGAUGUGGACUAAAUUAAUUGAUAUUGUAAUUUACUGUUUUUACGGUUAUCGUAAAAUAAUGUUGAUCUAAGGUGAGAUAGAAGGUUUUUUAAUUAGUCAAAUAUGAGAUUGGCUAUUGUGAGCCAAGUUAAGCCUGGCCUGUAAUGAGGGGGUCUUACUGGAAACUCUAUAAAUAGUACUCAAGUCUCUCCUCUAACCCUAAUUCUCACAUUAUCCUCACCUAAGGGGCAUUUACCUAACUCUACACGUGAGGGGGGUCACCUCAUUGAACCAGUGAUACGGAGGGAAAUAGAGGAGAAUGACUUGAUGCGUGGAUCCCCUUGAUAUGUGGGUAAUCCCUUUUCUGCUUCCGUUUUAUGUUCGAUGGAUUCCAAAAUAGGUAUAUUAAUCUUUCUACUCAAUUAUGCAUGUUCUUGUUCUGGUUAUGGAGAUCUUGGGAUUGCGUGAUUUGCAUCCAACAUGUGGUAUCAAAGUAACCAUAACCUUAGAACUCGAACGCAUAAGAUUUGUGCUAUAAUUUGUGAUUUUCGUGUUUUUUUUGUUCAAUAAAAAUAAAAUAAAAUCACAAAUUUGGAUUUGGCUCGAUGAGGCGAGCAAAACUGUGGGCAGCGUGUCGCCGGGGGAGGCCCAAUGUGCCCCCACGUGCGGCCACGUGCCGCUGGGCGUCGAAGACACGCGCCCAUGCGUGUCCACAUGUCCUCACGUGCUCCCACGCGCGGGGCGCUACUCGUGCGUGCAGCGCAUGCGGGCGUUGAUGUCAUGAUUACGUUAGCGACCUAGACUCAGAUCCAACCCGAAUGGCGACCGACUUGACCCGACCCGACCCGGUCACCCGUUGACUGAACCGGUCAAUUGGUCGGACUGGAAGGUCAGAUUGGGAACUAGUCAGACCGCCACUGGUCAGAUCGGUUUUGAUCGGCCUUUGAUGCCCGCGCGUGGGCUCCACGCGCUGCGCACUUAGGCGGUGCGUGCGGGCGCGUGGAGGUUCCGAUUCGCACGUGGCCGGCUACGUUUGAAUUGUAUGGUUAUUCCCUACGUCAUUGUGUAUUUAUUUUACAUUUUUGAUGAUCUUAUAGAUGUGAAAAUACAUACGGAACCCUAAAUAUGUGUAUUUUUAGUGUAUAUUUUUUAUAUUUUCUGUGAUUUUGGAAAUAUAAGUGUUGGGUUAUAGGUAUGUUAUCAUAUAAACAUUAUAAUGGUGUGAUACAUUAAUAAAAAUUAAACUUUAUUGUGAACUGAAGCUGGCUUAAUGAGAUACAACCAUUAUGGGAUAGUUAUUGAGCUAUGUAUUGAUUAUAAAAUUUUUGUUGUUUAAGCAUACUCCUUUACACAAUGAUAAUCUUUGAAUGAUGAACUUCUUAAGAAUUCGUGACCAAACUGAUUGUACUGAUUAACAUAUCUGUUGAAUGUAGGUAAUGCAUGUUAAUUAAGUUACUACAUAUUGUACAUGAACUCAUCUGAUCAUUUGUUUUUUUUUUUUUUUUUUGGUAAAGGCAUCUGAUCAUUUGUUAAUGUCUAUUAAGUUGAAUAUUUUUAUGGUUAAGGAGUAUGACAACAUUUAUGCAAAGUAAUAAUAUCUACUGUUAAAUUUUAGAUAUUUGGUUAUCUGGUUUGACAGAAUUAAUAUGCCACUGGUUGAUUACAAUGAUAAUUUAUUACUUAAAAAUUAGCUAAUAAAUUAGUUGUUGGCCUUGGAGUUAUUUUUUGCCUUAUGAACUUAUGAAUGAUAAUGAAUCACCUGUCAAGCUUGUCAAUUUAGUGUCCCAUGUAUUACUAUUAAUGUUAAUCUGUGAGAGAUAUUUUAGAUUAGCAUUCUUUUAAUGUUGUUCUAGUAAUCAGUAAUUUGGGUGCACAAGAGAUGCUUGCUUCUAUGUUAUGAGAAGUUUCUUGUGUUGCUGUCGAUCUCAUUGGAAUCUAUCUUUUAAGUUCGCUAUAUAUAUAUGUAUAAGUAAAGAUUUUAUUAAUAAAUAAAGCAAUGUAAUUAGCAUGAUAUCUGAUUUUGGUGAUAUGCUGCCCCUAUCACUAAAGUUAAAAUCACAUGUAUAUGAUUUAUGAUAUGUAAAUUUUAUAUCCCUAGUAUGAGAUAAUUUCAAUGAUUCAAUUGAGUAGUGACUGCCAAAGUGGCACGCUUGAUUGGGUUUGAGAAAUUUCGAUCUCGUAUAAUGAUUGUGAUAUCUCUUGGUUUAAUGCAUAGUCAUACUUCCAAAUGAGGUGAUUAUGUAUUAGUUCAUGAAGGAAUACAUGAUAGUAUGGUGGUGGAGUGACUAAUUCUAGUGAUUCAUAUGCCCAAAGGUGAUGAAUUCAUGAAGAAUUGUAAUAUAUUCUCAUAACCGCUAUCAUGUGGGGAGUGUACAACUGCAUGUCAUGUAUUCUGCCCAAAUGUGAUUAUAUGAUUAUGUGUGUAACUCUCUGGAUGUGUAUUUGUAUGUCAAGUUACAUAGUGCUCACAUGAUGCUAAUUAUACACAUUGCUUGUUUUUCAGUCACAUUUUCUGUAAUUAAUAACUCCAUUAUUAUUAUUAAGGUUUUUACUGCUUCAAAUUUUAACUUGUGGACAUAUGAUUUAUUGCUUGAGAAAAGAGCAAUAGAAUUUUGUUUACCGUCCAUGAAGCGUUCCAUUCUGGAACACUCGAAAAGAGGUUUGCCUGCGCACAGCACUGCUAUAAGAUGAUGGAAGCCUUAGUUGCAUGAAAUUACGUCUUGUCUAACAUCGAAAUUAGGACAUAUCUGCAAAGAUUUUAUUUAAGUCCUAAUGACAUAUACAUCUCGUAUAUAGUUAAAAUGUCGUUUCUAAAAGUUUUUUAUUUAAGGAAAAUGACCAAGAUAAAGAAUAAACUAGGUUAAAAUUAGUCUUGAAGGUUGUCAGGUCUAAUAGUAGCGGUAAGUAUUUUGGCAAGUAUGACAAUACUAAAUUGCUUAAAGGGUUAUUUGUCAAAUACUUGGUUAAUUCUGGGGUGGUAAUUUAAUUAUUAGGCCUGAAAAUUCUAACAAGAAGAUUUGGCUAAAAGGUUUGAAGCACCAUAAUAAACAUGUUAAUGAGUAUGAUUAGUAAGACUAAUUUAUCCGGUCUUCGAUGGGUUGAUAUUAUGAAAGCAACUUUUUCUCAUACAAAAUGUGUCUCUGAUCAAAGUUGUUUCAUAAACUUCUUUUGAAUUAUAAAUUGGACAUAGAUUACUUGAAUCAUAUUAAAUUUAGAGGUGUCAUGUAAAAGUGAGAUUAUCUAAUUCAAUAUUAAGUGUGUUGGAAUUUAGAUCCACUUAAAAUUAUUUUGUAUCUUACUCUGAUUGUUCGAAGGAGUAUUAAUUUUAUGACCCUAAAGAAGGUAUAAGAAUUAUGGAAUCACAUACUCUAAAGUUUCUAAAGAUCGACGUAAUUGUAGAGGAUUGCUACUCUCCGACUAUUAAAGAUAAUAGUAUAAUGGAGGUUACUGUAUUUUUUGUUUUUACCUAUUUAGAUAAUUAUGGAAUCUCUUGUACCAUAGACUAAACUUGUUGAGGUUCAAGAUAAUUUUUGAUAUAGUUUAUAAUGAAAUUUCUUAAACCUCUCAAGUGCAGAAUGAAGUGGUUGCAGUUUUAUUAAGGAGAUUUGUUAAGAAAAGACGAUUAAUUAUACCAUCAGACUAUAUAGUCUAUUUGUAAGAGCAUUAUUACAAUAUCCAUUACAUGGUUGUUUUAGCAACUUAUAUAAACGUCGUUUCUUGUUCUUAAUUAAGUAUGUGAUUAAAUGCCAUAAAAAUAAUAAUAAUGUUUUUACUCUGAAAGAUGGGUGAAUAGUUUAUAGUGAAGAAAUAAAAAAAUAUUUCUAGUAUUUUAAAGAUUCUUUCAGAGUGAAUGUGGCAUUAAUAAUUUAUUUUGAUAUGGAGUUACGCCAAAAAGAUACAAAAAUCUAUAUUGUGCAACUGGAGGAUUUUGCAACAUAUGAUUCAAGUAAACUUGUGUGUAGACUGAAAAAUCUUAAUUCAUGAUCUUAAACAAGUUUCCAGACAAUAUUGUUAAAGUUUCAUAGUGUUGUUAUUUUGUCCAUUUGGGAACAAAGUAAUUCAAUAUACUGCAAGGUCAGUGGGAGGAAAUUUAUUUUUUUCCCAUACUCUAUGUACAUAAUAUUUUGCUUACAAGUUGUGACCUUGAGACAUCUUAUAUCCUUUGUACUGAGGUCUGUAAGGAUUGUUUUUGCCAUAUUAUAUUAGAUUUUCUCUGAGGAUAUUUGCUUAUUGUAUAUUAGAAAUAUUCAAUAUACAUCAUUGCAAGCCAGGAAUUGCUCAUGUUGUUAAAAGUGAUGGGUUGAAUCUAUCACAUUGUCCUUAUUUAGAUAUUGAGAAAAUCUAAUUAAAUGGUGUACCUUGUGUCAGUGCACUUAAAAAUAUAAUGUAUGCUCCAAUUUGCACUAGACUAAAUACCGUUUUUGUGACGGGACUUCUAAGAAGAUAUUAGUCAAAUCCAGGACGCGAUAACUCGGUUGCUGCCAAGAAGAUUUUAAGGUGCUUAAAUAAAACAAGAGAUUAUAUGCUAAUUUAUAGACAUGUUCAAUUCUUGCAGCUAGUAGGGCAUUUAGAUAUAAACUUUGCUGGCUAUUAGGAUGACAUAAAAUCAAUAACGGAAUACAUAUUUAUGUUAGCAGGAAGUGUAGUAAAUAAAGUUUGAUGUCAUCUUCUACUAUGUAAGUAGAGUUUGCAACAUUCUUUUAGGCUGUUACUUGGGCUAUUAGGCUCCAGAACCUCAUGAAAGAGUUGAUCGUUUUAACUUUAUGGAUAGACCCAUACGGUUAUAUUGAGAUAACAAAUUUGUAGUAUUAUUUAUUUACUAUAUAGGUUUCAAGGGGUCUAAAUAUAUUGUGAUUAAAAUUUUUUUACCAAAAGAAAAACGGUACAAAAAGGUGACGUAAUAAUAUAAUAUAUUUUUAUAGAUGAUAUGGUUGUAGAUCCACUAAUUAAAGGCCUAUGCCCAUGUGUAUUUGAGCGACAUGUCAUUAGCAUGGGCCUAGGAGAAUCAUGAGAUGCUGUUGUUUAGUGGAAACUAUUUUGGUUUUACUCUAAUAAAUGAUUCAUCUGUGUUCGUUAUACUUUGUAACGGUUUGAUAUGUAUCAACUUUUGCAUUCAAUAAAAUAUUUUUGAAUGUGUUGUUAUUAUAUUAAAUACAUAUUGAUAAAAUCUCAAGGGAUUUUAUAAACCUUGAGUGAAGGCUAGGGGCAUCUAGGCAUCCGGUUAUUAGCCUUAUGCAUAUGUCUUGUGAUACGUAAAUAAAUGUUAGCCAUAAGGACAAGACAUAUGUGGGUUCAUUGGAACCAUAAAUCAUUCUCUAGUGGCACAAGUUUUUGUGACACCUAAGGUAAGAGAAUGGUGACUGACAAAUGGGAUCUCUCUAUGAGAGAUGCUAUUCAUUUGCCACACUAUCAUAUUGAAUCUAUAUCAAUAAAGUUGAGAGUACUUGUGACCAUAGAAUGCUCUGUGUGUGAACAUGCAGUUACCACCAUGAUUCGGUGUUUAAGACUUUAUGGGAUAUGAUUAACUAUUACGAAUUAUCUCUAGACCAAAUGUGCGCACAUACAGUACAAUUUCAAUUUAGAUAGUCCAAGUGGGAGAAUGUAAGAGUUUUCCUGAUUUGGACUAAAUUAAUUAAUAUUAUAAUUUACUGUUUUUAUGGUUACCGUAAAACAUGGUUGGUCUAAGGUGAGAUAGAAGGUUUCUUAAUUAGUAUAAUAUGGGACUAGCUAGUGUGGGCCAAGUUGAGCCUGGCCCAUAAUGAGGGGGUUUGGCUGGAAACUCUAUAAAUAGUGCUUAAGUCUCUCCUCUAACCCUAAUUCUCACAUUAUCCUCACCUAAGGGGCAUUUACCUAAUGCUACACAUGAGGGGGGCCACCUCAUUGAGCCAGUGAUACGGAGAGCAAUAGAGGAGAAUGACUUGAUGCGUGGAUUCUCUUGAUAUGUGAGUAAUUCAUUUUCUGUUUCCGCUUUAUGUUCGAUGGGUCCCAAAAUAGGUAUGUUAAUCUUUCUACUUAAUUAUGCAUAUUCUUGUUCUGGUUAUGAAGAUCUUGGGAUUGCGUGAUUUGCAUCCAACAAUCAAGUCAAAUGAGAGUCGAGUAGCGGGAUCUGAAUGUUACUUGUAUUCUCUCCGUGGUGUGUUUUGUUUUGGGUCAAGAGUCUCUUCACAAUUCCACUGAAUAUUCUGCUUGAUCCUUGACCAAGAGAAUACAUGCUGUCUAUGGCCGAGGGUGUUGCGGUAUUUGCUGAAAUCCCUUUCAUUGAAGGGUGCCGGUUGAGAUUUCAUUAGAGGGUGGCCGGACUUAUGGGGGCUCGGGCUUGAAAAUUGAAGUGGGUUUAUCUCUUUUAAAUUUAAUUUCGUUUAACCUGACGGGCUAGUUAAAAUGCAAUUCACAACCAAGCCAAUUUUAAUGGAAUUCAUUUGAUGCGGACAUGUUACUAGUGAACAAAAAAUGGUCAUACGCCUAAAUGCAAUGUGCAUGCAAAAUUGUGUGAUAUUAGUAUUUUGUUUAAAGGGUCAAAUAAUGUCAUUGUCAACAAAUUCAAUCCCAAAGUUUUUUGUGAAACGUCUGAGAUUUUUAGACAAAAAGUCAAAUGUCAACAGAUAAUUUUAAAAGAUAUUUAAAAAAAAAUCGAGGAAAUUAUCUUUUUCUUCACCCUUAAUUAAUGUAUGUUUGCCAUGACAAUAAAUUUGAUCGAUAUAAGUAAUGGUCAUGCUUGAUCUAUUGGUUAAGACGUACUCAAUGUAAGUGAAUCAAAUUUUCUCUUUAAAUCAACAAUUUCAAAUGUCUUUAAAUAUAAUUUAAAUUUGAAAGGAGUGUUAGAAUACUUAAAUGUUAAACCACGCUUCAAUAUAACAAUUUAGAUUUCUAAAAAAUUGACAGUAGUCUUACAAAAUCUUAUCUAAAGUUCAAAUGCUCAUUAUAUAUUUAAUCUCUAAUGUAGGUUAGAUGACGAAAUAGUGUUAUGCUUAAUAUUCGUAUCAUCAAGGAUAUCAAGUGACUCAAUAUUCAUAAAAUGCUUAAAUCUAGUCUAUAUCGGACAAUGUAAGUAUACAAAAAAUGCAUUAUAUAAUCCAUUUGUUCAAUUAUCCAACGACAACUCACAACUUCAUCUUGCAGGUCAACAUUACAUAACAACCAAUGAACUCUCGAGAUUUUCCCUCUAGUUUUGCCUUCUAGUGAUUUUUCACAGAGAGAGAGAGAGAGAGAGAGAGAGAGCCUAAGUAAUGAAUGGGCCAUGUGCAUUUAAAGGCUUUAAUCAUAUGUUAGACUUCAAUUGCUAGAACAAUCAAAUCUUCCGCUCAUUCCAAGUUAUCACGCGUCCUAGGGCCUCAACAUUUGGAACUUCUUCUAUUGGCAAAGAAAAAGGCUUGACAUGUUCUUGUUCGCAAUUGUUAAUAAAAAAUUAAUUUUUUAAAAAAUAUAAAAAUUGUCCACUAAAUUUGUAUUGUAAGAAAGCGUUUUGAUAAUAUAUAUAUAUUUUUUAAAUAUAAGAAACAAGUUAUCCCAAAUUAGAUUAAAUAAGGAUGUGUUGUAACAAUAUAGAUUGAAUUAGGUAUGGGUCAAGAAAUUUGUAUUAUAGAUAAAUGGAUCAUAAAUAGAUUAGUGAGUCAAUUUGGAUUGGACCAUUCAUGACCAUACCAAACCCACCUGUUUGAUAGGUCUAAGUGCCACAUAUAAUUUAUUGCAGCCUAAUCUUUUCUAGGAUUAAAAGUUGUACCAUGAACAAUUUUUUUUAAAAGCAUUUGGAAUUGAGAAAAUAAAAAAGAAAUAUGUAAUGUAUGUUAUGUUUUUAUCAUUUUUGUCCAAUUGUUUUGCACCAAUCUAUAAUUAAAACUUCUUUCUAGUCUAUAUUGGCAAGAUGACUGGAUAUGCAUUAAGAAUUAUCUCUGAACAAAAAUUUCCUAAUAAUUGGGAUAUCAUUAAAAAGUUCAAAAAACUACUUAUUUAAAUUAAUAAAUUACCUAUUGGAUGAACUACCCCGACUUAAAUAUUGAAUAAGAUUGGACGAACAUAGAUGACUCAAAAUGUGUCAAAUUAAGAUAGCAUUAGCAGACAAGAUUUUGAUACCAAUGCAAUUGCUAGGAAACAUGCUUUGUCAAAUUUAUGUCAAGAAUUAAUAAUUAAUUGUGCGUUGAAUUUUAGGAUUUAGGUUUUAGAUAUAUGAAAAACAUAUUUAAUAUAUUUACGAAUCAAAUUGCGUUUGUCUUGUGUUAAAAAAAAAUGCAAUCUUGUAUUGUGCAUUGUAAUAUAUCAUGUUUGUCGUUUCAACCGUUACUUGUCAAGUAUGUAAAAAUCACUGGGAUUUGCCCCAGUGGCCACCCUUCCAACAUGGAAGGGAGAGGUGAGGGGUUCAAAUCCCCACCUUCUCAGGGGGGAUGGGGUGGGGACGCGUAAGUUUCAGAGUAGAUUUUGACUCCCACGCCCUGCAAGAGGCAUGACAAAAGUCUGAGAGUGAGUGUAGAGUAGGAAUAGAGUAGGACUAAUCAAAAACAAAAAAGUAUGUAAAUUUUCUCAACCAAAACAAGUAUGUGAAUUUUACUUUUGGGCAAUUGCUUAAAAGUAAGAAAAAUAUCAUUGAAAGGUAAAGAGAAAAAAAGCUUGAAAGUGGGAAUAGAAAGUGGGAGUAAGAUUCUCUCCCUCAUACAUGGUCAACAACAAAUAAUCAACCCACGCAUUUUAAUGCCUUCGAUGUUGCCAUUAUUGGUAAAUAAACUUCUUUAUCCCUGCGACGAUAAACGUACGAUGAACAUCUUAGAGGUAGAAGAGAGUUGGACUCAUGCUUUAGGAAGCAAGAAGCCAUUCACGGUAAACCCUCCAUCGACACAAAUGGUUUGCCCCGUAAUGUAAGAGGCCGCCGGCAACCACAAGAAGGCCACUGACGACGAAACCUCCUUCGGCUCUCUGAUGCGACCGAGCGGUGUCCUUGCUAUCGCCUCCUCGUGGAAUUUCUCAUUGCCGAGUAGCUGCUAUGACGGAUGAGUUAAUGUUAGAUCACGAUGGCAAAGGUGAUGAAGAUUUAUGGGGCGAACUAUUUUCGAAGAGGAUAGGAAAUUUUAAGUCUUGGUAAAUUAAAUUACAUGGUCGGUGAGUGGGCUGCCUAUGAAAUAAGGUGCAAUAGAGUUGCUUCUUAUGUUGUCUUUAGCCCAUUCGCAAGCCAGAUUCUUGGUCAACUGGUUCAUUUCUCCAGUCAAUGAGUUGAGAAAGUAAGAAUAUAACUUGGUAGAGCUUGAACCAACCCCAAAGUGAUGCUCGAAAGUCCACUUUAGAGUCACUCAUUACUGUGUUUUGCAGCCAAGGGAUUUGACUACGUAAGGCCCAGUUAUAUAGCCCACAGGCCUGAUUGGUUUCGUAAACCGAUCACUUGAGAAAAUUAGCAGUGAUUAGAGUCAUAAGUCCAUAAUUUGGAUGCCUUCUCCAUGACGGACGGUGAAGUGUUCGUCUUCAUCGAUAUCUCAGACAAUCUUUCUCAUCUCUUGCCUGCCCCUUGAUCUUGAGAAUCCAAGUGAAACUAUCCAUAGUGUUCACUUUAUCACUAGAUUGAGAGAUCAACGUAAGUGUUAUUCUAUUGGUUGCUCGAGAAUUCACUUGCUCAUCUUGAAAAAUAGUACUUAGAAUUCACUUUAUCAUCUUGAGAAAUUAAAUAUGAAAAAGAUAUCAUACAAAGAUAUAACAUCAUUAUCAUGCCAUAAUUUCGCAAUACAUUGACACUGUUCUAAUGAUAAAAUCAAUUGUCCCUACGACGAAAAUUCACGAAGUAGCGUCUUACAGGCAAACGAAAGUUGGGCUCAUGCUCCAAGAAACAAGAAGCCAUUCACGGUAAACCCUCCAUCGACACAAAUGGUCUGUCCCGUUACGUAAGAGGCUGUCGGCAUGCACUAGAAGACCACCAAUGAUGACACCUCCUUGGCUCUCCAAUGUGGCCGAGCGGCGUCCUUGCUAUCACCUUGUCAUGGGACUUUUCGUUACUAACUGACUACGAUAACAUGAGUUCAUGUCAUAUCAUGAUGACGAACCUGAUCAAGAUCUAUGUAGUGAUCUGUUUUCAAGCACGAGAGAAAAUUUACAGCCUUAAGAGAUAAUCUUACAGGCUCGGCUUGUGGGGCCAUUAUGUGCCAAGGUGCAAUAGAGUUGCCUCUUAUAUUGUCCUUAGCCCAUUCACAUGCCAAAUUCUUGGUUAAUUAAUUCAUUGCUCCUAACAAUCGACUCGGAGAAAAAAAGAGAGGAAUUUUUUAGCUCCAUAUGAAAAAAGUUCAGAUAGUUAGUUAUGAUAAUAUUAACUUACCUUUGGUUGUCGAGCAAAUUUGUCCAACAUUCAUUGAAACAACGCCGCAAACAGAUGACAAUAACACAACGCUUCCGGCUUCUGAGGCAUUGAGAAGGGGAUGCACGAGUUGACUUAGACACUAAGCUGAUUCGAAGUUAGUUGUCAUGAUGAAUGAAAAAUUUUCCGCUGUAUAUUCCAUGGUCAGCUUUACUCUGUUGGUUUGUUGAUCUACCACACAAACUACUACCAAUAAAAUGAAAACCAAGUAUCAAAUCUAUCGAAAGAAAUGCACAAAUUACGACCUUGUUAUUGAUGUAAUCAGAUCCACAGGAUCAGACUUACUAGGAUGUCGAGCUUCCCGUCGAAGAGGGAGGACACAGUAAGCAUUGGCUUCUCUCGCUCCGAUCUUAAGGAAAAAUCACAAGUCGAACCUGUGACCUGGAAACCCUUUCUCUUCCAAUCUUUCAAGCAUUCAUGAAUAUCCGGCUGCAUUUCUGGAGCAGGAAUACACGGUGGCCCCAAGCCCUUGCUGGCUUCUCCACAAUGGCAUGCCUAAUCAUAGGGGUGAGCAGGUCCAGGGUAGGUAGGGUCUAGACCUGGACCCUGUUCCUUACCUUGUUAUAACCGGUUCUCCUUUUUAGACCCUGUUCCCUACCCUGUUUUCAUUAGACCCUGUUCCCGGCCCACCAUGUUUUUCCGGUCCGGGAACAGGGUUGAUCUUGUUUAUAUUGGAACCUGUUUUGCAUAAAAAUUAACCUUAGAAAAGUAAGUCUAGAUGAGUUAUCUGCUGAAACAAAAAGGCCGAACCAAGCACAUCCUUCGACCAAACUCAUUGGGAACAUGUAUAAAAUUUGGACUCCCCUUGAAGAAAACAACCAAGUAUAUAAUUCGAUCAUCUCGCAUCCCCAUAUCCCACAAGAUACAUCGAGUUUGCCUUAUAUUAAACAACAAAGAUUCCCUCACACUAAAGCAAUAUCUAGUCAAUGAACCACUAAAUCAGUGAGGUCGCCACAAUCACGUACAGCUAGGAACAGACAAGGUCAAUUCAAUACACCUUACAAUCACUCCUUCACUCCCAUCAAGUAGUUAUAGCCUACCAAAGUAUCUGCCUUCUAAGAUCCAUCACUGGAAUACUGAAGGAGUAACAAAGACAUUCUGCCAAUAUCAUAACUUGGCUUCAGGUACAAAAAAAGGAAUAGAACAUUAAUGUAAGUACAUAUAAUAUUAAUGGCAUUAAGGAACAGAACAUUAACUUGGCUUCAAAAUCUUUGAUCGAAGCGAUGGAGUCGAGAAAUAGAAACUCGAGCUGCGGCGUUUUCGCCAAACCAAAAAAAAAAAGAAAGAGAAAAGAAAGAAAGAAAGAAGCAGGGGUGGUCGGGGGAGCUCACCAGGAUAUGAGCGGUGAGGGAGUGAGAAGGGCCAUGGGAGGAGAGGGAGUUGAGGGCGACCUCGGUGGCGGAGUGCUCGGCCUAGCGGAGCGGGAGUGCUCGGGCGGAGCAGAGAGGCAGCGGCAGCUUCGCGAAGGGAGGCGGCGGUAGAUCGGCAGCAGGGGAGCUCGGGAAACAGCGCGCGGUGAGAUCUGCGGGUCAGAGGCGUCGGCAAGGCAACAACAGCAGGUGGAACGACGAGAUUGAACGGAGGCAGCGUCGGUGCUCGGGUGCGAGCUUGGCGGGGGUUAGCAGCUUCGCGAUUUCGGGAAGUGAGGGCAGUCCGACAGCUUCACGAACGAGACCGUCGACUCCUCGUUGGGCCGGAGGAGGUCCCGCCACAGGGCGAAGGCGACGGAGAGCCCGAACGCGCCGGACGGCGAGAAGACGACGCUCGGGACACCGCGGUCGUGGGCGAAGUGGUUGGUCCACCCGAGGAAGAAGUCGGAGACGACCACACAGGGCGGGGAGGGGUGGGACUCGAACCACCGGGAGAGGAGUGGGAGGUGGAGGUCACAGAGGGCGCGGACUUUGGCGACGAAGCGCACCCACGGCGGGUGUGGCGAGGCGGGGGGCUCUGGGGAAGGCAAGACGAGAGGCUGGAGCGAGGAGGAGGAGGCGAGGAAGGGGUCAAGUAGGUGGAGGUUGUCGGGGGUGACGACAACAGUGACGGUGACAGCGGGGGCGGCGGGGCGGGGGAGGAGGAGGAGCUUGGCGGCGGUGGUGCGAGCGUGAGGGGAACUGGGAGAGGAGCUCAGGGAAUUCUGGUUCUUUGUGUCUGCGCCUUUGCGGGUAAAGAUUAAAAUAAAAUUAGGGUUUUGCUGGGGUAAAAACCGGUUCCCAAACCAGUCCGGUCGAACCGGUUCCCGGGUGGGUAAUCUCUCGGAACCGGUUCUCGUUAAACAGGGUCUGAGUUUUGGGAACCAGUUCCGACCUGGUUUUAACCGGAACCGGUUCCCGACCCUGUUUUCCGGGUGGGCCGAACAGGGAACCGGGUAAACUCGGUCCGGUUGCACACCCCUACCUAAUCAUGGUACAACAAUAUGACUACUAAGCCUUAGUACAUGUCGUACCUAGGAUUGUUAUGAACAGGCCAUUUUAGCAAUGCAAUCCUCGAAGUAAUUGAGCUCUCUGUUAUGUCCCUCGUCAUUUUCAUCGAUCGAGUUUUAGAUGGCGAUUAUAUAGAUUUUCUAGCUUAUUAUUUAUAGAAUCCAACAUUACUGAAUUUAGAAGAACCUACUAUCUCUUGGGGCAAGCCUAGCUGAAACGAUUUUUUUCAAGCCUAGAUAGGCUUGAGCCGGGCUACUAAACCCAUUUGUGUUGUUACUAGUUAAACAUUAUAUGAGGGAUGCAAUGGCCGAAAAUAGCAUUGAACGCCUUUUAACCUAUGGCUCCAUGGUGGUGAGCUUCGCAAAAGCUUUCUGAUGUAUAUGAUACAGCCUGCACAUUGUCAGAAGUUAUGUAUGCAAAAUUUCGGGCCUAAGCCAGAAUAGCCCGGAUUUGACUUGGCCGGAGUUAUUUAGCCGGGCUAGUAUAUAAAGGACUAAUCACCCGGCCAAGAAAUUCUAGGCCAUAUUUGUUCUCAUAGGACCAAAAAAGGUACCUCGACGUUUGGACUGCCUAAUCCAUACACAAUUCUACCGUCACACACAUUAUUAUGAAGAAAUAAGAUGCCAUAAUUGACGGUUUUCAGAUGCCUAAUUGAUCAUGUUUGUUCCUCCAACCUAAACCAAAAUAGUCAAUUGAUUAUCAAAAUCAACAUUGCAAAAGAAUGAGGUGUUUGAGUGAGAGAGAGAUCCGAUUCCAUUAGUUCCACCGGUGUCGAGAGCGCUCAUUCCGUGAAGCGACCACCUGUUGUCGUUGUUGCGGCUGCCCCAUCUCCUUGCCGUUCCACUCCCCUCAGGAGCCAUUCUCUUUCUUUCUAAUAUCUGAUUUUUUCCCCUCGUCUCACUUGUUUUCUUUUUGGGUCUAUGCGUCUUUCUAACUAUCCACUGUGUCAUGUAUAAGUACGGGGGAAUUGGGUUCGGCGGCGAUUCCGUGUGGCCUGAUAUUAGGGUCCAGGUGGAUGAAGUCGUACUGCCAUUUGCAGCGUGAGAUCGACAGAAGAUAAAGCAUAAAGUUACCACGUGACCGACGAUGGCCAAAAAGCGACGGAAGCUCGCCGUGUGUAUCCGGCGCUCUCACAUGGAUCGAAUGGAUGCGUGCAAUGCUGGCUCAGACAUUGGGCUUGAGAACACUUGGGCUAGGGAGAAUGGCGAAGCCUGCAGGACGCCACAGUCCCAUUGCAUAGCACGGCCCACACGCCCGACUGGUUUGGUGAACUGAUCGCUUUGAGAAGACCAGAAGCAAUUGGAGUCCUUAGUCCAAUAUCGACUGAGAUCUUAGGAGUCCUUAGUCCAAUAUCGACUGAGAUCUUACAUAAUGCUACUCGAGAAAUUAAAAAUCAAAAGACAUCACGCGAGAGAGGACACAAUUAUAAUACCAUCACCUCACAAUGCAUUGAAAUCGUUCUAACCCUUUGUGUAACUGAUAAAUAGUGACCAUAUAAAUCUACCAAUCAAACUUAUUUUAUUUCUUUUUCUUUUUCUUUUUGGCAUUAUCAUGUUAACUAAAGAUGAACCCGUGUCUAUGGCAUGAUUAUAAUAGUACCACAUACAAUUAUUUCAGCCAAAUCUUUUCUAAGUUUGAAAGCGGUAUUGUGAACAGUCUUUCAGAAAACAUUAUGAAAUAAGAAAAUAAAAACUCUGUAUUUCACUAAUAUAUUGUUUUUUUGUUGAAAAUCUUUGAUGUUUUGCAAAGAUCUAUCAUUAAAACGUAUUUCUGAUAUACGUUAGCGAGAUGAGUGGAUAUAUAUUGUGUACAAUGUUUUCCUUUAAUUUCCUAAUAAUUGGAAUGUCAUUAAAAAGUUCAAGAAAAUGCUUAUUUAAAUGGAUAAAUUCUGUUGAAGCUACCUAGAAAAAAAAAACAUAGCUUUUUAUAUGAUAAAUUUAUUGGACCGUGUUUGUCAUGUCAAUCAUUGCUUGUCAAGUACAUAUAUUUAAAAAAAAAAACAAAACACAUGCAUAUUUAAAUUUAGGCAAUGGCAUAAACAUAAGAAAAAGUUUCACGAGAAGCUAAUAAAUGGAGGCUUAAAAGUGAGAAUAGCAAGUGAGGGAAAAUGUACUAAAUUAGUCAUGAUUUUUUUUUAAAUUUUAUUAGUAGAAUUAUAAUUUUUUUUGGGUGAAAUUUUAAUGUAGUCUUUUUUAGUUAAUUUUCAUGUGAAAAUGCUCAUGUAAAGGUCUAUUUAUUAUCAAUUGUCUUAAAUAGCAUAAUCGGCCCUGAGUUGUGGUUACUGUUCAUCUUCAUUUCCUUCUUCUGUUCAUUUUGUUCAUGUCCUUCUUCUUCAAGCACAUGGUCGCGCAAAUCAGCACCAAGUUCAUCGACCCUCUCUCCGAAUUGAACCGUCAUGGUGCAGACCACGAACCCUUCGUAGCUCAUCCCCACCACAUUCAUCUUCUUCACGCCAAUUGCCUCCAGCUGCACCCAAUACUUUCUCCUCCAUUAGAGCAAUUGCGCACUGGGCUUGGAAUUGCUCCGUCCGCUCAGGCCUCAUCGUGCAAGAGUCUACAAAGAAGACAAAGUCAGGGACGUACACGUUGAAGCAGGCAGCCAGCGGGGAGACGAAGUCAUUCCACUCGGCACUAUCACAUUCCCUUGGCGCCAAUGCCGGGGAGGAGGUGGAGGAGGAGGUUGGGCCUUAUUUGUGAUAUUGGCGAGAUUUGCACUCCUAUUCAAAGAAAGGAGAGAUUGUAAGUAAAUCUGUAUAUUGACAGUUUUCUUAUUUAUUGGAGUUUCCUAUUUUUGGGUUUACUUGUUUCCUUUGUUGUAGCAACCCUUGUGUACAAAUUGCAAAAGAAUGUUAUGACAAAAAAAUAAGAGAAUUGAGAGUUUUGUCCGAGGCCAUAGGCACAUUGCUAAACCUCACAAUUCUUGUGUUCUCUUUUGUGAUUGCUUUAUUAAAACUCAACAUGGUAUCAAAGCAUGUUUGAUUCAAUCUAUGAUUUUUUGGGUUUGGUUUUUUUUGCACAUCUAAUUGUCUUGAUCUACUUAUGUUUGGGUCCUUUCCUAUUCUGACGAUCUGUGUUCUUUGGUUAGUGCUUGUUCCUCUCUUUGUUGCUGUCAUAUCCUUGUUAUUACUACCAACACGCCAUGGAGGGCUCAACGAAGUCCGGAGAUGCAUCCAACACAACAAAGGUGCAUGAGACAAACAACCAAUGAUUGACUAUGUUGUUGCUAAACGAAAGAAACUACCUUCCUUUGUCACGAGCUGUAACAGUUGCUCUUAGGGGGUAGAUUGAAGCUUGGUCACAUCAAUGAGAAGAUUAGAGCACCUCCCGCAACAAAUCCCAGAUUUGAUGAAUGGCAAGCCAAUGACCAUAAUGUAAUGUCUUGGAUAUUCAAUUCCAUGGGGCCGGUGAUCUACAAGAUAUUUGCAUAUUUAGAGUCAGCCAAGGCAUUGUGGGAUUUGAUAUAUGAGAUGUAUGGUCAAGCCAAAAAUGCACCUUGGAUCUUUGAGACGAAGCAAGGAGUCGUUUGUUCUAAGCAAGGCACAACACAAUCUUUCACUGAAAAAUUGGGUCGUAAUGCCAUGUCUAAACCUAUGAAGCUAUCCUAUGAAAAUUAGGCAACAAUACACAUUGCUUCAAAUCCAGUCUUCAUGAUAGGACCAAACGCAUAGAUGUCGAUUGUCACUUUAUAAGGGAAAAGGUUCAAGACAAGAUGGUAGAGACACCAUAUAUUCGUAGUAAGGAUCAACUUCCUGAUGUGUUCACCAAAGCUUUUAUCCAAUGGAGUAUUUCAAGAUAUGAUGAACAAGUUGAUCUCUAAUGAUGUAUUCGCUCCAACUUGAGGAUAAGUAUUGGUGAUAUUGGGGGGAUUUGCGCUCUUAUUCAAGGAAAGGAGAGAUUGUAGGCAAAUUUGUAUAUUGAUAGUUUUCCUAUUUUUUGGGUUUGCUUGUUUCCUUUGUUGUAGCAACUUUGUGUACAAAUUGUAGAAGAAUGUCAUGACAAAAAAAUAAGAGAGUUGAGAGUUUUGUCCAAGGACAUAGGCACAUUACUAAAUCUCGUAAUCCUUGUGUUCUUUAUUGUGAUUGACUUACUAAAAUUCAACAGGCCUCACCAGCUUGGGACUCUUGGGGACACAACAUCGCAUCACCAUGCCGUCAUUGAGGUCGCCAGGUUAGUGACGGUGGACUCGACGCCAGACAGCAAGAAGGAGAAGUGGAGGCACUAGUCCCUCAAUGCCGUGAAGCUAUGACACUUGGUCAUUGGACUGAACCUUAAAGCUCAAUGCUCUUUUUGCGACCGCUUCCCUCCUCCUCUAGAAGCAGAGCAAUGGUGGUGAUGCGAGAGGCGGGUGGUGAUGCCGAUUUACAGAGACAUUCAUAAAGCGAGGACGACGACGAUGUUUCAAAGGUUCGAAUUGGUUAAGGUCGUGGUGAGGGUCGCUUCAAAAGUGCUGGAUAAGAGAUAAGAGGUGUAUGUUUUUGAAAAAAGAUGAACGGUACAAAAUAAGAAAAAAGAAGAAAGUUUAGAAAACUAUAUUAAAAAAAAAAAGGAAACGACAUAAUUUUGCCUACAUCAAAAUACCGAUUGUCAAAUAUUUGAGAAAUAAGGUAAAUCGGCGAUGAAUAACUGUCAUCCGUCAUGUUACUAUUUUCUAAAAAACUUGACUGGAGUAUUAUAUUAAAAUUUUAUUAAAUAUUCAAGAUUACAUUGGUAAAAUUUAAAAAUUAAAAAUUAAAAUGACAUCCUUAUAAUAGCUUUAUGACUCAGAAGGUGAGAGUAAAUGAACAUAAGAGUAGCUUCUACUCUCCCUUAUGUACGAACAAGCAAUUGUCCACCUGCACACGUGAAUGUACAGAGAUGUUGCCAUUAUUGAUUAAUAAACCUCUUAACAAAGUUGGACUCAUGCUCUAGGAAAUAAGAAGCCAUUCACGGUGAACCCUCCAUCAACACAAAUGGUCUGCCCUAUUAUGUAAGAGGCCGCUGGCAAGCACAAGAAGGCCACUAAAGACGACACCUCCUCCGGCUCUCCGGUGCGGCCGAGUGGCGUCCUUGCUAUCACCUCCUCGUGGAACUUCUUGUCACUAAGUACCUGCAACGAAAUAUGAGUUAACAUCAGAUCAUGAUGGCGAACAUGGUCAAUACUGAUGUGGUGAACUAUUUUCCUGCAUGAGAGAAAAUUUAAAGCCUUGGUAGAUCAAAUUACAGGCUCGGCUAGUGGAGUCAAUAUGAACCAAGGUGCAACAGAGUCGCUUCUUAUGUUGUCCUUAGCCCAUUCGCAUGCCAAAUUCUUGGUCAACUGGUUCAUUGCUCCUGCCAAUCAAUGCGGAUAGAAAACAUAAAAACAAACGCAAUUUGUUUAGCUCCAUAUUAAUAGUGUUUAGAUAGUUACUAACGAUAAUGCUAUUACCUUUGGUGGCUGAGUAAAUUGAUCCGACGUUUAUUGAGACAACGCCACAAACGGAUGACAAGAACACAAUACUUCCAGCUCCCGAGGCCUUGAGAAGGAGAUUUAUGCACACGCAAAGUAGCCCCUGUGAAAAACAUUGCGUCUCAAUCAGCAUGUUAUUGGACAAAUUGGCCAUCUUUCUUGGUUCGACUCUUGCCAACUCAUCUUCUCAUGAAAGGCAGUACUCGCAUUAUCAAAACAUGCCAGUACCUUCUUCAGAAACACAUAGAACUCCAAAAGAAAAGUAAACCCCUCGAAUAUCUUUGCAAGUGCAUGUAGAACCAACCUUGGUAACAAGAACUUCCUUGAAGAAUUCUUCUGAAGAAAUCAUAUGAGCAAAAGAAAAAAACAUAAACUAAACCAUUCAAUCGCAGUAUACAUCUGACCAAAAAAAAUAAAAAAAAUCGCAGUAUACAAAAUAGUCAUCUUUAUCCACUCUUUCUGUAGAUGACCCAUAGCAAAAGACCUCGCAUUUCUUCUUGUCAAAUAUGUGGUUACGCCUCUUCAUCAUCCUCAACCAGAAUCCUCUUGCACGCUUCGCAGCACAUGAAGGAUAUCCCAGCAGCAGGCACCAACUUCAUGCAACUAGGGCCUAAACCUCUAUAUAGACCUCCAACCCCUUCCUGCUCAAGUAUGCUCGCAAGAGCAUGAACCACGUUUUUGUACACCUGCCUACCGCUGACUGGUCCCACUUGCAUAUGCUUCCGAGCUACCUCCAAGGGGAAAGUUGCACUACUCGAAAUAGCGCCAGCUAAUGAUCCGAUGAGAAGAGUCUCGAUGUUCCUAAUCUUCUCUUCCUUAAAAAACUUCCGAUAUUAAAAAACUUCCGAUAUGCCUUUCUCGACGUGUCGUAAGCAAAAUAGUUGGUGGCAGCAUAUGGAAUCACUCCGAUAAGACUAGGGGCGAGGCCUCUAUAUAAUUCUGCGGGUCCCUCGUCCCUCACUAUUUUCAAGAACGCAUCAAACAUACCAUCGUAAACUCCCCUCUGCAAUAUGGAAGGCUCGUGUUAACAAUGACAAGAUUCAAUCAUAUUGUUUUAGCAUGCAGCACUAUACCUGGACUGUGAGUCGAAUUUUGACCAACUCAAGAGGAUAUGUGUAUAUUGUUGAGCUCACACCAGCACAGGCACCUGCAACUAAGGAGGCAGGAAGGGGAAGCUUUGGCUGUUCCCCAGGUUUAUGCGACAACUGUUUGUUGACUGUAUCAUAAGCAAAUAGCUGCAAUACACAGGACCAAAAAUUCAAUUGAUAAUUGAAAGAUUGUAGAAGCUGGAGAGAUUAAACCUGGCAACAAGGAUACAAGGAACCAAGAGAAAUCUUGGGCAUAGUUAAAUGUCAAGUUCCUAAUAGUAGAUCUCUUCAAACUGCAUGCCUACCACAUAAUGUUUAUAUGAUUAAUUUCCAAGAAGCCCAACAAAGCAAAACUUAAGCCCACAACUAGCGGCACACUACUUUACAAGUCAAAUAAAUAUUCACAGCAGAGGAUAACAGAUUGAAGGCCAUUGUCUAGCAGUCAUGAACAAACCUUAAUGACAAUCGACAGGAACAUCAGGUAGGGAAAACCAUAAUAGAUACAUUAGCUAUUUAGAUUACAUGGAUGCCGGAUAGAUUGUAAAUAUUGUAACGUAGGAGCCAAUGCAUGUGACCUCCUGAAUGAUCAAGUCAUUGGCAAUAUUCUUAUAUACCAAGAUGAUAACAAGUUCAAUUUUCCUUCCAUGAAGGAAGAUCAAGAAUUAUAAUGGUGACUUGAGAUUCAAAAACAAAGUUCUCAGAAAAUGUGCGAACCACACUUAAAUAGCUUACUUUAAUUGAGUUCCCCAUAAGAUUUGUGAUGAUCUGCUGAAAUCUCCCCGGAUCACCAAUCAACUUCUGCGGAACAUUUUCAGAAAUGUAAACUGCUAGCUGCAGAUUUGAAGGGGUGGAAAUUAUAAGAUAAUGACUCAGGUGAAUUAGCAGCACCAUGUAACAAAGCCAGUCAAUACCUCCACUCCUUUUUCUUGAGAUUUUUCCGAGAAGAGGGACAAGACAUUAUCCAAUAUGGCCCUUAGAUCAAACUGCACAGCCUCAAUCUCAAUCUUACCAGAUUCAAUCUUCGCUUGGUCCAAGACCUCAUUUAUAAGUGAAACCAAAUUUGUGCCUUUGAAAAUGUAGGAGUCAACUUCAAUGAUAUAUCACCAUAAGAUUCUUCUUGUUGCACAUUAAUAAGUCCGUAACUCUUUAAAGCCUGUCCACAUCAUAUGAGAAGUCAUCAACUUCCCUCAGCAGCUCUUUUAACACGACCAGAAACAGGGGCGUCCACCAAUUUUAGAUCUUUUCCUUCAUCUGCAAUAUGACACAUGCAGCACAAAAUUUAGAAUAAGAAUGCUGGCAAAUAAACCCUUUAGUUUAUCGAAAUUGCUUGGACAAGUUUUGCUUCCAACAUUCCAACAGGCUUUCACUCUAGGUCACUGAACAAGAAAAGGUAUUAACCCUCCUAGCAUAAGGACAAAACAUUGAGAUUUUGCAACCUCGUUUCCAAAGAACCAAUAUACUAUUAACAUGAGGCUAAAAUUACAAUAACAGCUAUACUACACAAGUUGUAAUCAAUCAUUCCUCUUGAUCAAAUUACUUUCAAACACUAUCUUCUCCAAGAUCGCAUGUGCAAGCUCCAUACAAGAAGAUACUAUUUGAAGAACUAGAAAUGGUUCGAUCCACAUCUGCGAUAUCAUAGUUAGGACUUUCCCACAUUAGGCCUAAAUAUUUUGAUGUUGAUCCUAGAAUAUAUUCUUCAUUUUUCCAUCUUUUUCCAUCUUUCAUUGAAGUUAAAGAAGAACGAGGCAGCUCAGAUCCAAUCACCAAUAGCUUGAAAGGGAUUGUCCCAACUGCUAUUCUAACCAUUCCUCUCAUAAGGAGAUAUUCUGUUACCAGCUAUUUGAAUGCAUUUCUAACGAAGAAAAAUGAGUCAAUGAACCAAACUUGUAGUUCAGUAAAUUUCUUCUACUCUCAAUUUGCUUCACAUUUACUGGGAUUUCCCAUAUUCACCGCUUUCUUAAUCUGACAAGUCACCGUUUCCAAAGAACCAAUAUAAUAGGUUGGUUGCACACAGUGGACAGGGUGAAAACUUGGUCUAACAUUGAUAGCACCUGUGUGCUAUGCGGAAAACAUGAAGAAUCUCGAAUGUACUUGCUCUUUAAGUGUGUAUUCUUAAAGCAGAUUUUGGAAACAAGACUCUUAAUGCUGAUGUUAAGUGUCUGUGGAGAAAUUGGCGAGUUCUUGUUGGCUAGCUUUGCUGUGAUCCGGUGGCAUGGUAUUUGAGUUUGCAUCUUGUUUUUUCUGGGUAGUAUUUUGCUGUUGCUACUGGUAGUGUAGAUGGGGAAGACUAUUAUGUCAUGUUGUCAUUCGGUGCGUGGGGUCAUCAGAUUGAAAGUCAACCUGAUGAAUUAUUCUCAAGUUAUCAAGCUUUCCUAUUAUGAUAGAUUGCUCAAAGGGAUCUCCCAUCCUUUACAUCGAGCAGGGACGAAAGUUCCCCCUAGUGAUCGACAGUGCCGAGUAGACAGGCCAUUGCUCAACAGAUAAAUGUUAAUUUAGGGAUAGCAGACUAAUCUUAUCCAAAAGUUCACAAAUACAAGAAGGUUUGGCACCAUGAUCCAGCUGUAUAUGUGGGACAGUAUGCUGCAAUGGACUUGUACGGGAUGUGACCUCCCUUGUUUUUUUUUUUUUCCACAGGUUGUCCAAUAAAAUGAAGACUUACUUAAUAAAAAAAGAUAUUGUUAAAGUUUGUGCUCAAUGAAUGCGGUUCAAACAGUCAAUGACACAUGGAAAUUUUAUAAACUCUAUUCAUCUUACCAGUUUCCGAAAACCAUUCUCCAAUGAGCUUAUGCGUUGCUGCAUUGCUUUGAGAGCACUCUCCAUAUUCUCCACCGAGCUACACCAUGGAAAUUGACACCGUGAACAACUGCUGUCUUGUGGAAUUAUUCAUAACAAAUAGACAAAUAUCCAUUCGUAACACUUUAGGUACUAGUGCAUAUGAAUGUCAGAAUCAAUUACCAGACUAAUCAGAUGCAUUCCCUUGAUCUAACGCGACAUAGAAAAGUCAACGUAAAGCUGGAAUACAUAUUAAUCCAGUUCAUAGAUAGCAGAAGCAAGUCAAUCAGCAGCUAUCUCUAAAUGCACCACUUUCAGUGAUAAAAAGAGGAAAAAAAAAAGCUAUGCGCAGGUAUGACACUUUGCCAAACAGAAUCAUGGAUUGAUGGCACAUGAUACUUGAUGAUUUUUUUAGUUGGAGAGACAAUAUGGAUCACAAUUCUACUAGAGGAAUCACUUGAUGCAUAUAAGAUACUGCCAACAAACCAAUUGAACUAUAUUCACCUUUGAAGAUUGUUAGCCCAGCGAGAUAUAAGAAGCUCCACCACUUUUCCGAUCUGUCCAGCAAAGAGCAAUAGAAGAACAUAAGCAAAAAUCAUCUGUCAUGUAUCCAUCACAUUCUAGUUUCACAUCACAGAUAUCUUUUUGUCCUACUACGUGCAAACUGUCAUUGACCACAUAUUCCAGGAUUCAAGCAGAUAAUUAUGUCCAGGGCACUUCUUUGAAAUUUUAUAUCUUCUUUUGAUCCAUACUCUCCAUAACAACAUGAAAAGCCUAAAUCAUGUUCUCAGCAAAAACUUUUCACAGGAAAACCCCAGAAUUGUCAGCAGGUCAUUUUUACCACUCAAACGAUAGUUCUCUAUAUAUCUUGCAGCAAGUUACUCAUGUGGAUUUCUAUCCAGAAACUGACUGGACUUUUAAUUGAAGAGAUCAGCAAUCGAUAUACAAUGACAACAGUAUUUGUAUGUCCAAGUAGGCUACUUUACUUGUCUUACCUCUCUCUGGCCAUCCUCCAACAUAAAACAACUACUUGGCACGAAACCCCUCUCAGACCCUUUCCAUUCUUGACUGUGUGGAGAUCAGCAAAAGAAAGAACAAAAAAAGGCAAGAUAGGAUAAUUUAGCAAGCAGGAGAGCAAAGGGAAUGAUAACAGAUCACUUGCUAGGUAAAAAAAUCUAACAGGGUUCAAUUCCAAUAUGGAGAAAGUCCUGCAAUUGGCGUAAUGCGAAAUCGCAUGGCAGAUUGAAGACAACAACAUUUGAUAUAUGUACGUUUUCACAUAAAAGCCGCAGCACAACCCCACAAACAAAUGCUAACAAAAUGCUAUACUUCGACGCAGGCUUCGAUCUGACCAAAAAAAAAAAAAAAGAACUUCAGGCUUCGCAUCUUCAACUCAAGAGCUCGAGCAAAGCUGAAACCAGCACGAUCAUCAAACAAUUAAUCAAGCAUUGAAACAUUAAGACGGAAAGAGUGAGCCUACAUGUUUUGAUCCAAGCAUGGCCUCUUGGAUCCACUUGGUUCAUCCAAAAAAGUGGAAUCCGAAGCUCUCUUUUGCGUGGACAUAAUUUUUCUUUUCUUUUGUAGAAUUUGACAAGAACUGAGAAAGUGUCGGAAUUUUGGGAGUGUUCACCCGCUGAAAGAAUGUUGCUUGUAGAGCUUAACAAGAACUGAGAAAGUGCCUGGAUUUUGGGAGCGUUCGCUCGAAAGAAUGUUGCAGAGAAAAGAACAAAUCAGUAGACAGUUUAUCCGCGAACUCAAACUCAAGAGGGCAGAGAGAGAGAGGGGGAGGUCGCACGCCGGUCGGUUGCUCGCGGUCGUCUCGCCGGUAUCCUCCUGGUUCGCCGGUUGCUCGCGGUGGUUCGCCGGUCGGAAGAGGGAGGGCAGAGAGAGAGAGAGGGAGGUCGCACGCCGGUCGGUUGCUCGCGAUCGUCUCGCCGGCCGCUCGCGGUGGUUCGCCGGUCGGGAAGAAAGAGGGUGGAUCAGUGGUUCGUGCGCGCCACGUCAUCCGCUGACGUGGCGCGCACAUACCACUCAGGUACCGACACCUGUCCCGAGCGGGACCCCCUGGAAAAUGAGAAAAGGGCUGGUAUUCGGCUGGCUCGGCUCGGCUCCACCUACAGAAAAGAAAGGACGGUAGCCUACGGCCCUACGUUUGUGCAGAAGAUGGACAGCGGACCCACGCCUCCACGUGGCGCUUCAUGAAUGGCCGGAGAGAGAACGUCUUUGUUGUAGAGAGGAGGCCGUCCAUUUUCUUCUUCAGGGAUGGGAGGAGGACAGGAUAUGAGCGAGCGAGAGAGAAAUAAAUGCGUGCAGGCUGUUAUGUGCAGGUCUAGUUGAUAGGGGAGAGGACAAAGGACCGAAACUGAGCCCACUUCUCUGACGCUCUCUCUCCUCUUUCUCUCUUUUGUCCCCCUUCCCAUACACGUGGCACCGCGUGAGUGGUUCGGGACCACGUUGACGUGGUGGUCCCGGACCACCCAAUAUUUUCUCGGAUUCCUGACCGAGGUGACGCUAGGUGGGAUUUGGGAGCUACUCCCUGCAUAGGAUAAGGUUCUAGAAGAAUAUGAGGAAGUGAGGGAGAAAAGCACAAAGAAGGAGUUGGGAGUAAAAACCAAUUUUAGAGAAAGAGAGAGAGAGAAUGGCUUCUGAGGGGAAGAGGACUGCAAGAACAUGUAGCGCUCACAAUGGCGACAUCGACAAUAGGUGGUCGCUUCAGGGAAUGACCGCCCUCGUCACUGGCGGUAGCAAAGGAAUUGGGUCUCUCUCUUUCUCCUACUCAACGAACACUUCGUUUUUUUAUGUUGUUCAUUUAGAUGAUCGAUCAACUCUUAUGGUUUAGGUUAAGAAAAAAACAUCAUAAUUUAGGCAUUUGAAGACAGCCAAUCUUGUGCCUAUGGCAAUCAAACUAAUUUUAUAUCUAUUAACUAACGACAAACCUAGAAGCAAAUCUCAACCGUCCACAUAAAAUUAGUGAAUUGAUCUUGUAAUGACCCAUGGAUGAAGUUGGGAGGAAGGUAAGGUUGCAUUUGUGUUUUAGAGUAUGUGCUUAAACUUAUAUGACUACUGAUUAGGGUGCUUAAAAUAAAUUAUUUGUUUUUACAAUUUCCAUUUUGUGUGUGUGUGUUUUUAAUUUUGGAAUAUCUAUUAUAGCAAAAUGGGUAUAGUUGCCCAACUUAGGACUAUCCGGGCCAGAAAAAUUCAAGUCAGGCAUGUUAGAUAGGGCUUUCAACUAUAGCAGGUGCUUUUGAAUCUGAUUAUAUUCGAUUUCAUAGAUAAAAUGCUAGACAACUAAUUUCAUGAUCACUCAAAACUUUAUAUGACAAAGAUGAUGAGAGAUCAAUUACUUCGAGGAUUUGUAGCUGGAUAGGCUGGUUUAUGCAUUUUUGUUUUUUUAUUUAAAGUUUUGUUGUCUUUAGAUGUUAAUAGCUCAUAGACAUGUCGCUAGCUAGUAGAAUUUGCAUUCUCCGAUUGUCAUGAUCCAGUGCAUUUAAAGGCUUUAAUCAUCUGUUAGACUUCAAUUGCCUGUGUAAUCAAAUGUUCCGCACAUUCCAAUGUAUCACCUGUCAACUUCUUCUAUUGGCAAAGAAGAAGGGCUUGAUCUGUUCUCGUUUGCAAUUACAAGUUGGUAAAUGGUCAUAAUGUCGUCCCGUGCUUAGGCGUGCUAUUGUUGAGGAAUUAGCGGGGCUUGGGGCUACCGUCUACACCUGCUCCAGGACUGAAGCUGAACUCAAUGAAUGCUUGAAAGAGUGGAAGCGUAAGGGCUUCCAAGUGGCGGGUUCGGCUUGCGACGUUUCCUCAAGAUCCGAGCGAGAGAAACUGAUGCUCGCCGCGUCCUCCCUCUUUGACGGCAAGCUCAACAUCCUAGUAAGCGUCGGUCGUCUUUGACCCCGUGGAUCCAAUAACAACAUUGAUAAGGUCACGAUUUGUGCUUUUAUUUCGAUAGAUUCUGUUCCGUUUUUCAUUUUCUUGGGAUUGGUUUGUGUGUUAGAUAAACAACGUUGGGACUCUGGGGACAACCGGUGGAAUGCCGACCGUGGAUUGCACGGCGGAAGAUUUCUCCUUCAUUAUGACUACUAACUUCGAAUCGGCUUAUCACUUGAGCCAGCUUGCGCAUCCUCUUCUCAAGGCUUCGGGAACCGGAAGCAUCGUGUUCUUGUCAUCCGUCUGCGGUAUUGUUUCACUCAGCGUCGGAUCAAUUUAUUCAGCCACAAAAGGUGAAUUGAUAGUAUCAUGAGCAACUAUUUAAACACUUUUAAUAUGGAGCUAAACAAAUUCCAUAUGUUUCUUACUUUCUCAACUCAUUGUUAGGAGCAAUGAACCAGUUGACCAAGAAUUUGGCGUGCGAAUGGGCUAAGGACAACAUAAGAAGCAACUCUGUUGCACCUUAUUUUAUUCUGACUCCAUUGACCGAGCCUGUAAUUUAAUGUCCCAAGGCUUUAAAUUUCUAUCUUGACCAUUUUUCCCAUCGUGAUCUAACGUUAACCCAUCCUCCGUCGCAGCUACUUUGUAGUGAGGAGUUUCAUAAGGAGGCAAUAGCCAGGGCGCCGCUCGGUCGCACAGGAGAGCCGAAGGAGGUGUCGUCACUUGUGGCCUUCUUGUGCUUGCCGGCAGCCUCCUAUAUAACGGGGCAGACCAUUUGUGUCGAUGGAGGAUUCACUGUCAAUGGCUUCUCCUUUCCUAGAGCAUGAGUGUAACUUUGUUCUGUGUCUGAGAUGUUUGUCGUGCGUUGCCGUCGCAGGGAUAAAGAAGUUUAUUAACCAAUAAUGGCAACGUCGCAAUACGUUUCAAUGUGUACGUCGAUCAUUUGUUGACCGCAUAUAAGGGAGAGUAUCGUACUCCCACUUUGUAUUCCCUUUCGAGCUCUUUUAUGCAAUUGCCUAUGAGUAAAAUUUAUGUACUUGACAAGCAAUGAUGGAAACAGCAGACAUGAUAUACUACAACAGCACUAUCCGAGAAUAUAACAUUUUUUUACACAAGACAAACGAAGUUUGAUUCACAUAUAUGUUAUAUCUGUUUUCCAUAUAUCUAAACGCUAAAUCAUAAAAUCCAAAGUGUAAUUUAUUAUUAAUUCCUAACACGAAAUUGACCAAGUAUGUUUCGUAGCAAUUGUAUCGUCAAAAUCGUCUUUGUAAUGCUAUGUUAAUAAUAUUUGUGAAAGAAUGCCUCCUUUUAUGGCACUGCCUUGGUCAAAGAGAUGUUUUAAUUUGAACAUGAGAUCCACAACAUCAAGAUGGUAUGAAUCGAGAAACUUGAUGCAUUGGAAAUAUAGAACCACUGAAAUUAACAUAUAUAGCUUUAUAUAACCGUAGCAAGGUAGAGGUUAUCACUAGCUUUGCCUUCAUAUGAGUGAAAGAUGUGAUGAUGAGGUAAAAUUCAAUAACGCAGCCUGAAAACAUGCCGGAAAAUUCUUUUUUGUGAUCUAAAAAUAGCAUCAAAUGCCUUGACCCUACAGCCUCACAGCGUUGAGCUUUGUAGGAGCUUCUGGACGGGCAAUACUGACCACAUAACUCUGGGUUGAUCAAAUCUUAUCUCUAGUUAAAGUAGAGGUGCACGAAAUUUCGGGCCAAAGCUAGAAAAGUCCGGAUCAGAGACGGCUAAUUCAUUUUGAUUCGGGCUAGUGUAAUUAAGGACUAGGUGCAACCUACAAUCAUUACGAUCAAUUCGUUUUGGAUGGGCCAAGAAAUACACAAGUGCUUGGCCAAGCACAAUCCUACUAUCUCUGAAAUUAUUAUAAAGGAAUGAUAUAUCAAAAUUGACAAUUUUCAAAUGCCUAAAUCAUGAAGUUAUUUUUCUCAACCUAAACCAUAACAGUUAAUCGAUCAUCUAAAUCAACGACAUAAGAAAAACGAAGUGUUUGAUGAGAGAGAGAGAGAGAGACCCGAUUCCUUUGGUACCACCGAUGACCAGGGCGGCCAUUCCCUGAAGUGACCACCUGUUGUCGUUGUUGCCGCUGCGACUGCUGCAUCUACUUGCAGCUUGCAGUCCCCUUCCCCUCACGCCGCAUGUGAAUUGCGAACCACUCCCAACGUAAGGUCAUAGAAGUCUGCUGAGGGUGAGAACUGUAGCAAUGACAAGACUUAGGACGCCACAACGAUUUCGAACCACAGAAUUUGCAUUCUAUCAUGGAAGUAGGCAAGUCCCACACCUAUCUUUUAUCGAAGCACCACGUUACUUGUGUUUUCAUGUUACUCAGGUUGAACUGAUAGUUAUUCAUACAGUUGUCAUAUAAUGCCAACCUUCAUGAUCAUCCUGGUGCAAUGUGAGUAACAUGAUAGUGUAGAAACAUUCCCAAAUGUGAAUCACCAAAUAGAAAACUAAUGAAUUACUAAAUCCAGAGACUUAGUGUGAACUUUUCCAAGCCCAUACCAACCGUAUUUUUCAAGUUUUUUAAUUUUAAUUAGCAUAACAUGUAAAUUAGUUUAUUUACGAGUCGCCACUCAUCAAUUAUCAGUUGGUCGUAUUUUUCGAGUUUUUAAUUUAAUUAGCAUAACAUGCAAAUUAGGUUAUUAUUAUUAUUCUUCUUCUAAUUUAAAUAAUUUAGUUUUUAAUUUAUUUUGAAUUAAUAUUAAAUUAAUAAAUUUAGUGGCAAAAUGAUGUCGUUUUGCACCUUCAUUGCUGAGUUGGCUUUUGGCAAGCCACGUAGAUCACAUAUAUUAUUAGAAAAAUGCCACGUUGGGUUUUCGGCUACUUUCACUAGAUUUGGCACUAAUGUGUCCCACUAUUAAAAGAGAGUGGCAUUUAAGUGUACAUUUUAGAACUUUUAGCACUAAAGUAUUCACUUAUGCCAAGUUUUGGCAUUCUCGAUAUUCUUUGUCCAACAUCUAACUAUUAAAGAUAUGUUAAAAAAGUUUAGGUUAGUGCCUGACAUAUGCCACAUAGGACCGCCAACAUCCACGUCAAUUAUUUCUAAUCUAAAUUGGCUAAAUAAAUUGAAGUGGUAUCAAAGUAAAAAGGUUUAGAACUAAAGUUUAAAACUGAAUUUGUAUUAAUGCAAUAAGUUUAUGACUUUUUUGAUACUGUUCCCAAUUAUCAACGUACUACUUCCCCUUGUUAUGUGGCCAUUGUAUCAGACACGUUAAUUGCCAGCCUAAUCUAAGUGGGCAAUGAUAGUGAUAGCCACCCUCCUAAAGGCAACGGGGAUUCCCCGAGGAAUGUUGACAGAUUGCUAAGUGAUUGUGAAUAGCUUUGCCUAACAUGAGCCUUCCCAAAUUUACCAAUCACAACUUAAUUUUUCCAAUAAAUUAUUCAAGCAAUAUUAGAUUAAAGUUGCCACUAACCUAUUAAGUGUCGAGUAGUAACCCGGAUAGGAUGUAGUGGUCCAUCUUGCUCCCAAGAACCAAAUUUAAUUAUGCUAUAUGAAUCUAACAUUGUUUUUUUACCCUUCUCUUUAUAAAAUCGCUUUAUCAUAUUAUAGCCUAAAAGUGAUCGUGAAUGGUUCUCAAGCAAUAAAAUAAACAAUCAGGCAAUAAACAUCAAAUAACGAAAUAAUAAAUAUCUAGCAAAUAAAUAAAUAACUAGAAUAAUAAAGAACUCCAGCCGAAUUGGGCAAUAAUUACAAAGCUUUUUCAUAGGCUUUAGGGUAAAACCCUGUGUGCUGUAGGUGAAAAGUCUAAAAGUACUCAUGCAAGCUUCCUAAAAUAGACAAUUGUAUCACAGGAAAGUGAAUAUGCAAAUGUAACAUGCUAUGUAAAGUAAAUUCACUAAAUGAAGUGUUUUUUGAAAAUGAGCCAUUAAACAUGGGAAUAGAAUUUAACAUUAUGCAAUCCAAUACUAAGGCUAUAUUUCAUAGUCAGGAUAAAAUUCAAGAUAUGAUAUUAUCCUAUCCUGCAUUUGGUGUCGCUCAAGAUAGGAUAUAGUCGCAUAUAAAUGGUAUAGACCGGAUAAUAUUAUCCUAUGAUGGAAAUGGGAUAAAUGUGGAUGGGAUUUCUAAUAUCUAUAAUAGGAAAGUUUUUUUUUUUUAAUGAAAAACUUCUUAAAUUAACAAAAUUAAAUUAUAUAUCAAUAUAAAUAAUAUUUGAAUUCUAAUAUAAUAAAUUCAAAAUAAAAAAUAGUUAUUUUAAUUUAAUCUUAUUUUAUUUAUAUAUUUGAAUUUAAUUCUAUUUUAUAAUAUAAAUUCAAUAUCUAAAUAUAAAUAUAUAUUAUUACAUAUUUUAGGUACUUUAGUAUUUUAGGUAUAUUCGCAUAGUUUACCAUUUAAUAAAAGUUUAUUAGAGAAUGAUGGAAGGGGAAGAAAGAAAUAAAAAAGAUAUUAAUUGAUAAAAGAGAGGAAAAUAAAAUAAAAUAAAAUAAAAUAAAGUGGGUAAGAGUGUCACGAGAGUUUUUUAUCAUCUCCAUUUGUAAAAUUUGUUUAUUCAUUUUAACUAAUAUACUGUUAAUAUCAAACAAUGUACAUGAUAUGAUAUGAAUACAUUCGACUUAAUUACUGCAAUUACUAAACAUUGAAUAUGAUAUAAUAAAAUCUCUAGAUUUCAUAUCCUAUCAUAUUCAGUCCUAUCCUAAUUAAAAAUUCGAACAAUCAAACGUAAUCUAAAAGAAUGAAUCUACUUAUAUAAUAUGAAUAUGCCCUAAAUGCACCCUCCUACAUAUUUUUGUGAUUAUUCAAAUGAAGAUGCAAUCUAAUUACCAGAAGAAAUGAUUUUUUAAAUUUUUUAUUUUAUAACUUGUGAUUAUGGUAACAAACAUAUGAAUAUCGGAAUACAAUAAUAAUUCAAUUUGACGAAUUUAGUCAUAAAUUUUUUAAUGUUUUGACAAUGUAAUCCAAGGUCGAAUAUAUAUAUUUUUUUGGUCAAAGAUAGAUGAUUCUUUCAUUCACAAGCAAAGAUUACAAGAAGACGAUAGGGUGGAUUCAUAGCAUAAAAUACUAAGAAGAGGAUAGGGAGGUGCCUUGAAAUAGUUUGUGGGAAGGGACUUAAGACGAUGCGAUUUCUCUACCCAAUCAGCGGCUUGGUUGGCUUCUCUCGUGCAAUAAGACAACUUAACGAAAGGUAAGUUUUGUAGCAUGAUUUUGAUUUCAUUAAUCAAGCUUCUCAUAGCCCAUGAGCUUCGGCCUGGCCCAGCGUUGCUUCAACAAGAGAUUGAUUAUCGCUUUGUACUUCCCAAGCACUUCCCUUGUUCUGAAACUGAACUAUGCCCACGUGAGUUGUUGUUCUAUGGGUGAGAAAAUGUAGACCGUGCGAGAGAGCUAGGGCUUCAGCGCACAAAGCAUUCGCCACUUGGAUCUCAGCAGCAAAUCCAUCGAUCAACAGCCCUCUUGAGUCGCACACAACCCCCGCCAUCGAGUUCUUCUCUUCCCCCUUCACCCAGGAGCAAUCGAUGUUGAGUUUGAAGCCAUCUCUGUCCGGCGGUUUCCACGUUUCAGGUGAAGAGCGGUUGCUAGAUCUCUUCUGUUCUUUACUCGGGACCCAUCUGGAGAAGGCCCUAACUUGGGCGUGAGCUAGAUCUGCUAUAAAGUCAAAUUUGGGAGGCUUGGAUAAGAAGAUAUGGUCAUUCCGAAGCUUCCAUAUGAUCCAAAGCGUGCUGGCCACCAUCUCCACUAAGGGUAAGUCGAGUUUUUCAGCAAAGAAAUCUUCAAACAACUUAUCCAUUCAGGUUACUGAGAUUGUUUUGUUGUAGAGGUUGAGUCGCGGGUCAAGCCAUGUAUGUCGGGUUCUUUUGUAGAGGAAAAAGAGAUGCUUUGUUGUUUCAAGGUGUCGAGAAUAGGGUGGGCACAACGGAUCAGGUAAUACUCGCCUCUUAUAAAAAUUUUCCUUUGUGGGUAUUGCGUUUUGACAGAUGCUCCAUAGAAAAAACUUAACUUUGGGAGGGAUUGGGAUACUCCAUAAUCGGGUCCAUAAGGAUUUAGGUGGCUGGUAUGAAGUAGUUGCUUUGUUUGGAUCUGGAGAAGUAAUCAAUGAGCAAAUCCUGUUGUAUCCACUUUUAACUGUAUAGGAGCUGGACUUGUUUCCCGUCCAUAUCAUCCUAUCUUUCUGUGGUAUUGCUGAAAUAGGGAUUGCAAGAAUUUCUUUAACUACUUGGUCGUCAAAAAGUUCACGAAGCUUUGGCUCAUCCCAUGCUCUGCCUUCAUUGCACAUUAAUUUAGCAACUUUCUCAGGAUCAUUUAUAUUCGCCGGCCCGCCUAAUACUCCCCUUGGAAGCCAUUUGUCCUGCCGAAUGUGAAUACGUUCCCCAUCCCCCACCAUCCAUUGGACUUCCGGUUCAAUAGUGUCUCAGCCUAUGAGAAUGCUUCGCUAGCCCCAAGAUGGCCUCUGUCCUGGUUUUGCUCUCCAUAAGUCCCCAUUUGGAUAGUAAACACCUUUUAAUAUCUAGCUCCAUAGUGCUGAGGGUGAUUGUAAUAAUCUCCACGCUUGUUUGUUUAACAUAGCCUUAUUGAACUUAAUUAGGUCUUUAAAGCCAAGACCCCCUUCAUCUUUUCUGGACUUCAAAACUUCCCAUUUCCUCCAAUACAUACAUCUUUUAGAAUCAUUUUGUUUCCACUAGAAGGCUGCAAUCCUUUGUUCAAUGGCUUUGCAUACUGAUAUUGAGAUUUUGAAAAUAGACAUGGCAUACCGGGGAAGAGCCUAUAUCACUGCUUUGAUCAAGACAUCUUUGCCGGCUUUAGACAGUAAUUUUUCUUUCCAUCCUUCAAGCUUCAUGUUUGCUCUUGCAGGAAUCCAUGAAAACAUCUCAUUUUUUGUUUGUCCCCAGUCAGAUGGAAUUCCCAAGUACUUCCUUGUUUUGUCGAUAAUAGGCACACGUAACUCAUAUGCCAUAUUCAUUUUCAAGCUCAGAGGGCAGCCUUGCUAAAAAACACAUGAUUUGUUUAAAUUGAUGGUUUGAUCGGUAGCAUAGCAAUAUUGAUUCAAAAUGUUUGCCACAUUUUGACAUUCUCUGACUGUCCCAUCCAGAAAAAGUAUAGCAUCGUCUGCAAAUAAUAGAUGAGACAGCGUGGGACAAUACCUGUUCAAUUUUAUUCCUUUGAUGCUUCCAUCUUCUAGUGCUUUGUGCAUCAUCCAGGAGAAUGCAUUUGCCAUUAACAUAAAUAGGUAUGGGGACAAUGGAUCUCCUUGUCUUAAACCCCGCGUCGAAUGGAAAUAUCUUGUAUGAUUGCCAUUGAUUUUGACACUAAAGGACACCAUGGAGACACAAUGCAUCACAAGCUCAAUCCAUUUUUUACCAAAUCCCAUCUUCCUCAUACUCAUUGUUAAGAAAUCCCAUUCAACCCUAUCAUAAGCCUUUUGCAUAUUCAGUUUAAGAACUGCAUGGAAUUUCUUUUUGUGAUCUAUAAUCCUUAGCUGAUGCAAAACCUCUUGAACAAUAUAUAUGUUGUCAUGUAUUUGUCGUUCUUUAACAAAGGCGCUUUGUUUAGUAGUUAUUAGCUCAGCAAGGCAUGGUUUUAGUCUAUUUGCUAGCACUUUAGAGAUAAUUUUAUAGCUUAAAUUACAUAAACUGAUUGGCCUAAACUGACAAAUACUUUCUGGAUUUUUCACUUUUGGAAUAAAGGAUAUAUGAGUCUUGUUGAGCAGGGGAUCAAAUGAACCUGAUUCAAAAAAGUUUUUGACCAGAUUGAACACUUCUAGCUUAAUCUCUUCCCAAUAAUACUGAUAAAAUUGUCCAUUAAGGCCAUCCGGACCGGGGGCUUUGAGUGUACCUAGCUGGAACACCGCUUCUUUGACCUCUUCCAUUGAAAUAGGAGCUAACAGGCUUUCAUUCAUUUCUCUAGUGACUAUAGAUGGGCAUAUGUCUAGCAGAGGUUGAAGGUUUCUUGGGCCUGCCGAUUCAUAUAAUGAGCGAUAGAAAUCUUCUAUGUGUUGCUUCAAUAUUUUCUGAUCCUUACACCAAGUAUCUUCAUUUAGUUUCAACACGGAGAUUCUAUUUCUUUGUCUUCGUUGAACCGUUGUAGCGUGGAAAUAUUUUGAAUUCCCGUCGCCCCAUUGAAGCCAAUUUGCGCAAGACCUCAUAUAACAAUGCUGGUUGUUUCCACAGCCGUUCUAUAUUCUCUUUAAGCUCCUGACUUUCCUGCUUGCUGGAAAAUUGGUGAUCCCCAUUCGUAAUCUCAGUUAAUUUUUGUUUGAGCCUUUUGAUUUGGAUAGAGGCAUUAGAAAACUUAUUUUUGCUCCAUGCGGUCAACUCUUGUGUAACGGAAUGUAUUUUCUGAGAAAAAGUCAUAUAACAAUGCUGGUUGUUUCCUCAGCAACGACUUAUGAUGUCCCGACAUUCUUCUUCCUCCGUCCAAUAUGCUUCAAACUUAAAUUCCUUUCUUUUAUUCUCCCGAGCAAGAUGUAAAGAUAACACCAAAGGGCUAUGAUCAGAACCUACCGCUGGAAGGGCGACAACUUCAGCAUUUGAGAAGGUAAUUCUCCACUCCAUUGUACAAAGAGCUCUAUCUAGCCUCUUUUUAACUAAAUUUUCACCUUCUCUAUUAUUAGCCCAAGUAAAAGCACACCCCUUUGUAUCAAUAUCCAUCAAGGAACAAUCGUUGAGCAUCUCUCUAAAGGCCGCUAUUCUAUGUUGAUCAGCUUCCCUUUUCCCAACUUUUUCCCAACUAUAUAGAAUUUCAUUAAAGUCCCCCAUACAGAGCCAAGGAAGUUGAUUAGUAGAAUGAAGAUUCCGAACAUUUUCCCAUAACAUAAGUCUCUCCUGGAAUUUUGUGGAAGCAUGCAUCAUUGUGACUCUCAUUAGUUGUCCACUAUUCGGAUCCUUACAUUCCACAUCCAUAUGCUCUUUUGAACUCGAAUUGAUUUGAAUUUCCACGCCCUCAUUCCACAUCAGCACCAAACCCCCGGCAAUUCCUAUUGGUUGCUCUACGAAUAUGUGUUGAAACUUCUAUCUUUUUCAGACUUUAUCCACCAUCGACUCCUUAUUUUUAGUUUCCAUCAAGAAAACCAAAUCGGGCUUUUCUUGAGCCAUUAAGGCUCUAAGCUCCUAAACUGUCAGGGGGUUGCCCAGCCCCUGACAGUUCCAACUUAGAAUCUUCAUGGUGUCUUUGGUGGCUUAUUAAGGCUAGCCACCAGAGCCCAAUCCUUCCCCUCUCUUACCAACUGCACAGGGGUAUCUAAUAAUUCCAUAUCAUCCAGAAUAUAAGAGGUAGAAACUUCUGCUCUUUUCUGUUUAUUUGUUUUUUGAUAUUUCGGCAUCUUCGUUUUAGAUUCACCUGUGAUGUUCAGUCCUGCAUUGGGUGGGCCUUCGAGUAGCAUCAACUGUUUUCCACUGCCCUCUUUGGCUGAUGAAAGCAUUUCUUUGCCAUCUCUUCCCACCAAUGAAGAAGGGCUAUCUACUCAUUUCUUGUUCCGGGAAAGGGGGUUAAUUGUUUCAGUUUCUGCCCUUGCAGUAACUUCCAUAUUGACUGUCUCCACGGGAGUUUCAGGUAUAGAUUCUUCUUCAUUAGGAACAACCUUGCCAUAAAAUGCUUCCCAAUGUGGACUUUUACUUCUACUUUGAACCAUGGCCCAUACUUUCCUACCUUGUUUGUAGCCCAGUUCGUUGUUUCAUAGGGUAUCUCCUCACAAUAUGAUGCAUAGUGCCCAAUUCGCCCACAUGAGUAACAAAAGUGAGGGAGACGCUCAUAUUUAAACUCCACCCAUAAAUUCUUGUUCCCUAUCUUGACUAAAGCCCCAAUUUUCAGAGGAGCUGUAUGAUUCAUCUCUACUUUAGCUUUCCCUGUCUUAUAGGGACCAUAGCCUUUAGAUGCUAAUUGUAUUUCUUUUACUGCUCCCACUUUACCAGCAACAUUAGAAAAUACCUCUUCUAAGAUCCAUCCCGGGGGUAGUCCAACAAUGUGAACCCAUAACUCAUAUCUAGAAAAAUCAUAGCAGUGUACAGGGAUAUCUGGCUCACAUUGUUUUAGCACUAACAAAUUGCUUGCAAAUGACCACGGCCCAGAUUUCAGGACUCUCUCCUUUUCCUCCUCUGUCUCGAAUACAAACGAGAAGAGACCCAGUUCUUUUUUAGAGCAUUCAACAGCCUCUGUUUUCCACGCCUUCUUCAUAGUGUUGCAAAAUGCUUGAAAAUUCACAUUGGAUUUUGAGUAUAACUUACCAAAGAGAGUAUGACUACAUUCAAUGCGUUUGUUAUGGGGGAUUUCCUGUUGUACUUCAAUUACAUCAUUGGCAGACCAUAAAUGGCCUAAACUCUUGCAGAGAGCAGCAAGACGACACUGAUUUUCCUCAUCAUGCUCCAUUCCGGCAUCAAAUUAGUGGGUUUUUGGGGUUGAUAGUGGCUGAGGGAUGAGGUUAUCUUCAGGACUGUUCUGUGGAUGUCUAAUGGCUUUGGGUAUUGGGUGAUUGAAGGGAGCUUUGCAAGAUAGUGGAGGGGAGGCGAAAUCUGUCGGAAGGUGCUACUCCACGCUCGAUUUCCUGUGAAACAUAAGGGGGGAUUGCAUUUCCGAGAUGGUUUUAGGGUUUGUGUUCUGUAUACCCAUGGAUUUGGGCAAUGAUUUACUAGUUUCGAAUGGUAUGGUUUCCACAAAACUAUGGGAUGGAGCAGUGAUUUAGGUUUUGGGGGUAAAAGCUCCUAUGGGAUUGGGAGAGGAGAACUCAACUAGCGAGAGAGAAAUCUUAAAAAGUGGUUUAAUAGUUCCAAGGUCGAAUAUCACUAAAGUAAAUGUUGGGCAUUUUAUGCGGUAUGGUGAGCUUUGAUGUAGAUCAUUUUUACAAAAAAAUUCUAAAUUUUGUUCUUUCCUUCCUUUCCUUUUCUUUCUCUUUUCUUUUUGCCAGUGGUUGGUCGCUAGCUUGGUGAGGGUCGCCCUCACUCACUACAUGCGAAGGUCGGCCGUGCCUAGGCAAGGCCUAGUGAGGCUGCCUUGGCUUGGGCGAGGGACCCUCACCCAAGCUAGGGUGGCCUCACUAGCACUCACCCUCCCCUAGAGAAGGUCGGCCCUUGCUAGCCAACAAAGUGUAAAAAAAAUUGUAAAAAAUGUCUACAUCAAUGCUAACUGUAUCAUAUAGAAUGGCUGGCAUCUAGCUAGUGAUUUUUGGUCAAAAUUGGUCAAAUAGACUACAUUAGCAAAUUGUCAAAAGGUUUAGGACUCGAUUAGCCAAAUUGAAAUUUUUAGGACUAAAUAGGACUUUAUUAAUAAUUUCCCUGGCAAUUUCCUAUAUAUUGGAUCUCUAAUUAUUUAACAUGUGAUUCAUGAACCAUGAAAUCAUUAACUUAUGUAAAAAGCCAUGUCCAUCCUAACAUGCAAUCGAACAAUCACGAACAAGUGAGGUGCAGGAAACACUUCUAUUGUCGGUCUUCUAUCUUUUUGGAAAUGAUAGGACGAUGCAUGCAAAAGAGUCCAUAUUUUUAUCACGUGAGAUGCAUCCUAAAGAUAAUCAAUUAGGCCCUUCAUCUCAUCCCAACCUGGACAGCACGCAUCUCCGAUAACGCUCAGGAAUUUGGUUCGAUCCCUCGCAUCGUGCAAUCCUGUUUAGUCGAUUAUAGCGAGCUAAGACAAAUCAUGUUCAGGAACUGCGUGGAGAUGGUUUAUGACCAGUUCCUAAGGGUGGCGAUUAGGGACCAAAUAAAAUCAAUAGCGAGCGAAUCAAUAGUCUCAAUGUGUUCAGCAGCUCGAAUAGGAUGGCAUUGUCUCGAUCGAUUCAAACUAGCAAACACAGUCACACUUGUUGUCUCGAUGUGUUCGGCGGCUUGAAUAGGAUGGUAGCAACUCAUUAUCUCGAUCGAUUCAAACUAGCAAACACAGUUACACAGCUUUGCGAUGAGGACUACGACUAAGAGCAAAAAUAUUGGCAACAAUGCCUUUUGCGGUGGCUCGAGAUGGACGCGAUAAUUGCGAUGUGAAUGAUGCUAUGCGAUCAAGUCAAAGGAGAGUCAAGCAGCGGGAUCUGAAUGUUGCUUGUAUUCUCCCCGUGGUGUGUUUUGUUUUGGGUCGAGAGUCUCUUCACAAUUCCACUGAAUAUUCUGCUUGGUCCCGACCGAGAGAAUACAUGCUGUCUCUGGCCGAGGGUGUUGCGGUAUUUGCUGAAAUCCCUUUCAUUGAAGGGUGCUGCUGAGAUUUCAGUAGAGGGUGGCCGGGCUUAUGGGGGCUCGGGCUUGAAAAUUGAAGUGGGUUUUUCUCUUUUAAAUUUAAUUUCAUUUAGCCGGGCCAGUUAAAUUGCAGUUCACAACCAAGCCGAUUUUAAUGGAAUUCAUUUGAUGCGGACAUGUUACUAGUGAACAAAAAAUGGUCAUAUGCCUAAAUGCAAUGUGCAUGCAAAAUUGUGUGAUAGCAGUAUUUUGUUUGAAGGGUCAAAUAAUGUCAUUGUCAGAAAAUUCAAUCCCAAAGUUUUUUGUGAAACAUCUGAGAUUUUUAGACAAAAAGUCAUAUGUCAACAGAUAAUUUUAAAAGAUAUUUAAAAAAAUUUCGAGGAAAUUAUCUUUUUCUUCACCCUUAAUUAAUGUAUGUUUGCCAUGACAAUAAAUUUGAUCGAUAUAAGUAAUGGUCAUGCUUGAUCUAUUAGUUAAGACGUACUCAAUGUAAGUGAAUCAAAUUUUCUCUUUAAAUCAACAAUUUCAAACGUCUUUAAAUAUAAUUUAAAUUUGAAAGGAGUGUUAGAAUACUUAAAUGUUAAACCGCACUUCAAUAUAACAAUUUAGAUUUCUAAAAAGUUGACAGUAGUCUUACAAAAUCUUAUCUAAAGUUCAAAUGCUCAUUAUAUAUUUUAUCUCUAAUGUAGGUUAGAUGACAAAAUAGUAUUAUGCUUAAUAUUCGUAUCAUCAAGGAUAUCAAGUGACUCAAUAUUCAUAAAAUGCUUAAAUCUAGUCUAUAUCGGACAAUAAAUGCAUUAUAUAAUCAUAAGAUAGGCUCUAUAUUGGCCUUAUUAAGUGUUUGAGUAUAAUCCAUUUGUUCAAUUAUCCAUCAAUUAUCCAACGACAACUCACGACUUCAUCUUGCAGGUCAACAUUACAUAACAACCAAUGAACUCUCGAGAUUUUCCCUCUCAAGUGAUUUUUCAUAGAGAGAGAGAGAGAGAGAGAGAGAGAGAGAGAGCCUAAGUAAUGAAUGGGCCAUGUGCAUUUAAAGGCAUAUGUUAGACUUCAAUUGCCAGAACAAUCAAAUCUUCCGCUCAUUCCAAGUUAUCACGCGUCCUAGGGCCUCAACAUUUGGAACUUCUUCUAUUGGCAAAGAAAAAGGCUUGACAUGUUCUUGUUCGCAAUUGUUAAUAAAAAAUUAAUUUUAAAACAAAUAUAAAAAUUGUCCACUAAAUUUGUAUUGUAAGAAAGCGUUUUGAUAAUAUAAUUUUUUUUAAAUAUAAGAAACAAGUUAUCCCAAAUUAGAUUAAAUAAGGAUGUGUUGUAACAAUAUAGAUUGAAUUAGGUAUGGGUCAAGAAAUUUGUAUUAUAGAUAAAUGGAUCAUAAAUAGAUUAGUGAGUCAAUUUGGAUCGGACUGUUCAUGACCAGACCAAACCCACCUGUUUGACAGGUCUAAGUGCCACAUAUAAUUUAUUGCAGCCAAAUCUUUUCUAGGAUUAAAAGUUGUACCAUGAACAAUUUUUUUAAAAAGCAUUUGGAAUUGAGAAAAUAAAAAAGAAAUAUGUAAUGUAUGUUAUGUUUUUAUCAUUUUUGUUCAAUUGUUUUGCGCCAAUCUAUAAUUAAAACUUCUUUCUAGUCUAUAUUGGCGAGAUGACUGGAUAUGCAUUAAGAAUUAUCUCUAAACAAAAAUUUCCUAAUAAUUGGGAUAUCAUUAAAAAGUUCAAAAAACUACUUAUUUAAAGUAAUAAAUUACCUAUUGGAUGAACUAUCCUGACUUAAAUAUUGAAUAAGAUUGGACGAACAUAGAUGACUCAAAAUGUGUCAAAUUAAGAUAGCAUUAGCAGACAAGAUUUUGAUAUCAAUGCUGAUGGUUUUAUGUGAUGGGCUUAAGGCCUGUCCGCCCAUGUUGGGCCUAAAAAGCCCAGCCCACAGGAUUAUGGCUCAUGGAUGAAGGGGUACGAUUCUUUGUUUUUUGGAGGGACGUAUAUAAUGGAGGAGAGAAAAGGAGAACGUACCUUUUGACAUUACGUACGUUCCUUCCUCCCUCUCUCCCUCCAAAAAAAGAACAGUAAGCAAAAGAGGCUACGUAGUCUUCCCUUCAAGGCGAAUUAGCGUCAUCGGAUCGAACAGGGCCAAUUUCUCUUCCUCAAUCUUCAGCAUUGGUGUUUAAUCUGUGGCUAACAAGGUACGCUCGAAUCCGUGGUGUGCUUUAGGAUCGGUGAUACGUGAUUUUCCUAGGCUUGUCUUCUGCAUUCGUUUUAGGGGUUUGAUUUAGUGUCGAAUCCGGUUUUUGGGGAUCCGUUAAUCCCAACAUUAGUAUCAGAGCCCUAGUUCAUGUUUUCCUGAUCCUUUUCAUGUUUUUUGAUUGAUUUUUCGCAAAGAAAUUCGGCUGACAUGGAUCGGGGCGAGAAAUCCCGACACCCGAGCACUGUUCGUCCGUUUUUUUUUUUUUUAGUUUCUGUAAGUAGAAAUCGAAUUUUGAUGGCAUAGGGUGAAAUGGCCCGUCGAGACGAGUCCGACGACAUGUUGUGCGCCGCUAGGCGACGCCGCACGCGCCCACAUGCGCGGCCAGAAGCCGCUGCUCGUGGGCGCCACGCGCCGGUCGGCGAACUGGCACGUGCGCGAUGCCAGCGGCGAACCGGCACGCGCCAGUCGGCGAACUGACUCGUGCUGACGUCACCCAACGGUCGGUAACUACUGGGAUGACGUCAGUGCCGACGACGGCUGGCCAGGCGGUCACCGGCCGACGACCCGACCGGCGACCCGACCUGACCCAACCCGCGGACGCCUGGCACGCGUGCGGCACAUGCAGUAGGUUCGUCCGACCCGGCUCGACCGGCCUGAUCGGUUCAACCGGUCCGACGACCUGCCGCCCAUUGACCCGUUGAUCGACCGUUGACCAUUGACCCGAAAAAAAAAAUUGUUUCUUUUUCAUUUAUGCCUAUGUGGGUUAUAUGUAAUCCAUUAUUUAUUCUGCAUUUGUUGCAUGAAUUUUUGAAAAUUAUGUAUUUUCCCUUAUGUAAAUUAUGGAUUAUGAGUAAUCCAUUUUUUGGUUCUGCAUUUGUUGCAGGAAUUAGGAUGCGUUAUGCACGAAUACCUGCAAUCCCGAGAACGGACGAGGGAAAUGCAAGACUUAAAAGGCUGAUGUCAAAUUUAGCUAAUUAUCGGUGGCAUGACGGUGAUUUAGUAUCACAUGUGGUCAUGGUCAAUCAGAUGAUACAGGAAAUCAUCUGGAAUGGUUAUCUUAUGCCGGAUUUUGAGAAGGUGUCGGCUUUGAUGAACACUCUUCUACCUGAAUGGCAAUCAGUGUUAGAUCGGCUAUGGGAGGUCAACGUGGUCCCGGGUUAUAGGAGGCUAGUGAAAGCUUUUGUAAGAGAGUACUAUAAGAUUGAGUUGGCCAAAACUUCAACCCUUAGAUUGAACGCCACAUGGUGCAGAGUGAAUGCGCCUUGGAGGCGACAUGAAAGCUCUCUAAAAGUUUUUCCAUGGUUGGCAAAUGUGCCUUCAAAUUUCUUGGAUAUUUUGAUUGAUAGAUUAGAAGGAACAUUCCCUAUUUAUUUCUUAGAUUAGUUUGAGAUGUUUUUGGGUGUGAAUAUCUCUUUCUAUGUUGAUAUUUCUUUGUAUAUAUUACUUAGUGUAAUAGAUAGUUGUAUUAUGUGAAAGCAUUGUUAUUCUAUUGGAUAUUAGAUAUUAUUUGCUUUCUGUUAUUGAUGACUGCUGUGGGUAGUUCAUAGAAGUUUUUGUAACUUCAUAAAAUUUAUUUUGCAUAAGACAAUUAUAUUAAUGAUAAUUUUAAGUUAGGAUUUUUAGAGAAUGAUUGGAAACAUAGUGACCUUUUGAUUCUGAAGCCUUACUUGAAAUUAUUCAUUAAUAUGAUGGGUCUGUGCAAAUAGGGAUGCAUAAAUGAUAGGCAUUAAUUAUUCGUGCAUGUAUGUCUGAUGUGUUCAGAUCGAUGUUUUCAGCAACUAAGAACGUAAUUGCUUAUAUGAACGGCAACAAUUGUGAAAUAUUGAAUAUGAAGAUUCAAUAUGUGCUGGAAAAGCAAGAAGCACUAGAAGCUCUUGACUAUGUUAUGGAAGAUCUUGAAGAUGCCAUGCGCCACCUCAAGCUAGCUGAGGACCGCCUAACGGCAUUUGAGCCGAAAAUAGAUAUUUGCUAUGUUGGUUCUAGCUCAGAAAGGGCUUUGAGCUCUAAGCGCAAGCGUAUUGAUUCGUUCAAUAUGUGGGAAUGCAAAGGAUCAAGUCCUUAUUGCAAGAAAUCAAGAGUUAAUCAACACAAGAGAGGAAAAUGUCCUCAAGUGAAGAAAAUGUCAAGGGUGAGGUGUUACAAUUGUGACAAGAAAGGUCACUAUGCUCGCGAUUGUCGUGAGCCAAAGAAGGUAAACACCUCUUGUACAUUUGAGAAUUUUGCUUAUGUGUCAAGUUCUGUAUUAUUGGCUGAAUCCAAUCAUUUGUGGACUGUAGAUUUAGGAGUAACAGACCAUGUAGCAAAGGAUAGAGGAUCCUUCGUGGAAUUCCGACGAGUACCAACUGGAACUAAGUGGAUCUAUGUAGGAAAUAACUCCAGAGAUGAAGUUAAAGGGAUUGGCACCUGCCAAUUGAACAUGCGUGGUGGACGCACCUUGUUCCUACAUGAUGUUCUAUAUGCUCCGAAGAUUCGUCGAAAUUUAAGUGUUUGUUUUUUGGUGUUGGUUAAGCUUGUUUUUAGUGAGAACUUCCGUAAUAGCGGUGUAGAUUUGUAUUUGGAUACAAACUACUAUGGUUGUGGUCAUUUUUUGGAUGGUUUUAUUGUACUAAAUGUUGACCGUAGUGAUGUCAAUAAUUGUUAUUCCCUUAUUUCUCGUCUUCUACUUCAUAUGAUAAUGAUGUGAUUAUGUGGCAUGCUAGACUUGGCCAUAUUAGCCAACAUCGUAUGAAUAGACUGGACAAAGAGGGUUUGUUGGGCAACAUUGAAAAAGUCAAUUUGCCCAUAAAUGAGUAUUGCCUAGUAGGGAAAACGACAAGGAAACCAUUUGGAAAAGGUAAAAGAGCUGAAUUUUCUCUGCAUUUAAUCCAUUCUAACGUCUGUGGUUCAAUAAAUGUGAGAAGAUGGCAAGGGGCUGUUUAUUUCAUCACUUUUAUAGAUGAUUAUACUCGAUUCGAAUAUGUCUAUUUGAUUUCUCAUAAAUCUAAAGCAUAAGUUAUUUCAUAAGGUUUAUGAACCUGGCAGAAAAUCAAUUAGUCGAGAAAAUAAAGGUAUUUAGAUCCGAUCGAGGUUGAGAAUAUUUAUCUGAUGAGUUCAGAAAAUUAUGUGGUGAAAAAGGAAUAGAAAGACAGUUGUCUAUUCCAAAUACUCCUCAACAAAAUGGUGUUGCAGAGAGAAGAAACAGAACCCUAUUGGAAAUGGUUAGGUCCAUGAUGGCGCAUGCUAACUUACAUAUCACUUUUUGGAGUGAUACGUUGUUAACUGCUGCCUAAAUACUUAACAAGGUGCCUUCCAAAUUAAUUAGUUCCACUCCAUAUGUGUUAUGGACAGGUAGAAAAUCGGACUUAAGUUUUCUUAAGCCAUGGGGUUGUGCUGUCUAUACUCAUGAGUCCUCUCACAAGUUUGGGAAGUUUGGUCCCAAAGGAAAGGAGUAUUUUCAUGAGAUACUCCGAACACUCGAAAGGGUAUAUGUUCAUAGGUGAGCAAGAAAGUGGGAGUAUAACUGAAUUUGAAUCACGGGAUGUCACAUUCUUAGAGGAUGAAUUUCCUAAGAAGGGCGAAAUAUGGGAAGAUUACUCACUAUUUGUAACUUUGGAUCAAGAUAAUGAUAUUAGUGGAGUUCGUCCAAGUGGGAGAAAUAUGAGAAGUGAUGAAUUCAAUUCAAUUCAUUCUCAAUUGCAACCACAUGAUGAGACAACGUUAUCAUUAUCUAAUCCAAGUGGGAGCAUAAUGGGGAAUGAUGUGCAAAGUGUACAAUCUCCCAUACGGCGAACAAGUCGCCAAAGUAUUCCCCGUCGACGUUUUGACAUUGAAGGGGAAACUUUUAUGAUUGCUCCGCAAGAUGAGGAUGAGCCAAGAAAUAUUAAUGAGGCUCUGAAUUGCCCUAGUAAGGAAAAAUGAAUUUAUGCAAUGAAAGAGGAGAUUAAGUCAAUGAAGUCAAACCAAGUUUGAAAUUGGUUGAUCUUCCAAUAGGACACAAAGCUAUUGGGAACAAGUGAGUUCUCAAAAUAAAGCGUAAAGCUGAUAGUUCGAUAUAAAGGCAUAAGGCUCGCCUUGUGGUGAAUGAGUAUAAUCAACAUGAAUGAAUUGAUUAUGAAGAAACAUUUUCUCCUGUAGUGAGAUUUACCUCGAUUCGCAUAAUUUUGGCAAUAGUGGUUAGUAUGGAUCUUGAGUUACAUCAAAUUGAUGUAAAAACUUCUUUCCUCAAUGGAGAAUUAGAGGAAGGAACAUAUAUGGAACAACAUGCUAGUUUCAUAGUGAAAGGCUAAGAAGAAAAUGUAUGUCGACUUUUGAGGUCGAUAUAUGGCCUUAAGUAGUCGUCAAGACAAUGGUAUAUACAAUUUCAUAAUGCCAUAAUAGAAUAUGAUUUUACAAUAAUAGAUGAGGAUCAUUGUAUAUGUAUAUAUUAAAAGAUCCAAGGAUCAAUUUGUGAUCAUAUCAUUAUAUGUUGAUGAUAUAUUAAUUGCCGGAAGCAAUAUGGAGCUUGUCAAUACUGUCAAAAGUUGGUUGUCUUCCAAUUUUGAGAUGAAUGAUAUGGUAUGAAUGGACUUAGACUUAGAACCGGAGAAGGAGAGUAAAUUUCCUGUAGGUAUGCAUCCCAUAGUGGGCGAACAUCCUCGUUCAAGCCCUUCAGGGACAGCCUUUUAGCAGAAAACCACUCAGCCCUUUAGUUCAGAGCCUAGAGACACUCAAAGAUGCCAGGAUGGAAACGUUUCUAACCUACCCAAGCUGCAUUUCUUGAAGGAUCCUACUAGGCUGGAGAAGAAGAGGAAUUUAGAAAGCCAUGGAGAGAUUUUGACAAAGCACACACUUUACUUCAAGGGACUCUGCCCAAAACAAUACACACUCCUUGCCUUAUAUAGGCAAUAAGAGGUAUGAGUACACACACAGGGACUUGGCUCACGGGUCCAGAUACAAACAAAGGCACCGAAAAUUUUCGGGAGGGAAUUAUUCGCACACUAUGAACAGUAACUGUACUGUGAAUAGUACCUUCCCUAGCCUAGUGCUACAGUAAAAGUGAAUAGUGAUUUGCUACAGUGAAAUUGUACGGACUCAACGGUCUCGUCCGUCACGAGCAUUGUAGCUACAAACUGAGUCAUUUGAGUUGUCUUCUAGGAGAUGUGCCUCGUAUUUCUGUUCAAGGGCUUCAAGGUCUUCAGGUGAGAGGAUUUGAUUCAGCCUUCGUGAUGAGGAUGCUUGUUCAUGAGCCCAAUGUGAUACUUCUUCUUCAGCCUAGUUUGUAUUUUCAUCUUCUUGAGGGUCAGGAAUUCUUGGCUGAGGCCAGUUGGAUGGCUGUGCAUAGAAAGAUGUGUCCAUGCUUUGGAAUUAUUCAUAGGGAUCCUGGGACAGAGGUCCUCCAAAGCGUGCAUAGGGGUUCUGGGUAGAUUGGACAAUGUCAUUUUCGCUUGUCAUUUCAGGCUCUUGGGACGAUGUGGCUUGUCUGUAUUGUCUGAGUGCUUCCUUAGCUUCUGGUGCUAGGUGAUAAUGAUCCCACGUAGUGGGUACAUUAUUCCAAACAUCUUCGAGAAUGGUCUUGUUUUCUUAGCAUAGGAUUCUUUGGAGUUCUCGAUAUUCAUGUUCACAAAGUCGAACAAAUCUAGGAUAUGAUUUGUAAAUCCGGGCUUCUCGGCUGUUCAAGUUAGGUUUAUAGGAUGUGGUUCCUAUUUCUAGUGGUGCAUCGAGAAUACUACCAUUAUUUCUGCAAAAAUUCCAUGGACGUCGGAAAAACAAGAUGGUGUGGACCUCAGGAUUAGGCGUCAUGGAUCUCAAUUCUUUUUCCAAGUCUUGUUUCCAACAUGUAGGAUGAUAGAACCGGUUUAGAAAAUCUAAAAGAUUUCUAUCACAUUCCUUUUCGAUAUUUCUUCCAAGUAGGAUUAUCCUUGUGAGGUUGACAAUGAAUCUUCUGGUUGGAAUUUCAAAAGCUAUUAGGUACUUAUUGGUUAAGUACCACAAUAACGUUUUGAGCUGUUUAAGGAAAUCAUAUUCCUUCCAGAUUAGAGGAUGAAUGAAUGGAUAAUUCAUAUUUAACCCAAAAGGAUAAAGAAUCGAACCUCCGUUGAAUCUGAAUAGGUCUAUGUGGCUUUGCCACAUGAGGUUCUCCAGGUUUUCAACAAGACUGUCGUUCUGGAUUUGCUGAAUAAUCUCCUGAGGGUAUUUCCAGCUUUGUGAAUCUUUGAUGUUCUCAAUUUUGUAUUUUACUCCAUGAUUGAGCAUAUGGAAAUCAGGCCUCUUGAUGUACAUGUUGAUCUCGGCUGGUGCUUUUGGCCUUGAUAAGAAGUCAGCAAGUACAUUCUUCUUUCCAGGAAUAUGCUUAGUUUCAAAGGAGUAUUUUGAGAACCAUUCAGCCCAUCGAAGCAGUUGGGAAUUUGGAAUCUAUUUCUGUUUAAACUUGGUCAUCUGAGGGAAAUAUGCCAUGUCCAAUUCCGUGGUGGCCGAUGAGAUGAAACUCAAACUUUUUUAUUCCAUUUUUUACUGCUAAGAUUUCUUUAAAAGUGGAAUGGUAAUGCAUUUCGGCUUGGGAAAACUUUCCACUUUUAUGAGCACAGAGGAGUCUCUUACGAUCAAUUUCUUCAAAAAGAAUAGCUGCCCAGUAUUCGUCACUGGCGUCAGUUUGGAGAAUCCUUUUGCCUGUUGAUGGUAUUUGUAAUGGUGGGAGAUUCUGCAUAAUCUCCUUUAGUUUAGCGACUGCUUUGGUCUAAGCUUUUCCCCAAGGUGGGGAAUUCUUCUUUAGCAUGGAUUGCAAAGGAAUUAGAAGCUUUGUAAUGUUUGGGAUAAAAACCCUGAGAUAAUUAAUUAUCCCAAGAAAUUGCUGAACUUGCUUUGUUGUGAAGUUGUCUUGAGGAAACUUUAAUAAUUCUUGAGCGAUAUGUGGCCCUGGGUAGUAUGUACCUUUGUUAAGGUGCAUACCAAGAAAUUCGAUUUCUGUCUAGGCAAUAUUCAUCUUCCUUUGAGAAAGCAUAAUACCAUGCUUUUUCAUGAUUUCUGCAAAUUGCUUAAGGAGUUGACAGUGUGACUGCUCAUCAGGACUGUAGAGUAGAAUAUCGUCAAUGUAUACGGCUACACUUGAUAAGAUCGGUUGGAAGAUACGACACAUGGCCUUUUGGAAAAGGGAUGGUGCUACCUUUAAGCCAAAAGGAAGAACUUUCCAUUGGAAGUGCUGGUUCGGGAUACAGAAUCCUGUUUUGGCUCUGUCUUCAGGAUGGAUGCCCAAUUGCCAAAAUCCGGCUUUGAGGUCGAAUUUGGAGUAGAUGUGGGCCUUGGUUAGACCACUAAAGAGAGAAUCUCUAGAUGGUAAAGGGAACUUAUCAUCUUGAAGGAAAAGAUUGAGAGGUUGAUAGUUGAUCACCAAUCUCAUUUUUCUUCUGUUUUGCUCGGCGUGCUUAUUGACGUAAAAGGCUUCACAAGCCCAUUGUGAAUCGGAGAUUUCAAUAAGGCCUUGUUGCAAUAGUUCCUAGCAUUCCCUUUGAGCUAAAACCAGAUGUUCUGGCUUCAUUCCCAUGUGGCUUGCCCUGGUUGGGUUUAUGUCUUCUUCUUUUUUUAAAGGAAGGCGAACAAAGAACUCUGGAUUUUCCCAUAAAGGAUGGGAACACUUUUGAGCGAAUUCUGCAUGGGAUUCUGAACAAGAUUCUAACAACUUUUGAAUAAUUGGAUCUAGUAGACUCAUCUGAAUGGAAAAAAGUCUCUGAAUAUUGAUGAAUUCAGAAAAUUGAUCUUUAUAUCUAAGACCUUUUCCAAGAAUAAUGCGAAGCUGAGAGAUUUGAGUCAUGAUGUCCCACCCAAUUAUCAGAUCUUUAUUGGGAAGGUUUGAUCCAAAGAUUUUUGCAGUUAUAGAACACUGAGGGAAGAACUGGACAAUUAUAGGAGUGGUUCUGACAUUUGUGGAGAAAGUGUCUCCCGAAGCAGAAUUGAAAUAUCGGGUGUAAGGAGUCUAGAAUUCUUCAGGAAGAACUUUGGUGUCUAAUAUUGAAUAACUUGCUCCUUUAUCAAUGAGAGCACUAACAGUGAUGGGUUUGGCAAACUUUGAAGUGAGAAUUUUUACAAGGAAAUGGGGACAGUGAGUUUGACUUGAAAAUAUGUCAAGGUUUGGUUCUGGGGAUGAUGAUGAUAUUUGGAAUAUAUCUUCAGACUCUGAGUCUGACUCAGUCUCACUGGAAGUUUGGUACAAGGGAAUGACACAAAGAGUUUGUUUAGAUGGCUCUUUAUCAGCAGAGAAUAAGGAUUAAAUAUCAUCAUUUUCAAGAGAAAUACCUGUUUCAUUCUCAAUAUGAUGAAUUAGAUGAUUCUGACCUUUUCUAGUUUGAGGACAGUUUUUGGCAAAAUGUCCUUUCUGAUUGCAAAUGUAGCAACGGUUUGAUUUUUUGUGGCUUGUGCGAUCCUUCCUUUUGCGUAGGUAUCGCCAUUUCUUCUUUUUCCGGAAAUGCUUGGAGCCAUGUUUGGAUUUUUUUAUCCAAAACUUCUUGUAGUGUUUCUUCUUCCGGGAAUACUUGCCACAAGUACUUCGAUGGUGAUGGACAUCAUGUUCAUUACUAUAAAGAUGACCAUGGUCAUUGUUUUUGGGAUCCCUUUUGUCAAUGUUCUCAUUGUACAAAUUCUCCUGACGAGGUAGAUCCUUUUGCAAGAUCUCCACCUCGACGGAAAAGGCCAAAGGAUAAGAUGUACCAAAGGUACUUAGACGGAGAUUCCUCCGUUGAUACUCUCGGUGAAUGUGACAAAUACCAAUUCAUGGUUUCUUAUACACCACCUCCACCACCAGAGUCUAGUACUACAUCCCAAGCCUUAUCAGAUCCACAAAAAACACCACCAUCUCCUCCCCAGAAGAAGUAAGCCCUCUCUCCAUUUUAUAAGCCAAUACUCAAAUGGGCUAAGAAGCACUCUUACCCCCUCGAAGUCCCGGAAGAAGCACCACCCACUUCUUCUAUCGCUAUGUUCUAGGAUACCGACUUUCCUCCUCUUGUCAAGGAAAGUUCUAAACUCUCGUCCCCUGCUGCAGAAGAGUUUAUUGAUCCCCAUGGCAGAUAUCGCCAUGUUCCUAAAAUCCCUACUCCCACUGAUGUGGAUGAACAUGGGAGGCAGAAAAAACCUCUGCCGCUGAAGCUGUUCUAAAUUGGCAAUCAGAGAUUCUGUUGGCACAAAACAAUGUCUUCAAGGCAAUUGACUCCAAAAUUGGAAACGUGCAGCAAGAUCUCCGAAGAUAUGAUGAAAGUACCAAAAAGAUACUUUCUGAAUUCCAGAAAAGGCUUCACGCCUUGGAAUCAGGACAACAUCUUGGGUACCAUUAUCUUGAAAGCCCAAAGCCAGAAAUAGAGAAGCUCAAGAGGCAAAUCUAGCUUCUUGAAGAAGGAAGGUUCAGACCGUUUGACCCUUUGGCACCUCCUGUUAAAACCGGGUACUUACCCCCACCGCCACAAACAUCCAUUUUUUCCACUAUUCCAACAAAUCCUUACAGAAGAGAACCGGACAUGGCAGAUAUACAGAAUCAUCUCAAAGCCCUGCUGAAGGAAAAGGGGAAAGAAAAAAUACCACCCACAGAAUCAAGUUCCAUUGUUAUAAGAGAAAGGCCAGAUCAGAUGAUGCUAUCAAAUCCAUUAGAAUCUUUUCUAAAAGAUUUAAGCACUCAGGAACCUGACCCUGUUAUCCAACAGCCUGAACAGCCUAAUCCAGUCAUUCCAGAAAGCAGAUUUUGCUCCCUGUAGAACAAACUUCUCGUGAUACUGAAUCAGAUUCUUCAGUAUCCCUCUCCUCUUCUUCAUCCUUUUCAAUUCCUACAGUUGACUCCCUCCCCAUUGCACCAGUAACUUCAUCAAUAUUCAUGGCUGACCCCCCAGAUGAUGAAAUGGAAUCAAACUAUUAUGAACCAGAAAUUGGUCAGACAAGCAAUUCUGCUCAACAUGUAUCCAUAGCAUCAAAACAAUUCUUCACCAUUGAUGAUAUUCCUUAUCACAAAUGGCCAAUAAGGCUUGAAGAAUUUCAUACUUGGUUGAAUACCCAGUCUAUCACUAACCAUGAUAUGGAUGACGUUCUAUAUAACUUUGUUACAAGGUUCAUAGGAAGCUUAAAACUCUGGUGGCAAUCAAUUUCAGAACAAGACCAGAUCCAUUUUCUGAUGUCACCAAAUUUCAGCCAUGCCAUCACUCUCUUAUAUCAUGUCUUUGUGGGAAAACCCGCUGAUCUCAUAGAGAUAAAAAGAAGAGAGUUUUUUGAGAGAAGAUGCUACUCCCUCCAAGAAAAACAUCUUGAUAAGCAUUAUCGAAUAAUGCUUCAGCUUUUUUAUCAAGUCGGAGCAGAUCCAAAUCUGAAGCAUGUUUUCCUUACUUCCAUCCCUAAAGAACUAUCCCAGAUGGUUGAAAGAUCUUUCUUCGGAAAACAAAGGAGAAUACAAGAUGUUCCCUUAGGCGAAAUACAGCAAGAAGUUCAUUUAUGUCUUGAAGAAUUGUGCCUAAAGCGCCAGAUGGUCCGUACUUACAUUACAGACGAUAAGCGCCUUGAAUCAGCUUGUUCUCGCCAGAAGUUAAAAAUCAAAUGUUCCAAGAAAGACUGUGAUGGUACUUGUGGCAAGUAUUCCCGAAAGAAGAAAUACUACAAGAAGUUUUGGAUAUAGAGUGACAAAGAUUGUUCCUGCAUUCAAAGUAGUUUGAACAGUACCAAUGCAAGCAUGCUGGUAUUGUAAAAAUCUGGUAUCUAACAACGCAAUUCUUGCCACGACUGGCAAACCUUUAUGACCAUGGAAAGUCAGGGCAAGACGAACAGCUCCAUAAUGGACAUGAGUAUAUCCCUGUUGAGCCCAUUGUCUGGGAAAUUCAGGAUGGAUCUGGAGAGUGACAAAGUACUCCUUUUCAGUAGCAGGAAUAAGAUGCUGGUCGAAUUUUGAGGACUGAACGUACUCCUUUACUUGCUUUGGGGUUUGGUGAAUAAGCUGGCGGAUGGAGCGGAUGGGUGAAAAUGACGAGUUUGGUUUGGCAAAAGCAGAAUAAGGGUUCAUAAGAGGGAGCUGGGUUUCAAAAAUUUUGGUUUCAUCGCUAAGAGAGACUUCAUAAAGAUAAUCUAUCUUAGAAGCAUUAGAAACACGAAAUUUUGGAGAUGUUGAAGUUGAAGAUGAGGGAGCAAGAGAAACUGGUGCUUCGAGAAUUUCUGGUUCUGUAGACAUGAUGAGAAGAGAUCUUCUCAGCUCUGGAUUCACUUGUCAAGCGCAUGGAAUGGAUAAUAUCAAAAACGAAGCCAUGGCUCUGAUACCAUGAAUGGACCUAGACUUAGAACCAGGGAAUGAGAGUAAAUUUCCUGUAGGUAUGCAUCCCACAGUGGGCGAACAUCCCCGUUCAAGCCCUUCAGGGACAGCCUUUUAGUAGAAAACCACUCAGCCCUUCACUCCUAUUGCAAAGGUGAGGGAUUGAGCCAUAGAUUGUGUCCAAGGACUCCACAAGAGAAGGAACAAAUGAAACAUGUUCCUUAUGCUAGUGCUGUUAGGAGCUUGAUGUACGCUAUGAUGUGUACAAGACCUGACAUAUGUUUUGCAGUUGGAAUGGUGAGUAGAUACCAAUCCAAUCUAGGUCAAGCGCAUUGGAAGGCCGUUAAGAUAAUACUGAGGUAUCUAAAGGGGACUGCUGAUUAUACGCUGAGUUAUUAGAGAAAGGAUCUGCGACUCUAAGGCUAUUUUGAUGCUGAUUGGAGAGGAGAUUUAGAUGAAAGAAAAUCUACCUCUGGGUUUGUUUUCUUACCGAAUAAUGGCACCAUAUGUUGGAGCAGUAAGAAACAAAAGUGUAUAGCCUUGUCCACGAUGGAAACUGAGUUCGUGGCAUUAUCAGCAGCAAUAUAAGAAGAUGUUUGGCUUAAGAGAUUAUUGGAUCAUUUAGGUGUUAUUAGAAGUGCUGCAGAUUCAUUGUUGGUUAACUGUGAUAGCCAAGCAGCAAAAGCAUACACCAAAGAUCCAAAAUAUCAUGGCAAGACCAAACAUAUAGAUACCAAGUAUAAUUUUGUCAAAGAUAUGGUUGCACGAAAUGAUGCAAACUUACAGUACAAAUCUACGCAUAGAAUGGUGGCAGAUCCUAUGACAAAGCCAAUACCUAGAGAUGUGUUUUGUGGCCAUAUGAAAUCUCUAGGAUUGCGUAGAGUCUGAUGUACUGGAUUGUAAUUUCCCUGAAGUGUUCACAUUUGAUGAAUUUGUGUUUUUCAUCAUUAAUGCCUAUGAAUCUUUAUUUGAUCUUUAUGCAUCUUAAUGCUUAGUGUAUUAUUUUAAGUUGAGAAAGUAUGUUUGACAGAUAUAAGAUUAGCCCACUCACAUGGGUAAUCGCCUCUAUUUACUGUGUGAUAAAUAGAGAUGAGACUGUUUUUAAGCUUAUUAUCUAGGUGAUAAUCGAGAGCUAAAGCUUAAAAUACUUAUGUUGCCUUAACUAAGUGUUAAGAUGAGGACAUAAUACUUACUAUGUCCGAAAGUAAAAUACCCCACAUAUUUUACUUUAUCUGUCUAUGAUGCCAGAUGUGAGUUCUAAUGAAUUUUGUGAAUGAGUAGAUACGUGAACUCAAGUUAGACAUUGGAUAUGUCUGAACUAUCAUCUGUACGGUAUUGAAGGUGUAGACAUACGCUCCAUGGGAAAUGAGUUAUUACCGUAAUACGUAUUUUAUACUACGUAUGCAUGAGACAACCAAUAAGAGUGGCAAAAGUUUGAUCUCAACUUUUAUGUCGUGUGAGACUCUUGAGGAAAAGAGUUCCUUAAUUUUUUAGUCCCCUCAUGACUCUUACUUAUUCUCAAUAUUUCUAUUUAGUGUUUGCUAUUUUAGGAUGUUGCCAAUGGUCAUGAGUUGAUUCAAUCUAAUGGGACAUUUCUAGAAAAGCAAGCUGAACCGAAAUUGAGAGUUUGAAGGAAAGAGGAAAAUCGAAUUUGGAGAAUCAUAUUGUAGUUUUGUAUUCACUAGUUAACCAAUUAUGACUGUCUUUGGGAUAAUCAUAAUUGUGAAUACUAUAUAUAUAUAAUAUCAUUGUUUAAAAGAGAUCAAGAGAGAUAUAAAUGUGAUCGAUCGAUCUAGGGUACUGCAUACUAAAUCUACUCAGAGUGUGAUGCCCAUUAUGAGCUGUUAUAUAUUCCUAACAGAUGUAUGGCAACGAGCUCUCAAAGUAUGCUGGUCGCAUGGAUUAUUCACUGGUAUGAAUGUUGAAGAGAGGUAAAGAGAAUUAUGUUCGGCCCACCAUGUGCGAGUGGGAGAUGAUGGUUUUAUGUGAUGGACUUAAGGCCCGUCCGCCCAUGUUAGGCCUAAAAGCCCGGCCCACAGGAUUAGGGCCCAUGGGUGAAGGGGUACGAUUCUUUGUUUUUUGGAGGGACGUAUAUAAGGGAGGAGAGAAAAGGAGAACGUACCUUUUGACAUUACGUAAGUUCCUUCCUCCCUCUCUCCCUCCAAAAAAAAGAACAGUAUGCAAAAGAGGCUACGUAGUCUUCCCUUCAAGGCGAAUUAGCGUCAUCGGAUCGAACAUGGCCAAUUUCUCUUCCUCAAUCUUCAGCAUUAGUGUUUAAUCUGUGGCUAACAAAAUACGCUCGAAUCCGUGGUGUGCUUUAGGAUCGGUGAUACGUGAUUUUCCCGGGCUUGUCUUUCGCAUUCGUUUUAGGGGUUCGAUUUAGUGUCGAAUCCAGUUUUUGGGGAUCCGUUAAUCCCAACAAAUGCAAUUGCUAGGAAACAUGCUUUGUCAAAUUUAUGUCAAGAAUUAAUAAUUAAUUGUGCAUUGAAUUUUAGGAUUUAGGUUUUAGAUAUAUGAAAAACAUAUUUAAUAUAUUUACGAAUCAAAUUGCGUUUGUCUUGUGUUAAAAAAAAAAUGCAAUCUCAUAUUGUGCAUUGUAAUAUAUCAUGUUUGUCGUUUCAACCGUUGCUUGUCAAGUACGUAAAUUUUCUCAACCAAAACAAGUAUGUGAAUUUUACUUUUGGGCAAUUGCUUAAAAGUAAGAAAAAUAUCAUUGAAAGGUAAAGAGAAAAAAAGCUUGAAAGUGGGAAUAGAAAGUGGGAGUAAGAUUCUCUCCCUCAUACAUGGUCAACAACAAAUAAUCAACCCACGCAUUUUAAUGCCUUCGAUGUUGCCAUUAUUGGUAAAUAAACUUCUUUAUCCCUGCGACGAUAAACGUACGAUGAACAUCUUAGAGGUAGAAGAGAGUUGGACUCAUGCUUUAGGAAGCAAGAAGCCAUUAACGGUAAACCCUCCAUCGACACAAAUGGUUUGCCCCGUAAUGUAAGAGGCCGCCGGCAAGCACAAGAAGGCCACCAACGACGAAACCUCCUUCGGCUCUCCGAUGUGACCGAGCGGUGUCCUUGCUAUCGCCUCCUCGUGGAAUUUCUCAUUGCCGAGUAGCUGCUAUGACGGAUGAGUAAUGUUAGAUAACGAUGGCAAAGGUGAUGAAGAUUUAUGGGGUGAACUAUUUUCGAAGAGGAUAGGGAAUUUUAAGUCUUGGUAAAUUAAAUUACAUGGUCGGUGAGUGGGCUGCCUAUGAAAUAAGGUGCAAUAGAGUUGCUUCUUAUGUUGUCUUUAGCCCAUUCGCAAGCCAGAUUCUUGGUCAACUGGUUCAUUGCUCCAGUCAAUGAGUUGAGAAAAUAAGAAUAUAACUUGGCUAAGCUUGAACCAACCCCAAAGUGAUGCUCGAAAGUCCACUUUAGGGUCACUCAUUACUGUGUUUUGCAGCCAAGGGAUUUGACUACGUAAGGCCCAGAUAUAUAGCCCACAGGCCUGAUUGGUUUGGUAAACCGAUCACUUGAGAAAAUUAGCAGUGAUUAGAGUCAUAAGUCCAUAAUUUGGAUGCCUUCUCCAUGACGGACGGUGAAGUGUUCGUCUUCAUCGAUAUCUCAGACAAUCUUUCUCAUCUCUUGCCUGCCCCUUGAUCUUGAGAAUCCAAGUGAAACUAUCCAUAGUGUUCAAUUUAUCACUAGAUUGAGAGAUCAACGUAAGUGUUAUUCUAUUGGUUGCUCGAGAAUUCACUUGCUCAUCUUGAAAAAUAGUACUUGAUAUUAUGGGAAAAUGCUACGUGAGAAAUUAAAUAUGAAAAAGAUAUCAUACAAAGAUAUAACAUCAUUGCCAUGCCAUAAUUUCGCAAUACAUUGACACUGUUCUAAUGAUAAAAUCAAUUGUCCCUACGACAAAAAUUCACGAAGUAACGUCUUACAGGCAAAAGAAAGUUGGGCUCAUGCUCCAAGAAACAAGAAGCCAUUCACGGUAAACCCUCCAUCGACACAAAUGGUCUGUCCCGUUACGUAAGAGGCUGUCGGCAUGCACAAGAAGGCCACCAAUGAUGACACCUCCUUGGCUCUCCAAUGUGGCCGAGCGGCGUCCUUGCUAUCACCUCGUCAUGGGACUUUUCGUUGCUAACUGACUACGAUAACAUGAGUUCAUGUCAUAUGAUGAUGACGAACCUGAUCAAUAUCUAUGUAGUGAUAUGUUCUCAAGCACGAGAGAAACUUUUCAGCCUUAAGAGAUAAUCUUACAGGCUCGGCUUGUGGGGUCAUUAUGUGCCAAGGUGCAAUAGAGUUGCCUCUUAUAUUGUCCUUAGCCCAUUCACAUGCCAAAUUCUUGGUUAAUUGGUUCAUUGCUCCUAACAAUCAACUUGGAGAAAAAAAGAGAUGAAUUUUUUUAGCUCCAUAUGAAAAAAGUUCAGAUAGUUAGUUAUGAUAAUAUUAACUUACCUUUGGUUGUCGAGUAAAUUGGUCCAACAUUCAUCGAAACAAUGCCGAUAAAUGAAAAAUUUUCCGCUGAACAUUCCAUGGUCAGCUUUACUCUGUUGGUUUGUUGAUCUACCACACAAACUGCUCCCAUUAAAAUGAAAACCAAGUACCAAAUCCAUCGAAAGAAAUGCACAAAUUACGACCUGUUAUUGAUGUUGUAAUCGGAUCCACAGGAUCAGACUUACUAGGAAGUUGAGCCUCCCGUCGAAGAGGGAGGACACAGUAAGCAUCGGCUUCUCUCGCUCCGAUCUUAAGGAAAAAUCACAAGUCGAACCCGUGACCUGGACACCCUUUCUCUUCCAAUCUUUCACCGGCUGCAUUUCUGGAACAGGUAUACACGGUGGCCCCAAGCCUUGCUGUCUUCUCGACAAUGGCAUGCCUAAUCAUGGUACAACAAUAUGACUAUUAAGCCUUAGUACAUGUCAUACCUAGGAUUGUUAUGAACAGGCCAUUUUAGCGACGCAAUCCUCGAAGUAAUUGACCUCUCUGUUAUGUCCCUCGUCAUUUUCAUCGAUCGAGUUUUAGAUGGCGAUUAUAUAGAUUUUCUAGCUUAUUAUUUAUAGAAUCCGACAUUACUGAAUUUAGAAGAACCUACUAUCUCUUGGGGCAAGCCUAGCUGAAAACGAUUUUUUCAAGCCCAGACAGGCUUGAGCCGGGCUACUAAACCCAUUUGUGCUGUUACUAGUUAAACAUUAUAUGAGGGAUGUAAUGGCUGAAAAUAGCAUCAAAGGCAUUUUAACCUGUGGCUCCAUGGUGGUGCUUUGCAGAAGCUUUAUGAUGUAUAUGAUACAGCCUGCACAUUCUCAGAAGUUAUGUACGCAAAAUUUCGGGCCUAAACCAGAAUAGCCCGGAUUGGACUUGAUCGAAGUUAUUUAGCCGGGCUAGUAUAUAAAGGACUGAUCACCCGGCCAAGAAAUUCUAGGCCAUAUUUGUUCUCAUAGGACCAAAAAAGGUACCUCGGCGUUCGGACUGCCUAAUCCGUACACAAUUCUACCGUCACACACAUUAUUAUGAAGAAAUAAGAUGCCAUAAUUGACGGUUUUCAGAUGCCUAAUUCAUCAUGUUUGUUCCUCCAACCUAAACCAAAAUAGUCAAUUGAUUAUCAAAAUCAACAAUGCAAAAGAAUGAGGUGUUUGAGUGAGAGAGAGAUCCGAUUCCAUUAGUUCCACCGGUGACGAGAGCGCUCAUUCCGUGAAGCGACCACCUGUUGUCGUUGUUGCGGCUGCCCCAUCUCCUUGCCGUUCCACUCCCAUCAGGAGCCAUUCUCUUUCUUUCUAAUAUCUGAUUUCUUUCCCUCAUCUCACUUGUUUUCUUUUUGGGUCUAUGCGACUUUCUAACUAUCCACUGUGUCAUGUAUAAGUACGGGGGAAUUGGGUUCGGCGGCGAUUCCGUGUGGCCUGAUAUUAGGGUCCAGGUGGAUGAAGUCGUACUGCCAUUUGCAGCGUGAGAUCGACAGAAGAUAAAGCAUAAAAUUACCACGUGACCGACGAUGGCCAAAAAGUGACGGAAGCUCGCCGUGUGUAUCCGGCGCUCUCACAUGGAUCGAAUGCAUGCGUGCAAUGCUGGCUCAGACAUUGGGCUUGAGAACGAAUGCAUGCGUGCAAUGCUGGCUCAGACAUUGGGCUUGAGAACACUUGGGCUAGGGAGAAUGGCGAAGCCUGCAGGACGCCACAGUCCCACUGCACAGCACGGCCCACACGCCCGACUGGUUUGGUGAACUGAUCGCUUUGAGAAGACCAGAAGCAAUUGGAGUCCUUAGUCCAAUAUCGACUGAGAUCUUACAUAAUGCUACUCGAGAAAUUAAAAAUCAAAAGACAUCACGCGAGAGAGGACACAAUUAUAAUACCAUCACCUCACAAUGCAUUGAAAUCGUUCUAACCCUUUGUGUAACUGAUAAAUAGUGACCAUAUAAAUCUACCAAUCAAACUUAUUAUUAUUAUUUUUUUUUGGCAUUAUCAUGUUAACUAAAGAUGAACCGGUGUCUAUGGCACGAUUAUAAUAGUACCACAUACAAUUAUUUCAGCCAAAUCUUUUCUAAGUUUGAAAGCGGUAUUGUGAACAGUCUUUCAGAAAACAUUCUGAGAUAAGAAAAUAAAAACUCUGUAUUUCACUAAUAUAUUGUUUUUUUUUGGUUGAAAAUCUUUGAUGUUUUGCAAAGAUCUAUCAUUAAAACGUAUUUCUGAUAUACGUUAGCGAGAUGAGUGGAUAAUGUUUUCCUUUAAUUUCCUAAUAAUUGGAACGUCAUUAAAAAGUUCAAGAAAAUGCUUAUUUAAAUGGAUAAAUUCUGUUGAAGCUACCUAGAAAAAAAAACAUAGCUUUUUAUAUGAUAAAUUUAUUGGACCGUGUUUGUCAUGUCAAUCAUUGCUUGUCAAGUACAUAUAUUUUUAAAAAAACAAAACACAUACAUAUUUAAAUUUAGGCAAUGGCAUAAACAUAAGAAAAANNNNNNNNNNNNNNNNNNNNNNNNNNNNNNNNNNNNNNNNNNNNNNNNNNNNNNNNNNNNNNNNNNNNNNNNNNNNNNNNNNNNNNNNNNNNNNNNNNNNNNNNNNNNNNNNNNNNNNNNNNNNNNNNNNNNNNNNNNNNNNNNNNNNNNNNNNNNNNNNNNNNNNNNNNNNNNNNNNNNNNNNNNNNNNNNNNNNNNNNNNNNNNNNNNNNNNNNNNNNNNNNNNNNNNNNNNNNNNNNNNNNNNNNNNNNNNUUCUGUUCAUUUUGUUCCAGGUCUUUCUUCUUCAAGCACAUGGUCGCGCAAAUCAGCACCAAGUUCAUCCACCCUCUCUCGGAAUGAACCCGUCAUGUUGCAGAACACGAACCCUCCGUAGCUCAUCCCCACCACAUUCAUCUUUUCACCGCCAAUUGCCUCCAGCUGCACCCAAUACUUUCUCCUCCAUUAGAACAAUUGCACACUAGGCUUGGAAUUGCUCCGUCCACUCAGGCCUCAUCGUGCAAGAGUCUACAAAGAAGACAAAGUCAGGGACGUACACGUUUAAGUAGGCAGCCAGCGGGGAGACGAAGUCAUUACACUCGGCACUAUCACAUUCCGUUGGCGCCAAUGCCGGGGAGGAGGUGGAGGAGGAGGUUGGGCCUUAUUUGUGAUAUUGGCGAGAUUUGCACUCCUAUUCAAAGAAAGGAGAGAUUGUAAGCAAAUCUGUAUAUUGACAGUUUUCUUAUUUUUUGGAGUUUCCUAUUUUUUGGUUUACUUGUUUCCUUUGUUGUAGCAACCCUUGUGUACAAAUUGCAAAAGAACGUUAUGACAAAAAAAUAAGAGAAUUGAGAGUUUUGUCCAAGGCCAUAGGCACAUUGCUAAACCUCAUAAUUCUUGUGUUCUCUUUUGUGAUUGCUUUAUUAAAACUCAACAUGGUAUCAAAGCAUGUUUGAUUCAAUCUGUGAUUUUUUGGGUUUGGUUUUUUUGCACAUCUAAUUGUCUUGAUCUACUUAUGUUCGGGUCCGUUCCUAUUCUCCGACGAUCUGUGUUCUUUGGUUAGUGCUUGUUCCUCUCUUUGUUGCUGUCAUAUCCUUGUUAUUACUACCAACAUGCCAUGGAGGGGUCAACGAAGUCCGAAGAUGCAUCCAACACAACAAAGGUGCAUGAUACAAACAACCAAUGAUUGACUAUGUUGUUGCUAAACGAAAGAAACUACCUUCCUUUGUCAUGAGCUAUAACAAUUGCUCUUAGGGGGUAGAUUGAAGCUUGGUCACAUCAAUGAGAAGAUUAGAGCACCUCCCACAACAAAUCUCAGCUUUGAUGAAUGGCAAGCGAAUGACCAUAAUGUAAUGUCUUGGAUAUUCAAUUCCAUGGGACCGGUGAUCUACAAGAUAUUUGCAUACUAGCCAAGGCAUUGUGAGAUUCGAUAUAUGAGAUGUAUGGUCAAGCCAAAAAUGCACCUUGGAUCUUUGAGACGUAGCAAGGAGUCGUUUGUUCUAAGCAAGGCGCAACACAAUCUUUCACUGAAAACCUGGGAAAAANNNNNNNNNNNNNNNNNNNNNNNNNNNNNNNNNNNNNNNNNNNNNNNNNNNNNNNNNNNNNNNNNNNNNNNNNNNNNNNNNNNNNNNNNNNNNNNNNNNNCAAUUGGAUGAGCUUCAUCAAUAUAAAUCUGCAACUAGAAUGUGAUGGAUUAUGUCAUCUAGAAGAGCAAGAUAAAAUCUUCAACUGUUAGCAAGCAUUAAGCCUGAAUUUGAGGAUGUCAAACGUCAAAUUCUUAGGAGUCCUCAAUUGCCCACUUUCAAUGAAGUUUAUGCCAUAACGCAAUGUGAGGAAACAAGGAGACAUGUCAUGCCUUCAGCUCCAAUUGCAUCAGGAGCGCUUGGUGAACAAUUGACCCACUAUGCUACCAACACAACAUGAAGCAAGGAGACUUCACUGCUCGAUAUGUCAAAGGAAAAUUUAAGAAACCAGCACGGUUCCAUUGUGACUAUUGCAAUCACAAUGGCCAUUCCAAAAAGAGGUGCUGGUUCUUCAUCCACAUUUGUGUAUUUUCAAAGACAGGGGUUCAAAAACUAAGGUGGCAGUCCAGAACAAUUAAUGAUUUUUAAUCCAAGUUGGAGGAUUUGUCACAACAAGUUUUGCAAUUAUUUCAGAUACAUGGCAAUGGAACGAACGCUUCUAGCACUAAAACUGGAAAUUGGGCUAUUGAUAUUGCUAGUAUGAGUACCUAGAGGGGGGUGAAUAGGUAUAUAAAAGAUUUUUCUUCAGUAAUUGCACAAUACUAGACAGUUGAUGGAUUUAAGAUAAACGAUAAUCAAAGUAAGACUGAGAGAAGAAAAAAUUGAACACGUGGUUUAUAGUGGUUCAGCUUAUAUCAAGCCUACGUCCACUCUUCUUCACUGACAGCCUAUUGGCUGGAUUCCACUAUGAACAAAAGAGAAGUUACAGCACAGCUUUGCCUUGAUUCUACAGUGUAGAUGUUCUAUCACACCUCUUCAAGAUUUCUCACAAAUAUAGACUCUCUUUUGUAUACAAGUAUUCGCUCAAAGGAAUUGUCUAAACAAAAAGGAGCUUUAGACUUUGGAAUUCUUCUAUCGCGCACACCUUGAACAACUAAGACCGUCUUCCUUAUAUACUCCUUUAUGCCAUCAUACCCGUUGGCACUUACCAAAGGAAUUCCUCCAAUCUACCCGUUGGACGGAAUCAAUUAGGAAGAUUGUUCGAGCUAUUAAAGGAAUGUGUCGAUAGCCCAUCAAUCAUGUUCGCCCAUACAAUCAGGAUCUCGGUUUCCAUAAGUAGAACCUUCCAAUAAUAUUUUGUUAUAUUUAUUGAUGACAAAUCCUGAGCUACAUGGCUUUGUUUGCUUAAAUCCAAAAGUGAAGUGAUGACCGUGUCUCAAGAUUUUUGCAAUUUGGUGAAAAAUCACUUUUAACACUAUAGUGAAAAUUCUUCGUAUAGACAACAUAACUAAAUAUACCAAUCAAUCUUUUCAAGUGUUCCUACGUGGCCUGAGAGUCAUCCAUUAGACCUCCUGCAUGGGAACUUCAUAGCAGAAUGGAGUUGUAGAAAGGAAAUACAGGCACCUGCUUGAGGUUACCCGAACAUUGUUAUUCUUAGGAAAUUUACCCAAGACAUAUUGGGCAGAUGUAGUCCUUACUAGCUGCUACUUAAUCAAUCGUUUGCCUAGUAAGGUGUUGGGUAUGAAGUUUCAAUUGAAAGUUAGUAUGGCCCAAAAUUUGGUAUCUCUCACCUAAGAAUUUUCGGAUGUGUGUGUCAUGUGCAUUCUCGAUAUGGUGACAAGCCGGAUCCACGAGCUUGAAAGUGUGUGUUUGUAGGAUACUCGAAUGUCAAGAAGGGAUACAAAUGCUAUGAACCAAGUACUGGACGUGUUUAUAUAUCUCGUGAUGUUUACUUCAAAGAUGCUUACAUGUUUUUUUUUUUUUUUUUUUUUCGGGAAUCAAAUUCAUGGGAGCAAGGUGACUAUUCUAAAUUUUUGCUUCCUGUCCUACCUAUCGAGAAUUCAAUGUUGGAUCAAGAGGAAGUUCCAAUAGUGGCUAUUCAAGGGAGUCAGCCAAUCCCCAAUGUCAUUGCCAUUCUUGAUACAUUUGCCAUUACACAAUGCAGCUGAUUUGGAAGUUAGGGCUGAAUAUGCAGAGAGAUAGCUCCAGUAGAUGUNNNNNNNNNNNNNNNNNNNNNNNNNNNNNNNNNNNNNNNNNNNNNNNNNNNNNNNNNNNNNNNNNNNNNNNNNNNNNNNNNNNNNNNNNNNNNNNNNNNNNNNNNNNNNNNNNNNNNNNNNNNNNNNNNNNNNNNNNNNNNNNNNNNNNNNNNNNNNNNNNNNNNNNNNNNNNNNNNNNNNNNNNNNNNNNNNNNNNNNNNNNNNNNNNNNNNNNNNNNNNNNNNNNNNNNNNNNNNNNNNNNNNNNNNNNNNNNNNNNNNNNNNNNNNNNNNNNNNGUUGCCAAAUGGGAAAAAAGACAAGUUGGAUGCUGGUGGAAUUACAAGAUCAAAUACAAUACUAAUGGUUUGGUUGAGAGUACAAAGCUCGCUUGUCGCAAAAGGGUAUACUCAAACCUAUAGGAUAGACUACAAGGAAACAUUUGCUCUUGUAGUGAAAAAGAACAUUGUUCGUGUCCUUCUAUCUAUGGCAAUUAACUGUAGGUGGCCAUUGUUUCAGAUGGAUGUGAAGAAUGCCUUCCUCCAAGGAGGAAGAUGUUUAUAUGGAUAUCCCUCUAGACAUCCCUUAGAGAAUAAUAAGGGAAUGGUUUUCAAAUUGAAGAAGGCAAUAUAUGGUCCCAAGCAGUGGCCUAGAGCAUGGUAUGGCAAAUUGAGUUCCGCACUUGAUAGGUUUGGUUUCAAAAGGAGCAUGGCUAAUUCUUCAAUGUUUACUAAAGCAAUUGGUGAAGGUAUUGUUGUUAUUCUAAUUUAUGUUGAUGAUCUUAUUAUUACUAGUAGUAACUUAAUAGGUAUUGUAGAACUUAACAGUUGUUGAGCAAGGAGUUUGACAUUAAAGAUCUUGGAAAAUUGAGGUAUUUUUUGGGCAUAAAGGUAGCAAAUUCUAACAAAUGUAUGUUCUUGACUCAAAGGAAAUGUAUCCUAAAUCUAUUGAAGGAGAUUGGUAAGUCGGGUGUUUAACCUGCUAGCACUCCUAUGGAUUACAACAAUAAGAUUGUGUCUAAGGAAACACCAUUACAUGAUAUUGGGCAAUUUUAGCGUUUGAUAGGGAGAUUGAUUUACCUAACUAUUACUAAACCUGACAUUACUUAUUUUGUCAGCUAUGUGAGCCAUUUAUGCAAAAACCUACACAAGGACAUAUGGAGUUGUUAAACUAGCUCCUUAUAUCUAAAAGCUUCUCUAGCAAGACGAACUUUGUUGAAGAAUAAUGGUAUUGUGGGAUUUACUAAUGCUGAUUGGGCUAGGAACCUCAUGGAUAGAAAAUCUACCACGGGUUUUUGUACCUUUGUUGGUGGAAAUAUUGUUACUUGGAAGAGUAAGAAGCAAACAGUUGUGGUUAGAUCUAACAUAAAGGCUGAGUACCAAGCCAUGGCUACCGCCACUAGUGAGUUUGUAUGGCUUCAUCUAUUACUUUAAAAAUUGGGUCGUGAUGCCAUGUCUAAGCCUAUGAAGCUAUCCUAUGAAAAUUAGGCAACAAUACACAUUGCUUCAAAUCCAGUCUUCAUGAUAGGACCAAACACAUAGAUGUCGAUUGUCACUUUAUAAGGGAAAAGGUUCAAGACAAGAUGGUACAUACACCAUAUAUUCGUAGUAAGGAUCAACUUGCUGAUGUGUUCACCAAAGCUUUUAUCCAAUGGAGUAUUUCAAGAUAUGAUGAACAAGUUGAUCUCUAAUGAUGUAUUCGCUCCAACUUGAAGAGAAGUAUUGGUGAUAUUGGGGGGAUUUGCGCUCCUAUUCAAGGAAAAGAGAGAUUGUAGGCAAAUUUGUAUAUUGAUAGUUUUCCUAUUUUUUGGGUUUGCUUGUUUCCUUUGUUGUAGCAACUUUGUGUACAAAUUGCAGAAGAAUGUCAUGACAAAAAAAUAAGAGAGUUGAGAGUUUGUCCAAGGACAUAGGCACAUUGCUAAACCUCGUAAUCCUUGUGUUCUUUAUUGUGAUUGACUUACUAAAAUUCAACAGGCCUCACCGGCUUGGGACUCUUGGGGACACAACAUCGCAUCACCAUGCCGUCAUUGAGGUCGCCAGGUUAGUGACGGUGGACUUGACACCAGACAGCGAGAAGGAGAAGUGGAGGCACUAGUCCCUCGUUGCCGUGAAGCUAUGACACUUGGUCAUUGGACUGAACCUUAAAGCUCAAUGCUCUUUUUGCGACCGCUUCCCUCCUCCUCUAGAAGCAGAGCAAUGGUGGUGAUGCGAGAGGCGGGUGGUGAUGCCGAUUUACAAAGACAUUCAUAAAGCGAGGACGACGACGAUGUUUCAAAGGUUCGAAUUGGUUAAGGUUGUGGUGAGGGUCGCUUUGAGAGUGCUGAGUGCUGGAUAAGAGAUAAGAGGUGUAUGUUUUUGAAAAAAGACGAACAGUACAAAAUAAGAAAAAAGAAGAAAGUUUAGAAAACUAUAUUAAAAAAAAAAAGGAAACGACAUAAUUUUGCCUACAUCAAAUUACCAAUUGUCAAAUAUUUGAGAAAUAAGGUAAAUCGGCGAUGAAUAACCGUCAUCCUUCAUGUUACUAUUUUCUAAAAAACUUGACUGGAGUAUUAUAUUAAAAUUUUAUUAAAUAUUCAAGAUUACAUUGGUAAAAUUUAAAAAUUUAAUAUUAAAAUGACAUCCAUAGCUUUAUGACUCAGAAGGUGAGAGUAAAUGAACAUAAGAGUAGCUUCUACUCUCCCUUAUGUACGAACAAGAAAUUGUCUACCUGCACACGUGAAUGCACAGAGAUGUUGCCAUUAUUGAUUAAUAAACCUCUUAAGAAAGUUGGACUCAUGCUCUAGGAAAUAAGAAGCCAUUCACGGUGAACCCUCCAUCAACACAAAUGGUCUGCCCUGUUAUGUAAGAGGCCGCUGGCAAGCACAAGAAGGCCACUAAAGACGACACCUCCUCCGGCUCUCCGGUGCGGCCGAGUGGCGUCCUUGCUAUCACCUCCUCGUGGAACUUCUCGUCACUAAGUACCUGCAACGAAAUAUGAGUUAACAUCAGAUCAUGAUGGCGAACAUGGUCAAUACUGAUGUGGUGAACUAUUUUCCAGCAUGAGAGAAAAUUUAAAGCCUUGGUAGAUCAAAUUACAGGCUCGGCUAGUGGAGUCAAUAUGAACCAAGGUGCAACAGAGUUGCUUCUUAUGUUGUCCUUAGCCCAUUCGCAUGCCAAAUUCUUGGUCAACUGGUUCAUUGCUCCUGCCAAUCAAUGCGGAUAGAAAACAAAAAACAAACGCAAUUUGUUUAGCUCCAUAUUAAUAGUGUUUAGAUAGUUACUAACGAUAAUGUUAUUACCUUUGGUGGCUGAGUAAAUUGAUCCGACGUUUAUUGAGACAACGCCGCAAACGGAUGACAAGAACACAAUACUUCCAGCACCCGAGGCCUUGAGAAGGGGAUGUGCGAGCUGGCUCAGAUGGUAAGUCGAUUCGAAGUUAGUUGUCAUGAUGAAGGAAAAAUCUUCUGCUGUGUAAUCCAUGGUCGACUUUAAGGUGUUGGUCCCGACGUUGUUUAUCUACCACAAAUAAAAACCGAGAGCAAAAUCUAUUGAAAGACAAGCACAAAUUGCGGCAUUGUUAUAAAUAUCAUUAUUGGACCCAUAGGAUCAAAGUCGCCUUAGACUCACUAGGAUGUUGAGCUUGCCGUCGAAGACCGAGGACACGGUGAGCAUCAGCUUCUCUCGCUCUGAUCUUGAGGAAACGUCACAAGUUGAACCCGAGACUCGGAAACCUUUGCUCUUCCAAUCUUUCAAGCAUUCAUUAAUUUCGGCUUCAUUCCGGGAGCAGGUAUGCACGGUCGCCCCAAGCCUCGCUAGUUCCUUCACAAUGGCAUGUCUAAUCAUGGGACAAACAAUAUGAUCAUUCACCAACUUUGUGAUUGCAAUUUGCGAAGAAGAACAGAUUAAGCCCUUUUUCAUCUCCACUAGGAAAAAUUCUACGUGACAAGACAUCAGUACUUGUGAUACCCAAGAAUGUACGGAAGAUUUGGCUGCGGCAUUUGCAAUGGAAGUUAAACCAAUAAUUAAAGCCUUUGAAUGCACUGGUUUUUUAUUUGGGAAAUUACAAAAGGAGAAAAAAAAUUCUAUUGGCUAAUGAUAUCACAAAGAUGCAAAUGAUUUACCAACGUCUAAAGGCCACAUAAUUUCAAAAAGGUUGUGCAUGAAUCAGUCACCUAGGAACAUCAUUCUCAAAGUAAUUGAGCUCUCCAAUCAAGUCUCUCGUCAUAUAGACUUUUAAGUGGCAACAAUAUCAAUUAUCUAGCUUUUUAUCCGAGGGAUCGAAGCUUAUUGGAUUCAAAAGCAUCCGCUAUCACUUGAGCGGUUCAAAAAUUUUGUUGGUCGGGAGCCAAUUUGACAUAUGGGGCCCAUUUUGUUCGGCUUUGGAGAAAUACCUUUGGCUAAAUACAAAUACCUUUGAAGUAAAUGAGUUUUCAGGAAUACUUGGACGUUUGGCAAAUUAUAAUUUAAAGGGCUUGGAAAGUGACUUUUAGUGUAAAUACCAUUUGGUAAACUCAACAUUUGCAAAGGAUUUUUAUUAUUAUUAUUUUUAAAAUAAAAAUCAAAUCCAAUGAAACUCCAUCGCCAAUUAAUGACGGGCCAACCACCGGCGACUAGAUCUAGCCACCGGCGAGGUUGGCCAAGGUUGCAUGAACCAAGAUCUCGUCGCCUGGGUUGCACGACCUUAGGCGAUGCCUGCCUAGGUUGUGCAAGCCUAGAUCUGGCUGUCGGCGAGGCCCAGGCAGCGGUGCCUGAGGUUGCGUGACCACAGGCAGCCUAGCCGACAACCAGAUCUAAGUUCCCUAGACCUCGGGCAACCUUGCCGGCGGCUAGAUCUGGCCACCGGCGGUUGGGGGUAUGGAGAAGAUGCUCGGUAAAAAAAAAAAAAAAAAGUGAAGUUAAUGGAUGAAUAGUAAAAGAUAGACUCACAUUUCCAAAAUAUUGAAAACCCAAACAUUUCAAAGGUAAGUAUUUGGCUAAGGCUUCCAAAUGCUGAACCAAAUACCUAAUAUUUUUUUUCCAAGGGGCUUUGAGCCCUCAAAACCCCUUGGAAAUACUAAACCAAACGGAUGCUUGCUUCGGUUGGAACAAGUUUUUCUAGGCUAGAUAUGACGGAAAAGUCCACUUAAAGUGCUUAAAUCCUCGCUCAAUUUGUUUUGAGUAGGACUGGGCUUCGCCUAGAAAUUGUAGGCCCUGUAUGUUCUGGCCAGGACAAGAAGUAUCUUGAUCCUAGAGUGCCCCAACCAGUGCAUAAUCGUACUAUCAUUCAAAUUAUUACAAAGGAACGAGAUUCCAAGGUUGACGGUUUUCAAAUACCUAAUUCACGAUGUUUUCUUUCCCAACCUAAAUCAUAACAGAUAAUCAAUCAUCGAAAUCAUCGAUAGAAAACAACGAGGUGUUUGGUAAGGGUGAGAGAGAGAGAGAGAGAGACCCGAUUCCUUUGGUUCUGCCAGUGACAAGAGCAGUCAUUCCAUGGAGCAACCACUUGUUUUUGUUGUCAUUGCUGCUGCUACAUCUUCUACUUGCAGUCCCAUCUCCCUCUGUAGCCAUUCUCACUCUCUCUUUCUCUAUCCUAGUGUGAUUUUUCCCCGGAACUCUUGUUUUUCCUUUUCGUGUGUAAUGCGUCUCUCUAACUUUCCACCCCGCUUUAUGCUAAGUCCUUCGCUGGCUGGAGAGAGAGAGAUGGCGACUGGAAGAGGCUUCCUGACCAUGCAACUAUGGGAGAAAAUAUUGGGUGGGCCAGGCACGCCACUAUCACCGUGCGCCCGCCCAAUCAGGAUGCGAGACGUGUUGCCACAUGGAGGCGAGGCCACCAUUAUUUUUCAGUCAAAUUUUUGCUACUUCUCCCUCUCAUUAAAUGCUCCGUCCUUCUCUGCACCAUUUCUCCAAAUUGCACACAAGCAUGCGUCCCUUCCCCCUCCCAUUCUCUAACUGCAGUGAUUGACUAGUACAAGUAGAUAGAAAUGCAAGCCAAAAUCGGAACGGUAUAGGACAACUUUGGGGAAAUGGCUUUGCAUUUCCCCAAGUAUCUUCAUAAGAAUGGGCAUUUAGUGAAUGCUGAAGUGUUUGGGAACUCUUAUUUUGAUGUAGCAUUUUGCAAAAUAGCUUUGAGGUGAAAAGAAAAGGGAAAAACAGAAAAGGAAAAAGAAGGAGGAGAUGUUGACGCAGAGGAGGGGAGCGAGUGGGAGGCAAUCGGAGCUAGUGGGGGAGGCGGCCGGUGGCUGUGGUGGGGGAGGCGGCUGGUGGCUGUGGUGGUGGGGAGGCGGCGGGUCGCGCGGCCUCAGGGCGAUCGGAUCUGGCCGGUUGAGCACCGCUCAGCCUGUCUCGUGGGUCGCGCGACGCCGCCUGAGGCCGCGACCCACGUGACGGCGGUGCCGGAUCUGGUCGGCGAGCAUCGCUCAGCCCGUCGCGUGGGUCACGCGACCCAGGCGACGCCGCUGAGGUUGCGACCCACGCGAUGCUAGUGCAUAGCCACGGCGGUGUGUGGCGACGGUGGUGCGUGGCCACGGCGGUGUGUGGCGACGGCCGUGCGUGGGCGACCAGCUCCGGCCGGUUGAGCUCUGCCGGCUAAGCUUUGGUCUUGAAGAAACAAGGAAGACGAGGAAGAUGAUGAACAGUUAUUUUUUAGGGUAAAACAAGAAAACUCAAUUAUCAGUGAGGGCAAUAUUGGAAGAAAAAAAAUUCAUUAAACCCCCCCUCAGCAUUCCAAAGCAUUCCAAAUGCUAGCAUUCUCCCAAGUAUGGCUCCAAAUGCUGAACCAAACGGUUGAAAUUUUUCCCAAGGGGCUUUCGGGGCUGAAAGCCCCUUGGGAAUGCUGAACCAAACAGCCCCAAUGAUGGUAAUAUAUGAAUCACCCCAAUCCAAGGUUCUGCAUUAUUGCUAGGAGAAUGCGAGGGGGAGGGACGCACGCUUGCGUGUAAAGGAGAGAAAUGGUAAUAUAUGAAUCACCCCAAUCCGUCCUUCUCUGCACCAUUUCUCUCAUUUACACGCAUUCUCUCUCUCAUUAAAUGCUCCGUCCUUCUCUGCACCAUUUCUCUCCGUCCUUCUCUGCACCAUUUCUCUCAUUUACACGCAUUCUCUCUCUCAUUAAAUGCUCUGUCCUUCUCUGCACCAUUUCUCUCAUUUACACGCAAGCGUGCGUCCCUCGUGUGUCCCUUCCCCUCCCAUUCUCUAACUGCAGUGAUUGACUAGUAUAAGCAAAUAGAAAUGCAAGCCGAAAUCGGAAAGGUAUAGGAUAAUGAUGGUAAUAUACGAAUAUCACCCCAAUCCAAGGUUCCGCACUCUUGCUAGGAGAAUGGGAGGGGAAGGGACGCACGCUUGCAUGCAAAUGGGAGAAAUGGUGCAGAGAAGGAUGAAGCCAUUCUCUAACUGCAAUGAUUGACUAGUACAAGCAGAUAGAAAUGCAAGUCGAAAUUGGAAAGGUAUAGGACAGUGAUGGUAAUAUACGAAUACCACCCCAAUCCAAGGUUCCACACUCUUGCUGGGAGAAUGGGAGGGGAAGGGACGCACGCUUGCGUGCAAAUGGGAGGAGCGGUAGAGAGAAUGACGGAGCAUUUAAUGAGAGAGAGAAGCAGCAAAAAAUUAACUGAAAAAUGAUGGUGGGCCCCACCUCACUUGGAGCCACAUGGUGACACGUGUCGCAUCCAACUACGGUGGAGUGAUAAGACCCGUUCCCAGCACGAUACGGAACCGCUACUUACGUACGGUCGUAGAAGUCUCCAACCAAGACUAAUCCACCUAUCAUAUCAUGACCGGUGACAUGAAUUCAUUUCAUGAACUGUUACGUGGGCUCCGCAUCUAGUACUUCCAAAGAUUGAUAAUCGUCAUGCAUUGCUACUUCUGGACUCGAAUUACACAAAAAAAAUUUAUGAUGUGAAUUACAUUAAUUAAAAUUGAAAUUUAUUGUGUUUAAUGAGAUUGGUUUAAUAAGAUAAGAUAUAAAAAUUAUUAAUUAGUCUAAUAUAGAAUUGAUCAAAGUGCGGUUGAGUUUAUGAUUGAAAACUCUAUAAAUAAUAUUGAGUUAUUGUCAUUUCGUGUUUAGAACGAUGAAUUCCAAAUCAUGUGCGCAAAUCUUUUUUUUUCCAUUGCCGUGUUCUAAAAUCUAAUUAUGAAGAUCUUGAUGUGUUGUUUUCGUAGCUAACAAUACCUUUCCCACUCUCGUUGAGGGGCGACACUUUCAUUCAUUUAGGUCAUGUUUGGUAACCAUCACAAUAGUAACAGAUUCUGUUUUUUGUUCCUGGGAACAGUUUAGGAACAAAAUCGCAUUUGGUAAAAUUUUUGUUCCUGGAAACAAAUUUAGAGUAGAAUCAAGAAUAAAAAAAAAAAACUGGCCACUUGAAGAAGAAUAAUAAUAAUAGGAGAGAAAGGAAAAAAAGAAAAGGAAAAAAAAGGAAAAAAAAGGAAAAAAAAGUAAAAAAAAAUUAUUUAAAAAUUAAUUUGGAACAUAAUCGAUGAGCACGGUACCAAACACAAUUCUAUUCCAGAAUCAGAAAUUUUGAAUAGUUACCAAAUGGCUUAAAAUAUUUAGAAUAUGUUUUCGGGAACAGAAUAAAAAAUAAUAAUUUCUUAUCAGAAUCGUUAUCAAAUACGCUCUUAAAAUUAUUUAAGUAUUCUGGCAUACGUUUUCUUGUCGGUGUCCUUUAGUGUACUUUACUGUGUAACGGGGGCUCCAUGUAUAUUAUUUGCAAACUUGUAAUUGCAAUACCGUUUCACCCCUUGUGUUCAAAUUGAUUUUCACUUACUCUAAAUUUGAACAUUUUGUUUUUUUUUUCUUCCUUUCUCUUUUGACCUUGAUGUUUUAGAUUUGACUUAUGGAUUUACUAACGAACAACCUGAUAAUGUAAAAGUAAAAAGGUAAAUAUUAACAUCUAAGGUCUUGUUAAACCUUUUGAUUAAAUUUUUUUAAGGAAUUUGUGAUUGCUAAUUCAAGAGAGCUAGAAUUAGUAAUCACUGGACCUGGAAGAUUGUUAAAAAAAAUAAAAAAAAGGAAAAUAAUAGAAUAAGAAAGAAAAAAAAGAAAUCAAAAUGAUUUUCUUUGACGUUCAAAAAGAAUUCAAUCGACUAAAAAAUAAAACUAUGGACAAUAUAUAAAAUUGCUUUGAUGAAUUAAAUAUUUAGAAUUGAUGGAAUCACCAUUAUAUUUUAAGAAAUUGAACUAUGUCAUUAGAUAGUGAAGUUGUUGCCCUUUGGCUUAUGUAGUGUAAAUGCAUAAAAUUCUAAUAUUGAUCAUGGCAAAGGAGUAAGUCAAAGUCGACCUUGCUCUGUACUUUCAUGAUUAUGACUUUGGUUCCGAAACAAUAAAAGUAUAUUGAUUUUUCUCUGAUAACCGAAUAAUCUUAAAAGUCACAACAACACGGUUUAAUAUACACCAUACAACACUCCUAUAUGGCAUUAUAAGAAAAUUUCUUCUAUUUCUUUUCAAAUUAUUGAGAGACGCCUAGAUGCAUUACCUUUGUAUGUGUCUAAAGAUUUAAAGACUUAUAAAUCGAUACAAUGAUGGCAUAAAAGAUAAAACAUUUUUUUAAUGCCAAUUGUUUUUCAAAUGACAAUUUCAAUUUGUGGGUUUAAUAGGAGAAAGAAAUGUAAAGUCGUCAUUCAAAGACUUUUAAAUUGAUACGAUGCUGGCAUAAAAGAUAAAACAUUUUUUUUAGUGCCAAUUGUUUUUCAAAUGACAAUUUAAAUUGUGGGUUUAAUAAGAGAAAGAAACGUAAAGUCGUCAUUCAAUUUAGUAAUAAAGUAGACGAUCAAUUUUUGCUGAGGUAGUGUCUAGGUGGCAGCUACUUUCGUGGAAAAAUCACCAAAAAGGUUUUCUUGCAAUGAGGAGAGGCUAAUUUCAGCGAUCUACAAUGUUAUAGAUUUUUUUAUUAUUCACUUUGAGGUUAUUUUUAUUUAAUUGAUUCUUGAAAUUGAUAUAAAUAGAUAUUAUAUAACUAAACUGAAGUGAGGCAUUAGCAAAGCAUGCUUAAAAGUGUAUACGGUACCAUAGUUUUUCCAAUCAUAUGGUGCAACGCACUCAAAUUAUCUCAUCCACAUGUAUUUUGUAAGUUUUUCUAAUCAUACGGCAUUAUAGUACUAUGAGUUAAAAACUAUAAUCACAUAUAAAAAUAGGAUAUUUUGAUUAGCACGUAAAAUCUGCAGCAUCCAAAUCGAACGGUUUGUCUUAUACGCUUGCUACUUUGUCAUCUAUGAUUGAUCAAGAUUGUAUAAAUUGAGAAUUCGGAUGCAUAAAAAAAUAUAUAAUCACCGAAAGUAAUUUAUAUGACCAUAUCAAGACGUGGGCUACCACUAGUUAAUCAGGAUACUGGUGAUUACAUGAGUAAUGUGAUGGUAGGGUUGAAAUUCAAGAAAGGGGUCGAGAAAGUCGUUGCAAGUCUUUUUGUGGAUAGAAAUAGCAUCAAAACAGUUGUUUCACUUGUGGCUCGAUGGUGUGGAGCUUCCAAGGAGCUUUUCGCUGAGUAAUACAAGUUGCCUAACUCUAUCUUGAUCAAAAGUCAUGGUCAGUUACAAUUGAGGAGUGCAAAAUUUCAAGCCUAAGUCGGAAAAGCCCUGAUUGGACUCAACCGAGUUAUGUAGUGCCAGCUAAUUUACAAAGGACCGGUGGUUUGGCCUAAAAAUUCUAGGCUGUAUUUAAUCUAGUUUGGUAAAGAUAUAUCUUGACACCACCAUCACUUGAAUUAUUAAAGAGGAACGAAAUUUCAAGAGCAACAGUUUUCAAAUACCUAAAUUAUAGUAAUUUUUACCUUAACCUAAUCCACAACAGUUGGUCAAUAAUCGAAAUCGAUGACAUAAAAAAAUGAAGUGUUCGAGAUAGGGACCGAUUCCUUUGAUUCCACCGGUGAGUGAUCCACCUGUUUAUCGUUGUCGUUGUUGCGGCUGCUACAUCUCCUUGCUGUCCUACUCCCCUCUAGAGCCAUUCUCUCUCUAUCUAAAAGAUGAUUUUUCUUUUCCCUUCAACUCUGUUGUUUUCGUCUUUCUUCUUGGGCCCAAUGCGUCUGAUUUUCCAUUGUCUUAUGCACAAGUAAGUUGGAGUAGGGUUCCACGGCGAUUCAGGGAACUGCCAUCCGUAGCCUGAGGUUGACAGAAGACGAAGCUUUAAAUUACCACGGAACCGACCAUGGCUGAAAGCCAACAGCAUUCGACCGCGUUUAAUUAUCGACAUCUCUUCGUUCUUCUGCUCUUUUGGGUCCGCGCCCCGUCUGUCCUCCUCCUUUUCCGCGUUUUAGAGAGAGAGAGAGAGAGAUCGGACGCUUUUGAAACUCUGGUUAAACUUUCUUUUAUUGAGCCCCGCAGCUAGGAAUUGUAAUGUCGUUUCGACACUUGAGUUCGAAUUGAUAUUCAGUUACUUUGAGUUUGAACAUUUUUAUUUUUAUGUUUUGCCUUCGACGUUCUGGACUUGACUUACAUAUUUAUGAGCGAAUGACCCAAUAGUGUAACAUCUAAGAUCAUGUUAAAUCGUUAUGUCUGUAUUUUGAGAAAGCCCAAAAAAAUAAAUAAUAAAAAGUCAUUCUAAAUAGGUUCUAAAUAUUUUUAUUGAUAUUACCAAAAAAGAGUAACCUGCUACCCACGUUAUGGCCGGCAGAAGUUGUGGAAGCUUGUUUACAAAGACAACAGUAGAGUAGGCGACUCCAUCACUCAAGGCCACAAAAUGCCGGGAGUCGAAUCAAACGAUGGGUCGGAGUCUAAGGUAGCUCCAAACGUUUGAACUCAAUUGAUUUUACAGCAUCGCGUUGCUAUGUCCACGUUCAUACUCAGAGACUUCCCAAGUUAUGACUUUUGAUUGAUACUGUCGGCCAUGCAUUAAAUGCAACACACGAUGAGAUUCAAGACAACAUUGUUCAAUUAUGUAGGACCUUCUUAGGAAAACUUUUUAUUGAGCUUAAAAAGUUUCUUAUAGUCAUUUAAGAGAGAGUCUCGUUGCAUGUGAGCUGAUCGUUUGGUGAUUGAGGUACUUAUGGAAACAACCAUACGAGGAUUUGGAAAAUUUUAGGAAGACUAUGCAGAAAUGUUCGAAUAAGCAAUCUAUAUAAGGUCGAUUAUUUAAACCAGAGGAAUUUUGAGAUCACAGGAGAACAUUUACUACCUCCGAGAAUCAUUUUGUGCUUAUUGUUGGAAAUUUCCUAUAAUAUGGGUUUACAUUAAUUAAUUGAUUUUCUAUUUUAAAUAAUCGGGUUAAUAGAUAUUUCAAUAUUUGUUGAACCCUAAAGUGAUCUGAUUAAAUUAUGUAUUAGUAUCUAUUGAUAAUAGGCUUGGUUGACUAGCAAAGUGUAGGCAAUUGUGUUUGACUGAAGCCCGUAAUGGGAAGGAUCCAGUUGACACGUUGUAGAUUAGGGUUUGCUAGGUCCCAUCUCUAGCCUAUAAAAGGGUAGGUUAUACCUAUCAGUUCAUUUAAUCCUAUUGAAAGCUGCUAUAUUGAAAUAGGUCAUAGAGAUGAAGAUCUCCGAUAGAUCACUGAUUAUCAAAUUGAUAUAUUUUUUUUUCAAGUGAAACAAUGGCUCAAACAUGUACGCUUUACAUUUACGGAAGUUCUUCCUUCUCCGAGGAACAGAAGACUGCAAAGGGGGUGGGGAUUCGACCCCAUGAUCUUUUCCUCUGUAGCUGAUUCUCCUUAGCUUGCUGUUGUUUCAGUUUGCUCUUGUUCUUGUAGUUGCGGGUUCCUUCCAUCUCCGUUCUUCGCCUUCAGCUUUGAGGGCUAGAGGGUUGGGGAGGGUAGGGGUUCCUGUUGUUACGUUUUGUUUGUUGGCUUCCUAGCUUUUGUGUUUCUUGCUGGCGCCCUCGGGCUUUUUUAUCGGAUCCCCGUCACUCUUGCUCCUUUGUUAAGAGUGCUUGUUUGGAUCCGAUCUUUUGUACUUUUGUCCAUUCUCAUUAAUAUUAUUACCUUCACAAAAAAAAAAAAAAAACAUGUACGCUUUAAUUCCACUGUGUUUAUUGUUCUCGGUGUUUUACAGUCAUAUAUGGAUCCGAUUCUUCUUAAUUAAUUAAUUAUUCAUGCGAAUAAUUUUCUACAUGUGGUAUUAGAGCUAAUCAUAUAUGAUUGUAGAACUCAAUUUUUUUUUUUUAUGGACAAAUUCGAAAUCCUCCUCUUUGAGCCGAAUAUGGGCAUUAUUUUUUUGUAUAGAUUUUUUGCUUGAUUGAUUUUGAAACGAUAGGGCUUUUGUUCUACAUGUCGAGAUCUUUCCAACCAUAUAUAAUUUGCAUAAUUUCGUUGAGAAUUGAGAGAGAAUUUUUAGAUUUGAAAUUCUAGGGUUUAUACAUGAAAAAGUUCUAGAAUUUGCAAAUUACUUGCAAUUGAUUGAUGUUUGUUGUAAAUUGGUGCAUGGAUAUUGUCAUAUAUAUGUUUUAGCAUCCUAUUGUUGAAUAAAAGUAACAUUUUAGGCUUAAACUUAAGAAAUUCGAAAUUCGGCCAUGGGAGGUUAAGAUCUUCAUUUAAUUCAAUAUAGUUAAUUAUAUUGAUAUCAUAUGCAAAAUCCAUCAAUAAAUUUCAUCAAAAAUCAUGUUAAUUUGUGUUGUUGGAGCUUCGGGUUGAAACCGGGUCGUGUGACCCGGUUUUCUACAACUUCGGGACCCAGCUAGAGGUUGAAGAAGACCCUCCAGCCGGGCCGGGCCAGCCCAUCCAUUUUUUCUUUUUCGUGUAUUAGGAUCUGGGCGCAGCCCAGAACCUUUAUGUUUUGAAUGGGCUCUGGGCACACGCCCAUUAGCCAACUUGAAAAGAGGUUCUGGGCUGCCCAGAACCAAAAUAUAAAGGGCUUAGCCCAUAUAUAUUUUUUAAUUUAAUUUCGUGGGCUAUUUAAACAGUCCAUUACAUGGGCCAUUCUCAAUUUAAAAGGAGUGGGCUAGUGGUCCGCGUGAGGGUUAAGGAUUCGCGGGUUUGGCCCGCGGUCUGAUUAGGGCUGCUUGCAGGUCCUGGGCCCGGGGGAGUCCGAAAUAUUAAAAUAAUAAUAAUAUAAUAAUAUAAUUAAAAAUUAAAAAAAAUGUGGCAAAAAUUGUUGUUUGAAAAAGUGCAAUAUGAUCAUUGGAAGCACAUGUUGUAAAGUAUUUCAUAUUGUUUGAUGAAUUUUGGGCAUAAAUUUUUGGAGUUCCUUAUUGAUAAAAAUUAGUAUAUACAAUUACUUGCCCAAAAGGGGUUAUUGUGUAUAUUAAUUUGAAAAUUGCAUAAAGAUAAAUUCCAAAAAUAAAAGAUGGGGAUGUAUGACUCAAAAAGAUUUAUCUGCCCAAAGGGGAUAAAUUUUUUAAAGUUAUAUGUAAUUACCCUCUAUAUUGAUAUAUUAAAGAUGAAUGAUGAGGAUGUGUGACUCAAAAGGUUUAUCUGCCUAAAUGGGAUAAAUUUUUUGAGAGUUAUGUGUAAUUCCCUUCUAUGUUGAGAUAAUGGAGAUAUAUAAUUUAAAUGAUUUGUCUACCCAAAGUGGAUUGAUCCUUGAAGAUUAUAUGUAAUUCUUCUUUAUCAUCUCUAUAUAUUGAUAUCAUAGAGAUGUAUAAUUUAAAUGAUUUCUCUGCCCAAAGGGGAUGGAUCAUUAACAAUUAUAUAUAAUUCUCCUUGUUGUUGCUUUAUAAACUUCAUGCUGUGAAAAAUAAUGGUUCAUUAGACACUCUACCCAAAUGGAAGUUUAUAAUGUACUAAUUAUUUUUGUUGAAUUACUUAUUGCCCAUAAUUGAUCUUAUUACAUUAUGUGUGACAAACAGUUACAUUUGCUGUAAAUAAUAAUAAUGUCAUAGUUGAAAUAUUAACUUGAUCAAAUAUUAUACUGUUAAGGACUUGGUCAAAAUAGAGAUAUUGUGAUCGAGGAUGUCAUAACUGAGUCCAUGUUAUUUGAUCCUCUAACAAAAGGCUUACGACCCAUUUUAUUUAAAGAACAUGUAAAAAAUAUGGGUGUUUUAGAUUCUUUUGAUUUCUUUUGUUAGUGGGAGUUAUGUAAUUUGUACUUCUGGAUAUUAUAGUUAUAUGUAGUGUGAUAAUGCUUUUAUGAUGUUUAUUAAAGCAUUUAUUUUAAUAAUUGUUAUUAUUGAUUCUAUUGUUAUCCUUUCUCCUGUUGACUGAGAAAUAGAAGUAUAAAACAGUAUCUUUAAACAAAUUUUAGUUUAAAGAUGACUGGAUGUCACUGAUUAUGAGAUCUCAUGUUGGAUUGUGACAUAAUCGUGCAAUUUCAUGUUGUUUAGAAAUUGCGUUAAUGUAGUUCCAUGUCGUUAAGAAAUUGUAUUGAGAACCGAUAAGAAAUAGUGUAUAUUUUGAUCACAUGUUGGCAUUAUUUCUUACUACACUACUAGGCCCAUGAUCCAUGAAAAUAUAAUGCUUAUUAUAUGUGAUUAUGGAAGGUCUUGUGUUGUGGCAUUUUCUUAACACAUUGAUCUCCAUAGUCCUAUACUGAGGUUAUAUAGAAUUGGAUUGGUAUUGAGAUGCCAUUAUUGGAAUAUUAUUUUUUUUAAAAGUUGUGGCCACAUAAAAUAGAAAAUUUUAGUUAUUAACCCGAUAGUGUUGUUUUCAGUAUAAAAUCUUUUUCAAAAUAAAAUAAGUUAAUUAAUGUAGCCCAAGUGGGAGAAUGUUGGAAAUUUCCUAUAAUAUGGGCUUACAUUAAUUAAUUGAUUUUCUAUUUUAAAUAAUCGGGUUAAUGGAUAUUCCAAUAUUUGUUGAACCCUAAAGUGAUCUGAUUAAAUUGGAUAUUUGCAUCUAUUGAUAACGGGCUUGGUUGAGCAAGUGUAGGCAAUUGUGUUUGACUAAAGCUCAUAAUGGGAAGGGCCUAGUUGACACGCUGUUGAUUAGAGUUUGCUAGAUCUCCUCUCUAGCCUAUAAAAGGGUAGGUUAUAUUUAUUAGUUGCUUUUAUCCCAUUGGAAGCUACUAUAUUGAAAUAGGUCAUAGAAAGGAAGAUCUGACAUUCUGAUAGAUCACUAGUUAUCAGAUUGAUCUAUUUUUUUCAAGUGAAGUAAUGGUUCAAACAUGUACGCUUUAAUUCUGCUGUGUUAUUGUUCUCGGUGUUUUACAAUCAUAUAUGGAUCCAUUUCUUCUUGAUUGAUUAGAUAUUUAUGUGAAUAAAUUAUACACUUAUUUCAUUACUCUAGUGUUAGAACUCGUGAUUGUAUUGAGACUUACUCUGCAAUUUUAUCUCAAGGGAGAGUAUUUCUCUUGUGAAUACAAACAGGAGUGUGCAUUGGUUUUAUUCGGUUUUUAGUGUUGCAGUAUCUACCAUUGCGGUAGCAGAAAGCUUUUGUAACUUGCGAUCUACUUGAAUUGAUACCGCAAUGUCAAAAUGAAGCCUUUGAUGGCUUCUGUAAGUCAGAAUCUGGUCUCUUUCUCUCUCUCACUGGACACUUCAUUCUUUUAUGUCGAUGGUUAUGAUGAUCAAUCAUCUGUAUGAUAUAAGUUGAGGAAGAAAACAUCUUGAUUUAAGAAUUUGAAAAUCGUCGAUCUCGAAAUCUCUUUUCUCUAUGAUAAUUUGAGUGAUAGCAGUAGGAUUGCACAUUGACUAGGGCAAUCCAUGAUCAAAGUACUUCUUGUCCUAGCCAAAACAAAUUGAGCCUGUAAUUUCUAGGUCGCUAGAAUAAAUCUAGCAAAGAAAUGAAUUUAAGCACUUUAAUUGACUUAUUUCCAUUAUAUCCAUGCUCAAGAAAAUCUUUCUGAUCGAAGCGUGUUUGACCGAGCUUCCGACCAUCAAGAUUCUUUUAACUGCCCGAGUGACAGUGGAUGCUUCUGAAUCCAAUGAUGUUCGAUUCCAUGGAUAAAAAAAAAAACUAGGCAAUUGAUGCCAUCACCACUUAAAACUCUAUAUGAUGGAAACGACGAGAGACUUGAUCAGAGAGCUCAAUUAUUUUGCGGAUGUCGUCACUGGGUGAUUGAUUCAUAGGUAGCCUUCUUAAGUUCUGUAGCCUUUUGACCGUGAUAACUCAUUUGACAUUAUUAUUAGCUAAUAGAAUUUCUUUAUCCUUUUGUGAUUUCCCAAAAAGAAAUCCUGGUCCUUCAAAGGCUGUAAUUAAUGGUUUGACUUCUAUUGCGAGUGCGGCCACAUCUACUGCACGUUCUUGGAUAUCACACAGAAUUUCUACUUCCGGAAAAGAAGAGGGAUUAAUCUGUUCCUGUUUGCAAUCACGAGUUGGUAAAAUGAUCAUGUCGUUGUGCCAUGAUUAGGCAUGUCGUUGUGGAGGAACUAGCGAGGCUUAGGGCCACCGGGUAUACCUGCUCCAGAAAUGAAGCCGAAAUCAAUGAAUGCUUGUAAGAUUGGAAGAGCAAGGGUGUUCAGGUCGCAGGAUCGGCUUGCAACAAGUGGAUCCUUGUAAGUCUAAGUCGUCUUUGAUCGAGUGGAUCCAAUAACAAUAUUUAUAAUAAGGUUGCACCUUGUGCAUGUCUUUUAAUGAAUUUUGUUUUUGGUUUUCAUUUGUGGCAGAUAAAUGACAUUAGGACCAACACUCUGAAGUCGACCAUGGAUUACACAACAGAAAAUUUUCCCUUCCUCGUGACAACUAAUUUCGAACUGGCUUACCAUCUAAGCCAGCUCGGACAUCCCCUUCUCAAGGCCUCAGGAGCUGGAAGUAUUGUGAAAUUGUCAUCCAUUUGCGGCGCUGUUUCAAUGAACACCGCAUCAAUCAACUCAGCCGCCAAAUGUACAUUAACAUUAUCAUAAAUAACUAUCUUGACAAUGUUAUAUGGAGCUAAACAAAUUGCGGCUGUUUUCUGUUUAUUGUAUUCAAAUUGAUUGAUAGGAGCAAUGAACCGGUUGACCAAGAAUUUGGCAUGUGAAUGGGCUAAGGAAAACAUAAGAAGCAACUAUUUUGUGUUGGAGAAAUCUUCGUGAAGUGUUUUGAAGUUGACAAAACGUUUCCAUCAGUCUAGUCUGAAGGUCUGCAGACUCUGUUAGUUAAAGUCUGAAGACUUCCGGACAGCCAGACUCAAGACUCAAAGUCUAUCCUCAUUGACAGUCUCUAAUCCGUUGAAGAAAGGUUAUCCAAAACUGGAUGUUUUGUUCAGGAUUUAACCUUAUCAUCUGGAGAAGAUCUCGUGGUUGGAGAAGACGUAUAAGAAUCCUUUGAUUGAUCAAGAUUGAUUCAAUGACUGAAGAUUCGAUGAUUGUCUAAAUAUUAUUGGAAGGUUCUACUUAUGGAAACCGAGAUCCUGAUUGUAUGGGCGAACAGGAUUGAUGGGCUAUCAACACGUUCCUUUAAUAGCUCGAACAAUCUUCCUAAUUGAUUCCGUCCAACGGGUAGAUUGGAGGAAUUCCUUUGGUAAGUGCCAACGGGUAUGAUGGCAUAAAGGAGUAUAUAAGGAAGACGUUCUUAGUUGUUCGAGGUGUGCGCGAUAGAAGAAUUCCAAAGUCUGAAGCUCCUAUUUGUUUAGAUAAAUCCUUUGAGCGAAUACUUGUAUACAAAAGAGAGUCUAUAUUUGUGAGAGACCUUGAGGAGGUGUGAUAAAACAUCUACACUGUGGAAUCAAGGCAAAGCUGUGCUGUAACUUCUCUUUUGAUCAUAGUGAAAUCCAGCCGGUGGGCUGUCAGUGCGGAAGAGUGGACGUAGGCUUGGAAUAAGCCGAACCACUAUAAAUCAUGUGUUCAAUUUUCUCUUCCUCACUCUCUCUACCUUAAUCGUAUUUCUUUUUGUUAAUUAGGAGAGAAUUUACUUUCUAUCAUACGUUAAGAAUCGCUUCUGUAUAUCGAUAAAUUGUUUAGGCACCUAUUCACCCCCUCUAGGUACUCAUACUAGCAAUAUCAAUUGGUAUCAGAGCUCGUGUACUCACUUUGUUUGAAGUGUUUUACUUUAGAGUUAAAGAUCCAUGGCUAGUAUGCUAGCACCAGGGCUGAUGGAAGGGCAAAGUAAUACCAGACCACCCUACUUUGAUGGAAAGGAUUACAACAUCUGGAAGAACAAGAUGAAAGCUUUCCUACGAUCAAAGGAUCCUCUGGAAUGGGAUGUUGUAGAAAAAGGAAUUACUCCUACCACUGCAUCAGUCUCUGAAAGAGGAAAAGAAACUGAAGAAACCAGCGGAAUGUCUCAGGAAGAAAUAAUCAAGAGACAAACACUCGAUGCAAAAGCAAUUUACUCCUUAUAUUGUGCUUUAUCACCAACUGAAUAUAAUAGAAUAUCUUCUUGUGGUACAGCAAAAGAAGUUUGGGACAGAUUGCAUAUCACCUAUGAAGGAACAGAUCGAGUGAAGGAAACAAGAAUCAACAUUCUUCUCGGUCAAUAUGAAGCCUUCAUAAUGAAACCAGGAGAAUCAAUAUCUGACAUGUUUAGUCGUUUUACAGAUAUUGUGAAUGGUCUUGAAAAUCAAGGUCAACCAACUUCUGAUCCCAUGAAGGUAAACAAGCUACUGCGUGGACUCUCCAGGGAUUGGAAUCACAUAAAGACUUCGAUAAGAGAGACGCAGAGAAUUAUGCCACUAUCUGUUGACGAGCUGAUUGGAACUCUUCAGUCCUAUGAAGUGGAAAGGAUCAAUGAAGAUGAAGAUCCAAAAGGUAAGAAAUCCAUUACAUUAAAAUCAAAUGAUGAUUCUGAUGAUACAGAUUUUGAAGAUGAUAUGGACGAUGAGGAGCUUGCUCUCAUGAUAAGAAGAUUCAGAAAACUAAAUAGAAAAGGAAGAAGGUUCAACUCAAAGAAACAAAGCUUUCAAAGACAGCAGACCAAGUCUGUUGAUGAUGAGGAACUAAAUAAAGAUGUAGUCUGCUUUGAAUGCAAGAAAAAGGGACACAUCAGACCCAACUGUCCUCUUCUGAAGAAGAAGAGAGGAAAAGCUGAAAAAUUUCGAAAAGCUCUCAAAGCCGAAACCUGGAGUGAUACUGAGUGUGAAGAAAGUGAUAAUGAAUAUGCCAAUCUAUGUCUAAUGGCACAAUCAGACUCAGACUCUGUAUCAGACUCAGGAUCAGACUCAGAUAGUGAAUUUGAGGCAAGUGAUUUUAAAAUUCCUGUCAAAGUUUCUAAAUAUAUUAAUGAACUAUGCUUUAGUCUUAAGACUUCUCUCAAAAGAAUUUCCGAACUGAAAAAAGAAAACUCAGCUCUAAAACAAAAGGAAAAUGUUUUAGCAGAAAGAGUUAAAAGUCUAGACUUAUCUGUCUCCAAUCUUAAAGAAAAUGAAGAUAAUCUUUUAAAAGAAAAUGCUUUUUUAAAAACAGACUUAUCUAAUAUAUCAAAGAAAUUUUCUAUAGGGUCUGAAAAACUUGAGAAAAUUCUUUCAGCACAAAGACCUUACUUCAAUAAGUCUGGUCUAGGUAUGACAGAAGAAACAAUCCCCUUGAUUGAUUUUCCUAAAGUAAAAGAAAGAAUUAAGAAAAGACUCUCGAGUGAGGUUUACAAAAAUCACUUCAAGAAAGUUUUUGUAAAACCUGUAGGUAGAAAUGCUCUCAGAUGUUCUAAGUGCAACAGUCCGGAUCACUUUGAAAAAGAGUGUCCUAUGGUAUGGAAACCUGUUAAGAAAGUAUGGGCUAAUACUGUUUAUCUUACUAACACCAAAGGACCCAAGAAAAUUUGGGUACCAAAGAAAGCUUGAGACUUUAUUUUAAAUGCAGGUCUCCGUCAAGAAACAGGUAAAGUGGUAUCUUGACAGUGGAUGCUCAAGACACAUGACAGGAGACUCAAAUUGCUUUAUAAAUAUUGCUCAAGUAAAUGGUGGAAAAGUUUCAUUUGGAGGAAACAGCAAAGGAAGUAUUGUGGGAUUUGGAACCGUGAAAAUUGGAACUCUCACAAUAAGUAAUGUUUCCUUAGUGGAAGGACUCAAUUACAAUCUUCUCAGCAUUAGUCAAUUGUGUGAUACUGGUUUCAAGAUCUUCUUUCAAGAAGGAACAUGUUCUGGAAUCAGUAAAGACUCUACUCAGUCUUUCAUGGGUCGAAGACAUGGAAAUAUCUAUCUUCUGGAUGUGAAACCAAAUGAAUCGCAAUGCCUUAUCUCAAUUCAAGACGAAGCAAGCUUAUGGCACAAAAAGCUUGGUCAUGUCAACAUGAAGCAAUUAGCCAAAAUUUCUUCAAAACAGCUUGUUCGAGGACUACCCAGAUUGUCAUACCAAAAGACUGAUUCAUGCACUCCAUGUAUUCUGGGAAAGCAGUUGCUGCAUAUGGAUCUCUUCGGACCAACCAGAACUCAAAGUAUUGGGGGUAAGAAGUAUUGCCUAGUAAUUGUUGAUGAUUACUCCCGUUUUACUUGGGUAUAUUUCCUUGCAAGUAAGUCCGAAACCUUUUCGUAUUUUGAAAAAUUUGCUAAAUUGGUUCAAAAUGAAAAAGGAUGUGUUAUCUCUAGUAUAAGAACAGAUCAUGGAGGUGAAUUUGAAAAUCAAGAUUUUACAAAAUUCUGUGAUGAAUCUGGCUGUAAGCAUGUGUUUCCCUCUCCAUAUACUCCUCAGCAAAAUGGAGUUGUGGAAAGAAAGAACAGAUCUCUUCAAGAAAUGGCUAGAACUCUUUUAAUUGAAAGUAAAAUUUCUUCUCGAUUUUGGGCUGAAGCUGUUUCAACAGCUUGCUAUAUCAUCAAUAGAGUCUUCUUAAGAUCUAUUCUUCAGAAAACCCCUUAUGAGUUAUUCAAAGAAAAGAAGCCUAUUGUUUCAUACUUUCAUGUAUUUGGUUGCAAAUGUUUUAUACUGAAAAAUGCAAAAGAUCGAGUUGGUAAGUUUGAAGAAAGAUCAGAUGAAGGUAUCUUCCUUGGAUAUUCUACAUCGAGCAAAGCCUUCAAAGUCUAUAACAAGAAGAGCCAGUCUGUGGAGGAGUCAAUGAAUGUCAAAUUUCAAGACUCAACACAAGAUGAAUCAAGUCAGACUCAUCAAGAAGAGUCUGAACCUGCUCCAGAUCUUCCAAAGCUUACAACUCAAGAAGCAUCUCAGACUCUGGAAAACCAGAAUAAGGAUGUUCGUGAAGAUUCAGUCAAAGAGAGAGAUCAUCAAUUAGACAAAUCAACAAGUAACUGGAAGCAUAAGUCCAGUCAUCCCAAAGAUCUUAUAAUCGGCGAAAUAAAUGAAGGAAUUCGCACCAGAUCCAAAAGGCGAGAAGAGUCUAGUGCUGUGGCACUCGUUUCUGAAAUUGAACCAAAGAGCAUAGAAGAAGCUUUAUCUGAUGAAAGCUGGAUUGAAGCUAUGCAAGAAGAGCUCAGACAGUUCAGCAUAAAUGAUGUCUGGGAAUUGACAUCCAAACCAAAAGGUAAAACUGUUAUUGGAGCUAAAUGGGUUUUCAGAAACAAGAUGAACAAGAAAGGAAAAGUCGUACGAAAUAAAGCAAUACUCGUGGCCAAGGGAUAUACACAAGAAGAAGGAAUAGACUAUGAUGAGACUUACGCUCCAGUGGCAAGGUUAGAAGCUAUUCGACUAUUACUUGCGUUUGCUUGUUAUAAGAAUUUCAGGUUAUUCCAAAUGGACGUCAAAAGCGCCUUCCUAAAUGGAUUUAUCCAUGAGGAAGUUUAUGUGGAACAACCACUAGGGUUUGAAGACCCAAAGAAGCCAGACUCAGUCUUCAGACUGAAAAAGGCUUUGUAUGGUUUAAAGCAAGCACCUCGGGCUUGGUACGACAGAUUAAUCUUUGCAAGAAAUUUUCAAAGUCUAUGCAGGAUGAGUUUGAAAUGAGUAUGAUGGGAGAGUUAACAUUCUUUCUUGGUCUUCAAGUAAAACAAUUGAAGGAAUGAACCUUUAUUUAUCAAGAAAAAUAUGUUAAUGAUCUUGUCAAAAGGUUUGGAUUGGAAAAGUGCAAAAAGGUCGACAUACCAAUGUCAAGUUCUUUAAAGAUAGACAAAGAUGAAGAAGGGAAGAAAGUUGAUCAAAAGCUGUACAGGAGCAUUAUUGGAUCACUUCUUUAUCUUACUGCCUCUAGACCUGAUAUUUUGUUGAGUGUUUGCAUCUGUGCUAGGUUUCAAUCAGAUCCUAGAGAAUCUCAUCUCAGUACUGCGAAACGCAUCAUUAAAUACGUUGCUUCAUCAUCAAGCAUCGGUCUUUGGUAUCCUAAGAAGGGAGACUUUAAUCUUCUGGGAUAUUCAGACGCAGAUCUGGCCGGUUGCAGAGUUGAUAGAAAGAGCACUUCAGGAACUUGCCAGUUGCUUGGAAGCAGGACAGUGUCUUGGUUUUCAAGGAAACAAAGCACUGUGUCUCUUUCAACAACAGAAGCAGAGUAUGUAGCUCUUGGAAGCUACUGUUCGCAAAUUCUAUGGAUAAAACAACAGCUAAGAGAUUUUGAAAUUGAAGACUCAUGCACGGAGAUUAAUUGCGACAACACCAGCGCUAUCAACCUCACCAAAAAUCCUAUUCUCCACUCAAGAGCAAAGCAUAUAGAGAUUCGACAUCACUUUAUUAGAGAUCAUGUUCAAAAUGGAGAUGUUUCAAUUCAAUUUGUUGACUCAAAGAAUCAACUGGCUGAUAUACUCACAAAGCCUUUGGAGAAAAAUCAAUUUGAGUCUAUACGGUCCAGACUCAACAUUUUGAGGUAUGAGGAUAUCAAAGUCUAAAGACUGUCAGACUCAGGCUUACAAGACUUUAUCUACUGUCUUGGCUCGACCUUCAGACUGUAAGUCUUUCUCUCUCCAAUCUUAUCUUGAAAAGGUACGAUCAUCAGGCUAUGUUUAAAUUGUUGCUAUAUUUAAUUAACGUAAAUAUUGCAUCGAUUCAUUUUCAAAAGGGAAGUUAUUUUUGAAAUAACUAUUUUUGUGGAUAAAGACAGUUAUUUUGAAAAGGCAUAUUUUUAUUUCCUUUGUGACGGUUCGUUUACUCUUCUUUUUAACCGAUUGUGCACUGUCGAUUUCUCUUCACUUUUCUAUUCACUUUUCUCUCAAAAACUCUAGAAAGCAUCGAUCCUCAAUUCCCGUUUGUCUUCUUCGCUCAAUCUUCAAAAAGUUGUCAUCUUUUCUAGGAAAGUCAAGCAAGGAAUCUUCCAAACACUGAGAAAGAUGUCAUCUUCACGAAAGUCCUCAAGAAUCGCAAGCAGGGGACCACGGAGAAUGAGUGAGGGGCCUACGCACUUCGAUCUUACUGAAGAUGAAGUUACUCCAGAUCAGCAACCGAGCCCACAACAUUCUCAGCAGCGUCAGUCUCCUCCAUCUAGUCCUCAAGGCGGUGUUCAUCAGCAUCAAGAAGAAAUCAUCGAGGAUGCAGACCCAGUAAGAGUUCAAAAGCCCGCUUUUAUUUACAAGCUAUAUCGUGCCUUAAAAGGAAUUCGUACUCUUUUGAACUAUGUUGAUGAGUUUCUAAGAGACAAAGGAUAUAGGAACGAAUAUAUCUUUCUGCGAAAAAUGGAAAGUUUGGGAAUCGCUCGUAAAGGGGUGGCUGAGGAAACCCUUGCGAAUAUCCCAAGUGAUCCUCGUGACUGGGGACCGAAUCCUGUAGAUGGGAAUGACGAUGACAAUCUGUUCAGUUUAUUUCAACCGAAAAUGGGUAUUGCGGCUGAAAUUCAAGGAAAAAGGGGAGAUUUGUUCAGAUCAAAGGAACAAAAGGAUCUGUACUCGAAAUUACUGAAGCGUGGGGUAAUAAACCCUAGGAGUGUGGACUUUGAUUUUCUGGAUGCUGUGAAAGUGAACUUGAGGGAAAAGUUCAGUUAUCUUCAACUUGAAAAGUUUUGCUCUGACUCAACUGAGGCUUAUGCUGAAUUGACUGCAUAUUUCUAUUCAAAUCUUAGCUUUUUGGAUGCGAAUAGAUUCUCCUUCAGUGUUAAAGAACAAGACUAUGUUGUGGAUAUGAAUAUGCUGGCAGAUGUGUUAGAAGUUGAGAGAGGCAGAUAUCAACCAAUUAAAGUUUCCAUUGCUCGGGCCACACUUGAACUGGUGAAGGACAGGAGAACAGAUGAGAAGAUAACCUACUCACGGAUGAAUGCAUUCAACAUCUUGCUUCACAAGAUUGUGAUCAAUUGCCUUCGGCCGAAAUCAACUUCCAAAACUGAUGUUUCAAGCUCUGAGGCAAAGUUGAUGUAUGUCAUCCUCUGUGGAAAGCAGUUCUCUCUCCCUCAUACUGUUAUGUGCCACAUGUAUAGAGUAGUGAUGAAGGACAGAGGUCAACUCCCUUACCCAAGCCUUGUUACGAAGUUAUUCAGACAUCUGAAUAUUCAGCCUCCGCAAAUCUUUUGUGUUCGAUCAUGCGAUCAUAUGGUGGUAGGACUGAAAAUGGUGACCAAAAUGCGUCUGAAGGAACUGAGCAAGGAAUUGGAGAAAUUCAAGGAGAAGACUCCUGCCAAAUCUCAUCAACUCUCUUCUGCUGCUAAGAGAAAAGGGAAGGAGCCCAUGGCUGCGUCAUCAAAGAGAAGAAGAGCUCUCCUCGUUGAGGAUGAAGAUGAUGACGAAGACAUCACCAUCUCUGCAAUGGCUUUGAAGAAUUUAAGUCGUCCUGUUCCACAGAAAGAAUCGGAACAAAAGACGAAAGAAGCAGAGGAGAAGGAAGAAGAAGAAAGAGAAGCAAAGGAGAAGGAAGAAGAAGAAAGAGAAGCAGAGCAAGAAGCAGAGAAAGAAAGACCUGAAGAAGAAAGAAGAGAAGAAGGAGAACCUGAGGAAAUCUCUUCUCCACCUGUAGGCAUGGAAAUAGGGGGAGAUCAGGAGAAAAGAGUGACGUCUUCAUAUCCUGAUGCAAGUGAAGGAGUCAGUCGCUCGCCUGCAGACCCAGAAGAUGUUUAUGCAUCCCUGCAGACCCAGAAGAUGUUUAUGCAUCUCAGUUUCUAGAGGAAGGUCAUGAAGCUUCAUCGCCAAAUCUGCAAGAUUAUGCUGAUCUACCAUCUUCUGUAGAUCGAGCCGAAGCAAGUACUCAGACUGAUAAUGGAGCAGAUUUUUGCAGAAUCAUGGAUAUUCUCUUGGAGAUGAAAGGUCAGAUUUAUGCCUUGGGAUGCGAAGUUCAAAGUUUAAAGAAUGAAAGUCAAGCUUCUUCCUGUUCAUUGAAUGAUAAGAUGCAAGCCCUCUCUAUUCAGAAUCAGGCCAAUGCCAAGAGUGAGGAGGUUGUACAGCUGAAGGAAGACUUUAAAAGGCUGGAAGGCAUCGUUCAGUCUAUGGAAGAUUUCCAGCUUGUCCGCAUUCCCAAGACUUCAUCUCAUCCUUUUUAAUGAUGACAAAAAGGGGGAGAGAUGCAUGAUUUGAUAAAAAAAACUUUCAAUCAUUUUUUAACUGUUUGUUGGAUUGUGUUGUUGUUUAACUGUUUUUGACAAGACUUUGACUUUGUUUUGUGUCUGGAUGAGAUCUGAACUAGACUUGGACUUGACUGCUUCUAUUAACAAGUAUUGAUAUCUUAUGGAUGGUUUUAUUAUAUACUAGACUAACCUAUUUUCUGUGGUUGCAGAUUCUAGUGUUAAUCUUUUAGCCAUUCAUCUCUAUAAGAUAUGCAUAUGUGUUUGAGAAAUGUUUUGCAGGUCAAAGUUAUCCAAAUCUGCAGGAAGGUUUUGUCACCAUCAAAAAGGGGGAGAUUGUUGGAGAAAUCUUCGUGAAGUGUUUUGAAGUUGACAAAACGUUUCCAUCAGUCUAGUCUGAAGGUCUGCAGACUCUGUUAGUUAAAGUCUGAAGACUUCCAGACAGCCAGACUCAAGACUCAAAGUCUAUCCUCAUUGACAGUCUCUAAUCCGUUGAAGAAAGGUUAUCCAAAACUGGAUGUUUUGUUCAGGAUUUAACCUUAUCAUCUGGAGAAGAUCUCGUGGUUGGAGAAGACGUAUAAGAAUCCUUUGAUUGAUCAAGAUUGAUUCAAUGACUGAAGAUUUGAUGAUUGUCUAAAUAUUAUUGGAAGGUUCUACUUAUGGAAACCGAGAUCCUGAUUGUAUGGGCGAACAGGAUUGAUGGGCUAUCAACACGUUCCUUUAAUAGCUCGAACAAUCUUCCUAAUUGAUUCCGUCCAACGGGUAGAUUGGAGGAAUUCCUUUGGUAAGUGCCAACGGGUAUGAUGGCAUAAAGGAGUAUAUAAGGAAGACGUUCUUAGUUGUUCGAGGUGUGCGCGAUAGAAGAAUUCCAAAGUCUGAAGCUCCUAUUUGUUUAGAUAAAUCCUUUGAGCGAAUACUUGUAUACAAAAGAGAGUCUAUAUUUGUGAGAGACCUUGAGGAGGUGUGGUAAAACAUCUACACUGUGGAAUCAAGGCAAAGCUGUGCUGUAACUUCUCUUUUGAUCAUAGUGAAAUCCAGCCGGUGGGCUGUCAGUGCGGAAGAGUGGACGUAGGCUUGGAAUAAGCCGAACCACUAUAAAUCAUGUGUUCAAUUUUCUCUUCCUCACUCUCUCUACCUUAAUCGUAUUUCUUUUUGUUAAUUAGGAGAGAAUUUACUUUCUAUCAUACGUUAAGAAUCGCUUCCGUAUAUCGAUAAAUUGUUUAGGCACCUAUUCACCCCCCUUUAGGUACUCAUACUAGCAAUAUCAUUUUGCACUACGAACCGAGCCAGUAAUUUGAUCUCACAAGGCUUUAAUUUUCUCUCCUGCUCAAGAAUGUUUCAUUACAUAGAUCUUGAUCAUGUUUGUCCAUUUUGCUUUUGAUGUUUAAUUCAUCUGUCGUUGCAGCUAUUUAAUAACGAGAAGUUCCACAAGGAAGUGAUAGCAAGGACACCGAUCGGUCGCACCGGAGAACCGAUGAAAGUGCCGUCGUUGGUGGGAUUCUUGUCCAUGCCGGUAGCCUCUUAUAUAAUGGGGCAAACCAUUUGUGUUGAUGAGGAUUCGCCGUGAAUGGUUUCUUAUUUCCUAUGUAACGUGAGUCCAACUUUCUUCUUCCCAUAAGAAGUUCAGCAUUCUUAGUCAUCGCAAGGACAAAGAACCUAUAAUGGCGAAAUCUCUGAACAUUGAUGUAUCCAUUUCGCCAGUGGCCGGCGAGGCGACCUCCUCAACGGGAGGAUCUACGGGUGGCUAUCCCUCUCUCUCUCUCUCUCUCUCUCUCGUUUGAAGUUGUGAGCGCUCGCUUGGAACCGUUCUCUCUCUCCGCCUCAAUCCAUGCCUUGCGAUUGCGCCUCCGAAGUGCGAGCAAGCUCGUAGCUUCUGAUCGCCGCCGCAUUGUGGACGGCGAGCGAGGAGCCUCGCUGACCACUGGUGAGGUCAACCCCUCGCCUUGGCUGGGCGAGGCCUUGCCGGAUCUGGCGAGGCCUCGCCCUCGCCAUUGGCCGGCGAGGCUGACCUCGCCAGAUCUAGUAGGGCCUCGCCCUCACCGGCCCUUGCCUCCGCCCAGUGGGGGUGAGCCUCGCCAUUGGCCGGCGAGGCUGACCAUGCCAGCCCUCGCCUCUGGCCGGCCAGGAGGCGAAGAAGAUGAUGGAAAAAAAAAGAAUUAAAAAAUUCCAAAAAAGUAUUAAAAAUUCGAAAAAAAAAUUAAAAAAAAUUAAAAAAUGUCACGUUAGCGUUCACUGGUCCAUGUCAGCGUCAGCCGGCCAAUUUUUGCCAGAUGGACUGAAUUGACACAAUUAUAAAAGGUUUAGGACUAAAUUGGCAAAAAAAAAGUUUAGGACUGAAUCUUACAAAAGCUUUGACUGAGAUAAUUGUAUACGGUACCAUUAUUAUCGUGCCACAGGCACAGGUUCAUCGCUAGUUAGCAGAUAUAAAAUUAGUUUGAUUGGCAAAUUUUUACGGCCUCUUUAUACCAGUUACACAAAGUUUUGCCGCUAGUUAGCAUAUAUAAAAUUGGUUUGUGAAAAGCUCAAGUGUCUUAUUUUUAUGAGCAGUGUUUUGUUUCAGAUCAUAUGGAUUUUAGGUCAAGUGCAUAUCAAAGAGAGCACAUAUCUCUUAUAGUUCAAGUUGGGUCAAGUAAUGAGGAAAUCCGAUUAGGUCCAUUAACACUUCUAGUUGGUAUGAGUUAGGAAGAGUCCACGUUAAGUUUUUGAAAAUAAUGCUUCAGCUUUUCUUUUGAUGGUUUAUCUUUGGGAAAGUCACAGCACUAUCAUAUUACUCACGUUGCACUACGGUCACGAACAUUGGCAUUAUAUGACAUCUGUAUGAAUAAUAACUAUCAUUUAAAAAAUUACCAGAUUGUUCGAUGUGUAACUUGAAAAACAUGAGUCGACGUGGUGCUUUCGGCGAAAGGCAGGCGUGGGGACAUGCGUGCUUCCAUGAUUGAAUGCAAAUCCGUCAAGGGGCCCUGAAUCUUGUCAUCGCCUUUGUUCUCCCACUAGGUAGACUUCAAGGACCUUAUGCAAGGAGUGGCUCCCAGUUCCCACUAUUAUAGAUGAAGUCAAAUAUUUGUUUUUAGGGGCUUUUUUUGUCUUUUCUAUUAGAUUUCCUUUUAGCGAUGGCAAAACCCUAGCUGUCAAGACGCUGAAAAAGAAAAUAGAGAGACAAGAAAAAGAGAGAAGAAAAAAGUGAGUUUUUUUCUUGAUGAGGGUUCUCAAUCUCUUUAUGCCCUGAUCUUGAGAGAAGAUCGUCGUUGUAUUCCAACUUUUUCGAAGUCUAAUGGAUUUGCAGAGUGCCUCUGUGCAGAGACGUAACCUAGGUUUGGGUGAACUUCGAUAACAAAUUUUCUGGCGUGUUCAUCUAAUUCUGCUCUUUUAUUACUAUAUUAUGUCUGGUGAAUUGUUUGCGAGCGUUAUUUUUCUAGAAUCGACGUGUGAUUUCGUAACAACUUGUAUCAGAGCUUGGGUUGCCUAAUCGAGAACAUCGAGGGUUUUUCAGUGACGUUCGAUUGAAAGCAAACAGAAUGGCAGAAGAUAAAAUCAGAAUCGAUAAGUUCAAUGGGGAGGACUUCGGAUGGUGGAAACUAAAAAUAGAGAAUUAUCUUUAUCAAAAAGAUCUCUAUGCACCACUUGAGGGUUGGAAACCCGAGAUGGCAGAAGUGGAUCCGAUAGCAGAAGCCGGAUGGAAAAUUCUUGAUCGAAAAGCAUUAGGUGCGAUUCAUCUAGGGUUGACAAAAAAGACAGGGUACCACAUCACGAAAGCAAAAACUGCAAAAGAAGCCAUGGAUAUUCUAACGAAUAUUUAUGAGAAGCCGUCCACAUCAAAUCAGGUAUUUUUGCUGAAGAAAAUGGUUAAUAUGAAAUUAUCUGAUAGAGGUUUUGUGGCAGAGCAUAUUAAUAGUUUCACGCAGGUCAUGGGUCAAUUGGAAUCUGCAAGCAUAAAUUUAGAUAUGAAGCUUCAAGCUUUAUUAUUUUUAUGUUCUCUUCCAGAAAGCUACAAUACUGCAAUGCAGGGAAUUUCGAGCACCAUGAAGGAUGAUUUAACUCUUGAUGAUACUGUGAGUAGUAUAAUUUUUCUGUGGAUAUAAUUUUUCUGCAUCUACAUCUUCAACGGCACUCGCAGUGGAGAACCAUGGAAGAAGUAAAAGUAGAGAAAAUUUCAGCGGUCAUGGCAGAUCACAAUCAAAGGGUAAGAGACAGGUUGCAAAAGAUGAGUGUUGGUUUUGUCACAAAACCGGAUACCGGAGGUUUUAGCGUGGAGCCUACAAAAAGAAGCAGCAAGAUGAGAAUUAAGGUGCUAAUGUAGUUAGCGAUGAAUCUUUGCUAGAUAACUUGUGUUUGUCUGUAGGGUUUGACUUGACAAUAGAUAAAUGGUUUAUUGAUUCUGGCGCUUCUUUUCAUUGCACCUCGCAAAGAGACAUAUUUGAUGAUUAUGCCAGUGGAGAUUUUGGACAAGUGGUUGUGGGAAACGGCCACAUGUGUCCAAUUGUUGGGAAAUGAACCGUGACUAUGAACAUCUCAGGUGGAGAACGUCUAGUUUUGCGUGAAACUAGGCAUAUUCCGGAAUUAAAGAAAAAUCUAAUUUCAACCAGUAAACUUGACCAAGAAGGUUUGGUAAUAACCUCUGGCUGCGAAGAGUGGAAGAUAACCUCAGGGGUAAGAGUAGUAGCAAAGGGAAAGCGUACAGGUACAGUUUACCUUCUCCAAGGAGACAAUAUCAGUGAUAUGGUUGCAACUACAAUGGCUACAGGUAAUUUAUCUACUCAUUGGCAUUAUCGUUUGGGACAUCUUGGUGAAAAAUGUGUAAAGCAGUUACACUCGAGAAAAUUACUCCCAUGUUUGCAAAAAGUUGAGUUAGAUUUUUGUGAGAGUUGCAUUUAUAGAAAACAGAAGGCUGUUAGUUUUCAAUUGAAUAGGCGACAAAAUAAAGGCCAGAAGCUAGAGUUGGUUCAUACUGAUAUAUGGGGACCUACUCAGGAACUCUCUUAUGGUGGUAAGAGAUAUUUUGUUACAUUCAUUGAUGAUGCAACAAGGAAGACUUGGGUCUAUGCUCUUAGAGAAAAGUCAAAAGUAUUUGGGAUGUUCAGAAUGUGGAAGACCAUAGUAGAAAAAGAAACAGGUUAUCAUAUUAAAGCUCUGAAGUCUGAUAAUGGUGGUGAAUACACAAAUAAAGAAUUUGCAGAAUAUUUGAGUCGAGAAGGCAUACACGCGCUAAAGACUGUUCCUAAAACUCCUCAAGAGAACGGUAUAGCUGAAAGAAUGAACAGAACUAUUCUAGAACGUGCGAGAUGCAUGAGAUUACACGCUGGUCUCCCGCUACACUUAUGGGUUGCCACAGUUGAUACAGCUGUUUAUCUUAUCAACAGAAGUCCAUCUAGUGUGUUAGAUGGAGAAAUACCACAAGAGCGGUGGUCAGGUAAAAAGAUUAAUUAUUCACAUCUAAAGGUGUUUGGUUGUAUUGCAUAUGCUUUGUUUGAUAAGGAGUAUAGGAAAAAACUUGAUGCUAAGUCCCAGAAGUGCGUCUUUAUUGGAUACGGUGGCGACGAGUAUGGUUAUAGGCUUUGGGAUUAUGAGAAUAACAAAGUCAUCCGCAGUCGCAAUGUGGUAUUCCAUGAAGAAAAGAUGUACAAGGAUCGUCAGACAGAGACAGAGCAUGAGAAGGUAGUACAACCAGAAUAUGUUGAAUUAGACACGAUGUCCGUGAAGAUGUUUCCAGUAGAUCAAAGCUCACCUAAAAGAGAGGUUGAAGAUGAGCCUAUUAUUAGUGAAGAGGUAAUUCAAGAAGAACGCAAUGAUUCGGAGCAAACGAAUGACCCUGAAGUACCUGUCUUGAGAAGGUCUACACGUGUGAGAAAGCUAAAGGUAAUUUUUGAUCCAUCAACUAAUACUGUUCUGAGCCAUGUCUUAUCUACAGAUUCGGGAGAACCGGAAACUUACGAUGAGGAGAAGGCAGACACGUCUCACUUGCAGUGGGAGUGUGCUAUGAAAGACGAGAUGAGCUCAUUAUUUCAAAACAAAACUUGGGAGUUGACCAAGUUGCCCACGGGUAAAAAAGCUUUAUUAAACAAAUGGGUGUACAGGGUUAAGAAUGAAGUAGAUGGUAGUAUUAGAUACAAGGCGAGACUUGUAGUCAAGGGCUUUUCUCAAAAAGAAGGGAUCGACUACUUCGAGAUAUUUUCACCUAUAGUGAAAAUGACAUCAAUUAGAGUUCUGCUGAGUAUAGUUGCAGUGGAGGAUCUUCAUAUUGAGCAAUUAGAUGUAAAAAUAGCGUUUUUACACGGUGACUUAGAUGAAGAACUAUACAUGGCACGGCCUAAAGGUUUUGAAGUCAAAGGUAAGGAGCACAUGGUAUGUCGCUUGAAGAAAAGCUUGUAUGGCUUGAAACAAGCUCCGUGGCAAUGGUACCUAAAAUUUAAUGGUUUCAUGCCAAAAAAAAAAAGGAUUUGCACACUGUGAGUCUGAUCACUGUGUUUAUUUUCGCAAAUAUGAUGUUGGUGACAUUGUGUAUCUCUCUUUAUAUGUGGAUGACAUGCUGGUGGCUAGUUCUAAUAUGAAGAGAAUCGUAGAAGUGAAAAAGAUGUUAUCAUUACAGUUUACUAUGAAAGACUUGGGAGAAGCCAGGAAUAUUUUAGGCAUGAAAAUCAUCAGGGACAGGAAAAAUAAGAAAUUAUGGUUGUCGCAGGAAGACUAUGUGAACAAGGUGUUAAAGAGAUUUAACAUGGACAAGGCAAAACCGGUUGCAACUCCUCUAGCGAGUCACUUCAAACUUUAUAAGGAUAUGUGUCUAAGCACUCAGGCUUUGAAAGAUGAGAUGGCGGUAGUUCCAUAUGCAUCAGCAGUUGGGAGUUUGAUGUAUGCCAUGGUGAGCACGAGACCAGACAUUGCACAUGCAGUGGGAGUUGUGAGUCGAUAUAUGCAAAACCCAGGUAGAGAGCAUUGGAAUGCAGUUAAAUGGAUAUUGAGAUAUCUAGCAGGUACUUCUAAUUACUCACUUUGUUAUGGUGGUACAUCUCUAGAGUUGUAGGGUUAUGUAGAUGCAAAUCAUUCGGGUGAUCGAGAUAGUGGUAAGAGUACCACUGGAUAUGUUGUAGGUACAAUAGUGAGUUGGGUAUCUCAACUACAAAAAGUAGUGGCUUUAUCGACAACAGAGGUAGAAUACAUGGCUAUCACAGAAGCCUCCAAGAAAAUCACGUGGUUACAAGAUUAUAUGGAGUUACAUCGAAAACAGCAAGUUAGUACACUUUGGAGUGAUAGUCAAAGUGCGGUGCACUUAGCAAAGAAUGCAGCUUAUCACUCACGGACUAGACAUAUCAAGAAGCCUUAUCACUUUAUCAGGUCAGCAUUGAAAGAUAAUGAGUUAAAGUUACAGAAGAUUGAUGGCUCGAAGAAUCCAACUGACAUGAUGACCAAGGUAGUAGACAAAGAGAAGCAUAUUUUCUGUACUACUACCAUUGGUAUUACUCCAUGCUGAUUGAUGAGGAGUAUCGCAGAGGCACAAGUUUUUCAACUACUAUUUCUUGAAGAAGAUGGAUGCAAAGUUGCUUGACGCUUGGGUAUAUUUGUCUUCGAGCGGGAGAUUGUUAUAGAUGAAGUCAAAUAUUUGUUUUUAGGGGCUUUUUUGUCUUUUCUAUUAGAUUUCAUUUUAGGUUAAAAGUGGUAUCUUUAUAUUAGCAAUGGCAAAACCCUAGCUGUCAAGACGCUGAAAAUGGAAAUAGAGAGAUAAAAAAAAGAGAGAAGAAAAAAGUGAGUUUUUUUCUUGAUGAGGGUUCUCAAUCUCUUUGUGCCCUGAUUUUGAGAGAAGAUCGUUGUUGUAUUACAACUUUUUCGAAGUCUAGUGGAUUCGUAGAGUGCCUCUGUGUGGAGACGUAGCUCAAGUUUUGGUGAACUUCGAUAACAAAUUUUAUGGUGUGUUCAUCUGAUUAUGCUUUUUUAUUACUAUAUUAUGUCUGGUGAAUUGUUUGCGAGCGUUAUUUUUCUGGAAUCGACGUGCGAUUUCGUAACACCCACGUGGCGUGAGGAUCUCGAUCAGGAAUCCCCUCUGCCAAACGAUAACUCUUGAUCAGGCAUUGGACAGAAGGGCUUAUAUAAUACAGGGGGAAGUCAGGGAGAAAAGCACAAAGAAAGAGUUGGGAGUAAAAAUCAAAUUUUAGAGAAAGAGAGAGGGAGAAUGGCUUCCGAGGGGAAGAGGACUGCAAGUACAUGUCGCACUCGCAACGGCGACAACGACAAUAGGUGGUCGCUUCAGGGAAUGACUGCUCUCGUCACCGGCGGUAGUAAAGGAAUUGGGUCUCUCUCUCUCUCUCUCUCUCUCUCUCUCUCUCUCUCUCUCUCUCUCUCUCUCUCUUUCUCUCUCAGACUCACCGAACACUUCCUUUUUUAUGUUGUUCAUUUAGAUGAUCGAUCAACUGUCAUGGUUUAGGUUAAGAAAAAAAAAACAUCAUAAUUUAGGCAUUUGAAGACAGUCAAUCCUGUGCCUAUGGCAAUCACACUAAUUUUAUAUGUUAACUAAAGACCAACUUGCAGCAAAUCUCAACCGUCCACGUAAAAUUAGUGAAUUGAUCUCGUAAUGACCAAUGGAUGAAGUUGGGAGGAAGGUAAGGUUGCAUUUGUGUUUUAGAGUAUGUACUUAAACUUAUAUGACUACUGAUUAGGGUGCUUAAAAUAAAUUAUUUGUUUUUACAAUUUCCAUUUUGUGUGUGUGUGUUUUUUAAAUUUUGGAAUAUCUAUUAUAGCAAAAUGGGUAUAGUUGCCAACUUAGGACUAUCCGGGUCCGAAAAAUUCAAGUCAGGCAUGUCAGAUAGGGCUUUCAACUAUAGCAGGUGCUUUUGAAUCUGAUUAUAUUCGAUUUCAUAGAUAAAAUGCUAGACAACUAAUUUCAUGAUCAUUCAAAACUUUAUAUGACGAAGAUGAUGAGAGAUCAAUUACUUCGAGGAUUUGUAGCUGGAUAGGCUUGGUUUAUGCAUUUUUUUAUUUAAAGUUUUGUUGUCUUUAGAUGUUAAUAGCUCACAGACAUGUCGCUAGCUAGUAGAAUUUGCAUUCUCCGAUUGUCAUGAUCCAGUGCAUUUAAAGGCUUUAAUCAUCUGUUAGACUUCAAUUGCCUGUGCAAUCAAAUCUUCCGCACAUUCCAAUGUAUNNNNNNNNNNNNNNNNNNNNNNNNNNNNNNNNNNNNNNNNNNNNNNNNNNNNNNNNNNNNNNNNNNNNNNNNNNNNNNNNNNNNNNNNNNNNNNNNNNNNNNNNNNNNNNNNNNNNNNNNNNNNNNNNNNNNNNNNNNNNNNNNNNNNNNNNNNNNNNNNNNNNNNNNNNNNNNNNNNNNNNNNNNNNNNNNNNNNNNNNNNNNNNNNNNNNNNNNNNNNNNNNNNNNNNNNNNNNNNNNNNNNNNNNNNNNNNNNNNNNNNNNNNNNNNNNNNNNNNNNNNNNNNNNNNNNNNNNNNNNNNNNNNNNNNNNNNNNNNNNNNNNNNNNNNNNNNNNNNNNNNNNNNNNNNNNNNNNNNNNNNCGAUUUGUGCUUUUAUUUCGAUAGAUUUUGUCCGCUUUUCAUUUCUGGGAUUGGUUUGUGUGUUAGAUAAACAACGUUGGGACUCUGGGGACAACUGGUGGAAUGCCGACCGUGGAUUACACGGCGGAAGAUUUCUCCUUCAUCAUGACUACUAACUUCGAAUCGGCUUAUCACUUGAGCCAGCUCGCGCAUCCUCUUCUCAAGGCUUCGGGAACCGGAAGCAUCGUGUUCUUGUCAUCCGUCUGCGGUAUUGUUUCACUCAGCGUCGGAUCAAUUUAUUCAGCCACAAAAGGUGAAUUGAUAGUAUCAUGAGCAACUAUUUAAACACUUUUAAUAUGGAGCUAAACAAAUUCCAUAUGUUUCUUACUUUCUCAACUCAUUGUUAGGAGCAAUGAACCAGUUGACCAAGAAUUUGGCGUGCGAAUGGGCUAAGGACAACAUAAGAAGCAACUCUGUUGCACCUUAUUUUAUUCUGACUCCAUUGACCGAGCCUGUAAUUUAAUGUCCCAAGGCUCUAACUUUUCAUCUUGAUCAUUUUUCCCAUCGUGAUCUAACGUUAACCCAUCCGUCGUCGCAGCUACUUUGUAGUGAGGAGUACCAUAAGGAGGCAAUAGCAAGGGCGCCGCUCGGUCGCACAGGAAAGCCGAAGGAGGUGUCGUCACUUGUGGCCUUCUUGUGCUUGCCGGCAGCCUCCUAUAUAACGGGGCAGACCAUUUGUGUCGAUGGAGGAUUCACUGUCAAUGGCUUCUCCUUUCCUAGAGCAUGAGUGUAACUUUCUUCUGUGUCUGAGAUGUUUGUCGUGCAUUGCCGUCGCAGGGAUAAAGAAGUUUAUUAACCAAUAAUGGCAACAUCGCAAUACGCUUCAAUGUGUACGUCGAUCAUUUGUUGACCGCAUAUACGGGAGAGUAUCGUACUCCCACUUUGUAUUCCCUUUCGAGCUCUUUUAUGCAAUUGCCUAUGAGUAAAAUUUACGUACUUGAGAAGCAAUGAUGGAAACAAUAAACAUGAUAUACUACAACAGCAUUAUCCGAGAAUAUAACAUUUUUUGUACACAAGACAAACGAAGUUUGAUUCCCAUAUAUGUUAUAUCUGUUUUCCAUAUACCUAAACGCUAAAUCAUAAAAUCCAAAGUGUAAUUUAUUAUUAAUUCUUAACACGAAAUUGACCAAGUAUGUUUCGUAGAAAUUGUAUUGUCAAAAUCGUCUUUGUAAUGCUAUGUUAAAAAAUGCCUCCUUUUAUAGCACUGCCUAGGUCAAAGAGAUGUUUUAAUUUGAACAUGAGAACCACAGCAUCAAGUGGUUGGCCAAGGUUGCUGGCUACAUUAUUAAUUAUGAUUGAUCGAGAAGGUAUGAAUCGAGAAACUAGAUGCAUUGGAAAUAUAGAACCACUGAAAUUAACAUAUAUAGCUUUAUAUAACCGUAGCAAGGUAGACGUUAUCACUAGCUUCGCCAUCAUAUGAGUGAGAGGUGUGAUGGUGGGAGUAAAAUUCAAUAACGUAGCCUGAAAACAUGCCGGAGAAUUCUUUUUAGUAAUCUAAAAAUAGCAUCAAAUGCCUUGACCCUAUAGGCUCACAGUGUUGAGCUAUGUAGGAGCUUUUGGACGGGCAAUACUGACCACAUAACUCUGGGUUGAUCAAGUCUUAUCUCUAGUUAAAGUAGAGGUGCACGAAAUUUCGGGCCUAAGCUAGAAAAGUCCGGAUCAGAGACGGCUAAUUCAUUUUGAUUCGGGCUAGUGUAAUUAAGGACUAGGCGCAACCUAUAAUCAUUACGAUCAAUUUGUUUUGGAUGGGCCAAGAAAUACACAAGUGCUUGGCCAAGCACAAUCUUACUAUCUCUGAAAUUAUUAUAAAGGAAUGAUAUAUCAAAAUUGACAAUUUUUAAAUGCCUAAAUCAUGAAGUUAUUUUUCUCAACCUAAACCAUAACAAUUAAUCGAUCAUCUAAAUCAACGAAAUAAGAAAAACGAAGUGUUCGGUGAGAGACGGAGAGGGAGAGAGAGAGAGAGAGACCCGAUUCCUUUGGUAUCACCAAUGACCAGAGCGGCCAUUCCCUGAAGCGAUCACCUGUUGUCGUCGUUGCCGUUGCGACUGCUGCAUCUACUUGCAGUCCCCUUCCCCUCACGCCGCAUGUGAAUUGCGAACCACUCCCAACGUAAGGUCAUAGGAGUCUGCCGAGGGUGAGAACUGUGGCAAUGACAAGAUUUAGGACGCCACAACGAUUUCGAACCGCAGAAUUUGCAUUCUAUCAUGGAAGUUGGCAAGUCCCACACCUAUCUUUUAUCAAAGCACCACGUUACUUGUGUUUUCAUGUUACUCGGGUUGAACAUAUUGAACAAUCUUGUAAUUGUUGCACCGAUAGUUAUUCAUACAUUUGUAAUUGGUGCAAUGUAAGUAACAUGAUAGUGUCGCAACUUUCCCAAAUGUGAAUCACCAAAAAGAAAAUUAAUGAAUUACUAAACCCAGAGACUUAGUGCAAACUUUUCCAAUCUCAUACUGAUUGUAUUCUUCGAGUUUUUAAACUUUAAUUAGCAUAACAUGUAAAUUAGUUUAUUUACGAGUCGCCACUCAUCAAUUAUCAGUAGCUCGAUUACACAUGCCAUAUUUUUCGGGUUUUUUAAUUUAAUUAGCAUAACAUGCAAAUUAGGUUAUUCAUGAGUCACCACUCAUCAAUUAUCAGUAGUCGAUUACACACGUAAGCAAAGUAUAGAAGAGUACUUUACUUUUAAGACUAAAAAAUUCAUGGAUAUAGGGACUUGAAUGACAAAUAAAUCUAACACACUUUUAGUAGAUUUUUUUUCUUUAUUUCAAAAAUGUUUUGGAUCAAUUUUAAUUUAAGUCACUAAUAUAGAGGUGAUUAUGCAGGUGCACAAAUAAAAAUUUAACAAUCAAUAAUCAAAGCAAUAAAUAAAUCUUUAGAGAUCGGGCAAAUAUAUGAAUACCUUAAGCAAGUAAAAGCCAAUUAAUUACUAUAGAUAGGAUGUUUUGCAACAUAUUAACUAUAAAAUGCAUGCAUGUCCAUUUCUACAUGUAAUGACAUCUAACGAGAUGUGGACACCGGGAGUGCUAGGACUUGACACUGGGGGACACUUAAGUGCUAAAAGUCCUAAAAGAUAUACUUAAGUGUCAAAAUCGAAGAAAAAUGAAACACUUAAAUGUCAACGGUGAGAAAAUCUGAUCAAAUUGCUGACAUGACCUUCUUUCGACAAGACGAGUGUAAAAUGAUGUUUUUGGCACUAACGUGGCUAGAUAAGUGCAAAACAACAUCUUAUGGUGUUGAUGUAGCUCCAAAAUUGAAUUUUAAUAUAACAUCAAUUAAAAUAAUUAUUUAAAAAAAAAGAUAUACAAUAGCAUUUUAUGAGUCACCCCAUCAUCGCUAAGAGAGGUUGGCGAGGUGGGGUGAGGGUCAACUGAAGUCAUCGGCCCCUGGGCAGUGGCCAACGACCCUAGCCGAUUUUCAACAAGGGCUUGCAGGCCCUCAUUUAGAUAUGAGGUGAGGGUCAUAGCCCUCCCCCAGAUUCGAUAAGGGUUGCCAGCCCUUGCCUAGAGGGGCCAAGGGCCACCAUUGGCCGCAACAACUCUCAUCCUAGAUUUGGGCAAGGGCUUGCCACUGCUUAGGGGCCGAUGACCCCAGCUAACCCUUGUCCUAUCGUUGCCUGCCCUUUCCAGCAAUGGUGGGUGGCGGUGACAAGGCCUUAACCCAAAACUAACCUAUUCCCUCCUCUUCUUCUUCUUCUUCUUCUUCUUUUAAUUUAAAUAAUUUACUUUUUAAUUAAUAUUGAAUUAAUAAAUUUAGGGGCAAAACGAUUGUUAAUAAAUUUAAAUAAUGUCGUUUUGCACCUUCAUUGUUUAAUUGGCUUGCGGCGAACCACAUAAAUCACAUAUAUUAUUAAAAAAAUGCCAAGUUGGAUUUUUGGCUACUUUCACCAAACUUGGCAUUGUGUUUCACUAUUAAAAAAAAGUGGGAUUUAAAUGCACCUUUUGGAAUUUUUAGCACUAAAAUGUUCACUUAUGCCAAGUUUUGGCGUUCUCAAUGUACUUUCUCCAACAUCUAACUAUAAAAAAAAUAUUGAAAAAGUUUACGUUGGUGCCUGACAUAUGUCACAUAGGACUGCCGACAUCCACAUCAAUUAUUUCCAUUCUAAAGUGGUUGAAUAAACUGAAGUGGUACCAAAGUAAAAAGGUUUACGACUAAAGUUUAUAAUUGAAUUUGUACCAAUACAAUAGGUUUAUAAUUUUUUUGGUACCAUUCCCAAUUAUCAAGGUCCCCUUGUUAUGUGGCCAUUGUAUUCGACAUGUUAAUUGCCAGCCUAAUCUUGGUUAAGCGGGCAAUGAUAGUGAUAGCCACCCUCCUAAAGGCAACAUGGAUUCCCCGAGGAAUGUUGACAGAUUGCUAAGCGAGUGUGAAUAGCUACUCUCGCAAGGUGAUACCUUUGCCUAACAUGAGCCCUCCCAAAUUUACCGAACACAACCUAAUUUUUCCAAUAAAUUAUUCAAGCAAUAUUAGACUAAGAAGUUACCACUAACCUAUUAAGUGUCGAGUAGUAACCCAGAUAGGGUGUAGCGGUCAAUCUUACUCCCAAGAACCAAAUUUAAUUAUGCUAUAUGAAUCUAACAUUGUUUUAGUACCCGUCUCUCUAUAAAAUCGUUUUGUCAUAUUAUUGCCUAAAAGUGAUCAUGAAUGGUUCUCAAGCAAUAAAAUAAGCAAUCAGGCAAUAAACAUCAAAUAAUGAAAUAAUAAAUAUCUAGCUAUUAAAUAAAUAACUUGAAUAGCCGAAUUGGGCAAUAAUUAACAAAGCUUUUUUAUAGGCUUCACGGUAAAACCCCAUGUGCUGUAGGUGGAAAGUCUAAAAGUACUCGUGCAAGCUUCCUAAAAUAGACAAUUAUAUCAAAGGAAAGUGAAUAUGCAAAUGUAACAUGCUAUGUAAAGUAAAUAUACCAAAUGAAGUGUUUUUUCGAAAAUGAGCCAUUAAACAUAAGGCUAUAUUUCGAAGCUAGUAUAAAAUUCAAAAUAGGAUAUUAUCAUAUCCUACAUUUGGUGUCGCUCAAGAUAGGAUAUAGUUAAAUAUAAAUGCUAUAGACUGAAUAAUAUUAUCCUAUAGCGAAAGCGGGAUAAAGGUGGAUGUGAUUUCUAACAUCUAUAAUAGGAAAGUUAUUUUUUUCGAAUGAAAAACUUCUUAAAUUAACAAAAUUAUAUUAUAUUUCAAUAUAAAUAAUAUUUGAAUUCUAAUAUAAGAAAUUCAAACUAACAAAAAAUAACAAUUUAUUUAUUUUAAUUUAAUAUUAUUUUAUUUAUAUAAUUUAAUUUAAUUAUAUUUUAUAAUAUAAAUUUCAAUAUAUAUUAUUACAUAUUUUAGGUACUUUAGUAUUUUAGGUAUAUUAGUACAGUUUACUAUUUAAUAACAUUUUAUUAGAGACACACUCGGGUUACUGUUCACUUUCCUCUCCAUUUGGGCGAUUCUGGCACUAUUCACUCCAGCUGGUUUUUUGUGGAUUCUGGUUGAUUCCGCUGGUAUCUGGAGCUGAUUUUUCGUGGGCUAGGUCAUCUGGGGACCGCCUACAAACCCCAGGUAAGCUUGGCUUGGUUGGUUUUCGUUUAUCAAGAUGGGAGCUCUCGAUCAGAAUUUCUGGUGCGCCUAGCUUUUCCCAAUUCUGGUCUCUGUCUUCGUGGGUGGCUUUGACUGAUUGGUGUGCUGAUUGCUGGUGGAUCUCCUUGUCCUUGAAGGCCCUUAAGCCCCUACAAACACCUGGUAUGGCCUGAUUGCUCUCCUUGAUUUAUUCUGGGGUUUGGGCCGGUGCUGUGUUGGGGUACUGUGCUGUUUCGUUAUGGCAUCCUCUUCAAAUCUCCUAAGUCAGUUGGGCCGUCCAAAUGAGGAGUCCCAAGCGGGCUCUAGGCGUGAUAGGAGCCGCCUUAGAUCUGCUUCUCGUGGCCCUAGAGUGGCACGUCCUGCUAGACAAAAAUGGAGUGAGCAGAAAGCUCCUCCAACCCGUUCAUGGGUUAAUGUUGCUAGGCUCUCGACAAAGGGAUAUGAACUUAGCUUCGUGCCUCCAACUUCUGUUGGAAAAAGAGGAGUGGUGCACCUCUCUGAGGAAGUGGUGCAUGCGGCAGAUCCAAAAUGGAAUCAUUGUUUGAUGGGGUAUUUCAUUGGCAAGAAUGUGCCGUUCAAAAUGACUGAGUCAGUCCUUAAGGAGAUGUGGGGCUCCCAUUUAACUGAAAUGCUUGCUGAUGAUGAAGGAUUUUAUUUCUUCUUUAUUCCUGACCCUGAUUACCGCAGGAAGAUUCUUGAGGAAGGUCCAUUGACAGUGAAUAGAGUGCCACUUAUUCUGAAACAAUGGGAUCCCACUCUUGAGCUGAGGAAGGACUUGCAAUCUUCUGUGCCAGUUUGGAUCCGUAUGAAAAACAUACUUUUUGCUUAUUGGUCUGCUCUUGGGAUAAGCCAGAUAGCAAGUGCGGUCGGUAGACCCUUAUAUGUGGACCCAUUGACUAAAAAAAUGAAACGUUUGUCUUUUGCAAGAGUAUGUGUCGAAGUGUCGGCUAAGUUAGAGAAAUGUGAAUCUGUGGAGGUAUUUCUGAAUGGGGAGUCCUUCAUUGUUCCUAUCUUGUACGAAUGGAUACCCAUUGCGUGUCCGAAAUGCCAGGUCUUUGGCCAUAACUGUGAGGAGAAAGAAGUUCCAGCACCCGUAGCAGAUAAGUCCCAUGAUGCUGUUGCUAAGGAAGCUCGAGAUGCUGCUGUGCCUACGGUGCCCCCCUCGAUUCCUCCCGCCCAGCCUCGUAAGGUGUCUUACGCUGACCAGUAGGAUGGCUGGAAGCAGGUAACUCGGAAGAAGAGGCAACCGUCGGGGUCUAAUGGGAAGGACUCUUCGACUCCUAUCUCUUCUUUGAAGUUUAUGGAUAAAUCAUAUUCUUCUCAAGCUUUAAGCAAGUCUGCCCAGAAAAAUAAAGGUGCUUUGAUUCCCAGCCCUACUGGACCUCCUUCCACGAUGGUUCCUGUUGAGCCGAUCCCAGAAUCUGCUUAUAUUGGGUCUGGCUCUACUGCUGAAGAAUCUGAGGAUGUGGCUAGUGCGGUAAGUAGCAGCUCAGAUGAGGAACCUGAUGGUCCUAGUGAAUUGGUUACAAAUGUUAAGCAUUCUGUUGUUUCUGAGGAAGCCCCUGCUAAAAGGAACUCGCCCAAGACUCCGUCUGUCCUAAAGUUGGCCGCCCCUCCUACCCUAGCGUUGGCUGCUCCUCCUGACCCUCCUCAAGGCACUAGCCGAAGGAGAUCACGUCGGUAACUUCUAUUCUCAUCGUAAUACAUUAUAUAGUUAUAUAUAGCUAUGUAUAUUGGAGUUUGGAAUAUUAGGGGACUUGGUACCCAUCUCAAACAAGCUGAAAUCAGAAACUUUGUUAGAUCUCAUAAUCUAUGUUGUGUUGGUAUUGUGGAAACAAAGAUUUCCCAGGGUGCCUUUAGUGCGAUCUCUGCUGUUUUGUUGCCGGGCUGGAAGUGGGAAAACAACUAUAAUCAUUCCUCGAAAGGAAGAAUUUGGGUGGGGUGGAACCCCCGUGAAGUCUUGUUUGUUACGAACUCUUCUUCAGAUCAAGCUAUUCAUGGAAAGUUAUCUUGCUUAAAUUCUGGUAAGGUUCUCUUCCUUACGGUGGUCUAUGCUGAGCAUAGUUUUGUGGCUAGACGUCCUCUUUGGGCUGACAUUAUUCAGACUAGCUCUCUCCUUUCGGGUUUCCCUUGGAUACUAGCAGGAGACUUUAAUGCAAUUCGUGACCCUUCGGAUAGAUUGGGUGGUUCUAAUGGUUGGAUCCCAGCUUUUGAUGAGCUGCGUGAGUGCCUCAUACAAGCUGGUCUUGACGAUCUCAGGUAUACCGGGAAUAGAUUUACUUGGGCUACUUCCAUGGGUGCCAACCGUAAGCAAAGAAAGAUUGAUCGUGUUCUCGUUAAUUCUUGUUGGACUGCUGAAUUUUCCUUUUCUGAGGCCUCUUUCUUGGCCUCUGGCAUUUCAGAUCAUUCUCCAAUGAUUAUUAAGAUUAUGCCUGCCCCUAAGUCUCGCAAGCCUUUCAAGUUCUUCAAUUUCUGGUUUUCUCAUCCGGAUUUUACUGAUGUGGUUUUGCAAGCUUGGAGUUCUCCCUUUGUGGGUUCUCCAAUGUUUAUUCUUUGCUUCAGGCUUCGGCUUCUCAAAUGUAAGUUGAAACAGAUCAACAAGGAGUCCUUCUCGGACUUGUCCUCUAGAACGGCUAAAGCAAGAUGUGCAUUGCUCCAAACCCAAGAUGCUCUUCAGAAUGACUAUUCGAAUAUUCAACUUGCUGAAUUGGAAAAACAACAGCUCCAAUCCUACUCGAAUUUGCUCCUUCAAGAGGAAUCAUUUUAUAGACAAAAGUCUCGGGUGCGGUGGUUGAAAGAAGGUGAUCUUAAUACUAAAUUUUUCCAUAACUCGGUAAACAAGAGACAACUUCACAAUAGAAUUAUCUCGCUCUCCGAUGGGAUUGUUUCUACCUCAAAUCCCUCUGAAGUUCAAAACCUGUUUGUUGACCACUUCCGAGAGUUAUUGGCCUUCUCUCCCCCUGCUACGAGGCCUUCGGUGGAGGAAAUGCGUGCGGUGUUGAAGCACACCCUUGAUGCGGAUCAGGUUCGCUUUAUUUCUAGCCCCAUCUCGGAGACUGAAAUUAAAGAUACUCUAUUCUCUCUUGCGGUGGGUAAGGCCCCUGGCCCUGAUGGAUACAAUGUGGAAUUUUUUAAACAUUCUUGGGAGAUUGUUGGACCUUCUGUUAUUCUGGCAGUGAAAGAUUUCUUUGAGACGGGCAUAUUGUUGCGGGAAAUUAACACAACUAUUUUGGCCCUGGUCCCCAAAGUCCCGAAUGCUUCCAAUGUGAAUGACUUUCGGCCAAUUGCUUGCUGUAACACAUUAUACAAGUGUAUUACCAAGCUUAUUGCUAAUCGGCUCUCUCAGGUGCUACCUUCUAUCAUUAGUCUGCCUCAAAAUGCCUUUGUAAAAGGUAGACACAUCAGUGACAAUAUUUUACUUGCUCAGGAGCUGUUUUGUGGUUUUCACAAUGAUCCUUACCGGCCUAAAUGUGUUAUUAAAGUUGAUUUUAGGAAGGCCUACGAUACGGUGGAUGGAGGUUAUUGAAUUGUGNNNNNNNNNNNNNNNNNNNNNNNNNNNNNNNNNNNNNNNNNNNNNNNNNNNNNNNNNNNNNNNNNNNNNNNNNNNNNNNNNNNNNNNNNNNNNNNNNNNNGAUUUGCAUUCGUACCCCUAAGUUCUCGGUUGCAAUUAAUGGGGAACUCCAUGGGUUCUUUUCAAGUGGGAGGGGUAUUCGUCAGGGUGAUCCCAUGUCGCCGUAUAUUUUUACUCUUGUGAUGGAAGUCUUUACAGGUAUUCUGGACAUUCAAACUUCACAUCCGGACUUUGGUUUUUUCUGGCGUUGCAAGCCCACCCGACUUUCUCAUCUUUUCUUUGUCGAUGAUGUACUACUCUUCGUUGAAGCUAACUUAUCGUCUAUUGAUCUUCUCAAGAAUGGUAUCGAGAAAUUUUCUAGCUAGAGUGGGCUGAUUCCGAAUCUUCGGAAGAGUGAAGUUUUCCUUUCUGGAGGCUCCUCUAACCUUCAUGAGGAUAUCCUCAAUAAGCUAGGCUAUCAGUUGGGCACCUUUCCUUUCCGCUAUCUAGGAGUACCGGUUAUUUCAGCUAGAUUAAGGAAAGCUGACUGUGUCUCCUUGGUUAAUUCAAUCACGGCUCGUGUUCAAUCUUGGACCAAUAGAUUCCUCUCCUUUGCGGGGCGUCUUCAACUUAUAAGGUCGGUGCUUCAUUCUAUACAAGUCUUUUGGGCUAAUGUGUUCUUUCUGCCAUGUUCAGUUCUAAAUCGAAUUGAGCAAAUUUUCCGCCAAUUCUUGUGGAGAGGCCCUGAGAUGGGUGCAAGUGGUGCUAAAGUCUCGUGGUGUAAUGUUUGCCUUCCCAAAAAUGAAGGGGGCUUAGGUAUUCGUACUCUAAGGGAGAACAACAUUGCGUCCAUGCUCAAACAUAUUUGGAUUCUUUUCUCGGAUAAAGAAUCCAUGUGGUGUAAGUGGAUUCAUUCCAAUUUCCUGAAGCGGAAAAAUUUUUGGGUGGGUCCUUGCCCUACUCAUUGCUCUUGGGCCUGGAGGAAGUUAUUAGAUCUUCGUGAUCAAUUUCAGCAAUAUUUCAGAUGGAACAUUGGAAAUGGGAGGUCGGUCUCCUUUUGGUUCGACCCUUGGCACCCAAAUGGUCCUUUAUACAGAUCUUUCUAUCAGAAUUUAUCGCUCGGGUAUAUCCCGCUCUGCUUCGGUUGCUGAUGGUUUUGCUACUCCUAUGGGCUGGUAUAUCAUUAACUUCAUGGCUAAUUGGUGGAAUCCACUUCCGGUAUUCAACCAAGAGGAGGAUCGGUUUCAGUGGCUUCCGCACCCAUCCGAUCACUUCUCCAUUGCUUCUGCCUGGGAUUUGAUCCGUCCGAAUCAUAAUGUCAUCUCGUGGGCUUCUUUUGUUUGGAAUACUGCCUUGCCUCCAAGAUAUCAAACGCAUCUUUGGCUUAUUUCGCGCAAUCGGCUGCCGACUCAGGUUUUGCUCAUCUCUUAUGGUAGGAUCCCCCCUACAAAUUGCCCCCUUUGUUCAUGCAGACCUGAUUCUAUAGAUCAUUUGUUCUUUGCGUGCCGUGCUUCGGAUAGUCUUAUUUCAUUUUGGGCGGCAAGAUUCAACCUAGUGUGGCGAAACAAGCGUUGGGUGGAUAAUUUGGCCUGGGCUUCCAAGCGGUUUAUGGGGAAGAGUUUUUAUCAGAUCCUAGCUCGGUUUAGUUUUGGUGCAAUGUGUUAUAUCAUUUGGAAAGAGCGGAACAAUGUGCUUUUUCGGAAUCAGACUCUCUUUCUUCCAGCGAUGAAAAUGCAUCUUCAGAAGGCUAUCAAAGAUAAGGCUAUGACCUUUAAGCAUGUUCCCAAUGUGCCCAUGAAUAGAAGACUUCAACGAAGCUGGAACAUCCAUCCUUCUAUUUUUGAUUGAUGGAGGUUUUCUAGUUUUUGUUGUCUUUUGUUUCCUUUUGUUGUUGUUGCUCCUUUUUUUCUGGGAACCAUGGCACCCUUACACUCGCUCUAGACUUUUGUCUUCUUGAGUGUCUGUUUUUGUUGGUGCCAGGCCUCCCUCUUGUCUUCUUUCUUGCAAAAUCAAUUUAUUACUUACCUUUACCAAAAAAAAAAAACAUUUUAUUAGAGAAUGAUGGAAGGGCAAGAAAGAAAUAAAAAAGAAAUUAAUUGAUAAAAGAGAGGAAAAUAAAAUAAAAUAAAGUGGGCAAGAGUGGUGCGAGAGUUUUUUACCAUCUCCAUUUGUAAAAUUUGUUUAUUCAUUUAUACUAAUACAAUGUUAAUAUCAAAUAAUGUACAUAAUAUAAUGUGAAUAGAUCCAAUUUGAUUACUGCAAUAACUAAACAGUGUAUAGGAUAUAACAAACUCUAUGGAUUUCAUAUCAUAUCAUAUUCAAUCAUAUCCUAGUUAAAAAAAUUCAAAUGACCAAACAUAAUCUAAAAGAAUGAAUCUACUUAUAUAAUAUGAAUAUGCCCCUGAAUGCACCCUUAUACAUUUUUUUUUUGUGAUUAUUCAAACGAAGAUGCAAUCUAAUUACUAGAAGAAAUUAUAUUUUUUUAUAUUUUUAUUCUAUAACUUGUGAUUAUGGUAACAAACAUAUGAAUAUGCCAAUAGAAUAAUACUUCAAUUUGACAAAUUUAGCCAUAAAUUUUUCAAUAUUUUAACAAUGUAAUCCAAGGCCGAUUAUCAUUGAAGUAGAUGUGAGGCAUUUUAUGUGGUAUGGUGAGUUUUGAUGUAGAUAAUUUUUUAAAAUUUUUUAAAAUUUUCUUCUUUCCUUCCUUUCAUUUUCUUUCUCUUUUCUUUUUGCCAGUGAUUGGUCACUAGCUUGGUGAGGGUCGCCCUCACUAGCUACAUGCGACUGUUGGCUAUGCCUAGGCAAGGCCUAGUGAGGCCGCCUUGGCUUGGGCGAGGGACCCUCACUUAGGCUAGGGUGGCCUCACCAACACUUGCCCUCCCCUAGAGAAGGCUGGCCCUUGCUAGCCAACAAAGUUCAAAAAAAUUGUAAAAAAUAUCUACAUCAAUGCUAACUAUAUCAUAUAGAAUGCCAAGCAUCUAGCUAGUGAUUUUCGGUCAAAAUUGGCCAAAUAGACUACAUUGACAAAUCGUCAAAAGGUUUAGGACUUGAUUAAUCAAAUUGAAAGGUUUAGCUUGGUCUCAACCAAGAGAAUACAUGCUGUCUCUGGCCGAGGGUGUUGCGGUAUUUGCUAAAAUCCCUUUCAUUGAAGGGUGCUGGCUGAGAUUUCAGUAGAGGGUGGCCGGGCUUAUGGGGGCUCGGGCUUGAAAAUUGAAGUGGGUUUUUCUCUUUUAAAUUUAAUUUAAUUUAGCCUGACGGGCCAGUUAAAUUGCAAUUCACAACCAAGCCGAUUUUAAUGGAAUUCAUUUGAUGUGGACAUGUUACUAGUGAACAAAAAAUGGUCAUACGCCUAAAUGCAAUGUGCAUGCAAAAUUGUGUGAUAUCAGUAUUUUGUUAGAAGGGUCAAAUAAUGUCAUUGUCAACAAAUUCAAUCCCAAAGUUUUUUGUGAAACGUCUGAGAUUUUUGACCAUGUACUCUCGAGAUUUUCCCUCUAGUUUUGCCUUCUCAAGUGAAUUUUUCACAGAGAGAGAGAGAGAGAGAGAGAGAGAGAGAGAGAGAGAGAGAGAGAGAGAGCCUAAGUAAUGAAUGGGCCAUGUGCAUUUAAAGGCAUAUGUUAGACUUCAAUUGCUAGAACAAUCAAAUCUUCCGCUCAUUCCAAGUUAUCACACGUCCUAGGGCCUCAACAUUUGGAACUUCUUCUAUUGGCAAAGAAAAAGGCUUGACAUGUUCUUGUUCGCAAUUGUUAAUAAAAAAUUAAUUUUUUUUUAAAAAAAUAUAAAAAUUGUCCACUAAAUUUGUAUUGUAAGAAAGCGUUUUGAUAAUAUAUAUAUAUAUAAGAAACAAGUUAUCCCAAAUUAGAUUAAAUAACGAUGUGUUGUAACAAUAUAGAUUGAAUUAGGUAUGGGUCAAGAAAUUUGUAUUAUAGAUAAAGGGAUCAUAAAUAGAUUAGUGAGUCAAUUUGGAUCGGACCAUUCAUGACCAGACCAAACCCACAUGUUAGACCAAACCCACCUGUUUGACAGGUCUAAGUGCCACAUAUAAUUUAUUGCAGCCAAAUCUUUUCUAGGAUUAAAAGUUGUACCAUGAACAAUUUUUUAAAAAAGCAUUUGGAAUUGAGAAAAUAAAAAAGAAAUAUGUAAUGUAUGUUAUGUUUUUAUCAUUUUUGUCCAAUUGUUUUGCACCAAUCUAUAAUUAAAACUUCUUUCUAGUCUAUAUUGGCGAGAUGACUGGAUAUGCAUUAAGAAUUAUCUCUGAACAAAAAUUUCCUAAUAAUUGGGAUAUCAUUAAAAAGUUCAAAAAACUACUUAUUUAAAUUAAUAAAUUAUCUAUUGGAUGAACUAUCCUGACUUAAAUAUUGAAUAAGAUUGGACGAACAUAGAUGACUCAAAAUGUGUCAAAUUAAGAUAGCAUUAGCAGACAAGAUCUUGAUACCAAUGCUAGGAAACAUGCUUUGUCAAAUUUAUGUCAAGAAUUAAUAAUUAAUUGUGCGUUGAAUUUUAGGAUUUAGGUUUUAGAUAUAUAAAAAACAUAUUUAAUAUAUUUACGAAUCAAAUUGCGUUUGUCUUGUGUUAAAAAAAAAUGAAUCUCGUAUUGUGCAUUGUAAUAUAUCAUGUUUGUCGUUUCAACUGUUGCUUAUCAAGUAUGUAAAUUUUCUCAACCAAAACAAGUAUGUGAAUUUUACUUUUGGGCAAUUGCUUAAAAGUAAGAAAAAUAUCAUUGAAAGGUAAAGAGAAAAAAAGCUUGAAAGUGGGAAUAGAAAGUGGGAGUAAGAUUCUCUCCCUCAUACAUGGUCAACAACAAAUAAUCAACCCACGCAUUUUAAUGCCUUCGAUGUUGCCAUUAUUGGUAAAUAAACUUCUUUAUCCCUGCGACGAUAAACGUACGAUGAACAUCUUAGAGGUAGAAGAGAGUUGGACUCAUGCUUUAGGAAGCAAGAAGCCAUUCACGGUAAACCCUCCAUGGACACAAAUGGUUUGCCCCGUAAUGUAAGAGGCCGCCGGCAACCACAAGAAGGCCACCAACGGCGAAACCUCCUUCGGCUCUCCGAUGCGACCGAGCGGUGUCCUUGCUAUCGCCUCCUCGUGGAAUUUCUCAUUGCCGAGUAGCUGCUAUGACGGAUGAGUUAAUGUUAGAUCACGAUGGCAAAGGUGAUGAAGAUUUAUGGGGUGAACUAUUUUCGAAGAGGAUAGGAAAUUUUAAGUCUUGGUAAAUUAAAUUACAUGGUCGGUGAGUGGGCUGCCUAUGAAAUAAGGUGCAAUAGAGUUGCUUCUUAUGUUGUCUUUAGCCCAUUCGCAAGCCAGAUUCUUGGUCAACUGGUUCAUUGCUCCAGUCAAUGAGUUGAGAAAAUAAGAAUAUAACUUGGCUAAGCUUGAACCAACCCCAAAGUGAUGCUCGAAAGUCCACUCUAGGGUCACUCAUUACUGUGUUUUGCAGCCAAGGGAUUUGACUAUGUAAGGCCCAGAUAUAUAGCCCACAGGCCUGAUUGGUUUGGUAAACCGAUCACUUGAGAAAAUUAGCAGUGAUUAGAGUCAUAAGUCCAUAAUUUGGAUGCCUUCUCCAUGACGGACGGUGAAGUGUUCGUCUUCAUCGAUAUCUCAGACAAUCUUUCUCAUCUCUUGCCUGCCCCUUGAUCUUGAGAAUCCAAGUGAAACUAUCCAUAGUGUUCACUUUAUCACUAGAUUGAGAGAUCAACGUAAGUGUUAUUCUAUUGGUUGCUCGAGAAUUCACUUGCUCAUCUUGAAAAAUAGUACUUAGAUAUUAUGGGAAAAUGCUACGUGAGAAAUUAAAUAUGAAAAAGAUAUCAUACAAAGAUAUAACAUCAUUGUCAUGCCAUAAUUUCGCAAUACAUUGACACUGUUCUAAUGAUAAAAUCAAUUGUCCCUGCGAUGAAAAUUCACGAAGUAGCGUCUUACAGGCAAAAGAAAGUUGGGCUCAUGCUCCAAGAAACAAGAAGCCAUUCACGGUAAACCCUCCAUCGACACAAAUGGUUUGUCCCGUUACGUAAGAGGCUGUCAGCAUGCACAAGAAGACCACCAAUGAUGACACCUCCUUGGCUCUCCAAUGUGGCCGAGCGGCGUCCUUGCUAUCACCUCGUCAUGGGACUUUUCGUUACUAACCGACUACGAUAACAUGAGUUCAUGAUGAUGGAUUUAUGAGAUGGGCUUAAGGCCCGUCCGCCCAUGCUGGGCCCAAAAGGCCCGGCCCACGGGAAUAGGGCCCGUGGAAGGGGAAGGUAUAAAAGGGAGGAGAGAGAGAGAGAAGACAUUGGUUGGAAAAACAGAUGUACGUACGCUUUUCUCCUGCGCGCGUUCUCUCUCUCCAAAAGACAAAAAGAACAGUAAGGCAAAUGGCACUGUUUUCCCUUCAAUUGACAUCAUCAGAUCAGAAUUUCUUCCUCUUCUUCAGCAUCGGUGUCUAAUCUGUGGCUAACAAGGUACGCUCGAAUCCGUGGUGUGCUUUACGAUCGGUGAUACGUGUUAUCCCGGGCUUCGUCUUCCGCAUUGAUUUAGGGGUUCGAUUUAGUGUCGAAUCCGGUUUUCGGGGAUCAGUAAUUCCCAACAUUGGUAUCAGAGCCAGGUUCACGUUUUUCCCGAUCAAUUUGAUGUUUUUUGCUUGAUUUUUCGCAAAAAAAAUUUCGGCCGUACGGAUCGGGGCGAGAAAUCCCGACACCCGAGCAUUGUUCGGCCAUUUUUCUGAGUUUCAGUAAGUCGGAAUCAAAUUUUGAAGGCACUGGGUGAAAGGCGACGUCGAGACGAGUCCGGUGACAUGUCGUGCGUCACCGGACGACGCCGCACGCGCCCACACGCGUGGCCACAAGCCGCUGCGCGUGUGCGCCACGCGCCCAAAGCGCUGGCCAUGGCCAGCGCGUGCGCCACAUGCGCCGGUGACGAACCGGCACGUGCGCGCCAGCGACUGGCGAAACGGCACGCGCCGGUCGGCGAACCGACGUGUGCUAACGUCACCCGAUGACGUCAUCGUGACGUCACCCAACGGUCGAUAACCGUCGGAAUGACGUCAUUGAUGACGUCAGCGCCGACGACGGUUGGCCGGCCGGCGACCCGACCCGACGGCGACCAACCCGACCCGAUCAGCCUAGCGCAUGCCGUGCACGUGCAGCUGACGUCUGCGUGACGUCAGCACGCUCAUGCGCGAGGCACGUGCCGGCUGACGUCUGCGUGACUCAGCCAACGCACGCGCGAGGCAUGUGCGGUCGGUUCGUCCGACCGGUCCUCCGACCCGCGCGCCCGUUGACCCGACCCGUUGACCGUUGACCGUCGACCGACCGUUGACCCGUUGACUUUGACCGUUGACCCGAAAAAAAGAAAAAAAAAGAAAAAAAAGAAAAAGGAAUUUGUUUCUUUUUUCAUUUAUGUCUGUGUGGGUUGUAGGUAAUCCAUUUUUAUUCUGCAUUUGUUGCAUGAAUCAUGGAAAUUUAUGUAUUUUCCAUUUUGUUAUUAUGGAUUAUAAGUGAUCCAUUUUAGUUCUGCAUUUGUUGCAGGAACUAUGAUGCGUUAUGCACGGAUACUUGCAAUCCCAAGAAUGGAUGAAGGAAGAGCUAGACUGAAAAGGCUGAUGAAAGAGUUAGUUGAUUAUCGGUGGCUUGAUGGUGAUUUAGUAUUACACAUGGUCAAGGUCAAUCAGAUGAUACAGGAAAUCAUCUGGAAUGGUUAUCUUAUGCCGGACUUUGAGAAGGUGCCGGCUUUGAUGAACACUCUUCCACCUGAAUGGCAAGCAGUGUUAGAUCGGCUAUGGGAGGUCAACGUGGUCCCGGGUUAUAGGAGGCUGGUGGAAGCUUUUGUAAGAGAGCACUAUAAGAUUGAGUUAACCAAAACUUCAACCCUUAGGUUGAGCGCCACAUGGCGCAGAGUGAAUGCGCCUUGGUGGCGACAUGAAUGCUCUCCAAAAGUUUUUCCAUGGUUGGCAAAUGUGCCUUUAGUUUUCUCAGAUGUUUUUGACUGAUAGAUUAGAAUGGACAUUCCCUAUUUAUUUCUUUGAUUAAUUAUGUAAUGCUUACUACCUGAUUGUUGUUGAUGUAGCAACCGAUAUGUUAGUUGUAUCAUGUGAAAGCAUUGUUAUUUUAUUGGAUGUUAGAUUUUAUCUGCUUUCUGUUAUUGCUGAUUGCUGUGGGUAAUUAGUUGUGGGUAGUUUAGAAGUUUUUGUAGCUUCAUAGAAUUGAUUUUGCAUAUGACAAUCAUAUUAAUGAUAGUUUUAAGUUAGGAUUUUUGGAGGAUGAUUGGAAACGUAGUGACCUUUUGAUUCUGAAACCUUACUUGAAAUUAUUCAUUGAUAUGAUGGGUCUGUGCAAAUAGGGAUGCAUAAAUGAUAGGCAUUAAUUAUUCGUGCAUGUAUGUCUGAUGUGUUCAGAUCGAUGUUUUCAGCAACUAAGAACGUAAUUGCUGAUGUAAACGGCAGCAAUUGUGAAAUAUUGAAUAUGAAGAUUCAAUAUGUGCUGAAAAAGCAAGAAGCACUAGAAGCUCUUGACCAUGUUAUGGAAGAUCUUGAGGAUGCUGUGCGCCACCUUGAGCUGGUAGAGGACCGCUUGACGGUAUGUGAGCCGAAAAUAGAUACUUUCAAUGUUGGUUCUAGCUCAGAAAGAGCUUUGUGCUAGAAGCGCAAACAUAUUGAUUCGUUCAAUAUGUGGGAAUGCAAAGGAUCAAGUCCUUAUUACAAGAAAUCAAGAGUUAACCAACACAAGAGAGGAAAACGUCCUCAAGUGAAGAAAAUGUCAAGGGUGAAAUGUUACAAUUGUGACAAGAGAGGUCACUAUGCUUGCAACUGUCGUGACCCAAAGAAGGCAUACACCUCUUGUACAUUUGAGAACUUUGCUUAUGUGUCAAGUUCUGCAUUAUAGGCUGAAUCCAAUCCUUUGUGGAAUGUAGAUUCAGGAGCGACAGACCAUGUAGCAAAGGAUAGAGGAUCCUUCAUGGAAUUCCGACGAUACCAAUUGGAACUAAGUGGAUCUAUAUUGGAAAUAACUCCAGAGCUGAAGUUAAAGGGAUUGGCACCUGCCAAUUGAACAUGCGUGGUGGACGCAACUUGUUCCUACAUGAUGCUCUAUAUGCUCCGGAGAUUCGUCGAAAUUUUAUGUCUGUUUUGGCGUUGGUUAAGCUUGGUUUUUAAUAUGAACUUCCAUAAUAGAUGUGUAGAUUUGUAUUUGGAUACAAACUACUAUGAUUUUGGUCACUUUCUGGAUGGUUUUAUUGUACUAAAUGUUGACUGUGGUGAUGUCAAUAUGUUAUUCCCUCGUUUCACGUCUUCUACUUUAUAUGAUAAUGAUGUGAAUAUGGUGGCAUGCUAGACUUGGUCAUAUGGGCCAACAACAUAUGAAAAGACUAGCCAAAGAGGGCUUGUUGGGCAAUAUUGAAAAAGUCGAUUUGCUUAUAUGUAAGCAUUGCCUGGAAGGGAAAACGACAAGGAAACCAUUUGGAAAAGGUAAAAGAGCUUAAUUUCCUCCGCAUUUAAUCCAUACUGAUAUCUGUGGUCUAAUGAAUGUGAAAGGAAGGCAUGGGGCUGUUUAUUUCAUCACUUUUAUAGAUGAUUACACUCGAUUUGGAUAUGUCUAUUUGAUUUCUCAUAAAUCUGAAGCAAUAAGUUGUUUCAAAAGGUUUAUGAACCUGGUAGAGAAUCAAUUAGACAAGAAAAUAAAAGCAUUGAGAUCCGAUCGAGGUCGAGAAUAUUUAUCUGAUGAGUUCAGAAAAUUAUGUGAUGAAAAAGGAAUAGAAAGACAGUUGUCUAUUACAUAUACUCCUCAACAAAAUGGUGUUGCGGAGAGAAGAAACAGAACCCUACUAGAAAUGGUUAGGUCCAUGAUGGCGCAUGCUAACUUGCCUAUCACCUUUUGGAGUGAUGCAUUGUUAACUGCUGCGUAUAUACUUAACCGGGUGCCUUCCAAAUCAAUUACUUCCACUCCAUAUGAGUUAUGGACGGGUAGAAAACCGGACUUAAGUUUUCUUAAGCCAUGGGGUUGUGCUACCUAUACACAUGAGUCCUCUCACAAGUUUGGGAAACUGGGUCCCAGAGGAAAGAAGAGUAUUUUUAUAAGGUACUCUGAACACUCGAAAGGAUAUAUGUUCAUAGGUGAGCAGGAAAGUGGGAGUAUAACUGAGUUUGAAUCACAAAAUGUCACAUUCCUAGAGGAUGAAUUUCCUAAGAAGGGUGAAAUAGGGGAAGAUUGUUCCCUAUUUGAAACCUUGGAUCAAGAUAAUGACCUUAGUGGACUUCAUCCAAGUGGGAGCAUAAUGGGGAAUGAUGUGCAAAGUGUACAAUCUCCCAUACGGCGAACAAGUCGCCAAAGUAUUCCUCGUUGACGUUUUGACAUUGAAGGGGAGACUUUUAUGGUUGCUCCACAAGAUGAGGAUGAGCCAAGAAAUAUUAAUGAGGCUCUGAAUUGCCCUAGUAAGGAAAAAUGGAUUAAUGCAAUGGAAGAGGAAAUGGAGUCAAUGAAAUCAAACCAAGUCUGGGAACUGGUUGAUCUACCAAAAGGACGCAGAGCUAUUGGGAACAAAUGGGUUCUCAAAAUAAAGCGAAAGGCUGAUGGCUCGAUUGAAAGGCAUAAGGCUCGCCUUGUGGCGAAGGGGUAUAAUCAACAGGAAGGAAUUGAUUAUGAAGAUACGUUUUCUCCUGUAGUGAGAUUUACCUCAAUUCGCAUUAUUCUGGCAAUAGUGGCUAGUCUGGAUCUUGAAUUACAUCAAAUGGAUGUAAAGACUGCUUUCCUCAAUGGAGAAUUAGAGGAAGAAAUAUAUAUGGAACAACCUGCUGGUUUCAUAGUGAAAGGCCAAGAAGAAAAAGUAUGUCGACUUUUGAGGUCGAUAUAUGGUCUUAAGCAGUCAUCAAGACAAUGGUAUAUACGUUUUCAUAAUGCCAUAAUGGCAUAUGAUUUUACAAUGAUUGAUGAGGAUCAUUGUGUAUAUAUCAAAAGAUCCAAGGAUCAAUUUGUGAUCAUAUCAUUAUAUGUUGAUGAUAUACUAAUUGCCGGAAGCAAUAUGGAGUUUGUUAAGACCGUCAAGAGUUGGUUGUCUUCCAACUUUGAGAUGAAGGAUAUGGGUGAGGCUGCAUACAUUCUUGGAGUUAAGAUUUCAAGAGAUCGCUUGAAGAGAUCGUUGUCUCUUUCGCAAGAAACUUAUAUAAACAAAGUUCUAGAACGGUUUCAUAUGCAAGAUUGUAAACCCAUAGACACUCCUAUUGCAAAAGGUGAAGGAUUGAGCCAUAGACUGUGUCCAAGGACUCCACAAGAGAAGGAACAAAUGAAACAUGUUCCUUAUGCAAGUGCUGUUGGGAGCUUGAUGUACGCUAUGAUGUGUACAAGACCCGACAUAUGUUUUGCAGUUGGAAUGGUGAGUAGAUACCAAUCCAAUCCAGGUCCAGCACAUUGGAAAGCCGUUAAGAGAAUACUGAGGUAUCUGAAGGGAACUGCUGAUUACAAGUUGAAUUACCAAGGAAAGGAUCUGCGACUUGAAGGCUAUUCAGAUGCUGAUUGGGGAGGAGAUUUAGAUAAAAGAAAAUCUACCUCAGGAUUUGCUUUCUUAUUGAGCAAUGGCGCCAUAUCAUGGAGUAGUAAGAAGCAAACAUGCAUAGCCUUAUCCACAAUGGAAGCUGAGUUCGUGGCAUUAUCAGCAGCAGUACAAGAAGGAGUUUGGCUUAAGAGAUUCUUGGAUCAUUUAGGUGUUAUUGAGAAAGCUGCAAAUCAAUUAUUGAUUAACUGUGAUAGCCAAGCAGCUAUAGCGUACACCAAAGAUCCAAAGUAUCAUGGCAAGACCAAACAUAUAGAUACCAAGUAUAACUUUGUAAAAGAUAUGGUUGCACGAAAGGAUGUGAACUUACAGUACAUAUUCACGCAUAGAAUGGUAGUAGAUCCUAUGACAAAGCCAAUACCUAGAGAUGUGUUUUGUGGUCAUGUAAAAUCUCUAGGAUUGCGUAGAGUCUGAUGUACUGAAUUGUAAUUUCCCUGAGUUGUUCACAUUUAUGAAAUUUUGUUUUUCAUUGAUUAAUGCCUAUGAAUCUUUGUAUGAUCUUUAUGCAUCUUAAUACUUAGUGUAUUAUUUUAAGUUGAGAAGUAUGUCGGACAGAUAAAAGAUUAGCCCACUCACACGGGUAAUCGCUUCUGUUUACUAUGUGAUAAAUAGAGAUGAGACUGAUUUUAAAUUUAUUAUCUAUGUGAUAAUCGAGAGCUCAAGCUUAAAAUACGUAUGUCGCCUUAACUAAGUGUUAAGAUGAGGACAUAAUACUUACGAUGUCCGAAAGUAAAAUACCCACAAUCUGUCUAUGAUGCCAAAUGUGAGUUCUGAUGAAUUUUGUGAUUGAGUAGAUAUGUGAACUCAAGUUAGACAUUAGGUAUGUCUAAACUAUCAUCUGUACGGUAUUGAAAAGUGCAGAUAUACGCUCCAUGGGAAAGGAGUUAAUACCGUAAUACAUAUUUCAUAAUACGUAUGCAUGAGACGACCAAUAAGAGUGGCAAAAAGUUUGAUCUCAACUUUUAUGACGUGUGAGACUCUUGAGGAAAAGAGUUCAUCAAUUUUUUAGUCCCCUCAGGACUCUUACUUAUUCUCAAGAUUUCUAUUUAGUGUUUGCUAUCUUAGGGUGUUGCCAAUGGUCAUCAAUGGUCAUGAGAUGAUUCGAUCUAAUGGGGCAUUUCUAGAAAAGCAAGCUGGACUGAAAUUGAGAGUUUGAAGGAAAGAGGAGAAUCACAUUGUAGUUUUUGUAUUCACCGGUUAACCAAUUAUGACUGUCUUUGUGAUAAUCAUAAUUGUGAAUACAAUAUAUAUAUAUAUAUAUAUAUAUAUAUAUAUAUAUCAUUGUUUAAAAGAGAUCAAAAGAGAUAUAAAUGUGAUCGAUCGAUCUAAGGUACUGCAUACUAAAUCUACUCAGAGUGAAAUGCCCAUUAUGAGCUGCUAUAUAUUCCUAACAGAUGUAUGGCAACGAGCUCUCAAAGUAUGCUGGUUGCACGGAUUAUUCACCGGUAUGAAUGUUGAAGAGAGGAAAAGAGGAUUCUGUUCGGCCCAUCAUGUUAAGUGAGAGUCUAUGAUGGAUUUUUCUCUGAUGAGGCUGAGUAGGGCCUGUCCGCCCAUGUUGGUUUUGGACCACCAUGUGCGAGUGGGAGAUGAUGGAUUUAUGAGAUGGGCUUAAGGCCCGUCCGCCCAUGCUGGGCCCAAAAGGCCCGGCCCACAGGAAUAAGGCCCGUGGAAGGGGAAGGUAUAAAAGGGAGGAGAGAGAGAGAGAAGACAUUGGUUGGAAAAACAGACGUACGUACGCUUUUCUCCCGUGCGCGUUCUCUCUCUCCAAAAGACAAAAAGAACAGUAAGGCAAACGGCACUGUUUUCCCUUCAAUUGACAUCAUCAGAUCAGAAUUUCUUCCUCUUCUUCAGCAUCGGUGUCUAAUCUGUGGCUAACAAGGUACGCUCGAAUCCGUGGUGUGCUUUACGAUCGGUGAUACGUGUUAUCCCGGGCUUCGUCUUCCGCAUUGAUUUAGGGGUUCGAUUUAGUGUCGAAUCCGGUUUUCGGGGAUCAGUAAUUCCCAACACAUGUCAUAUCAUGAUGACGAACCUGAUCAAGAUCUAUGUAGUGAUCUGUUUUCAAGCACGAGAGAAAAUUUACAGCCUUAAGAGAUAAUCUUACAGGCUCGGCUUGUGGGGCCAUUAUGUGCCAAGGUGCAAUAGAGUUGCCUCUGAUAUUGUCCUUAGCCCAUUCACAUGCCAAAUUCUUGGUUAAUUAAUUCAUUGCUCCUAACAAUCAACUUGGAGAAAAAAAGAGAGGAAUUUUUUAGCUCCAUAUGAAAAAAGUUCAGACAGUUAGUUAUGAUAAUAUUAACUUACCUUUGGUUGUCGAGCAAAUUUGUCCAACAUUCAUUGAAACAACGCCGCAAACAGAUGACAAUAACACAAUGCUUUCGGCUUUUGAGGCCUUGAGAAGGGGAUGCACGAGUUGACUUAGACAGUAAGCUGAUUCGAAGUUAGUUGUCAUGAUAAAUGAAAAAUUUUCCGUUGUUUAUUCCAUGGUCAGCUUUGCUCUGUUGGUUUGUUGAUCUACCACACAAACCACUCCCAAUAAAAUGAAAACCAAGUACCAAAUCUAUUGAAAGAAAUGCACAAAUUACGACCUUGUUAUUGAUGUUGUAAUCGGAUCCAUAGGAUCAGACUUACUAGGAUUUUGAGCUUCUUGUCAAAGAGGGAGGACACAGUAAGCAUCAGCUUCUCUUGCUCCGAUCAUAAGGAAAAAUCACAAGUCGAACCCGCCACCCGGAAACCCUUUCUCUUCCAAUCUUUCAAGCAUUCAUGAAUAUCCGGCUGCAUUUCUGGAACAGAUAUACACGGUGGCCCCAAGCCUCGCUGGCUUCUCGACAAUGGCAUGCCUAAUCAUGGUACAACAAUAUGACUAUUAAGCCUUAGUACAUGUCAUACCUAGGAUUGUUAUGAACAGGCCAUUUUAGCAACGCAAUCCUCGAAGUAAUUGACCUCUCUUUUAUGUCCCUCGUCAUUUUCAUCGAUCAAGUUUUAGAUGGCGAUUAUAUAGAUUUUCUAGCUUAUUAUUUAUAGAAUCCAACAUUACUGAAUUUAGAAGAACCUACUAUCUCUUGGGGCAAGCCUAGCUGAAAACGAUUUUAUCAAGCCUAGACAGGCUUGAGCCGGGCUACUAAACCCAUUUGUGCUAUUACUAGUUAAACAUUAUAUGAGGGAUGCAAUGGCCGAAAAUAGCAUCAAACGCCUUUUAACCUGUGGCUCCAUGGUGGUGAGCUUUGCAUAAGCUUUUUGAUGUAUAUGAUACAGCCUGCACAUUGUCAGAAGUUAUGUACGCAAAAUUUCGGGCCUAAGCCAUAAUAGCCCGGAUUAGACUUGGCCAGAGUUAUUUAGCCGGGCUAGUAUAUAAAGGACUGAUCACCCGGCCAAGAAAUUCUAGGCCAUAUUUGUUCUCAUAGGACCAAAAAGGUACCUCGACGUUCGGAUUGCCUAAUCCGUACACAAUUCUACUGUCACACACAUUAUUAUGAAGAAAUAAGAUGCCAUAAUUGACAGUUUUCAGAUGCCUAUUCAUCAUGUUUGUUCCUCCAACCUAAACCAAAAUAGUCAAUCGAUUAUCGAAAUCAACAUUGCAAAAGAAUGAGGUGUUUGAGUGAGAGAGAGAUUCGAUUCCAUUAGUUCCACCAGUGACGAGAGCGCUCAUUCCGGGAAGCGACCACCUGUUGUUGUUGUUGUUGCGCUGCCACAUCUCCUUGCCGUUUCACUCCCCUCAGGAGCCCUUCUCUUUCUUUCUUUCUUUCUUUCCAAUUGUUGAUGGCGCAAAGGAAGAUUGAUGACACUUCCCAAUUGUUGGCAUCUGGGUCAUUCCUCUGAUCGGGUAUUGCAUACUCUCGAUAUGACUUUAAGUUAUGAUUCCAAUUGCUGUGAUCCUUGUUAUUAUGCUAAGUAGCAUAGGUUACAUUUUCCACAUAGCACACAUAAAUCAGAAUAGUUAUUUUAUUUAGUUCAUUCGGAUAUUUGGGGGAUUUCUCCAAUUGACUCUAAGGAGGGGUUCAAGUAUUUUGUUAUAUUUAUUGACGACAAAUCUCGAGCUACAUGGCUUUAUUUGCUUAAAUCCAAAAGUGAAGUUAUGACCGUGUUUCAAGAUUUUUGCAAUUUGGUGAAAAAUCACUUUUAACACUGGUGAAAAUUCUUUGUCUAGACAAUGGAACUGAAUAUACCAAUCAAGCUUUUCAAGUGUUCCUACGUGGCUUGAGAGUCAAAACUCUUGCACGGGAAGUUCAUAGCAAAAUGGAGUUGCGAAAAGGAAAAACAGGCAUCUGCUUGAGCUUACCUGAACAUUGUUAUUCUUAGGAAAUUUACCCAAGACAUAUUAGGUGGAUCCAAUCCUUACUAGUUGCUACUUAAUCAAUUGUUUGCCUAGUAAGGUGUUGGGUAUAAAGUUUCAAUUGAAAGUCUGUAUGGUCCAAAAUUUGGUAUCUCUCACCUAAGAAUUUUCGGACGUGUGUGUGUUAUGUGCAUUCUUGAUCUAGUGACAAGCCGGAUCCAUGAGCUCGAAAGUAUGUGUUUGUAGGAUACUCGAAUUUCAAGAAGGGAUAUAAAUGCUAUGAACCAAGUACUGGACGUGUUUAUAUAUCUUGUGAUGUUUUCUUCAAAGAGGCUUACAUAUAUAUUAGGGAAUCAAAUUUAGGGGGAGCAAGGUGACUUUUCUGAAUUUUUGCUUCAUGUCCUACCUAUCAGGAAUUCAAUGUUGGAUCAAGAGGAAGUUCCAACAGUGGUUGUUCAAGGGAGUCAGCUAGUCCCCAAUGUCGUUGCCAUUCCUGAUGUAGUUGCCAUUACAACAUAUGCAACUGAUUUGGAAGUUAGGGCUAAAUAUGCAACAGAGAUAGCUCCAACGGAUGUUGCAUCCAUUAUCUUAGCCCCAACCCACAAGUCAUCAUGCAUUCCAAGGCCUUCAACGUCGCUAAGUGAUUUUUCAACAUAUCAUAUUACUCAGCAUCCCAUUUAGGAUUUUAUUAGGUAUGAUAGAUUUUCUCAUAAUUAUUUAAGUUUCUGAUUUGCCAUUAAAAAUCAAAAGGAACCCAAUACCUUCUUGGAAGCAUGUAAAAGAAGUGUGGGUGAAUGCCAUGAAAGAUGAGCUUUAGGCAUUGGAUCGUAACCAUACUUGGGAACUUGUUAAGUUGCCAAACAGGAAAAAGACAGUUGGAUGCUGGUGGAAUUACAAGAUCAAAUACAAUACUAAUGGUUUGGUUGAGAGGUACAAAGUUCGGCUUGUCGCAAAAGGGUAUACUCAAUCCUAUGGGAUAGACUACAAGGAAACAAUUGCUCUUGUGGUGAAAAUGAACAUUGUUCGUGUCCUUGUACCUGUAGCAAUUAACUGUAGGUGGCCAUUGUUUCAAAUGGAUGUGAAUAAUGCCUUCCUCCAAGGGGGACAAUGUUCAUAUGGAUAUCCCUCCAGGACAUCCCUUAGAGAAUAAUAAGGGAAUGGUUUUCAAAUUGAAGAAGGUAAUAUAUGGUCCCAAGCAGUGGCCUAGAGCAUGGUAUGGCAAAUUGAGUUCCGCACUCGAUAGAUUUGGUGUCAAAAGGAGCGUGACUUAUUUUUUCAAUGUUUACUAAAGCAAUUGGUGAAUGUAUUGUUGUUAUUCUAAUUUAUGUUGAUGAUCUUAUUAUUACUAGCAAUAACUUAAUGGGUAUUGCAGAACUUAAACAGUUGUUGAGCAAAGAGUUUGACAUUAAAGAUCUUGAAAAAUUGAGGUAUUUUUUGGGCAUAGAGGCAGCAAAUUCUGACAAAUGUAUGUUCUUGACUCAAAUGAAAUGUAUCCUAAAUCUACUGAAGGAGAUUGGUAAGUUGGGUGUUUAAAUUGCUAGCACUCCUAUGGAUUACAGCAAUAAGACUGUGUCUAAGGAAACACCAUUACAAGAUACUGGGCAAUUUCAGUGUUUGGUAAGGAGAUUGAUUUACCUAACUAUUACUAAACCAGACAUUACUUAUUCUGUCAGCUAUGGGCGUGUUUGUUUAAAAUUGUUUAUGUUCCUUGGAACACAAAUUUUUGUUCUAUUGUUCCGGGGAACAAAAAAACAUAUGUUCACACUUUUGCUCAUAGGAACAUAUUUGAAACAGAAAUAAGAAGUAAAAAAAAAACUUGUUUCUUGUUCUCGGGAACACUUCCGAGAAAUACUUUUUUUUUUCUUCUCAUUUUUCUUCUUUUUUCACUUUCUUUUCUUCUUCUUUUCUUAUUCCUUUUGCCGAUCACCGACCUUGACCAUGGUCAGUGCCGGCGACCUCGCCAGAGCAUCGCCAAUCCUCGGAGAGGCUAAGCCACAACGAGGCUCGUCAACCUGAGCCUCACUGUAGCUCGCUGUGGCUGCACGAGGCUCGGCCUCGCUGGGCCACCUCCAGGAUGGCGUUGCCUGGCAGUGGCUCGAGCGGCCAUGGCGAGGCUUGGCUUCACACCGGCUGGGGAGGCCGAGCCUCGUCGAUGGCUUGGCGAGGCUCGCCUGGCCAAUGGCCUGGCAAGGCUCGUCGGGGCCAGGCUGGCCUCUGGUGAGCUCACUGGACGUCACCCAGCCGAUCGCUGGCCACCGCCGUGGCCAACGACCAAUCAAAGAGAAAAAGAAAAAGGAAAAAGAAAAAAAAUGAACAAUAAAAUAAAAACAUUAAAAAAAUUAAAAGAAACAAAAAAUUAUACAAGUUUACCUAAUAUGUUUAUGUUCUUUUUCUAUUCUAGGAACAGAAAUUUUAUACAGUUACUAAACGUGUUCUUCUGUUAAAAAAUUGUUCUCCGGAACAGAAAUAGUUUUUUUCUAUUUCUGUUCUAAGGAACAAUUUUUGAAUAGAAAUGUUAAAAACGCGCCCUAUGUAAGCCAUUUAUGUAAACACCUACACAAGGGCAUAUAGAGUUGUUAAACUAGCUCCUUCAAUAUCUAAAAGCUUCUUUGGCAAGAGGAACUUUUUUGAAGAAUAAUGGUAUUGUGGGAUUUACUAAUAUUGAUUGGGCUAGGAACCUAAUGGAUAAAAAAUCUACCACAGAUUUUUGUACCUUUAUUGGUGGAAACAUUAUUACUUGGAAGAGUAAGAAGCAAACAGUUGUGGUUAGAUCUAGCACAGAGGCUGAGUACCAAGCCAUGGCUACCGCCACUAGUGAGAUUGUAUGGCUUCAUCUAUUACUUUAAAAAUUGGGCUGCAAUGCCAUGUCUAAGCCUACAAAGCUAUUCUGUGAAAAUUAGGCAACAAUACACAUUGCUUCAAAUCUAGUCUUUCAUGAUAGAUACAAACGCAUAGAGGUCGAUUGUCACUUUGUAAGGGAAAAGGUUCAAGACAAGAUGAUAGAAACACCAUAUAUUUGUAGUAAGGAUCAACUUGCUGAUGUGUUCACCGAAGCUUUAUCCAAUGGAGUAUUUCAAGAUAUGAUGAACAAGUUGAUCUCUAACGAUGUCUUCGCUCCAACUUGAGGAGGAGUAUUGGCAAUAUUGGGGGGAUUUGCGCUCCUAUUCAAGGAAAGGAGAGAUUGUAGGCAAAUUUGUAUAUUGAUAGUUUUCCUAUUUUUUGGGUUUGCUUGUUUCCUUUGUCGUAGCAACCUUGUGUACAAAUUGCAGAAAAAUGUCAUGACAAAAAAAUAAGAGAGUUGAGAGUUUUGUCCAAAGACAUAGGCACAUUGCAAAACCCCUUAAUCCGUGUGUUCUUUUUUGUGAUUGACUUGCUAAAAUUCAACAGGCCUCACUAGCUUGGGACUCUUGGGGACACAACAUUGCAUCACCGUGCCGUCAUUGAGGUCGCCAGGUCAGUGACGGUGGACUCGACGCCAGACAACGAGAAGGAGAAGUGGAGGCACUAGUCCCUCAUUGCCGUGAAGCUAAGACUCUUGGCCAUUGGACUGAAUCUUAAAGCUCGAUGCUCUUUUUGCGACCGCUUCCCUCCUCCUCUAGAAGCAGAGCAAUGGUGAGCGACCCCUUCCCUCCUCCUCUAGAAGCAGAGCAACGGUGGUGAUGCGAGAGGCGGGUGGUGACGCCGAUUUACAAAGACAUUCAUAAAGCGAGGACGACGACGAUGUUUCAAAGGUUUGAAUUGGUUAAGGUUGUGGUGAGGGUCGCUUUGAGAGUGCUGAGUGCUGAAUAAGAGAUGAGAGGUGUGUGCUUUUGACAAAAGAAGAACAGUACAGAAUAAGAAAAAAAAGAAAGUUCAGAAAACUAUAUUAAAUAAAAAAAGGAAACAACAUAAUUUUGCCUACAUCAAAUUACCGACUGUCAAAUAUUUGAGAAUUAAGGUAAAUCGGAGAUGAAUAACCGUCAUGUUACUAUUUUCUAAAAAACUUGACAGGAGUAUUAUAUUAAAAUUUUAUUAAAUAUUCAAGAUUACAUUGGUAAAAUUUAAAAAUUUAAAAUUAAAAUGACAUCUUUAUAAUAGCUGUAUGACUCAAUUAAUUUUUUUUUCAAUAGUGAGAAUAGAAGGUGAGAGUAAAUGAACAUAAAUAGUAGCUUCUACUGUCCCUUAUGUACGAACAAGAAAUUGUCUACCCACACCCGUGAAUGUGCAGAGAUUUUGCCAUUAUUGAUUAAUAAACUUCUUACUAAAGUUGCACUCAUGUUCUAGGAAAUAAGAAGCCAUUCACGGUGAACCCUCCAUCAACACAAAUGGUCUGCCCUGUUAUGUAAGAGGCUGCUGGCAAGCACAAGAAGGCCACUAAAGACGACACCUCCUCCGGCUCUCCGGUGCGGCCGAGUGGCGUCCUUGCUAUCACCUCCUCGUGGAACUUCUUGUCACUAAGUACCUGCAACGAAAUAUGAGUUAACAUCAGAUCAUGAUAGCGAACAUGGUCAAUAUUGAUGUGGUGAACUAUUUUCCAGCAUGAGAGAAAAUUUAAAGCCUUGGUAGAUCAAAUUACAGGCUCGGUUUGUGGAGUUAAUAUGAACCAAGGUGCAACAGAGUUGCUUCUUAUGUUGUCCUUAGCCCAUUCGCAUGCCAAAUUCUUGGUCAACUGGUUCAUUGCUCCUGCCAAUCAAUGCGGAUAGAAAACAAAAAAACAAACGCAAUUUGUUUAGCUCCCUAUUAAUAGUGUUUAGAUAGUAAAUAACGAUAAUGCUAUUACCUUUGGUGGCUGAGUAAAUUGAUCCGACGUUUAUUGAGACAACGCCACAGACGGAUGACAAGAACACAAUACUUCCAGCUCCCGAGGCCUUGAGAAGGGGAUGUGCGAGCUGGCUCAGAUGGUAAGCCGAUUCAAAGUUAGUUGUCAUGAUGAAGGAAAAAUCUUCUGCUGUGUAAUCCAUGGUCGACUUUAAGGUGUUGGUCCCGACGUUGUUUAUCUACCACAAAUAAAAACCGAGAACAAAAUCUAUUGAAAGACAAGCACAAACUGCGGCAUUGUUAUAAAUAUCAUUAUUGGACCCAUAGGAUCAAAGUCGCCUUAGACUCACUAGGAUGUUGAGC
rnacentral:lncRNA from 1 species